rnacentral:lncRNA from 1 species
CCGGGGCACCCACCCCUUCUCCAAUCAGAGCGCACCUCCUCCUCUGCAUAAAUAAAGCUGCCGCACCAUCCCCAUCUCAUCACCAACCACCAAUCCAUUCCCCACCAGCACCUUCCGGCGAACCACCGCACCUCUCCCCGGCGAAGCAGCAGCGUCCGAUGGCCCCCAAGGCGGAGAAGAAGCCGGCUGCCGCGGAGAAGACUCCGGCGGCCGAGAAGACCACCGCGGGCAAGAAGCCCAAGGCCGAGAAGCGGCCGCCCAAGUCCAAGGAGGGCGGCGCCGACAAGAAGAAGAAGAAGGCCAAGAAGAGCGUGGAGACUUACAAGAUCUACAUCUUCAAGGUGCUGAAGCAGGUGCACCCGGACAUCGGCAUCUCCUCCAAGGCCAUGUCCAUCAUGAACUCCUUCAUCAACGACAUCUUCGAGAAGCUCGCCGGCGAGUCCGCCAAGCUCGCCCGCUACAACAAGAAGCCCACCAUCACGUCCCGGGAGAUCCAGACCUCCGUCCGCCUCGUCCUCCCCGGCGAGCUCGCCAAACACGCUGUCUCUGAGGGCACCAAGGCCGUCACCAAGUUCACCUCCUCUUAGAUAGCAUGUUCUCUGUCGUCCUGGUGGAUCGAUGUUUCUCUGUAAUGGUCAUCUGUUCGGACCAUGUUGGUCUUGUAAUUUGUGCUGGUUGUGUUGGAAGACAUUGUUUCAUUAUCUCGUGAAAUAGUAAUGGUCUUCUUUGAUCUGUCUCAUGGCUCUCUACAAUGUUCAGUUCUUACCAUGUUUCCUUCCGUUUCACUUGACAUAGUUCUCAUGCUGUAAAUUCUGUUUGUGUGAGUUUAUCUUUGUUUGGUCUCUUAUGCAACUUCCGUUCUGAUUUGUGAGUAUGGUCGUCUGUAAAAAUUGUGCAGACAACGACACUGAGCUUGCAGAGAUUUCUUUGUUCCAUUUCUUAAUUUCGGUGUUCAGCUAUCGCUUUACGAGGCUGGUGGCCAAGGGGAGGGUGCGUGCCGCGUCAGGAGCCGUGGCCGUGGUGGGAGAGUACAUGUUCAUGGUGAUGGCGCCGGGGGCCGGGGCCGUAGCGGCUGUGGCUAGAGGCGGCGUCAGCACCCCGUUCCAGUUAACUGACGAAAGUGUUGAUUUCUUCAGACAUAGACUCAGUUUCAGUCAGCGGAUAGACACAGCCAGGAUCGUCAAAAACGUUUCGGUCUGCUGGCUGAUACUGUUCGACGGCAAAAACACACGGUUUUCAGCACUUCAGUGUCAAGUUGUUCUGGAUUCAAGACCCACCACAUGUCACAUGUUCCAAGCUGCAGCCACCAUCGCCGCAUCCAUGACCGACGGCGAAGAAACACAGCAACUACGUUGCUUCAGACCACGAUCACAGAGGGUUGCUUCCAUUUUUACUGUCAACCCACGAGCACUGCCGCCAGUCCACGGAUGUCCUUACGCUGUUGGAUUUCUCCUCGUGUUCCAUUGCAAUUCUGUUUUGACCCUUUUGACAUAGUUUAGCAGGAUCUGUCUCUAUGUGGGAACAAAAAAUUCGGAUCUGACACUUUUACUGCUGCCACUCGAUUUGGCGGCAGGGUUUAACACACUACCGCCGCGGGCCAUGGUGGUAGGAUUUGGGUCAACUUAAACGGUGCCGUCUGCCCUGGCUGACGUCGAUGAGUGGCUACCACCGCACCCCAUGGCGGUAGGGUGGCGGUCAGGCAUUUCGACCCUUGGAGUUGCGGGCGGGACCCACCCACCCAUCAGCCCGUUCUUCCUCAUCUCAUCCUCGCGAAUAGAGGCGAGACGCGCCUCUCUCCUCCUCCCGACCCCACUCAAUCUCCCUCUUCCCUCGACCAUUUUUGCGGAUCUUUGGAGCGAAUCGAAGAGGCUGGUAAGCUCAUCUAGUCACUUUUCGCAGUAACUGUUAUGUUAUGAUCCAAAUUCAAGUAUAAAAAUAAAGGUUAACUUCAGACGAGCGAGCGAAGGGAGGCGCGUCGAUCAAUAUUGACCUAGGUCACCUGUGUUAUAUAUAUAUAUAUAUACGUUGUAAGCUGCUGCACUAGAUGAGUUGAUCAGUUGUAAAUCCCCAGCGUCUGCAACCUGCCUCGAUAUAGUGAAGAUCUGCUGGCUGAUGCCUGUGGUUUCCCCCUUCAUGUUGGAUGGGUUUUCCACGUUAAAUCUCGUGUCUCCUGCUUGUUUUUGUUAUUUGUCGUGUUGAUUUGCCUGUCGUAUCUUUAACAAGUGGUAACGGAACCUUGUUCCUGUCUACAGUUUCGACGACAUGGCAUCGAUGAAGUUCGAUAUUCCGCUGAUGGACUACGACAAGAGGUUUUCCUUGUGGCAAGUGAAGACGCGGGCUGUGCUGGCGUAUCCGAUCUGGACGAGGCGCUAGAUGGCUUCGACGAAAAAAGCACAGAAUGCAUGGACGGAUGAUGAGAAGCGCAGUGAUCAUAAGGCGAUGGCUUUAAUUCGUCUUCAUCUAUCUAACAAUAUUUUGCAAGAAGUGCUAGAGGAGAAAACUGUAGCAGCCCUUUGGCUCAAACUGGAGUCGAUCUGCAUGUCAAAGGAUAUGACCAGCAAGAUGCACAUGAAGAUGAAGUUGUUCACGCACAACUUGCAAGAAGGUGGUUCGGUGCUAAACCACUUGCUGAUGUUCAAGGAGAUCGUUUCUGCUUUACAGUUUAGGGACGCAAACUAUGAUGAUGAAGAUUUAUAUCUUCUGCUUUUAUGCUCUCUGCAUAGUUCCUUUUCAAAUUUCCGAGAUACCAUAUUAUAUAGCCGCGAUGAACUAACAAUUGCCGAAGUAUAUGAGGCCCUUCAACACUAAUAAAAGAUGAAAGAAAUGUUGCAAUAUGGGGACUCGUCUUCCAAGGUGAAGCUUUGCACGUAUGAAGCAGGUCCGAGCAGAAAAAGUACUACAACAAGAGAGAUAAAAGCAAGAAAAACAAAGGUCAUUCAAAGUCCUGGUUAUGAUGGGUGGUCGUGGCCGAGGGAUGCACGAAGGGAUUGCGCGUUUCUCUCGUACACGUACGCGCGUGGGUGCGAGGCGUUGGGCUCUAACUGAACACGAGUGAGGUGUUUGCCUAUUGAACCCAAGCGAUUGCACUGGCUACGCGUUACUGACCCCGAGCGAUCGAUCCAUCCCUGGCUAUUAACUGAACUCCAUCGAGCGAUUCCUUCUCUACUGCUGCUAACUGAAGCCGAUCGAACCUGCUGCCUCUUGACGAACAGUGAGUGUUGUUGGGGGUUAGAUGAAUAGUUCCUGGUGGGGGUUGGAUGAACAGGACCCCGUGGUAGUAGAGGCCGUUGCCGCUGGAUGAACAGGACACCGAUCGAGCCGGUUGGGGGUGGAUGAACAGGACUAGGGACCCCGUCGAGGGCUGGUCGAACAGUAGUCGGUAGAGGGCUGGAUGAACAGUAGUCAGUGGAGAGGUGGUUGAACAGUAGCCGGUGGAGGCUGAAUGAAUAGGAGCCCGUGGAUGAACACUAGCUGAUGGAGGCAGGAGGGAGACACUGUGGAUGAACAGUCAUAGGUGGAGGCUGGAGGAGGUCGGCGGUGGAUGAACAGUAGCCCGUGGAGGCUGGAGCGAGGCAAUAGACGAUGGAUGAAUAGUAGCCAGUGGAGUCCCGUUUUGUGGUAUGCCACACCCCUCCCAAUGAACAGGACCCCCGUUUCGACCGUAGAAGGUCGAAGAGAAGUCCGUUUCCUCCAUUUUGUGGUAUGCCACACCCCUCCCGAUCAACAGGACCCCGUUUCGACCAUAGAAGGGCGAAGAGAAGUCUGUUUCCUCUGUUUUGCGGUACGCCAGACCCCUCCCGGUGCACAGGAUCCUGUUUCGACCAUAGGCGGUCGAAUAGAAGGCCGUUUCCUCCGUUCUGCGGUACGCCAGGCCUCGUUUCGGCUGUUUCAUCAAAGCCGGUUGGCUCUCGAUGAACACGACACAUUCCGUUGCCUCCCGAUGAACACGACGAUGGGUUUCUCCGUUCUGACCCAGCCGGUUGGCUGCCGAUGAACAGGACGCCAUCGCUACUCUUUGCUGCCUAUCCAUGUACAUAAGCCCUGGCCGUACGUAUGUGCGAGUAGGUGUUCGAGACCCCGCCCGUAUGUACGUACGUGGCCGUAUUUACUUUCUUGCACUCUGGUUGUACGUACGUGUAUACGAUAUUGACGGGACUGCGUGGCAUGCUACGUCCGCGCGUCUACUACGACACGUGCCCUUCAUUACUCGGCCACGGUUCAUCGCUGCAGCCUGCAUCCAGACCGAUCGACCAGUAUGUACGUACACGUUCGCGAUCAGAAUGGCAACGCUACAUAUACUUCGACCAGGUGGGUCCCGACUGUCAGGGAGGAUAAGGAGGCACUUCCUUGCGUGCAAAGUUAUUGCUGGUGGGUCCCAGAUGUUAGGGGGAGAAUCAUUUUUUUGCCCGUAGUAUGGACACACUUCCUUGCAUGCGAAGAUGUAGCUGGUGGGUCCCAGCAGUCAGGGGGAAUGUUUUUUCACGAAAUACGGUGGCCCAUCUGGUGGGUCCCUGCUAUCAGGUGGAGAAAUAAUUAUUUUACGCGUAAUAAGGUUGCACUUCCUUGCUGUGAUGGACCCAGCUGCCAGACUCUCCAAGUAUAGUACUCUUUCGAUGGAAGUCGUUCCUUGACCACAUUGACCAUGCUGCGCCGAGAGCACCAAGGCGGUGGACGGCGGUGAGGCCUAGGAAGGGGACGACACGGAGCCGGGGAAGACACGGCAGUGGAUGCCCACGCGGAGAGGAGUAUAAGGGUUGACUAGUUCGGCUGUAGUGUGAGGUUGUCGUCGCCGCAGAAUAACAGGGGUUGUGGGUGAGUAGAGGGAUGGCCUGGCCAGAGGUUGGAGUAGAGUGGGGCGAUGAGGCCUACGCGGCAGUAGAUCCGGCCAUUGGAGACAGGAGCAGGCAACACGACCAGUGCUGGUUCGGGCGGCUGGAGCAAGAAGACCAGAGGUUGAAGAAGCACUACGUCCGUUGGAUGGACAUCAUAAGGUCACUGGAGCUAGAAUCUUUUAAUUAACUAAGUUGACAAAGCCCUCCGCCCAUGUCAAAUUAGUAGGCCCACAAGUCAGCCUCCCACCAUGAUGGGUCCCAGCUAGCAGGGGGAGUAUUCAUUUUUUUGUAUGUUGACCAUGCUGCGCCGAGUGCAUCCAAGGUGGUGGACGACGACGAGGCCUCAGACAGCAACGAGCCGGAGAUGGGAAGAUGCGGGAGUGGAGUCACAGGCAGAGAGGUGUACGAGGGUUAACUAGUUCUGGUGCAGCAUGGUUCGGCAAUCGGUGGAGAUGAACAUGAGGUGUGGAGGGGUGGAGGGAUGACCUGGCUGGUGGUGGGGUAGCGCUUCACAGCGAAGCAUGCUAAGUAGAGCUGCUAGCAGGAGGAGGCGGGAGCAGGUGGUCCCAACGAUGUUGGAGGAAGAAGACGAGAGAUUGAAGAUGGAUGCCGGUCAUUGGAUGUAAAUCCAACGGCUAUCGAUGUCAGAAUCAUUUGUUGACUUAGUUGACAAUGACUUGCGUUGGCUUCGACCUAUUGGCCCACAUUUUAGCCUCCAAAAAUGUGGCACAUAUUCAACCCAUUUUUUCAGAAUUUACAGUCCAUUUGAUCGUUUUUUAGAAUUACAAUCCAUUUGUUGUGCUGGGUGAACAAAUAACCUAUUGGCCCACAUAUUCUACAAAGAACUACUCACGCAUCAUCACAGAGGCACCAAUGGAAGUGGUGAACCCCUCCGUGAUGGUGUCUAGAUUGGAUCUGGUGGUUCUGGACUCUGCGACGGUUGGAAUUAAUUUUCGUCGACUCCCCUAGGGUUUCUGGAAUAUUGGGGUAUUUAUAGAGCAAAGAGGUGGUUCAUGGGGCACCCGAGGUGGGCACAACCCACCAGGGCGCGCCUGGGCCUCCUGGCGUGCCCUAGUCGGUGCUGCUGCCCUCGAGGCACCCCCGAUGUGUUUCCUUGGCCCACUGGAUGUCUUUUGGCCCAAAAAAAAUCCUCGCGAAGUUUUGCUGCAUUUGGACUCCGUUUGAUAUUGAUUUCCUGCAAUGUAAAAAAACAUGCAGAAAAUAGGAACUGACACUGGGCACUAUGUCAAUAGGUUAGUACCAAAAAAUAAUAUAAAAUGACUAUAAAAUGAUUGUAAAACAUCCAAGAAUGAUAAUAUAAUAGCAUGGAACAAUAACAAAUUUUAGAUACGUUGGAGACGUAUCAGCAUCCCCAAGCUUAAUUCCUGCUCGUCCUCGAGUAGGUAAAUGAUAAAAACAGAAUAUGAACUUUUAUAUGAUUCAAAGCUUAAUUCCUGCCUAACAUGUUCAUCAUAUUUCUUUUCUUUAUAGCAUGGACAUAUGAACUUUUAUAUGAUUCAAAGCAAUAAUCUAGUUUUGACAUGAAGACUCUAAUACUCAAGCAUACCAACAAGCAAGCAUGUCUUUCAAAAUAUCAACACUAAAGCAAGUUAUCCCUAGCCCAUUAUGCUCAAUCAUUGAUCCAUUCAUGAAACACACUCGAAUAUUAGCUACACCCAAUGCUCAAAUACGAUCAUAGUGCCCCUUACUUGGUGCUUUAUAAGAGAAGAUGUGGAAUCAAAUUCAAUUUUUUUGCAUAAGUAAAAGAAAGGCCCUUCACGGAGGGAAGUAGGGAUUUGUAGAGGUGCCAGAGCUCAAAGCUUAAAUUGAGGGAUAAAAAUAUUUUUGAGAGGCAUACUUUUCCCACCAACAAACAUGACUUAGAGAUAUCCAACAUUUUCCAUGCUAGAUACAUCAUAGGCGGUUACCAAACAUAAAAUAAAGUUUAUUCCUUUUUCCACCAUUACUUUCACUUUCCAUGGCUAACCGUAUCCAUAGGUGCCCUCCAUACCAACACUUUCCAAGGAAUUUAUUAUUUGACAACAUAAAGUAAAUUCAUUAUUCAUUUUGGGACUGGGCAUCCCUAAUACCUUUGCCGUACUAUCGUGCAAUGAUAAGUGAAUAGACACUCAUCGUGAGAAUAACACAUCUAGCAUGGAAAAUAUUGGUUACCCUUCACCGCCUUGCGAGCAGUAGAGCACACAAAAGAGAAAUUUAUUUUGAAAAUUAGAGAUGGCACAUGCAAAUUUGCUUAGAACGGCUGGGAAAUACCGCAUAUAGGUAGGUAUAGUGGACUCAUAUGGCAAAACUGGUUUAAAGGGUUUUGGAUGCACACGUAGUGAUCAUACGUAGUGCAAAAUGAAGGCUAGCAAAAAGAUUGAGAAGCGACCAACCAAAAAGCAAAAAAUCUCGUACCCAAGCAUUAAGCAUAAGUAACACCGAAUAAUGCACCACAAGUAGGAUAUAAAUUUCAUAGCAUAACUAUUGACUUUCGUGCUUGCAUAGGGAAUCACAAACCUUAACAUCAAUAUUCUUACUAAAGCACAUUUACUCAUUAACAUGACUCACAUAUCAUAUCGUCAUAUCUCAAAACCAUUACUAAGAAUCAAGUUUAUUUUGUCCAAUGAUCUUCAUGAAAGUUCUUAUUAUAUCCUCCUUGGACAUCUAUCACUUUGGGACUAUUUUCAUAUGUUGCUUUUGAUAAGCUCAAACAAAUAUAAGUGAAGAUCAUGAGCAUAAAAUUUUCUUUCUCUAAAAAUAACCUAAGUGAAGCAAGAGAGAAUUUCUUAAAAUUUUACUAACUCCCAAAUAAAUCUAAGUGAAGCAUGAGAGCAUAUCUUCAAAAAUCACAAAGCACACCGUGCUCAAAAAGAUAUAAGUGAAGCACUAGAGCAAAUCCAUGGCUCUAGAAAUUUAAGUGAAGCAUAGGAGCAAGCAUAGCAUAAUUUUUGGCUCUCUCAAAAAGGUGUGUUCAGCAAGGAUUCAACACUUAAAACACAAAGCAAAACAAGCAAAGACCCAUAUCAUACAAGAGUCUCCAAGCAAAACUCAUAGUAUGUGACGAAUAAAAAUAUAGUUUCGAGUAAAAUACCGAUGGUUGUUAGAAGAAAGCGGGGAUGCCACUCGGGGGCAUCCCCAAGCUUAGUUGCUUGCUACUUCUACGAAUAUUAUCUUGGGGUGCCUCGGGCAUCCCCAAGCUUAGCCUUUUGCUAAUCCUUAUUCCUUCAUCCAUCGUAAGAUCACGCAAAACUUGAAAACUUCAAUCACACAAAACUCAAACAAAACCUUCGUGAAAUCCGUUAGUAUAAGAAAACAAACCACUACUAUAAGUACUAUAGCAAACAUAUUAUUAUUUUGUUUUUCAUUAUAUCUACUGUAUUCCAACUUUCUAUGGCAAAAACUCAUCAAAGAAAACCAUAGAAUCAUCAAAACAAGCACAUAACGCAAAGAAAACAGCAUCUGUAAAAAACAGAACAGUCUGUAGCAAUCUGAAUAUUUCGAAUACUUCUGUAACUCCAUCAAUUCUGAAAUAAAUUUGUUCACAUGAGAAAUUUGUCUAUUAAUUUUCUUCAAAAAGAAUCAACUCAAAAUCUCUCUCUUAUAAAAAAUGACAAAUAAUCUCGUGAGCGCAAAAGUUUUUGUCUUUCAGCAAGAUCAAAUCAACUUUCACCCAAAUCUUCCCAAAGGCCUUGUUUGGCACAAACACUAAUUAAAACACAAAAAAACACAAUCAUAACAGUAGCAUAAUUGUGCUAACAAACAAGAACAGAAAGCAAAAAAGCAAAAAUAAAUUUUAUUCAUUGGGUUGCCUCUUUUACGCCCCUAGCUAGGCAUAACACGUAGGCUCUAAGUUUUAUCACCCUUGUCCAAUUCUUUGAUCGAACACUUAGGACUUUUCAAGGAUUUUGCAUAUAAAUUCUCAGCGGUAAUACUUCUAGGCACGAGAUUGAAAAACUUAUUUUCGCAAAAAAUGGUCUCUUAUGACUUCAAUAAAGUUGGGAUGGAUACUAAUCAUCUUAAGACCUCCUUUAUCAUUGCUAGAAGUUGCACCUUUGUUUUUAGUGACUUGAGUAGUCUUGCUAAUUUUCACGGGAGUAUUAGCGAAAGCAAAAGCCAUACCUAGAUUAGAAAAAAAUUCUUCCAGUUUAUCAAUCCUAAACAGGCUUUCUUCGAUUCUUUCAUGAAUUGUAGUUCCCUUUUCUAUUAGCAACUUAAAGACGUCUCCCGCUUUUGAACCAACCUUAGUAGCAUAACUUUGCAUUUUUCUAUCCAAGUUUUCAAUAUGUUCUGCGGUAAGCAUUUUCUUUUCCAUAGCAUCUAAUCUUUCCAUAACAUACCAGAGAGUCAAUAUUGUUUCAUUGAUCACGAGUGGUGGUGAACCCACUAAAUUUCCCAAAGCAUUGAAAGCAUCAAGAGAAGGACACAUCAAGAAAUUUCUACCGGUAAUCAUAUCAAGGACGAAUCUGUACCAAGUGGUGAUGCCCAUGUAAAAGCAACAAAUAAGAACAACGGUAGAUUGCUUACGGAUAGAUCUAUUAUGAGCAUUGCAAAUCCUAUACCAAGCAUCUUUUUAAUUUUCUCCUCCCCUUUGUUUAAAUUUGAGAACCUCGUUCUCGGGAGUGCAUGCAAUAGAAGAAGAAAAAUCCAUAACAACAAGAUUACACACGAAAAACAGAUCUGACGAGAAAACAGCGAACGAAAAAAGAGGGUGAAUAAAAACGGCAAUUUUUGUGAAGUGGGGGAGAGGAAAACAAGAGGCGAAUGGCAAAUGAUGUAAAUUGCGAGGAGAUGAGAUUUGUGAUUAGGAACCUGGUUGAUGUUGAAGAUCCUCCCCGGCAACGGCGCCAGAAAUUCGUUUUGAUGUCUGCUAGAAUUACGUCAGUAUUUCCCAAAAGAGGAAGGGAUGAUGCAGUUAAGUGAUGGUAGGUAUUUCCCUCAGUGAUGAGAUCAAGGUUAUCAAACCAGUAGGAGAACCUCCUCACACCACGUAAACAACACCUACACACAAAUAACAAAUACUCGCAACCCGAUGUGUUAAAGGGGUUGUCAAUCCCUUUCGGGUACGACGCCUCUAGAUGGGCAAAUAACAUGAGGUAAAAGUGGUAGAUAGGAUAAAUAGAUCGCGGAACAAAUAAAUUGCAGCAAAGUAUUUUUGUAUUUUUGGUUUAAUAGAUCUGAAAAUAAAUGCAAAGGAAAAUAGAUCGCAAAGUCAAAUAUGAUGAAAAGAGACCCGGGGGACGUAGGUUUCACUAGUGGCUUCUCUCGAGAAAAUAGCAAACGGUGGGAAAACAAUUACUGUUGGGAAAUUGAUAGAACUUCAAAUAAUCAUGAUGAUAUGUAGGCAAUGAUCAUUAUAUAGGCAUCACGUCCAAGAUUAGUAGACCGACUCCUGCCUACAUCUACUACUAUUACUCCACACAUCAACCGCUAUCCAACAUGCAUCUAGUGUAUUAAGUUCAUGAAGAAAUGGAGUAAUGCAAUAAGAACGAUAAAAUGAUGUAGACAAGAUCCGUUUAUCUAUUAUGUAGAUAUAGACCCCAUCUUGUUAUCCUUAGUAGCAACGAUACAUACGUGUCGGUUCCCCUUCUGUCACUGGGACCAAGCACCGUAAGAUCGAAACCACUACAAAACACCUCUUCCAAUUGCAAGAUAAAUAGAUAAAGUUGGCCAAACAAAACCCAAAUAUCGGAGAAGAAAUACGAGGCUAUAAGCAAUCAUGCAUAUAAGAGAUCAAAGAAGACUCAAAUAACUUUCAUGGAUAAAAACAUAGAUCUGAUCAUAAACUCAAAGUUCAUCGGAUCCCAACAAACACACCGCAAAAAGACUUACAUCAUAUGGAUCUUAAAGAUACCAUUGUAUUGAUAAUCAAGAGAGAGAGAGAGAGAGAGAGAGAGAGAGAAGAAGCCAUCUAGCUACUAACUACGGACCCGCAGGUCUACAAAUUACUACUCACGCAUCAUCGGAGAGGCACCAAUGGAAGUGGUGAACCCCUCCAUGAUGGUGUCUAGAUUGGAUCUGGUGGUUCUGGACUCUGUAGCGGCUGGAAUUGAUUUUCAUCGACCCCCUAGGGUUUCUGGAAUAUUAGGGUAUUUAUAGAGCGAAGAGGCGGUUCAUGGGGCACCCGAGGUGGGCACAACCCACCAAGGCGCGCCUGGGCCUCCUGGCAUGCCCUGGUGGGUGCUGCUCCCCUCGAGGCAGCCCCAGGUGCUUGCUUGGCCCACUGGAUGUCUUCUGGCCCAAAAAAAUCCUCGCGAAGUUUUGCUGCGUUUGGACUCCGUUUGAUAUUGAUUUCGUGUGAUGUAAAAAAACAUGCAGAAAACAUCAACUGGCACUAGGCACUAUGUCAAUAGGUUAGUACCAAAAAAUGAUAUAAAAUGACUAUAAAAUGAUUGUAAAACAUCUAAGAAUGAUAAUAUAACAACAUGGAACAAUAAUAAUUAUAGAUACGUUGGAGACGUAUUAGCGGUCCAAGGCCGGCGCUUGCGACCCGACGAGGAUGGCCGCGACGGCGUGGGGCACUGGUGCCGCGAAGCGUUCGAUGAACAUGCCACACAACUCUUCCCAGGAAGCCACCGAGGACUGCAACAAAGUGAGGAACCAAGUGCACGGCAUAUCUGUGAGAGACAUAGGGAGCCAAUUCGCCAUGCCCUUGUCAUCGCUGCCGGCUUCCCUGAUGGCCUCCGCGUACGCCUAGAUGAACUCCGCGGGGUCUGCCGUGCCAUUGAAUCGCGGCGGCACCCCUGGCCUGAACUUCGGCGGCCAUCGCACCCGCCACAAGGCGGGGACGAAGGCCGGUGACCCGUGGUGCCCUCAGAUGCACCUGGCUGCCCUUCGAGCAGGACGACGACCUCCAUGAAAGCGAGACGGCGAGAGGACUGGAAGGUGCAGCAGGCGAGGGAGAGAUCUUUCGACAUGCCCCUACCUGGCGUGCCAAAUGUCGGAUUCCAGGCUCCACUAACCAAAGAAAGGUUCGAACUCUGGGCGUGUUUGAAGAACUCAACCUUUCUAGCCGAUCGACUCGCUGCUCCCAUGGCCUAGCUCAAUGAACAAGAAAGGAAACAGACACACCAGUUUACCUAGGUUCGGGCCACCUUGCGGUGUAAAACCCUACUCCUACUUUAUGGUGGAUUAGCCCAGCGGGGGGCUGAGGAUGAACUAGUACAAGGGGAAGACCAACCUCAGGAGGCCUGUUCUUGUGGUGGUGGUAGCUUCAGGGAACUAUCUCUCUGGGACUUGACCCCUUGCUAUACGGUGGUGGCUAGGUUAUACUUAUAGUGGUCUCGGUCCUCUUCCCCCAAAACUUAGGCGGGAAGGGAUCCCAUAGUGGCCAAUUUGAAAGCGGACAAGUAGUACAUCUUAUCCUGACGAAAGGUGGUCUUCUCCUGCAAAGCUUAUGAUCAUGACCUCGUGGUGGGCUCGUCGAUGACAUCCAUCCCGCCGUUCUAGCGGUACUGAUCUUUUUGCAUGCAAACGGUAACCUUUGGUUGGUUCCUUGGGACUCUGCACCUGCGCUUGCCUCCUUAGCACUAAAGAGGAAACCUGCCAGUCUGCACCCACUGGCGCACGCCUGGCCUUGGUCAUCAUGGCUGGCGUCACCUAGGCCUCAUGAGGUGGGUGCUUGCAUAGAAAUCUCCGCUCCUCAGGAGGCCGCCUGGGAGGCCGCUCCUUCAGGACGUAUUGAUGUCAUCCGCCUCGUGAGGCUUGGCCUCUCACGAGGGUCUUGUCUUGUCGAUACUGAAGAUGGGCCAUACCAGGCCAUCAAUGAAGCCACGCCAUGGGCCGCAGGCAGGCAAGUCUCGGUACCUUGGUUCCCAGAAUGCCGACAGAUACUUACUGUUAAGAAUUACCUAUUUGUCUGAACUUAAAUAGCUACUUAAGCAUGUAGAUAGCUGGUCAUAUGUACUUCUAGGGUGCAGCAAAAUUCAUGUGUAAUUUACGUUCUAAUACCCUGUUUGUUUAAAUGGUUUGCUAUUAUCACUUUUAGCACUAGUAAUGUUUGCAUGUUCAUAGAGAGACAACUGUCCGGUUUAUAUGAGGGACAACGUUUUCUUUAUACAUAUAUAUACGUUGCUAGAAUCAUUUUGCUUACAUCAAAAAUUUUAUAGAUGUCUGUGUUGCUGGUAAACGGUACCGACUUGUUACUGUAAUACGUUGCCAAGAACUUGUUAGUUUUACUAGUUCAUGUGUAAUUAAAUAUGUUGCCAAAACUGGUUAGUUUUACUAGUUUGAUGUUAGUUUCUUAUGGCUCUUGCAACACAUUAUUUAUGAUUGCUAACAUUCAAGUUUGCAGGAUCCAACUGAAACUCCGUUGGCACAACAAGUAUGUUUUCAGAAACUUCCUUGUUUACCUGGUUUGCUGCUGUAACUUGUUGCUGUAAUCAUCUUACCAACUUCAACUUUUCAGGAUCCAAUUGGAAGUCCAAUUGCAUAGCAGGUACAUUUUCAAAAAUUUAUUUGUGCAACAGGUUUGCUGUUGUAACGUGCUGCUGUAAUUAUCUUACCAACUUCAAGUUUUCAGGAUCCAAUUGGAAGUCCAAUUGCACAGUAGGUACAUUUAAAAAAAUAUAUUGUUGUAACAGCUUUGCUGCUUUAACUUGUUGCUCUAAUCAAGUUACUGACUACUCAACUUUUCAGGAUCCAAGAGAAACUCCAAUGCCACAACAUGUUCCUUUUGCAAAACUUGUUUGUUUAACUGCUUUGCUGCUGCACCGGUUGCUAUAAUCACGUUACUGGCUACUCAACUUUACAGGAUCCAAGAAAAAGUCCAACGCCACAAUAGGUGCCUUUUGCAAAACGUGUUUGUUUAACUACUUUGCUGCUGCAACCAGUUACAAUGAUGUUAAUAACUACUUUUCAGCAUCCAAUCGAAGCUCUUUAAUUCCUUGUUUGUUUAACUGGUUUGCUGUUCUAACUCCCAUAUGAGAUGUUUUGCUAACUUCAACCUUUUGGAAUCCUAUCAGAACUUUAAUGGCAAAACAUGUUAGCCCGAGAUCAAAGAGUGAGGGCCCCAUGGACGUUGUAUCAUCUCACAGCAGUGGCACCGACCCAAUCAUGCAUCAUGAAUUGCCAACUACUGAUGCUCUAGAGGCUAAACUAUUGGUAGAAAGAGAUUCUGCUUCUACAUUUAGAGAUGAAGUUGACAUGUUGAGGAAGGAAACAUCACAAUCACAAGCAGUACUCAAGACAGCCAUUAAAUAUUUGGUGGAUUUCAAAAUGAAGCAAGCUGAGAUUGACCGCAUUGUUUUUCCAUCAUCAAAUAACCUUUGUGUUGUUCAUGUAAUCGAUCAAACCAUUUGUUUUAGAGAUCAUGUAAUAAUUGCUUUUUUGUUUGUAUUUUUUUAGCACGAGUCUGUAUUAAUUGACAAGACUCUGAGACAUUUCAUUUUGAUUGCUAUGCCAGACCUAAAAAUAUGCCAAUCGGGCUGAAUGUGCAUUCACCAAUAAUAGUACUAGUAUAGAUGGUGAGUGCCACGCAUCUGAAAGGGCCAAGAUGUUGUACUAGCUUUGCUAAAAAAAUGAUGCUCUUCUAGAAAAAAAAAGUACAGUGGCCUGGCUUAUGUAUGUUAGUUGAUAUUAUUGAUCCAUAUACUCUAAGUGUUUAUAUGUAUGUUAGUUUUGUACAUUAUUGGUCUAUUGACUCUAUAUUUUGCAUCUUGAGACAUCGGUUGUGUACAUAUCUAAAUGGGAGUACACUACAUGUUGCGUGUGCCAUACAUAUUACACUCGAGUUGGACAUAAAGUGGUUUGAAAUAUUCGAAUUCACCUUAAACUGGAUUCUACCUUCUGAAUUUGAGUAUCAACAUUUGUAUAUCAUAUUCAUAUACGAUAGUGGAAUACAUCUUUGUUGUGCUUUUGAAGAUAUAUAAAAAAACAUAGGAUGAUUUAUAAAGAUUUGUAUAAGAAUAGAAAAUGGAUUCGAAUUUAGUUGCUAGGGUAAACGUGAAUGCUUAUUGUCCCAAAAUUUGAAAGAAGCGGCAAAAUAUCCACUCCCACGUCGGCUACUCGAAGCCAGUGUUUGCGGAUGGAAAUUACUGUCCGCCCCUUACAUGGACAAUCCAUCGGCCCGAUUUCCACUUCUCUCAAUAGGGGUAGGUUAGUAACUUCAAUUAGACAUGACACGACCGCCUCUGAGCCCAUUCAGACACAGUGGGCGCCGAACAUGGGUGGAAAAACACAUUUGAUACAAGCUCGUCCGAAAGUCCUGUGCCUCUCUCUCCAUUUCCCCAUUCAUACACGAUGGGCGGCAAAACAAACUCGACUCGACCGAAAUUGAUGUAGGAAAAUAUUUUUAAUAGGGGCAGGUUUGUAACUUCAGUCAGACGAGACACAACCACCCUACCUGUCAGCCUUGUUCAUACACCAUGGGCACCAAAUACCCUCUCCUUACUCAAAAUCGCUCUGGGCAAAUAUUGGGGAGAUGCGAGAUUACCGUCCUAUCCCCAACCAACGAGACGUCCAAAUUUUAAAUUGGGGAUAAGUUCGUAACUUUCCCAUAUUUCAGACAAGCGCGUCCCAAAAACAUGGUUCCCCAUACCUCUCCCUUCAUUUUCCCAUUCAUACACCAUCUGCGCUAGAACACCAUCCCCUCACCAGCCUCCUCCAUCUGCCACCCCAUCCAUCGCCGCCGUCCUCCACCAUGCCAGAGCGCCUUCCAAGACCGCACCGUCCACUGCUAGAGAUGGACGUUUCUCAUCCACGGCGACGGACCAGGAGCCCUACAUCGCGUCCUCUCGCAUCAUCGGCGCUGUCGUCCUCCUUGUCGGGGCCGCUCCGACGACCUUCUCGUCCAUUGCAACGGGACUUAUCCCCCGAUGGACCCGUCUACCAUCGCAGAUCUGCUUCAAUGCCACCGACAGCCAUCGCACCGCCGAUGCCUACAUGGCGCCGCAAGAGAGGUGUUACUACUUCAUAUCUUUUUAGCUUUUUGAUCUUAACCAGAAAAUAGAUCGUCACUUGGUUACUAUACUAUCUUUUCUGCUCUUAGAAUUUAGUUCUUAGUUCGAAGCAAACAAUGGUUGCUAAGUAGCAUUUGUGCAGUUUGCAGCUUCAAAUCUGCCAAGGCACAAUCAUAAUAGAGUUUAAUUGAUCAUGCUUAGGGUUUCCCCCCUUUUAUGAUCACUAUACGAUCAACCUACGUGCUUCGUGUAAUAAUAGCACUGCUCCACCCAUCAAGCUAAACAAGCUUAGUUGUUCAAAUAUGAAUAUCAUAUUAUUAAAACAGAGUCGUUUAAUUGGUCAGCUAAAUGUUCCUAAUUUAGUUUCGAAAAUGCAUGUACACCGCUGGGGUGUGGAUCUACAGGGUGCCCACGGUGGGUCGUGGCCCACCCUAGGAUUUUGGGUCGACCCACACCCCGAUUCCCCUCUGUUUUGCUGCACUUCCGAUCUCUACUCGCCCCCAGCCGUCUGCCUCGCUGGCGACUUGCCGUCCCUAGACGGCAUGACCCUAGGAGGAGACGCCGGACUAACAAGAGGUCAGGAGCCGCUCACCCAACAGCAUCACCGCUGCCCCGGCGCGCCGCCGUGCCUACCUUCCCAGUCCGUUUAGGGCUCAGGCAUGCAACACUCACUAAGACAACCCGAUUUAUCCUGAGAUAUGUCCGCAACACUCAGCAGCCACUCCCCAUCACCCAUUUUCUAAUUGAUUCAUUACUCAUUAGGUAGGACUGUCAUUAGGGUUUGUUGUGUACUGAGUGCUACCUACACUUAAUGGUUUAGAUAUUUCAGUACUCUUUAGUACCUGUAAAGUUCACAGGGUUUCAAAAUUUCGGCCCUAGGAACAGACACUAGUCAUGUUUGAUUGUUUGUCAUAGUGACAUUGACCCAGAUUACUUAUGCAGGCCAGGUUUGUUGACAAUUUUACUUGUCUUUCUUACUCAUUCGAUAUAAUAUCCAAUUAUUCACGCCGAUUAGUUGCAAACAAUAAGUGCUAGACCAACUUCUUGAUUCAGAUUUUAGACGGUCUCUUACUGCAGUUACAAUUCUGCAUACUUGUCCUAGUAAGCUCACAAGUAGUGAUUGACUCACGACCUCUAUGCUUGCCUUAUCAUAUUUGUUGUCAAUAUUCUUUUAGGGUGGACCACCCUAUUUCAAAAUACUGGAACCACAUACAUGAGUGAAUAGUAUUUCUCUGUGUGAUCUCUUUCAUCAUGUGUGGGCAACGAACACUACAUUGUAUACAAAGAAAGUGUCAUAUCCACCUUUUCCACAGACUAUGAUCUUUAACAUGGAAUACAACCUGCCUACUUGUUUUGUGUCGCACUACCAGCACUCCACCCUUGAAGCUAAACAUUAUGUCACUCAUAAUUCCUUAGUUUAUUUGUUCAAAUACAAAUUUGAUAUGAUUCUAAUGUUCCUACUUCAGUUUUGAAAUGUGUGUCCGCCUGUUAUGGAGACAUAAGAGGUUUGUAUUUCUGUGUGUGGUCUGUUCAGCACAGUUGGGGGAUGAACUUUGUAUACGCACGAGUUUGUAGGGAGACACUCUUCGAGUUGAAUUUGCAAUGCAUUCCAUAAUAAUCUAACUACUUUUUAUGUUUUCAUGAAUCUCAGAUACUGAACAACAUCAUAAUGAUUAUGAGCUUAUGCGCAUAAAUAGAAUAAAGCAAAACAAUGCCAUGGCUGUCAAACUUGGCAUUAAGGGACUGAAAUCAAGUCUAGAUGCAAUGCAAUGCAAACGCUCUCCACCUACAGAUUCAUGCUCAGAAUAUGAUCCUAACAAUGAUUCUGAGCUAGAGGGAGACCUAAGUCAAUUUAGCUCCCUAGUGGAGGAGUCAUAGGCAGAUGCCCUAUAUUAUUCACCCAUCAAGGUGCUUGCUCUAACUUUCCAAGGUUAUAUUGGUCGCACAUAUCUUGCAACUGAUGCUUUGCAUUGGUUCUACUUUGUUGCACUACCAUUAGCUUAGUUUACACAUCGUGUAUGUGAAUACGCCCUGCCUAUCCAUUUUCAGUACAUAUUCCAUCUAUCAUCAUACCAUAUUUAUCCAUUCAAAUGUUGUUCUUGUGUAUCCGACGUUCAAAAGGAAGAGGGCGAUUGCUGAUCGCGGAGGAGCAUGAACAAAGUAUUUGGAAAAGGUAGUGACACCUGAUAAAUCAAAUAGCCCAAUAGGUGUAGUUGCAAUAUCACCAGACCCAGAAAAUAUGGCCACAACUCUAGCAGACUCUAGCCCUACUACACUAGCCAUCUCUGAUGCCCCAACUUAGCAGCACCCAACUGCAACAAACAGUAUGCUGAUACCAGUUGACAUAGCACCAGCUCUAUGAUGCAAAACCCCCAUUCCGGCAAAGAGUACACCAAAUCCAGUUCCCAAAUCCCUUUUUGAACGAGAGAGAGAGAGCCCCAAUUGCAGCAAAUAGGACCCUUGUUCCACUUCUUCGCAGUUUAGAAGACCAAGCUUAUAUUGUUGUCAGGAAUUUUGUGCGCAUCUUUCCUUCAUGGAAAGAUUAUACCACAGACACAGAACAAUUUCCAAUCUUCCUCCGCAACUUAUGCGUAAGUAAUGUACUAACUUUGUUCAUGGUAAUUACUGCAUAUGUUUUUGCUGACAGAAGACACAUUCUUUUAAAUAGGCGAGGACCAAACUGGAUAGUCAAGAUGAGCAAGGGUUGGUUGCGCUUUUCAAGCACUCGUUGAUGAACUAUCGUUCCUACCUAAGGCAAGUGCACUUCGAUGGCAAGCAUCUAAAUGAAAUUUCUAUAAAGUCUCUAGUGCUACAUUUAUUAGACAGUGACUGGAAUAAUCUUGUUACACAUUGGUAUCGUCUACAGCGUAAGGUACUGUAUGUGAUAUCACAUCACAAUCUGAACUACAUUUUUGCAUGUGCCUUACCGUCUCACUUGUAUGAAAAAUGUUUGCAGAAGAACAUUCAUUCUCAAGGGACCAUAGAAUCUCGCAACUAUACUGCCCACUGCAUUGCUCUUGUGAGUACCUCUUGCCCUGUAUGACCAUACUUAUUUUCAUAGUUGGUUGAUUAUGUAGCAUCACUGCACAUGUUAGCCUCGUUAUCCUCCAUUUGGUGGACAUUAUAAGUUUUGAAUCGACUCUUACAUAGAUUUAGAAUCAAACCAAUGCUUUUGAAGAGGUAUAGCUCUGUAGUCCUCUUGUAAGGACAAAACGUCUUCUAUCACUGUACUUGCAUUAACAGCUACUCCCUCUGUCCCAUAAUAUAAGAGUGUUUACACCAGUGUACAAAACACUCUUAUAUUAUGGGAAGGAGGGAUUGGUUCAUUGUGUAGCAUUCUGCAUCUUAUCUCCCUCGCCCACCAUUUACUAAAAAAUAGCAGAUCUAUAUAUAAUCUUACCAAAAAGUUGAAUACACAGACAAUGUCAGUGCAGAAGUGCAACCCAUUGCUCUUGUCAGUACAUUUUGUCCUGUAAUGCUUGUACUUACAGGGAUUGGUAGUUGAUUAUGUAGCAUCAAUCUGCAUCUUAUCCUCAUUAUACUCUAUCCCUUCUAGUAUCAUAUCUAUAAUUACUCUCUACAAAAUGUAGAGUACAGACAAUGCUUAUGAAGAACAUUAUGUGCUGAAAUUCUUGAGUUAUCCUUCCCUGGACAUGGAGAAGAGCAUUAUAAAGCCGGUGUUAAGUGUUAAUGCAAGUCAGUCCUUCUAAAGCCUUUAUCCCCAACUGCUGUUUAAUUUGCUCAUACUCCCUAUUGCCACCUAUUGUUUAGUUUGUUGUUUCUAUCAAAAUGCAUGUUCACAACAACCGUAAGUUCUAAGUUUUAGUUGUAAAACCAAAUUCCUUAUUCAUACUAUGCACAUUACUCAAUACUCCCUAUAUGUAUAAUCUAGUGUGUGGUGAAGCAGCCCACCUUUGCACCUUGUCAUCUCCUGUUUUAUCUUACUGAUGUGGCCGAUGAUAUGAACAACAUGCCAUGCACAUUAACCAAAAUAGAUACAAUGAUUGUCUUUGCCCUUCAUCUAUGCUUGUUUUUUUGACAUGGUAAUCCAGUAGUGUGGUGAAGCUCCCCACAUUAUGAACAAUGUCAAAUUAUGCUAUUGAUAUUUUAAACUGACUCUUUAUUUUCUAAUUUGAAAUUGGAUGGAAUUGACAGCAUAGUUACCAUCUUUGUUUAUACACGUGCAAAACCUGUCAUCUCUUUGCUUGUUUCAGGGUGAUAUGCCUGAUGGCAUGCACAAGUCUGGUGAAGGCUUGAGACAAACCCAACAACCAAUAUAUAUUCUAGCAAAGAAGGCAAAAUAUCUUGAAGAUAGCGAGACAACCCCAAAGUCAUGUAUCAAUGCAGUGUUCAAGUUACUUGAGACUAGCAGUCAGAUAAGCUCACAGAAUUUGCUGUCUGAAUCAGUUCGACUUCUUCAGUCUCAAGUUCAAGUAGAAAGGCAUUCUGCAACUCAACUUCGACUUGAAGUCCAAUCUAAGGAAGACCGCAGAGAACACGAAUGAGAACCUCAUUGCUAAACAACUGCACCUGGAAGUUAUGACCGACAUGCUAGGCAGGUCUCACAGCCUUGCUUGGCAGCUUGUGCAACAGCUCCCAUGCAAGGCUAAUCUUUGUUGAAUUUUCUUGGAAUCGGUCUUGUUUCAGUACUAUUUUGUUAUGUGCAAUGGCGCCCAGUUUUUGUAAUAUGCUUCUUCGUUGCGCUUUAUGUGAAAAAGGCGAAAAUCUGAUGUAGUCGACCGGCCUGAAACUUUCUCCUCUAACGAGCCUGCAUUUUAGCGGGCCACAAUUGGGCCGAUCCACAACUUUCUUGGGCCUGAAAGGCCAUUGGGGGCCCUUCACACUUUGUGCCAUGCCCACAACUUACACGGGCCUACAUUUGGCCUAAUGAUUAGUUGGACCUUUAGUGGACCGACCGCUUAGUUGGGCCCAUGUAGCUUCGGGCCAUUAAAAGGUUGAAUAUUCUGCUGGCCUGUUAAGGCCGAGAAGAUGCCAUGAGCCUUUAGUAGGCCGAAAUGCGUGUUGGGCCCCAAUUUUCUAUAGUCAUCAACGGGCCUUUAGCAGGCUGAAAUGUAGACCUGGCCAUUAUUGACCCACUUGUUGGACGGGCCAUUACCAGGCUGAAACAUAUCUCGUGCCUUAGUGGGCUCACUGAUAUCAUGGGCCUUUAAGAGGCCAAAAGCUUAGUAGAGGCAUCACCGGGCCAAAUUAUACGAUAGGCCUUUAACAGGCCCAAAGUCACAUUGGGCUAAACUGUUGCCACCUUGAUCACGAAUGGUUAGUGGGCUGGAUGUCCCGUCGGACCAUAUAUGGCCCAUGGGCAACAUGGGCCAUUCUCAUGCCGAAAGACACAUGGGGCUGAAAUGGGCCCAUGUCUACAUCGGGCCUUUAACAGGCCGAAGUGUCACUGGGUCAUAAUUGGGCCCAAAUACUCGAUGAACAAUUAAUGGGGCAGAUCUGGCUUUGGGCCGUAAAUGGGCCAUGUUUAAGCAGACUGUUAGUGGGCUGGCCCACUAGUACCUUAGUAAAUACCGCUGGCCUUUAACUGGGCCGGCCUUUUAACCUAUAUGGGCCUCUACUAGGCCCUGCCACGUGUCGACAUAUCAUAGGCACGUCUCCUCCAUUGGAUGGACAACAUCUGGCCCAUCGAGGAGCCGACACGUGUUUCCUCCGGCCAAUGAUGAUUUUACACAUGGAAAAUCCCCAUUGAUCAGGGCUCUUAACGGGUUAUCAGAUCCAAACCGGAACCCGGUAGCUUAACAUCGACCCGUUAUGGUGGAUUCCACGUGCCGGUUACCCUUGAUGAAAGCACUUCCAUGACACGUCAUUUAUUGUCAUGGAAGUGAACACUUCCGUGAUGAUAAUUUUGGUAUUGUCAUGGAACACUUCUACGACAGCACACGCAUGACAGAAAACCUGACCUACUGUGACAAACACGUAUUAUCACAGAAGUGAUUUUUUUUGUAGUGUGAAGUCAUCAUUGCCAAAACAUUAAUGCUUUAUGUAAAAGUGGCAACCUCACUUAUGCUUAAACGAUCAGUAUGACAUAUGACAAAUUUUCUCAUUUGGCUCUAAGUCAACAUACUCAUAUAUAGAUGAUUAUGUUAACACCCAUUGCUUGAUAGUUGCUAGAAUUGGUUGUGCAUGUUUGGCAUAUUCUAUUUGCUAUCUUAUCGUGUGAGCAUGUUGCGAUGCAUAUUUCUCAUUUAAGGGCAUCCAAUUGUGGUUUGAUUGAUUUGGUUUUAUUUGGCCAAUUGGUUGUGCAAGAAUGCCUAAGUACCUUCUCUAGCUAUACAUCUCAACUUGUCUCAAAUUCAUUCUUGCUAUAUCACAAAACUUGAACAAGUUCCUAUCGGACCCUUCGGGCGAGGAGCACUCGGAGCCACCGAUCUGAUUAGGGCUAACCUCCAAAAUCUUCUAAACAUAUUUCAGUUAGACCAAACCACUCCUAUUCGGUCACACCGAUUGCAUUUAUGCUGAUCCAAACUUUCAUCCCGGUAAGACCGAUAUGAAAAUCUUGACGUCGCUGAUGCUCUCUGUCACUGGCAGUUAUGCAUCUCGGUGAGACCGAUUUCUUUCGUCCGAUACUACGGACAUCACAUGGGUAUAUAUAUCAUGUGGACCUUACAUUGAAAAUUUAUUCAAUCGUUUUGCUCCCGCACCCCGUUGCUGCCAUCACCUGUAGUCUCUAGAUGAUCGUCCUUAUCUCCAAUGCGCCUUCGCCGUUGGAACCCAUCGUUGUCAACGGGAAUCUCCACCACUGUUGCCGCUGUAGCGGAUCUCCACCAAGUUAGGGUGAGAUUCGACCGCUAGUGCUUCUGUUUUUGAUUCCAUGCACUAGUGAUUUGCGCCCGCAACUUUGGCACAGAUUGAAAUUUCCUAUCCACCAUUGAUUCCAUAGAAGUAGGUUUGAGCAAAAAAUUUAGGGUUAGUUUGCGCAGAACUUACCUCAGAGCGACUGACUUGAACCAACUGAGAGUCAUCGAUUUGGCCUCAACCCUUGCACUUAGUACGUUUCGGUGUAAUUGAAAAGAAUUAAUCAGUGAUACCGAGUUAGUAUUUCUGCUGUAUCAUAUGCACUUUGGUGAAACCAGGAUUCACCUCAGUCUGACCGAAAUGUGAAACGCUAGUUUUAGUUUCAGCUUUGAUGCUUCCAAAAAUUUCAAAUUGGUAAUUCCAAAUGCUUCAUGUGAAAACCUGAAACUAAAAUUUGAAAUCAAGUUCUUUCAAAAAUGGUCGUGUUUUGUGAUGCUCAUCUACUCCACUCAAUCUAUUCUACUUCACAGGGUCUAUUGUCAGUAUGUCAGACACCAGUGAUAGUCAGAACAGGUCAGCAAAGGCUAGUGUUGAUUUGGAUGCAUGCUCUAGUCCAGAGGAAAGCUAUGAUGAACGAGAAAGGAGUUCUCCUAGCUUGCCAAAGGUAGCCACCAAGGCCAGAAAGAAGAGGGAUUCUGAUGUGGAAGAUGGAGACUACAUGCCAAAUGAGUUCACUUCCAAGAAGAAGAAUGUUGUCUGUGUCAAGGAGUAUGGCAAUGCUCAAAAGAAAAGGCCCAGGAAAUUCUUAAAGAUUGCUACUACUAGCUCAAAGCCAUGCCAAGGCAAGUCUAUGGCCAAAGUGGUUGGAAAGAAAAGAGAGAGAGAGAAGAAGACUGCCCAUGUGGUGUUCGAGCCCACAUCCACGAGGAGGGAGGAUGGACCAAUUGUUGAUGAGCCACCUCCCAAGCAACAAAAAUUGAUGGCAGAUGUUAUGCCCAAGUUGGCUUCUACCAACUUCAAGACAACUGUUGCCCCCAAGCCUAAGGGGAAGACCACAAGAAAUAUUUCAGUUGCUGAGAAGAAUAAGGCCCAAGUGCCUGAGAGAGCUAUAGAUGUUGUUGGCGAUGAUGACGAGCCCAUAGUGCUAAAGAAGUUGAGAGCCAGACUACCUGAGGAUGAUGAUACACAUCAUGUUGCUGAGAACAUGAAGGAGAGUAAGAUAAAGGCCCGAGAAAGUGGAGAGACUCUGAUCCAUACUCAGUGAGGAGGAGGACUGAUGUGGACUAUCGCUUCUACACUAAGGAGCAACAGGACUUCUAUGAGAUAGUGCUUCUCGAGAAGAAGCCAGUGGUAAGUGACUUGAGAUGAGUAGACUAGAAGUUCAUUGACAAGAUUAAAGAUCACUUUCCUCAUGUUCAUGAAGGCUUCAGAAUGGUUGGUGUUGAUAAGUUCAUAGGUAAGAAGUUGGCUUCAUGGAAUGAUGAGAUGAUCAUGCAAUUCUACUCAACUGCUCACUUCUACCCCAAUGGCAGAAUUGUAUGGAUGACCGAGGGAGCCAGAUAUCAGCCCAGUGUUGUUGAAUGGGCUGGAUUACUAGGUCUUCGUGAGGCUGAUGAUGAUGGCAUUAAUGUCUAUGCCAAGACCAAGAUGGAUCACAACUCUAUGAAGAACAUGUACACUGAAAUUCCCAAGAAGUACUUAGAGUCUCACAAGCUUGGAUCCAUAUAUCAUUUGUGGCUGGCCUAGCUACCUCCAGCACCAUCAUGAGGCACACUUUGAUGCCAACAUCUGGAUAUGAGAAGAUGAUCAAACGCCACUCUAUCAACAUGCUGCAUCACAUUGAUGAGCACCGGAAGUUUAAGGUGAUGGAUAUCAUUAUGGGAACUAUCAAGAGGAUUGCUGUAGAUUAGAAACGGCCAUGUGGUUUUGCUCCACACGUUCAGUUGCUUAUUAUCUCCAAGGUUGGUAACAAGACAUAUCUACUUAAUCAUGAGCAUUUGCUGCUACAGCCGGAGUUUGAGAACAACACUGUCACAAUGGAUCCUUCCCAUCCCACCUCGGCUGCAGCACAGGAAGAGAUAAAGGCAAAAGGCAAGGCUGCUAGGAAUGCAGAGCCUAUGCUACCACCACCCCCUUCCUCAAGACCAAGACUGACCAGAUGAACUAUCUUCUUCGAGCUACUCAGAGGACUGAGAAGAGCUUGAAAAACAUAGUGAAGAACCAGGAGAGCUUCGAGAGGAUCAUUGAGACUAAAUUCCAUGAUCUUGAUGUCAAGGUCACAGAGAUAUAGACCAUUGUUGAGAGUCUGAAGAAGGAAGUGGACAAAGUGAGAGUACAUUCUAGUAGUGAUGACGAGCACCAUGGCACAUGACUUCCCACUACUACCCAGUCCCAGACCAUGCCUAGGUCAGCAGUCAUGAUAGUCACCUCCAGAGCCACAGUUUUAGCUCCAGCUGUUGCACCUACAGUUAUUCCAUUAGUUCCUCUAGUGGUCUCUACACCACCACCCGAGUAGACAUCGGCCAAUAUCUUCACAAACACACUUCUCUCUACUCCGACAACGUCUACACACAUCGGUGCUGCAAGUCAGAGGACUUCACCACCAGGAGAUGCAGGAGAUCGAGCCCAGAGCUACAUUUAGCUCUUUACUCCUUUGAACUUUUUGGUACUUGUUGCCAAAGGGGCAGAAUUAGCAUAAAUCAUUAGGGAUGACACACACACACACACACACACACACACACACACACAGAGAGAGAGAGAGAGAGAGAGAGAGAGAGAGAGAGAGUUCUUGCCUUUUCUUGUUUGGUUUUCAUGCUACUUCAUGAUACUUUUGUUUGAUGCUUGUAUGAGACUACAUUACUUUGUGCUUGAUCAUACCGUACUUUGAUGUUAUGCUUGCUUAUAUAUGUAUUCAUAUGCUCCUUGUAUGAUCAUUCACUUGAUUGCUUGGUGAUGAGUGCUUACUACAUUGCAAUCAUAUCAUACGAGCGCUCCACCAAGAUGUAUGUGACAUGGACGAGUUGCCCAUGAUCCUAAUCGAUUAUGCAUUUGCAUUCAAAUGCAAAUUUUUAACAAUGCACAAAUUUAGGGGAGCUCUUACUUACCAAAUACUUCUCAAAGCGACAAUGCAUUUCAUUAAUAUAUCAUUUGUCAAACCUUUGAUCUAUAUGUUGUAAUUAAUUACCAAAAAGGGGGGACUGAAAGUGCAGCUAAUCCCUGGGUGGUUUUGGUAAUCAAUAAUAACAUAUAAGUCAUUGAACUAAUGCCUUCUCAAGAUAAGAUUUAAGAAGUUCAAUAUUGGCAUGGCAAGGACUAGUGGUUGUGGACCCCUCAAAACGGUAAGCACAUAGAAUUGGCAAAGCUUCAAGACUCUACAUUUUUUGUUAAGCACAAGAAGAGAUAGGAAAGCCAAUACUAUUAAAACGGGAUGAGGUUUUGAUGAUGAGUUUGUUGCUCAAGUGCUUAGAGAUAUUGCUCCAAAACCCUCAACCACAUUCUCCAAAUCACUUAUGUCCAAACCCUAAAGUUUAAUCUUGGUCCCACCAAAAAGCUCUAUCCCAGACUCACCGUUGAUCACAUACACUACCAGAGCCAAACCCUAACAUUUCUGUUAUACCGAUAUGGAUCUCGGUCUCACUAAGAUGGCGUGACCAAAAUUUUGUAAUGAAAUCGCUUCACUUCGGAAUCACCGAGUUGAAACGAUUGGAAUUACCGAGAUGAGGCUCCGCCCUAGCCAUUGCGCUUCGAUCGGUCUGAGUUGUUCUCUUCGGUCUCACCGAGAUGUCCAACGUUCAAAUCUUUUGCAUAGGUCGGUCCCACCGAGAAUUGCUUCAGUGUCACCGAGUUGAGUCAAAAGGUUGUAAUGGUUAGAUCUUUGGGUGAAGCCUAUAUAUACCCCUUCACCCCACCUACUCUCCAAGAGAGCCAUCAGAAUGAAACACAACUUCCACCAUUCAAUUUCUGAGAGAGAACCACCUACUCAUGUGUUGAGAUCAAGCCACUUGAUUCUAAUCAUUUGAAUCUUGAUUUCUAGGCUUCCAAAAGUUUCUUUCCACUCAAAUCCUUCUCCUACCAUAGCCAAAUAUGUGAGAGAGUGAUUGAGUGUUGGGGAUACUACUUUUGAAGCACAAGAGCAAGGAGUUCAUCAUCAACUACACAUCUAUUGCCUUUUGGUGUCACUUGGGAGCCUCCAAGAUCUUGUGAAGUCGAACCAAGGAGUUUGUAAGGGCAAGGAGAUCGCCUACUUCGUGAAGAUCUACCCCGAGUGAGGCUAGUACUUCAUGGACGUAAGCCAUGAUGGAAUGCACAAGGUUGCUUCUUCGUGGACCCUUCAUGGGUGGAGCCCUCCAUGGACUCGCGCAACCAUUACCCUCCAUGGGUUGAAGUCUCCAUCAACGUGGACGUACGACAGCACCACCUAUCAGAACCACGCAAAAAAUCACCAUGUCUUCAUUGCGUUUUAUUUCUCCGAUCCCUCCUUUACGCUCAUAUGCAAGGUCUUUUAUUUUUGCUGCUCAACUCUUAGACUUGCAUGUGUAGGGUGUUGCUUGACUUGGUAUAAUUGCUAAAAAUUGCCUACAAUUAAAAUUGGGAAAAAUAAGUUUUUAUUUGGUCAAGUAAUCUAAUCGCCCCCCUCUAGACAUACUUCUGAUCCUACAAGUAUAUAGGUCCUUCUUCUACAUAUAUGUUGUACAUAAUGUUGUCUUACAUUACUUUUACCACAGGUGGACCUUAUAUGUUCAGGCCCUGUUCCUUUGACUCGAUUACGAAGAAUCACUGUCCUGGGAAUCAAAAUCAAAAAAUAACUGACCUCUACCCAGGAAUCACCUAGAAUCAACCCACAAUCACAGCGCAAUCUAGAAUCGUGGAAACUUGGUGAUUCUCGCAAGUCUGGCCAGCCCCUCAAAAUGAAAUGUUUCAGUUUCAAGUAAUAUUCCUAUUACACAACUCUAUUUAUGGCCAGAAUGCCACUCGGGCAGCCCAACCGAGCAAGGGCCCAAUCGAGGGAUUCGCAAUGUGCAACUUCUUGAGCUUGCGUUGGUUUUUCCCUUGAAAAGGAAAGGGUGAUGCAACAAAGUACAGAUAAGUAUUUCCCUCGGUUAAGAACCAACCAAGGUAUCAAUCAAGUAGGAGGAACACACAAGUCCCCAAUGAUUGGACCUACACAAACAAACAAGUACUUGCACCCAACGCGAAAAAGGGGUUGUCAAUCCCUUCAGGUUAUUUGCAAGGAUGAGAUCUGAUAGAGAUAGGCAUAAAAGAUAAAUAAAAGCGCAAAAUAAUGUAAUGGUAAAUAAGUUGCAGCAAGGUAUUUUUGUGUUUUUGAUUUUAUAGAUAUGAAAAUAAUAUGAUAAAAAUAGGCCCCCGGGCCAUAGUUUUCACUAUAGGCUUCUCUCUUGAAAGAAAGCAUACAGUGGGUAAACAAAUUACUGUUGAGCAAUUGAUAAAAAAGCGCAAAGUUGUGACAAUAUCUAAGGCAAUGAUCAUGCAUAUAGUCAUCAUGUCCGUGACAAGUAGACCAACUCCUGCAUGCAUCUACUACUAUUACUCCACACAUUGACCGCUAUCCAGCAUGCAUCUAGUGUAUUAAGUUAACAAGAACGGAAUAAUGCCUUAAGCAAGAUGACAUAAUGUAGAGGGAUAGAUCCAAUCAAUAUGAAUAAAUCCCACCUUUUUAUCCUUAGUGGCAACAAUAGAAAUACAUGUCAUGUCUCCUUCUAUCACUGGGUAUGAGCACCGCAAGAUUGAACCCACUACAAAGCACCUCUCCCAUUGCAAGAAAAAUCAAUCUAGUUGGCAAGACCAAAUCAAUAGACCAGAGAGAAAUACAAAGCUAUCUUAAUCAUGCAUAAAAGAGUUUGAUACGUCUCCAACAUAUCUAUAAUUUUUGAUGUAUUCAUGCCAUGUUUAUAAUAUUUUUACAUGAUUUUGGUAUGAUUUGGUUAGAACUAACCCGGACUGACGCAGUUUUCAGCAGAACUAUUGUGGUGUUGUUUUUGUGCAAAAAUAGAAGUUCUCGGAAUGCGCUGAAAAUCUACGGAGAUUUUUUCUAAAAAAUAUAAAAAAUAUUGAACGAAGAGUUACCGGAGGGGAGUCCCGUGGGCCCCACGAGGGUGGAGGGCGCAACCCCCCUAGGGCGCGCCCCCUACCUCGUGGACUCCCUGUGGGCCCCCCUGACUUCUUCUCGAUGCCAACCUCUCCUAUAAAUCCCCAAACCUCCAGAACAUAACCUAGAUCGGGAGUUCCACCGCCGCAAGCCUCUAUAGCCACCAAAAACCAAUCGAGACCCUAUUCCGGUACCCUGUCAGAGGAGGGAUCCAUCACCGGUGGCCAUCUUCAUCAUCCCGGCACUCUCCAUGAUGAGGAGGGAGUAGUUCACCCUCGGGGCUGAGGGUAUGUACCAGUAGCUAUGUGUCUGAUCUCUCUCUCUCUCUCGUGUUCUUGAUAUGGCAUGAUUUUGAUGUACUGCUAGCUUUGCUAUUAUAGUUGGAUCUUAUGAUGCUUCUCCCCCUCUAUCCUCUUGUGAUGAAUUGAGUUUUCCCUUUGAAGUUAUCUUAUUGGAUUGAGUCUUUAAGGAUUUGAGAACACUUGAUGUAUGUCUUGCGUGGGAUACUCGUGGUGACAAUGGGGUAUUCUAUUGAUUCACUUGAUGUAUGUUUUGGUGAUCAACUUGCGGGUUCCAUGACCUUGGGAAUCUAUGCAUAGGGGUUGGCACACGUUUUCGUCUUGACUCUCCGAUAGAAACUUUGGGGCACUCUAUGAAGUUCUUUGUGUUGGUUUGAAUAGAUGAAUCUGAGAUUGUGUGAUGCAUAUCGUAUAAUCAUACCCACGGAUACUUGAGGUGACAUUGGAGUAUCUAGGUGACAUUAGGGUUUUGGUUAAUGUGUGUCUUAAGGUGUUAUUUUACUACGAACUCUAGGGCUGGUUGUGACACUUAUAGGAAUAGCCCAAUGGAUUGAUCGGAAAUAAUAACUUUGAGGUGGUUUCGUACCCUACAAUAAUCUCUUGGUUUGUUCUCCGCUAUAGUGACUUUGGAGUGACUCUUUAUUAUAUUGCAUGUUGAGGGAUUGUUAUAUGAUCUAAUUAUGUUAUCAUUGUUGAGAGAACUUGCGCUAGUGAAAGUAUGAACCUUAGGCCUUGUUUCAAAGCAUUGCAAUACCGUUUUCGCUCACUUUUACAACUUGUUACCUUGCUAUUCAGAUUACAAAAACCUAUAUCUACCAUCCAUAUUGCACUUGUAUCACCAUCUCUUCACCGAACUAGAGCACCUAUACAAUUUACCAUUGUAUUGGGUGUGUUGAGGACACAAGAGACUCUUUGCUAUUUGGUUGUAGGGUUGUUUGAGAGAGACUAUCUUCAUCCUACACCUCCCACAGAUUGAUAAACCUUAGGUCAUCCACUUGAGGGAAAUUUUCUAUUGUUGUACAAACCUCUGCACUCGGAGGCCCAACAAUGUCUACAAGAAGAAGGUUGCGUAGUAGGCAUCAAGCUCUUUUUUGGCGCCAUUGUCGGGGAGGUUAGUGCUUGAAGGUAUAUCUUUAGAUCUUGCAAUUGAGUCUUUUAGUUUCUUAUUUUAUCACUAGUUUAGUCUAUAAAAGAAAACUACAAAAAAAGGAAUUGAGGGCACCUCAUAUGCUUCAUCUUUUUAAUGUCUUUCAUGAAAAUAAGGAUUCCGAUAAUUGUGCCAAAGUGUUAGAAGAAGAAUGCAUUAAAAGGUUUGUCAUAAAAUAUUUGAAUGAUGAGCAUGAUUGCAAUGUUGUUAGUAUGAAUUCCUUGAAUAUCCAUGAUGCUAAUGAUAUGCAAAGCCACAAGCUUGGGGAUGCUAUGUUUGAUGAAGAUGAUAUUUUUAGUCCCCCAAGUUUUGAUGAGCAAAUUUAUUAUGAUGAUAGCAUGCCUCCUAUUUAUGAUGAUUAUAUUGAUGAAAGUGGGUUUGGAAGAGUGUCAACUUUAGGAAGUAAUGAUCCCACUAUUUUGGAGGGUGUUGAAUCUUAUUGUGAUAAUUAUGAAAGUGGAUUUGGAGAGGUCAUGACUUUAUUUAGUGAUGAAUCCACUAUUUCAGAAGAGGUUCCAAUUGAUUAUGAGAACAAAGUUGGUAUCUAUGAUGAUUAUUGUGAUGACAUGUAUGCUAUAAAGAAUAAUGAUAACUAUGAAAUCUGUCAUCUUGAUUUUAAUUUUCAAUUGGAUUAUGCCUCACAUGAUAGUUAUUUUGUUGAGUUUGCUCCCACUACUAUGAAUGAGAAAUUGUUUCCUUAUGUGGAGAGUAGUAAAAUUUCUAUGCUUGUGGCUCAUGAAAAGAAUGCUUUAUGUGAUGGUUAUAUUGUUGAAUUCAUUCAUGAUGCUACUGAAAAUUAUUAUGAGGUUGGAAUAUAUGCUUGUAGGAAUUGCAAUAAUAUCAAGUUUCCUCUCCAUGUGGUGAAAAUCUUGCAGUUAUGCUUGUUUUGCCUUCCUAUGCUAGUUGAUUCUUGUUCCCAUAAGUUGUUUGCUCACAAAAUCCCUAGGCAUAGGAAGUGGGUUAGACUUAAAUGCGCUAGUCAUAUGCUUCAUGAUGCUCCUAUUAUGUUUCUAUUUUUCUCUUUAAUGUGAGCAUCAUUGAAAUCAUCAUGCCUAGCUAGAAAGGCAUUAAAGAAAAGUGCUUGUUGGGAGACAACCCAAUAUUUACCCCUACUAUUUUUGUGUGUCCAGAUGAUUAAGCUACUAUAGUAAUCAUGUAUAAUAGCUUUUGUUUCAAUAAAGUGCCAAGUAAGACCUUUGGGAUAGCUUAUGGUGAUAGUUGUGUUGAUCCUGCUGAAAAUCAGAAACUUUUGCGCCCAGUAAAUUAGUUUUAAUAAUUCACAAAAACCUGAUUUUGACCUGAUUCUUUUUGCUAUAGAUUGGUGCACAAAUUUCUUAGGUGAAUCUAAUUUUUUCCGAAUUUGUAGAGUUACAGAAGUAUUCUAGAGUUACAGAUUACUACAGACUGUUCUGUUUUUAAUGAAUUCUGUUUUCUAUGUGUUAUUUGCUUAUUUUGAUGAAUCUAUGAGUAGUAUCGGAGGCUAUAAACCAUAUAGAAGUUGGAAUACAGUAGAUAUUACACCAAUAUGAAUUUAGAAUGAGUUCACAUGCAGCGACCACGAUCCCAAUGGACCAAAGUCUGUGCUGAAGUGUCAUCCCUGGAUUGGUAAUGCUGACACACAUAGUACUUGAGGAUUUAUAAUAGAGUUCAAUCACAUACUUAUUACAUCGAGUCCCCAUAAAGAGUAUGAUUAAAAAAAAUGGCGGAAGGCCAUCUAAACUAAAUAACUGCAGAAGCUUCGUAGGUGAAUGAGUCCAUCAACUCCAACGGCAUAGCUGAGUGCAAGACAACGACCUAUCGCACCUUAUUCGUCAUCUGAGUAGUCUGCAACAUGAAAUGUUGCACCCGUGUAGGUCAGCACAUUGAAUAUACUAGCAGCGUUACACUGUAAAGCAAUGAAAUGCAAGAACUAUAUCUACAUGCAAUAUUUAGCUGGUGGAGGCUCUAAGUUUAGGAUUUUGCAUAAAGCUAGUUUUCCCUACAACAAAGGAAUUAAAUUAUUUAAACUACUCCCAAGUUGUACCAAUAUUUGAGAAGGUUCCCCCAACUCAAAUCCCAAUUAAGUAUCAUCAUAAAACCCAAUUCUAAUUAAUUAAUGAGUGAUGAGAUCAACAAUAAUAUCCAAUUCCAGAUACUCAAGAUGUCCAUAACCGGGGACAAGACUAACCAUGAUUAGUUUAUACACUCUGCAAAGGUUGUGCACUUUUCCCCAGAAGACUCGACCGCAUCCAUGAUCGGAAGAUCGAGACAUAGUCUUUCUGAAGCAUUAACUCUCUACUCCGGCCAGACCGGUACACCUACUUUCCCCUACAUCUGCUAGUCCACCUCUUCGAGAGCUCAUACAACUUAUUCAACUAUGCCAGAGCCCAUAAUGGCUUGUGGCUGCACACGGAAGUUUCUAGGCAUGAAAUAUCAUAUGAUCCCUUUGAGACUGGGUGGCGAACCGAGGAAAAAUCACACAGAUACCCUGGGAUUUCCCUUAAUGGACAACACUGGUUCCCCAAGUGCCCCAACCAAUCCACCCAGAUGUGUAUUAAAGUUGCCACCUUAAUGUUAUCCAAUAUUAAUAACUCUCAUAACUUCCAUGUGAAUAACUAUCCAAUCCCCGUCUACGAUCAUGGCUAAGCAAUAAUUGAGCAUAACAUAUAUUCCUAUGGUGAUCAAAAGGUAUUAGGUUCCUACCUCAUAAUACUACAAUCAAACCACAUGUUCCCAAUCCUACUCAUGCCAAAAUUUGAGGAGCAAUACUAAUGCAUAGUAAAACUGGGUAUAGAAUGGUAUGAUCAAAGUGUAUCUUGCCUUGCUGACGAUCUGCAAACUCUAGAGAUUCGUACUAACAAGCUUCGCACUCCAGGUAAUCUAGCAUAGACAAACAUUAGCAUACAUAAGCAAUCACUCAACCAAAACAACGAGAAAUCAAGAAAAGAUCCAAAUUAAACACAAAACAAGCAAACGACUAAACUAAGAAGAAAACAAAACCUAACAACAUUAUUUUCACGUGGAUUAGAUCUUGACAGUAGGACACAUGAUUAGCUACGAUUUGCAAAAGAAACAACUCAAACGGAGUUACGAAACUCAAAAUACGAACAAAACAAGAUCAACUAAACUCAAAUUUUAAAUUGUCAAAAUCAUGUUCAAGUUGGUUAACUGGAAAGAAGAGAUCAAAACAAAGAUUAAGGCGCUGGUUUCAUCUAAUUUGGACAAACGAGCAAAAAGUGACGCUAGUUUUAAGAUCAGGGGCUAAAUCGUGAUAAAACUAUUUGCGGAUAGGUCCCUGGCCGAAAAUGAAACUAAAAAGAAAAAAAAUCUACCGUGCGAACAUUUGUUAACAGGACUAAAUGAACGAAACCGUUUGUUAAAAUGAACUAACGAGUGAACGUUUACUAAAUAAACAAAAACUAAAACUAAAAGCCGAUCUAACCUAAACCAAAAAAACAAACCGGAAAAACCGAAUGGUUUUAUAUUGUUUAGCUGGGGUUGACCGAUGGCGAUAUCUGGCGAGCGGCAGCGGGAUUUUGGGGGCGGCGGCAGGGCGGUGGCAGCUGUGGGCGGCGGUGGCGGUUACAGUGCGGUGGCGACGGCACGGCGGCGCGGGCGGAGGGCUGCAGUGGCGGGGCUGGCGAUGAGGGGUAGAGGGGGGAGGGUGUCGGCCCUUAUAAAGGGGCCCCGAGGCGGUGGCGCUACCCGGAGUCCUUCAGGACUUCGUUGGUGGCUCGGAGGCGGACUCCUCCGCGGAGGAAGGCGGCGGUGCUCGCGUGUGCCGGCUCGGCUUCGGCCCAGUUCGGUCCAGGAAAACUUCUUUUUUAAUAAUUUCGCCACGAAAGAAAAAUCCUAAAAAAAUAUAAAAAAUUCUAAAAAUUCCAGAAACAAUUUUCACCAUCCAAACCUAAUAUUUAGGACAAGAUGAACAUUUUUCUGGACUAAAAUGCAAUUUUAAAAAAUGCAUGUUUUCUCUAAUUCAAAUAAAAUAGCAAAUAAAAUACAAAUAAAAUAAUAAUUUGAUUUUAAAAUUUCUUCUCCAAUAUUUCUCUUUUGUUGAAGAAGUCAUAUCUUCUCUCAUUUAUUUUUAUUAUCAGAAAUAUUUGGAGAGAAAAUAUUAAAAUCAAAUUGAUCCUCUUUUCAAAUUUGAAACUAAUUCAAAUAUGAAAAUUUUGUGAAACUUCCAACUCUCUCCUUGGGUCCUUGAGUUGCUUAAGAUUUCUAGGAUCACGACCAAAAUGCAAUUAAAAUAUGAUACACAUACGAUGAUCUAUGUAUAACAUCCAAAUUGAAAAUUAGGAUGUUACAAACCUACCCCCUUAAGGUGAAUCUCGCCCUCGAGAUUCGGGUUGGUUAGCAAAAAGGUUUGGGUGGUCCUUGCGAAGAUCUUCUUCUCGCUCCCAGGUGGUUCCUCUUCAGUAUGGUGGCUCCACUGAACUUUGCAAAACUUGAUAACCUUGCCGCGAGUAACUCGACUAGAAAACUCGAGAAUCUUGACUGACUUCUCUUCAUAGGUCAGAUCACUAUCCAACUGAAUUGCUUUUAGUGGCACUGUAUCUGUCACAGGAAUGUCGGCCAUCUCUGCGUGGCACUUCUUCAACUGGGAAACGUGAAACACAUCGUGAACUCCUGACAAUCCCUCGGGUAAUUCCAACUUGUAUGCGACUUCUCCCGUGCGUUCCAAAAAUCUAUAUGGUCCCACAAAACAUGGUGCUAGCUUUCCCUUGACUCCAAAACGUUUAACUCCUUGAAGUGGGGACAUACGAAGAUAUGCUCUGUCUCCGACUUCGUAAGCUACCUUCUUGCAUUUAGUAUUCACAUAACUCUUCUGCCUGGACUGGGCUACCUUGAGUCGGUAUCGUAUUAACUUAACCUUCUCCUCAGACUCUCUGAUUAAGUAUGGUCCAAACAAUUUUUGAUCUCCAACUUCAUCCAAUGAUAAUGGUGUCCUGCCCAUCCUUCCGUACAAAGCUUCGAAAGGGGUCAUCUUCAAACUAUCUUGCUAACUAUUGUUAUAGGAGAACUCUGCAUAGGGAAAAUUGUCAUCCCAACUAGAUCCAUAAUCUAGCGCACAAGCUCUCAACAUGUCCUUUAGAAUCUGAUUGACUCUCUCGGUCUGUCCAUCUGUUUGUGGAUGAAAGGCAGUGCUAAACUCUAGCCUGGUACCCAAAGUUUCGUGCAACUGAUUCCAAAACUUUGAAGUAAGCUGUGUUCCUCUAUCUGAUACAAUGGUCCUCGGAACUCCAUGCAAACAUACGAUCCUGGUCAUGUAUAUCUUUGCCAACUUAGCACUUGUAUAAGUUGUCUUCACAGGGAUGAAAUGAACUACUUUCGUCAAACAAUCUACUACAACCCAGAUAGAGUCAUAGCCUGAACGAGUCCUGGGUAAUCCAGUGAUAAAAUCCAUGCCAAGCUUAUCCCACUUCUAUUCGGGUAUCGGCAACGCCUGUAGCAAUCCUGCUGGUUUCUGAUGUUCUGCCUUAACUCUCUGACAUACAUCACAUACUGCUACAUACUCGGCAUAUCCUUCUUCAUUCCUGUCCACCAGAAACUUUCCUUUAAAUCCAGAUACAUCUUAGUGUUGCCUGGGUGAAUCGAGUAAGGCGAAUCAUGAGCCUCCUGGAGAAUCAACUUCCUGAUCUCAUGGUUAUUAGGCACAUAAGUACGAUCGUCAAACCAUAAAGUGUCGUGUUCAUCCUCAUGAAAUCCCUUAGCCUUUCCUUUACUCAUCCUUUCCUUUAUCUCAGAAAUCUCCUUGUCCGUCUUCUGGGCUUCUCUGAUCUUACCCAACAAAGUGGACUGAAUUUCCAAUGCUGCAACAUAACCUCUCAGAACUACCUCCAAGCAUAGUGAUAACCCACAAGUGUAGGGGAUCGCAACAGCUUUCGAGGGUGAAGUACAACCCAAAUUUAUUGAUUCGACACAAGGGGAGCCAAAGAAUAUUCUUGAGUAUUAGCAGUUGAGUUGUCAAUUCAACCACACCUGGAUGACUUAGUAUCUGCAGCAAGGUAUUUAGUAGCAAAGUAGUAUGAUAAUAAUGGUAACAGUAGCAAAAGUAAAGAUAAACGUUUUUGGGUUUUUGUAGCAGUUGUAACAGUAACAACGGAAAAGUAAAUAAGCAAAGAACAAUAUGUGAAAAGCUCGUAGGCAAUGGAUCAGUGAUGGAUAAUUAUGCCGGAUGCGAUUCCUUAUGUAAUAGCUAUAACAUAGGGUGACACAGAACUAGCUCCAGUUCAUCAAUGUAAUGUAGGCAUGUAUUCCGUAAAUAGUCAUAUGUGCUUAUGGAAAAGAACUUGCAUGACAUCUUUUGUCCUACCCUCCCAUGGCAGCGGGCCUCCUUCUAAUAGAGAACCGGACCAAAGCAUUAACACAUAAUGAAUACAUGAACUCCUCAAACUACGGUCAUCACCGAGAAGUAUCCCGAUUAUUGUCACUUCGGGGUUGUCGGAUCAUAACACAUAAUAUGUGACUAUAGACUUGCAAGAUAGGAUCAAGAACACACAUAUAUUCAUGAAAACAUAAUAGGUUCAGAUCUGAAAUCAUGGCACUCGGGCCCUAGUGACAAGCAUUAAGCAUAGCAAAGUCAUAGCAACAUCAAUCUCAGAACAUAGUGGAUACUAGGGAUCAAACCCUAACAAAACUAACUUGAUUACAUGGUAAAGCUCAUCCAACCCAUCACCGUCCAGCAAGCCUACGAUGGAAUUACUCACUCACGGCGGUGAGCAUCAUGAAAUUGGUGAUGGAGGAUGGUUGAUGAUGACGACGGCGACGAAUCCCCCUCUCUGGAGCCCCGAACAGACUCCAGAUCAGCCCUCCCGAGAGAGAUUAGGGCUUUGCGGCGGCUCCGUGUCGUAAAACGCGAUGAAACUUUCUAUCUGAUUUUUUUCUCCCCGAGACGGAAGAUAUAGAGUUGGAGUUGAGGUCGGUGGAGGUCCAGGGGGCACGAGAUAGGGGGGCGUGCCCCCUGUCUCGUGGACAGGCCCUGGGUCCCAUGGUGUAUUUCUUCCACCCAGAAAUUCUUAUUAAUUCCAAAAAGUGUCUCCGUGGAUUUUCAGGACAUUCCGAGAACUUUUCUUUUCUACACAUAAAACAACAUCAUGGCGGUUCUGCUGAAAACAACAUCAGUUCGGGUUAGUUUCAUUCAAAUCAUGCAAGUUAGAGUCCAAAACAAGGGCAAAAGUGUUUGGAAAAGUAGAUAUGUUGGAGACGUAUCAACUCCCCCAAGCUUAAACCUUUGCUUGUCCUCAAGCAAUUCAGUUGAUAAACUGAAAGUGAUAAAGAAAAACUUCUACAAACUCUGUUUGCUCUUGUUGUUGUAAACAUGAAAAGCCAGCAUUCAAGUUUUAGUAAAUAUUAUGAACUAACCAUACUCACAAUAACACUUAGGUCUCACAAUUACUCAUAUCAAUAACAUAAUCAGCUAGCGAGCCAUAAUAAUAAAACUCGGAUGACAACACUUUCUCAAAACAAUCAUAACAUGAUAUAACAAAAUGGUAUCUUGCUAGCCCUUUCCGAGACCGCAAAACAUAAAUGCAGAGCACCUUUAAAGAUCAAGGACUGACUAAACAUUGUAAUUCAUGGUAAAAGAGAUCCAGUCGAGUCAUAUCCAAUAUGAACCAAUAGAAAUGAAUGCAAAUGACAGCGUGCUCUCCAGUGAGUGCUUUUAAUAAGAAGGGUGAUGACUCAACAUAAAAGUAAAUAGAUAAGCCCUUCACAGAGGGAAGCAGGGAUUUGUAGAGGUGCCAGAGCUCGAUUUUAAUUGAAUAACAUUUUGGGUGGCAUACUUUCACUGUCAAUGCAACAACUAUGAGAUGGCUAUAUCUUCCAUACUACAUGCAUUAUAGGCAGUUCCCACGCAGAAUGGUAAAAGUUUAUACUCCCCCAACCACCAACAAGCAUCAAUCCAUGGCUUGCUCGAAACAACGAGUGCCUCCAACUAACAACAAUCCUGGGGGAGUUUUGUUUAAUUAUUUUGAUUUGCUUUGAUCUUUUUGGAUCAUGGGACUGGGCAUCCCGGUUACCGGCCCUUUCUCGUGAAUGAGGAGCGAAGUCCACUCCUCGUGAGAAUAACCCACCUAGCAUGGAAUAUAUAGGCAGCCCUAGUUGUAACAUGAGCUACUCGAGCAUACAAAAUAGAAUUUCAUUUGAAGGUUUGGAGUUUGGCACAUACAAAUUUACUUGGAACGGUAGGUAAAUACCGCAUAUAGGAAGGUAUAGUGGACUCAUAUGGAACAACUUUGGGGUUUAAGGAGUUUGGAUGCACAAGCAGUAUUCCCGCUUAGUACAUGUGAAGGCUAGCAAAUGACUAGGAAGCGACCAACUGAGAGAGCGAUAACAAUCAUGAACAUGCAUUAAAAUUAAUUCACACCGAAUACAAGCAUGAGUAGGAUAUAAUCCACCAUGAACAUAAAUAUCAUGAAGGCUAUGUUGAUUUGUUUCAACUACAUGCGUGAACAUGUGCCAAGUCGAGUCACUCAAUUCAUUCAAAGGAGGAUACCAUCCCAUCAUACCACAUCAUAAUCAUUCUAAUAGCAUGUUGGCAUGCAACGUAAACUAUUAUAACUCAUAGCUAAUCAAGCAUGGCAUAAGCAACUAUAAUCUCUAAAUGUCAUUGCAAAUAUGUUUACUUCAUAAUAAGCUGACUCAGAAAUGAUGAACUCAUCAUACUUACAAAAACAAGAGAGGUCGAGUUCAUACCAGCUUUUCUCAUCCCAAUAAGUCCAUCAUAUAUCGUCCUUAUUGCCUUUCACUUGCACGAACGAACGAUGUGUAUAAUAAUAAGAGUGCACGUGCAUUGGACUAAGCUGGAAUCUAUAAGCAUUCAAAUCAAAAGAGAAGACAAAUAAUAUGGUAUAGUAUGUAUAUAUAGUAUACCCGUGAUCACCUCCCGAGUGAUCACGGCUCGAUAGUAUAGCAAGGCAGACUGACAAGAAUGUAGGACCACUAAUGAUAAACUAGCAUCCUAUACUAAGCAUUCAGGAUUGCGGGUAAGGUAUCAACAACUGUAGCAACAAUGAUGGGCUAUGCAACAUAAUAGGAUUAACCGAACAGUAACAUGCUACACUACUCUAAUGCAAGUAGUAGAGAGAAGAAUAGGCGAUNNNNNNNNNNNNNNNNNNNNNNNNNNNNNNNNNNNNNNNNNNNNNNNNNNNNNNNNNNNNNNNNNNNNNNNNNNNNNNNNNNNNNNNNNNNNNNNNNNNNNNNNNNNNNNNNNNNNNNNNNNNNNNNNNNNNNNNNNNNNNNNNNNNNNNNNNNNNNNNNNNNNNNNNNNNNNNNNNNNNNNNNNNNNNNNNNNNNNNNNNNNNNNNNNNNNNNNNNNNNNNNNNNNNNNNNNNNNNNNNNNNNNNNNNNNNNNNNNNNNNNNNNNNNNNNNNNNNNNNNNNNNNNNNNNNNNNNNNNNNNNNNNNNNNNNNNNNNNNNNNNNNNNNNNNNNNNNNNNNNNNNNNNNNNNCAGAAAAUUAAAAUUUUUCCUACGGUUUCACCAAGAUCCAUCUAUGAGUUCAUCUAAGCAACGAGCCAAGGGAGUGAGUUUGCAUCUACAUACCACUUGUAGAUCGCGUACGGAAGCGUUAGAUGAAGCGGUGAUGAUGGAGUCGUACUCGCCGUGAUUCAGAUCACCGGAGAUCCUAGCGCCGAACGGACGGCACCUCCGCGUUCAACACACGUACGGAGAGUGUGACGUCUCCUCCUUCUUGAUCCAGCAAGGGGGAAGGAGAGGUUGAUGAUGAUGGCUCCAGCAGCAGCACAACGGCGUGGUGGUGGUGGAACAGCAGCACUCCGGCAGGGCUUCGCCAAGCACGUAACGGAGGAGGAAGAGGUGUAGCAGGGGGAGGGGGCGCCAGGACUUCAGGGUGCGUCUGCCCCUUUCCCCCCUCCCUUUAUAUAGGCCCCCAGGAGGGGCGUCGGCCCUGGGAGAUUCAAUCUCCCAAGGGGGCGGCGGCCAAGGGGGGAGGAGUGCCCCCUAAGGCAUGUGGUGCGCCCCCACCCUAGGGUUUCAACCCUAGGCGCAGGGGGUGGGCCUAGGGGGGAGCACCAGCCCACUAUGGGCUGGCUCCCCUCCCACUUCAGCCCAUGGGGCCCUCCGGGAUGGGUGGCCCCACCCGGUGGACCCCCGGGACCGCUCCGGUGGUCCCGGUACAAUACCGGGUGACCUCGAAACUUUCCCGAUGGCCGAAAUACCACUUCCUAUAUAUAAUUCUUUACCUCCGGACCACUCCGAAACUCCUCGUGACGUCCGGGAUCUCAUCCGGGGACUCCGAACAACAUUCGGUAUACUACAUACUCAUAUUCAUACAACCCUAGCGUCACCGAACCUUAAGUGUGUAGACCCUACGGGUUCGGGAGACACGUAGACAUGACCGAGACGGCUCUCGGGAAAUAACCAACAGCGGGAUCUGGAUACCCAUGUUGGCUCCCACAUGCUCCUCGAUGAUCUCAUCGGAUGAACCACGAUGUCGAGGAUUCGAACAACCCCGUAUACAAUUCCCUUUGUCAAUCGGUUCGUUACAUGCCCGAGACUCGAUCGUCGGUAUCCCAAUACCUCGUUCAGUCUCGUUACUGGCAAGUCACUUUACUCGUACCGUAAUGCAUGAUCCCGUGACCAAACACUUGGUCAAUUUGAGCUCAUUAUGAUGAUGCAUUACCGAGUGGGCCCAGAGAUACCUCUCCGUCAUACGGAGUGACAAAUCCCAGUCUCGAUCCGUGUCAACCCAACAGACACUUUCGGAGAUACCUGUAGUGCACCUUUAUAGUCACCCAGUUACGUUGUGACGUUUGGUACACCCAAAGCACUCUUACGGUAUCCGGGAGUUACACGAUCUCAUGGUCUAAGGAAGAGAUACUUGACAUUGAAAAAGCUCUACCAGAACGAACUACACGAUCUUGUGCUAUGCUUAGGAUUGGGUCUCGUCCAUCACAUCAUUCUCCUAAUGAUGUGAUCCCGUUGUCAAUGACAUCUAAUGUCCAUAGUCAGAAACCAUGACUAUCUGUCGACCAACGAGCUAGUCAACUAGAGGCUCACUAGGGACAUGUUAUGGUCUAUGUAUUCACACGUGUAUUACGAUUUCCGGAUAAUAUAGUUAUAGCAUGAAUAAAAGACAAUUAUCAUGAACAAGGAAAUAUAAUAAUAACUCUUUUAUUAUUGCCUCUAGGGCAUAUUUCCAACAGUCUCCCACUUGCACUAGAGUCAAUAAUCUAGUUACAUUAUGAUGAAUCGAACACCCAUAGAGUUCUGGUGUUGAUCAUGUUUUGCUCGCGAGAGAGGUUUAGUCAACGGAUCUGCGACAUUCAGAUUCAUAUGUACUUUGCAAAUAUCUAUGUCUCCAUCUUAAACAUUUUCGCGGAUGGAGUUGAAACGACGCUUGAUGUGCCUGGUCUUCUUGUGAAACCUAGGCUCCUUGGCAAGGGCAAUAGCUCCAGUGUUGUCACAGAAGAGUUUGAUUGGCCCCGACGCAUUGGGUAUGACUCCUAGGUCGGUGAUGAACUCCUUCACCCAAAUAGCUUCAUGCGCUGCCUCCGAGGCUGCCAUGUACUCCGCUUCACAUGUAGAUCCCGCCACGACGCUCUGCUUGCAGCUGCACCAGCUUACUGCUCCACCAUUCAACAUAUACACGUAUCCAGUUUGUGACUUAGAGUCAUCCAGAUCUGUGUCGAAGCUAGCGUCGACGUAACCCUUUACGGCGAGCUCUUCGUCACCUCCAUAAACGAGAAACAUGUCAUUUGUCCUUUUCAGGUACUUCAGGAUAUUCUUGACCGCUGUCCAGUGUUCCUUGCCGGGAUUACUUUGGUACCUUCCUACCAAACUUACGGCAAGGUUUACAUCAGGUCUGGUACACAGCAUGGCAUACAUAAUAGAUCCUAUGGCUGAGGCAUAGGGGAUGACGCUCAUCUCUUCUCUAUCUUUUGCCGUGGUCGGGCAUUGAGCUGAGCUCAAUCUCACACCCUGCAAUACAGGCAAGAACCCCUUCUUGGACUGAUCCAUUUUGAACUUCUUCAAAAUCUUAUCAAGGUAUGUGCUUUGUGAAAGACCUAUGAGGCGUCUUGAUCUAUCCCUAUAGAUCUUGAUGCCUAAUAAGUAAGCAGCUUCUCCAAGAUCCUUCAUUGAAAAACACUUAUUCAAGUAGGCCUUAAUGCUGUCCAAGAAUUCUAUAUUAUUUCCCAUCAAAAGUAUGUCAUCUACAUAUAAUAUGAGAAAUGCUACAGAGCUCCCACUCACUUUCUUGUAAACGCAGGCUUCUCCAUAAGUCUGCAUAAACCCAAACGCUUUGAUCAUCUCAUCAAAGCGAAUGUUCCAACUCCGAGAUGCUUGCACCAGCCCAUAAAUGGAUCGCUGGAGCUUGCAUACUUUGUUAGCGUUCUUAGGAUCGACAAAACCUUCCGGCUGCAUCAUAUACAGCUCUUCCUUAAGAUAACCGUUAAGGAAUGCUGUUUUGACGUCCAUCUGCCAUAUCUCAUAAUCAUAGUAUGCGGCAAUUGCUAACAUGAUUCGGACGGACUUAAGCUUCGCUACGGGAGAGAAAGUCUCAUCGUAGUCAAUCCCUUGAACUUGCCGAUAACCCUUAGCGACAAGUCGAGCUUUAUAGAUGGUAAUAUUACCAUCCACGUCUGUCUUCUUCUUAAAGAUCCAUUUGUUUUCUAUCGCUCGCCGAUCACCGGGCAAGUCAGUCAAAGUCCAUACUUUGUUCUCAUACAUGGAUUCUAUGUCGGAUUUCAUGGCUUCUAGCCAUUUGUUGGAAUCUGGGCCCGCCAUCGCUUCUUCAUAGUUCGAAGGUUCACCAUUGUCUAACAACAUGAUUUCCAGGACAGGGUUGUCGUACCAUUCUGGUGCGGAACGUGUCCUUGUGGACCUACGAAGUUCAGUAGCAACUUGAUCCGAAGUACCUUGAUCAUCAUCAUUAAUUUCCUCUUCAGUUGGUGUAGGCAUCACAGGAACAUUUUCCUGCGCUGCACUACUAUCCUGUUCAAGAGGUAGUACUUCAUCGAGUUCUACUUUCCUCCCACUUAUUUCUUUCGAGAGAAACUCCUUUUCCAGAAAGGAUCCGUUCUUGGCAACAAAGAUCUUGCCCUCGGAUCUUAAGUAGAAGGUAUACCCAAUGGUUUCCUUAGGGUAUCCUAUGAAGACGCAUUUUUCCGACUUGGGUUCGAGCUUUUCAGGUUGAAGUUUCUUGACAUAAGCAUCGCAUCCCAAAACUUUUAGAAACGACAGCUUAGGUUUCUUCCCAAACCAUAAUUCAUACGGUGUCGUCUCAACGGAUUUAGACGGUGCCCUAUUUAAAGUGAAUGUAGCUGUCUCUAGAGCGUAUCCCCAAAAUGAUAGCGGUAAAUCGGUAAGAGACAUCAUAGACCGCACCAUAUCCAAUAGAGUGCGAUUACGACGUUCGGACACACCGUUUCGCUGAGGUGUUCCAGGCGGCGUGAGUUGUGAAACGAUUCCACAUUUUCUUAAGUGUGUACUAAAUUCGUGACUUAAAUAUUCUCCUCCACGAUCUGAUCGUAAGAAUUUUAUCUUUCGGUCACGUUGAUUCUCUACUUCAUUCUGAAAUUCCUUGAACUUUUCAAAGGUCUCAGACUUGUGUUUCAUCAAGUAGACAUACCCAUAUCUACUCAAGUCAUCAGUGAGAGUGAGAACAUAACGAUAUCCUCCGCGAGCCUCAACGCUCAUUGGACCGCACACAUCGGUAUGUAUGAUUUCCAAUAAGUUGGUUGCUCGGUCCAUUGUUUCGGAGAACGGAGUCUUGGUCAUCUUGCCCAUGAGGCAUGGUUCGCAUGUGUCAAAUGAUUCAUAAUCGAGAGACUCCAAAAGUCCAUCAGCAUGGAGCUUCUUCAUGCGCUUGACACCAAUGUGACCAAGGCGGCAGUGCCACAAGUAUGUGGGACUAUCGUUAUCAACUUUACAUCUUUUGGUAUUCACGCUAUGAAUAUGUGUAACAUUACGCUCGAGAUUCAUUAAGAAUAAACCAUUGACCAUAGGGGCAUGACCAUAAAACAUAUCUCUCAUAUAAAUAGAACAACCAUUAUUCUCGGAUUUAAAUGAGUAGCCAUCUCGUAUCAAACGAGAUCCAGAUACAAUGUUCAUGCUCAAACUUGGCACCAAAUAACAAUUAUUAAGGUUUAUAACUAAUCCCGUAGGUAAAUGUAGAGGUAGCGUGCCGGCGGCGAUCACAUCGACCUUGGAACCAUUCCCAACGUGCAUCAUCACCUCGUCCUUCGCCAGUCUCUGCUUAUUCCACAACUCCUGUUGUGAGUUACAAAUAUGAGCAACGGCACCGGUAUCAAAUACCCAGGAGUUACUACGAGUACUGGUAAGGUACACAUCAAUUACAUGUAUAUCAAAUAUACCUUUAGUGUUUCUGGCCUUCUUAUCCGCUAAGUAUUUGGGGCAGUUCCGCUUCCAGUGACCCUUCCCCUUGCAAUAAAAGCACUCAGUCUCAGGCUUGGGUCCAUUCUUUGACUUCUUCCCGGCAACUGGCUUACCGGGCGCGGCAACAUCUUUGCCGUCCUUCUUGAAGUUCUUCUUACCCUUGCCCUUUUUGAACUUAGUGGUCUUAUUGACCAUCAACACUUGAUGCUCUUUCUUGAUUUCAACCUCUGCUGACUUCAGCAUUGAAAAUACUUCAAGAAUGGUCUUCACCAUCCCCUGCAUAUUGUAGUUCAUCACAAAGCUCUUGUAGCUUGGUGGGAGCGACUGAAGGAUUCUGUCAAUGACCACCUCAUCCGGGAGGUUAAUGUCCAGCUGGGACAGGCGGUUGUGUAACCCAGACAUUUUGAGUAUAUGCUCACUGACAGAACUGUUUUCCUCCAUCUUACAACUAUAGAACUUGUCGGAGACUUCAUAUCUCUCGACCCGGGCAUGAGCUUGGAAAACUAGUUUCAGCUCCUCGAACAUCUCAUAUGCUCCGUGUUGCUCAAAACGCUUUUGGAGCCCCGGUUCUAAGAUGUAAAGCAUGCCGCACUGAACAAGGGAGUAAUCAUCAGUACGUGUCUGCCAAACGUUCAAAUUGUCUUGCAGUGCUGGGAGAGCAGGUGGGUCACCUAAUGGUGCUUCUAGGACAUAUUGUUUCUUGGCAGCUAUGAGGAUGAUCCUCAGGUUCCGGACCCAGUCUGUAUAGUUGCUGCCAUCAUCUUUCAGCUUGGUUUUCUCUAGGAACGCGUUGAAGUUCAUGUUGACAUGAGUGUUGGCCAUUUGAUCUACAAGACAUAUUUUGCAAAAAGUUUUAGACUAAGUUCAUUAUAAUUAAGUUCAUCCAAUCAAAUUAUUUAAUGAACUCCCACUCAGAUUUGACAUCCCCUUAGUCAUCUAAGUGUUACACGAUCCGAGUCGACUAGGCCGUGUCCGAUCAUCACGUGAGACGGACUAGUCAUCGUCGGUGAACAUUCUCAUGUUGAUCGUAUCUUCCAUACGACUCGUGUUCGACCUUUCGGUCUCCGUGUUCCGAGGCCAUGUCUGUACAUGCUAGGCUCGUCAAGUUAACCCUAAGUGUUUUGCAUGUGUAAAACUGUCUUACACCCGUUGUAUGUGAACGUAAGGAUCUAUCACACCCGAUCAUCACGUGGUGCUUCGAAACGACGAACUUUAGCAACGGUGCACAGUUAGGGGAGAACACUUCUUGAAAUUGUUGUAAGGGAUCAUCUUAUUUACUACCGUCGUUCUAAGUAAACAAGAUGCAUAAAACAUAAUAAACAUCACAUGCAAUUAUAUAAAGUAGUGACAUGAUAUGGCCAAUAUCAUAUAGCUCCUUUGAUCUUCAUCUUCGGGGCUCCAUGAUCAUCUUGUCACCGGCAUGACACCAUGAUCUCCAUCAUCAUGAUCUCCAUCAUCGUGUCUUCAUGAAGUUGUCACGCCAACGACUACUUCUACUUAUAUGACUAACGCGUUUAGUAAUAAAGUAAAGUAGUUUACAUGGCGUUCUUCAAUGACACACAGGUCAUACAAAAAUAAAGACAAGUCCUAUGGCUCCUGCCGGUUGUCAUACUCAUCGACAUGCAAGUCGUGAUUCCUAUUACAAGAACAUGAUCUCAUACAUCACAAUAUAUCAUUCAUCAUUCAUCACAACUUCUGGCCAUAUCACAUCACAUGACAAUUGCUGCAAAAACAAGUUAGACGUCCUCUAAUUGUUGUUGUAUCUUUUACGUGGCUGCAAUUGGGUUCUAGCAAGAACGUUUUCUUACCUACAAAUAACCACAACGUGAUUUUGUCAACUUCUAUUUACCCUUCAUAAGGACCCUUUUCAUCGAAUCUGCUUCAACUAAAGUGGGAGAGACAGACACCCGCCAGCCACCUUAUGCAACUAGUGCAUGUUAGUCGGUGGAACCGGUCUCACGUAAGCGUACGUGUAAGGUUGGUCCGGGCCGCUUCAUCCCACAAUACCGCUGAAGCAAGAUAAGACUAGUAGCGGCAAGCAAGUUGACAAGAUCUACGCCCACAACAAAAUUGUGUUCUACUCGUGCAAUAGAGAACUACGCAUAGACCUAGCUCAUGAUGCCACUGUUGGGGAACGUUGCAGAAAAUUAAAAAUUUUCCUACGGUUUCACCAAGAUCCAUCUAUGAGUUCAUCUAAGAAACGAGCCAAGGGAGUGAGUUUGCAUCUACAUACCACUUGUAGAUCGCGUACGGAAGCAUUAGAUGAAGCGGUGAUGAUAGAGUCGUACUCGUCGUGAUUCAGAUCACCGGAGAUCCUAGCGCCGAACGGAUGGCACCUCCGCGUUCAACACACGUACGGAGUGUGUGACGUCUCUUCCUUCUUGAUCCAGCAAGGGGGAAGGAGAGGUUGAUGAUGAUGGCUCCAGCAGCAGCACAACGGCGUGGUGGUGGUGGAACAGCAGCACUCCGGCAGGGCUUCGCCAAGCACGUGAUGGAGGAGGAAGAGGUGUAGCAGGGGGAGGGGGCGCCAGGACUUCAGGGUGCGGCUGCCCCUUUCCCCCCUCCCUUUAUAUAGGCCCCCAGGGGGGGCGCCGGCCCUGGGAGAUUCAAUCUCCCAAGGGGGCGGCGGCCAAGGGGGGAGGAGUGCCCCCCAAGGCAUGUGGUGCGCCCCUCCACCCUAGGGUUUCAACCCUAGGUGCAGGGGGUGGGCCUAGGGGGGCGCACCAGCACACUAUGGGCUGGCUCCCCUCCCACUUCAGCCCAUGAAGCCCUCCGGGAUGGGUGGCCCCACCCGGUGGACCCCCGGGACCGCUCCGGUGGUCCCGGUACAAUACCGGGUGACCCCGAAACUUUCCCGAUGGCCGAAAUACCACUUCUUAUAUAUAAUUCUUUACCUCCGGACCAUUCCGAAACUCCUCGUGACGUCCGGGAUCUCAUUCGGGGACUUCGAACAACAUUCGAUAUACUGCAUACUCAUAUUCAUACAACCCUAGCGUCACCGAACCUUAAGUGUGUAGACCCUACGGGUUCGGGAGACACGUAGACAUGACCGAGACGGCUCUCGGGCAAUAACCAACAGCGGGAUCUGGAUACCCAUGUUGGCUCCCACAUGCUCCUCGAUGAUCUCAUCGGAUGAACCACGAUGUCGAGGAUUCGAACAACCCCGUAUACAAUUCCCUUUGUCAAUCGGUACGUUACAUGCCCGAGACUCGAUCGUCGGUAUCCCAAUACCUCGUUCAGUCUCGUUACCGGCAAGUCACUUUACUCAUACCGUAAUGCAUGAUCCUGUGACCAAACACUUGGUCACUCUGAGCUCAUUAUGAUGAUGCAUUACCGACUGGGCCCAGAGAUACCUCUUCGUCAUACAGAGUGACAAAUCCCAGUCUCGAUCCGUGUCAACCCAACAGACACUUUCGGAGAUACCUGUAGUGCACCUUUAUAGUCACCCAGUUACGUUGUGACGUUUGGUACACCCAAAGCACUCUUACGGUAUCCGGGAGUUACACGAUCUCAUGGUCUAAGGAAGAGAUACUUGACAUUGAAAAAGCUCUAGCAAAACGAACUACACGAUCUUGUGCUAUGCUUAGGAUUGGGUCUCGUCCAUCACAUCAUUCUCCUAAUGAUGUGAUCCCGUUGUCAAUGACAUCUAAUGUCCAUAGUCAGAAACCAUGACUAUCUGUCGACCAACGAGCUAGUCAACUAGAGGCUCCCUUGGGACAUGUUAUGGUCUAUGUAUUCACACGUGUAUUACGAUUUCCGGAUAAUACAGUUAUAGCAUGAAUAAAAGACAAUUAUCAUGAACAAGGAAAUAUAAUAAUAACUCUUUUAUUAUUGCCUCUAGGGCAUAUUUCCAACAGGGGGGGCUUGCCUGGUUGCUCUGGCAAGAAGGAGGGGUCAUCAACUCCGUAGUCGAACUGGGCAGCAACAACGUCGGUCUCGUAGUCUAUCGGAGAGAAGAGGGGGAAGAAAUAAUGAAUACAAUGCAAACAUAAGCAUGACGAUGCAUGACAUGACAAGUAACGGCACUCGGUGUGCCCUAACGCGGUAGUAGGUGGUACCGGCGAAAGGGGAAACAUCCGGGAAAGUAUCCCUGGGGUUUCGCGGUUUCGGACAAAUGAAUCAGAGGUGAAAUGUUGUAGGUUCACUAUGCUAGGGAUGCGUGGCGGACGAACGAGCUGCGUAUUCGGAUUCGUCUCGUCGUUCUGAGCAACUGUCCUGUACAAAGUUUUUCCAUCCGAGUUACAGAUUAUUUUAUAUUAAUUUUCAAAGUUUUACUCAUUUUCUGAAAUUAAUUUAAAUCUAAAAUAGAAGUGAAAUUACUAUGGGUACAUAGAAGUGUACCCACAUAUGUGCUACUAAGUCUGACAUGUGGGGCAGGGGCUGAGUCAGCCCAGUCAACUGUUGACUGGUCAACAAAGUCAAAGGGGCCUAGGAGGUCCCACCUGUCACCGACUAAGAGUGCCGAGUCAGCAGAGUUGACUAGUCAACUGGGUCCAGCGGGACCCAGUAGUUAGUGACUGUUUAUAAUAACAGGUUUUAUAUAAUUUAUUUAAACAAAUUAGUAUGUGGGUCGGGUUAUCAGUGACUACUCUAAUAACAAUGUUUAUUUUUUCUAACUAGCCUAAUUAGAGGCAGGGGCCACACGUCAGUGGGGGUUUAGUGGUUAAUCCCUGCGGGGUCCAUUUGUCGGUGGCCCACGGGGUGUUUCGAACGGCCGGCGUGCGCCGGUGACCAAACCGAUGGCGGCGACACGCCAGAGUGCAUCGAAAAAACGCACACCAAGCACCAUUUUGGAUGCGGCCAGAUGCGUUCGAACGCACGCAGCGGCGCGUCUCGAACGGGGGCUCUGCCUCGUCCGGAUAUGGUCGAGAACGACGACGGCGAUGAACUGAGGUGGCGGAAUCGAGCACAGGGGGAGAGGGGUUUCAUGGCGGAGCUCACAGUGGAGCCGUAGGGCGUGGCAGCAAGCUCGAGGGAGGCUCAGGGUGGCCGGAGUCGGCGGCGGCGUACGGCGGCACGAGGAGGAAGCCGAGCACUGGGCGACGUCGCAGGGGCGUCUUGACUCGUACGUGUGGUCGGGGCGAGGAAGUGGUCGACGACGAGGCGUGUGACGGGGCGGUCCGACGCGGCGAGGGCGGCGAAGGGGGUUGGCGAGGUCACCGACGGGAGGUAGGAGGCAGACGGGGCGAUGUGCUGCCCUGCUUGAGCGUGCAUGUGUCAUGUGUGUGUGUGGGAGGGAGGCGGCGUGGUUGGGGGCGGCGAGGCGCCGACGGGGAAGUGCUCCGGCGCGUAGUGGUGGCAAAGACAGGCGGAGCGGGAUCAAACAGAGGGAGGAGAGGCGUGCGAGGGGGUGUCGGGCACGAGGCGUUUUGCCUCUGGGUGUGCAGAGCGCGAGGGAUGGCGAGGGGAGUGAGGGGGUCGAGUGGGAGGAGUGGGGAGGUCGCUAGGGUUAGGUCUCAGGGGUGUGGGGGGCCAUAUAGGCCAAGGCUGGGCCGGCGCGCGUAUUGGCCUGCUAGGCCAAACGGCCCGGGGAGAGGGGGGGACUUUUUCUAUUUUUUGCAUUCCUUUUUCUAUUUUUCUACUUCUGUUUUAAUUCUAGUUUCUUUUAUGUUUAGUAUUAUAAACUAUAAAAAUAGUCUCUAAGUUAGCAUUACUAAAUAUAAUACUGCCACUACAAUUUGGGUACCCCAACUGAAAAAUAAUUUAACAUUUUACAAAUUAUAAGAGUCUUUUAAUAAUUGUUUUGCUGCUAUUUUAUUUAUUUUAAAGCAUUGAAGCAUUUUAUAACAAUGUGGUUUCUUCACCAUAUUUACUUAUGAAUUAUUUGGCUCGCACCGGACAUUUUAGUUUUAACAUUCGAAAACUUUUAUUGUUUGUUUGAUUUAGAAUUUGAAUCUGAACCGGUUUCGAACUAACGCGAGAUUAGCAAUAGAAAUCGGGAUGACAUGGCAUCAUGAGCAGAGGUUCGCUGUAGCUUAAAUAUCCGGGCGUCACAAUUCUCCUCCAACAAGAAUUCUCGUCCCGAGAUUUAAGUGGUAGGUUAAGGGGGAAAGAUUUGGUUACAAAAUUCUAACGAGUCUUCUCGGCCUUGGUUGCUCGUUUUGAAGAGGUCGAUCCAUCUAUCUAUUACAUAAUUAAGACAAGAGACAAAUAAGACACCACAAUCUUCCACAUACGCUAAAAUAAUUUAGGCCGUUGAUCGAUAAUAUUUACGGCCGAGAUUAAAUGAUAUUACGUUACAUGGCAAAAGUUAUGUUUGAACUGACACGUAUAAGGUGCAUAACUUUUUUUUGUAAAGAAAAGAUGAAUUUGCGUUGACAUGUGCACACACGUAUGGACGAUGGCAAAAAAAGUUUACGUCCAAAGCCAGCACGUACCAGAAUAAAUUUUUUUUCAAGAAAUCCAUGUCCUACUAGGACACGUACAUAAGACAGAUUUAGUUACAGAAAAAGCACAUAUAAAAAAGGAAUUCUAUGUUCAAAAAAAUAAAAAAAGUAUUCUGACUAACAAUGAGUCAUGUUUGACACGCCCAAAAAAUUGUCUAUCAUAGGCAUCUACGGAACCAGAUCAAGUCAUAGAUAUCCUUCCUUCUUCAACCUCUAUUCAUCUCAUCGAGUAAAUUGCACAGAAGUGCCACAGUUGGGGCAUUGAAAGCAGAUUGGUAUCAAGAUUGGUAAUUUUUUCGUGUCAGUAUCAACUUUAGGGCGAGACGUUGCAAAAAAAGUUAAAACUGUUGUUUAUAUGUAUUGACAGGGAAACUAAUCGGUUGGGCCCGCCUGUCAGGUACCGACGUGGCAUGUUUUUUGCAGAAAACUCCCUUUCUUUGUACGUAAUCACAUAAAUGCCCAAUUAUUUCGCCUGUAAGAGCCUUUUUUUUCCGUUCAUAAUUUCCACCACGAUUUGGACUCGUUUGAGAAUUUGCAUCGGUUUGAACAAAUAAAUAAAACAAACCAAAAUUGAAUCCCGCGCAGGAUUCGCCGACCCGUGGUUAAGCAGAGCAGUGCGCUAGCCACCCGGCCACGGCAACGCACGCGACGUACAGCAGGCUAGAGCCUUUUUAUACUAGCCCGAAGACGUUGGGCCGGCGGUUGGCCCAGCGAGGCUGCACACUGGUUUAUUGUUUUUUUAAUCAUGAAUAUUAAUACAUAUAUUUUUUGCGAUUACAUAUCUAUAGUACCUAAAUAGUUCAUCCCCACUACUUGAUUUUUCUUGACAUGCAAGCUACCCACAUCAGCAAUCACAUGCAGCCAUCCAACUCAGCAAACCUGCCACUUCAGCAAAAAGAAUUCCACGGAAAAAAUCAUGGGAUUUAAUUAUUCACACAUCGGUUCCUCUUCAACUUCUGAAACUGACAAGAUAGUUUAUCUACACUUUAAGAGCCAAAGACACCCUGUUUUAUUCUCAGCUCCCCACCGUAUCUACUUCUCUGCGGUCUGUACGUCUCAUAUUCUUCUCUUCAUUCAGAAAUUUUGAAGCCUCCAUUGAAGAAGGGCAGCAGCUACGAGCUCAUGCUGCCCCACUCGAUGGAAGACGACCCAGCCCCAACACCCUCUCCUAGGUCUGGCUGCCCUGGCCUCUAGCUUCUCUGACGGCCUGAAUUUUCGCUGCAGAAAUGGGGCCGUUGUUCCAUUCCCGACCCUAGGACUCUACACACCGUUCCUCUACAAAGGAGCGAGGGCCUCGCCUAGAUCCAGUUGUGUGGCUGCGCCGUGGAAUCACACUUCUUCCGAUUAAUUUGAUGACCGCGCCAAGAAUCCGCGACCACGACCACUGCGUCCCGGCGCGGUGCCAAAUUCGGCCAAUUCCACGGCGCCACUUUUUCUUCCCAUGUAUCAAUUCCCAGAAGGGGGCCUAUGAAUAUGUCUUUCUGCUUCCAUGCCUCUGCUGCGAAGGGGGAAGGGUUAAGGCAGAUGAUGGACUCUGUUUUCCAACAUCACCCGAUGCACCGCCGCUUACACCAUCGCUCUCCUCUACUAAGGUUCGUACACCGUCUCUGAUAUACAAGUUGCUAUCUGUCGAUUUGCUUGCUAAACGUGGGACCUUCUGUUCUUGUGCGCAGGACGAAAAGGUCAUCGCAUUUCAGUACAUCAAUCCCUCGGCGUUCAGGAUGGCGUAUUGCUUCUGUUCAUUGCGUGGAAGUGGAACAGUUGGCCAGCAUCACGAGAAUUGGUCUUAACAAGCUUCCGUAUGGUCCCUAUUUGGGAUUGAGCGAUGACAUACAUACGGCCUAUUUGUGUCUGGUUUUUUUUUAAGACGAUUCAAAUCUGUUGUCCAUUGAUUUCUUGGAUGGUGUGGGAAAAAGACACAUCAUUUCAUUUGGAUUUUAUUUUACCAUUUGUGCCUCUGCCCCGCACACCUUGAACACUCUCAGUCCAGGCUAACAACACUUAGUGCUCCAGAUGGAUUUCACUAUGAGUCUCUUUCACUUGGAUAUAAGAUAGUGUAUACCAUUUUAGAUUAUACAAUGUGAUUUUGAUUUAUUUUUUUGUACACCAUCAGCCCACCAUCCAUCCAUGGGUGCAGCUCCAACAUCGGCGAACUUGAGGUCACCGGGCACCGGUCAGAAGAGGUGAGACCCGGAAAAUAACUUCAACUUAUUUGCACGAUUCAAUCUUUAGACUAGAAGUAAUUUCAAAAUUGAGGGGAAAAUACAGUGAGUUUAUCUUUCGUAAAUGCAAAAUAGUGAGGAUCUUUGAAGAAACUAAAACAUCGAAACUCAGGGCAGACUAGAUCGAGUCCAUUCAGAUCACAGCACAUAUUAUUUCAUUUGAUUCUAACCUAUCCUAUGUACACUAUCAACACCAAUCAGGGCCCUUUUGCUGUGUGUUUAUUUGUGCUAUAAUCAAAGUACUCUAUGAUCUUCAGAGAACUAACUCUUAGUGAAAUUGAUUCUGACAUAUCAUAUAUAGACUGCCAGCACCAAUCAGCACACUAAUUUACUGGUUGUUUAUUUGUGCUAUAAAAGUAGUACUCUGAUCUUCAGAGUUCCAACUAUGCAAGAAAGUAAGCAUUUGUCUGUAACACUUGACCUUGGUAAACUAAAACAUCCAAACAACGGAAAGAUUAUUAUCAAUAAGAAACUUCAGAAAUUUUCUUCCGGUUAUGAUAAUAUUUUCUAAUUAAUUCACACCCAUGUUUUCCUUAAAAAUAUGGAUGCCAGUUCCUUUCUUAAUUCUUUUCUGGUUUACUGGUUUUCUUCUUUCGAUUUUGAGCGAUUAUGUUUACACAAGGUCUUAUAUUGUUGUGUUAUGCUUAUCUUGCAACUAUUAUAUUUAUUUUGUACAUAUUUGUUGAGCCCUAUUUUCAUGUCCACUAAUAAGAAAGUCAAAUUUAUCAGCACUAACCGUGUUUACUUCUCCAUUUCCCGAUUCUAGGAUCUUGCUACCACGGCCGGACAAAGCAACUAGGUAGACCAAGGUAUCUCUCCAAGUAAACUAACCCAUUUCUAUUUCCCAAUUUUCUUCUAGAUGUGCAAACGUUCACUCGGUCUUAUUGAAACUCGGUUCUAAUGCUAUUGGCUGGCUCAUAAUUGUGUUAUUUCCUAUAACCUUUCCCUGCCUAACAUACUUCAUGCAAGUAUGGUAUUAGGACACAAGGGUGUCAAACUGCACAUGUUUUGUGCUGAUGGAUAUAAGAUCUUAGCUCUUUUUGGUGCAAUUAUUCUCUCGAAGUUGUGUACAUUAAUAUUUUUACUAUGGCCUUUAUCAUCACAGCCAUAUUCUGUAUGCCCUAAUUUAUGAAAGCAUUCAUUCAUUUUGUUUUGAGUGAUUCGCAUCAGUACUUUCUUUUAUCAAUUGAGUGUUCUUUUAAUACGAUUCUUCUAAGACAUCAAUGUCAACCUUUCUGUGCUGAUAUGUGUCACUCCGAUAAUUUUCACACUACAUGUUUUCAUUUGUGUAUCCUUCUAUAUCAGUGUUAAGUUCCGCCGCAACGCGCGGGAUAUCCUCUAGUUAGUAUUAUUAAGUGUCAAGCACCAGACUAGAAUACAGGCAUGGCCCAAAUUUAAUGUGUCUGCGCUGAGGACCACAACCAUGCACAAUUACUAUGUAUCCUAAUUAUAUUAUUCAAAUACACAACUUUAAUAAAAAUAUGCCCAACACACAGAAUUUUAUUUGAGUUACUCGCAUAUUGAUUGUAUUUUUUUAAAAUGCACUGUUACUUAAAAAGUUGACAACAUGUAUAAAAAAUAAAUGUGUAAUCAUAAUAAAUUUUAGAAAUGCCUUAAAACUAUUCAACUUUUAUUAAAAAAAUCGACCUGUCUCUUGAAUUGCAAGAAUGAUUUACAUAAUAAGUUUUUAACACAUGCUGAACAUUUCUUGAAAUACAAAUAAUUCACCAUGUAUUAAGAAAAUGUUCACCAUAAUGCUCUUGAAACUCAUCGUGUAUUAAGAAAAUGCUCAACAUAAAUUACAAAAAAAAUCACCGCACAUUAAGUAAACUUUUCUUCAUAUCUUAAGAAAAUAUUCCAACAUAUAUUACAAAAAUAUUCAAUUUGCAUUCAAAAUAUGUUCAACGUUCAUAUUAUAAGAAAAGUGUUCAGCGUUUCUAAAGAAAAGUUCAUCGUGCAUUAAAAAUGUUCACUGUAAAUUAAGAAAUUAUGUAAUCAUAAUAUUCAUGAAAAUCAUCGUGUAUUAAGAAAAUGUUCACCAUAAAUUACGAAAAUUUCACCGCGCAUUAUGCAAAUUUUCACCAUAUACUAAAACCCGUCAUAAAAAAUAUUCAGUAAAUAUGUUAAAAAUCCAGGAGAAAACCAACUAGUGAAUGAAAAAGAAAGAAAGAAAAAGCAAAGAAGGAAAACCUAAAAUAAGCCAAAACUAGAAACAAAAAAAUAAAGCAUAAUGAGUAAGAAAAAUGAAACAUAAAGAAAUCUGGGCAAUGAAUGAGCCCCAGCACGCGCGCCAGGUAGGUGCGAAACCAAAAAAAAUUGCAGGCCUCGGUGGGCCGGCCCAGCGUUGCUGAGCUAGUAUAAAAAGACCUCGCCUGCUUUAUGCGAAAUCACUAAUUAAGGAGUACUCCUUGCGGAGAUCACUCCAACUUCCCCAGGUUGCGACAAGUGGCGUGCUGCUUGUGCGCCACUUGUCGCAACCUGGGAGUUUUCCCUUUUUUCGUAGAUCUGUUUAUUCAAAAUGUUUUAUCUCUUAAACCGUGCGUCUAAAUCUCGAACCGCUUUCGCCAUUGGAUUCCUCGCGUCGAGAUCUUCAAAAUUAGAUCCCAUGUUGAUAGGUUUUGACGAACUUUUUUUCCAGAGAAAAACCGACGAAAAAACCGAACCGGGAACACGGAUUUUUUUCCCUUUCCGAAAGAGGCACGCCCCGUGCCUCUCACGAAAGCACAAUCGUGCAUCUGGCGGAAGCAAAACCGUGCCUCUCGCGAAAGAAAAAAAACAGAAAACACGUUUUUUCCCUUUCCGACAAAAGGCACGCCCGUGCCUCUGGCGAAAGCGCAACCGUGCCUCUAGCGAAAGCAAAACCGUGCCUCUCGCGAAAGAAAAAAAAAAUAGAAAACACAUUUUUUCUUUUCCGAAAGAGGCACGCCCGUGCCUCUCGCGAAAGCACAACCGUGACUCUGGAGGAAGCAAAACCGUGCCUCUCACGAAAGAAAAUAAACAGAAAACGUGUUUUUUUCUUUUCCGAAAGAGGCACGCCCGUGCCUCUCGUGAAAGCACAACCGUGCCUCUGGCGGAAGCAAAACCGUGCCUUUCGCGAAAGAAAAAAAAUACAGAAAACGCGUUUUUUUCCUUUCCGAAAGAGGCACGCCCGUGCCUCUCGCGAAAAAAAAUUGCAUUUUUUUGCGCAAAAAAAUUAUUUUUCUUUGAUUUUUUUUGAUCGAAAAGCUAGGGAAGACCGGUAGAAAACCAAAACGUCAAAAAAAAACCCGAAAAAAAACUUUUAAAAAGCCGAAAACGCAUGCGUAAAAAUAAAAAAAUAAAAUCCAGAGGGAGUAUCCAGAGCGCGACACGUGGCGAAUGGCUGUGAGCGUGCCAAGUGGCGCUGAUCGUUGCGAGGCUCCCGAAGGAGCACUCGUUAAUUAGUUGCUCCCUGCUUUAUGUCGCGAGCGAUGCUCUGGCGGGGUGGCUAGCAUGCGGCGCUGCGGAACAGCAAGUCGGCGGUUCAAAUCCUGCACGGGAUUUAAUUUUGGUUUGUUUUAUUUGUUCCAAAUUUUUAAACGAGUCCAAAUCGGUGGUGGAAAUUACGAACGAAAAAAGGCUCUUAUAGGAGCUUUUUUCCCCGAAAUAAUUGGGCAUUUAUGGGAUUACGUACAAAGCAAGGGGUUUUUCUGUAAAAAAACAUGCCACAAUAGCACCCGACAAGCGGGCCCAACCGGUCAGUUUUCCUGUCAAUACGUAUAAACAGUAGUUUUAGCCUUUUUUGUAACCUGCGCGGGAUUUAAUUUUGGUUUGUUUUAUUUGUUUGUUCAAACCGACGCAAAUUUUCAAACGAUAAUUUUGGUUUGUUUUAUUUGUUCGUUCAAACCGACGCAAAUUUUCAAACGAGUCCAAAUCGGUGGUGGAAAUUACGAACGAAAAAAAGGCUCUUAUAGGAGUUUUUUUUUGAAAUAAUUGGGCAUNNNNNNNNNNNNNNNNNNNNNNNNNNNNNNNNNNNNNNNNNNNNNNNNNNNNNNNNNNNNNNNNNNNNNNNNNNNNNNNNNNNNNNNNNNNNNNNNNNNNNNNNNNNNNNNNNNNNNNNNNNNNNNNNNNNNNNNNNNNNNNNNNNNNNNNNNNNNNNNNNNNNNNNNNNNNNNNNNNNNNNNNNNNNNNNNNNNNNNNNNNNNNNNNNNNNNNNNNNNNNNNNNNNNNNNGUCAAUAUGUAUAAACAGUAGUUUUAGCCUUUUUUGCAACCUGCGCAGGAUUUAAUUUUGGUUUGUUUUAUUUGUUCGUUCAAACCGACGCAAAUUUUCAAACGAGUCCAAAUCGGUGGUGGAAAUUACGAACAAAAAAAAGGCUCUUAUAGGAGAUUUUUUUCCCUGAAAUAAUUGGGCAUUUAUGGGAUUACGUACAAAGCAAGGGGUUUUUCUGUAAAAAACAUGCCACAUCAGCACCCGACAGGCGGGCCCAACCGGUCAGAUUUCCUGUCAAUACGUAUAAAAGUAGUUUUAGCCUUUUUUGCAACCUCUCGCCCCAAAAUUGAUACUGCCACGUAAAAAUUAUCAAUCUGCUUCCAAUGUCCGAAUUGCGGUACUUCUUUGUAAUUUACUCCAUCUCAUCUCAUCUCAUAAAAAAGAACUCCACCGAUCUCUCAGCCAGGUUACAAUAGGUGGUAAGGAAACAACCAGCAGGUGCUCAGGACUCACACGAGCACCUAAUUGGGCUCCUAGCACAAGAACCCGCUGAUCUCCCAAUUAUAACAGAGGCUUGCCUUCAAUUCUCACAAACGUGAUCUGAUAAAAAUCAGGGACGCCUCUCCGCUGGAAACCAGCGCGGGAGCAAAGAACCCUAGGCUCACCUAGGGAGAGAAAACAACCUGUGUCACAGGUACGAAUACGUUACAGGGCCAGCACUAACAGUGUGGGAAGUUGUCCCCGCAUCGGUCCGUCCGCUGCGUGACGGUUCUAGGUCCCUCCAGUGACUGAGGAGCAGGUUCCGGCGAGUCCGGACGCGUUUCAAUCUCUCCAGCUCAAAUUUCCCUCACACAAUCACACAUCUUUCCACUUCCAAUCCAAAUCUUUCUCUCACCAGAUCCAGUUAGUUGCUGCUUCCCAGCAAACCUGGUUCUUCUUUUCCAAAUCCAAGAGACGAGCGACCUAGUUUCCACCUGACAAAGCUCUAAAAAAUCUCGAUUCCCCGAUCCCACUAACUCAGCCACCAAAUAAAUCUUCCGCGUUGUAACUAGGGGGCGCGAUUGAACCCUUCUGAAGCCCUAGUUGGGAGGAGUCCGGCGGCGGAGAAUCGGCGGAGGUGGGUGUUGCAGGAGGCGGCGCCCACAGGAGGCGGUGAUCUGUACCAGCGGUACUCUGCACCAGAGGCACUUUUUAAGCAAGGAUCCCAGGUUCAAGAUGGAAGGAGUUGAGAGGAAACUGAAGACAUUGCAACUUUCUAAAGCUGAAAGGAAAGGGGUUAAACUAAGUAAACGAAGCACGGGUUCCUCUCUCAAUGCGAAAGCACAAGCAGUCGGGAAAUUGAUGUCAAACAGACCAGCUAGAGUGGAUUCCUUGGUGAGUACUCUUGGCUGGAUUUGGUGCCCCUUCAGAGGAAUAGAGUGUAAAGAUUUAGGGAUGAACAUAUUCCUGUUUACCUUCAGAGAAGAAGGGGGGAAGAUGAAAGCUCUAACCAGUGGCCCCGAUGUUUAAUAAAUCCCUGCUGGUGUUAGAAGAUUUCAAACCCAACAAAACACUAGAGGAGUAUCAAUUCAAAUCCCGAUUUGGGUUAGAGCAGAUGGAAUCCCGAUGGGCAUGAUGGACAGGGAAAAUGGGGAGGCCAUCGGAAAGGAAAUUGGCGAGGUCAUUGAUGUGGAUGUUGAUGAGAAUGAGAUGGCGACUGGGGAAUUCAUGAGAAUAAAGGUCAAGUUAGAUAUUACUAAACCUCUUAUGAGAGGGAUAACAAUUAUAGUAGAUGAUGAUGAGGAGGAAGAAGAGGAAGUUGAAGAUAGAGAAUUGCUAGAGGAUGUGGAUGAAUUGCAAAACAAGAAGAAAAAGGAGCGUGUUGUAUCUUUUAAAUACGAGUUCUUGCCUGAUUUCUGUUAUGCUUGUGGUGUAAUUGGCCACCAAGACAGGUACUGCGUAGCUCUAGUCAAAGCAAGGAAAGGUGAUUAUGGACCAUGGAUGAAAGCAGAGAUCGUGAAGCGGAAUUCUAGCGAUGAGGAGAAGAGUAGGAGUUCAAAUGACAGAGCGGGCUUCUGGACAAACAAUAGUGAAGGGGGCCGAGGAAGUAAGAAAGGCAGUGAUGCUAUCUCAUGGAAGAAAAGCUCGACAAGCCAAGAAGGAGAGGUAAGAGCUAAAGCAAAUGAGGAAAAGGAAGUUACCAGCCCCAUGAAAAUUGGAAAUGGAGUUACUGAACAACGAGUAAAAGGGAAGAUACUUGACUUUAAUGAAGAAACACAGGAUAAACUCCUGAAGGAGAAGAUGGAAACCUUUGCGGACAAGCGAAAUAAUGAAGGAAAUAAACAAGAAGCAAUGGUUGUUGACAAAGGAGCAGCAAAAGAGCAGGGUGAGAAUAGGGCAGGAACUGACAUGGGACAACCAAAAGGAGAGAAUGCACAACAUGAAGCAGCUGAAUUGUUAAGUAAGGAUAUAACCAGGAAGGUAGAGAAAGAAGCAGGGGUGGCACAAAGAGACUAUGGAAAAUGUGCAAGUGAGGACAAUGCUCAGGAGAGUAGGAAGAAGAGCAAGAAAGUAACCAUCAAGAGGCAAGAACGGACAAAGAGCGCCCAGGAACAAACCAAGUUGAUCCCAGACUCAAGGAAGCAUGGUACGGACUACAUGGAGAUAGAUGAUACACUAGAACCAGGGAAAAAGCAAGUAUGGAGGUGAUGAUAGCUGAAACAACUACUGGAGAGGAAAAAGGAACAAGUACGGUUGAAGAGCCUAAACUUGACUUGAAAGCGGGAUUGGCGGACCAAUCCCACAGGGCCCAAUGAGGAUAACGACCUGGAACUGUCGGGGGUUGGGGAACGGCCUGGCAGUGAGAGGGCUUCUGGAUCUACAGAAGUGGGAGGACCCCGACAUUCUCUUCCUGUCGGAAACAAAGCUAGACAGGAAGCGAAUGGAGAGUUUUAAAUGGAAGCUAGGUAUGAGCAAUAUGAUCGCAAGGAGUUGUGAAGGGAAAAGCGGAGGUUUGGCUUUAUUGUGGAAGAAAGAUGUCAAUAUUGAGCUUCGUAGCCUCUCAAGAUACCACAUAGAUGUGGAAGUUAUUGAGGGAGACGAAUUCAGAUGGCGGUUUACUGGGAUUUAUGGGGAACCAGCAAGCCAAAGGAAAAAUGUGACAUGGAGAUUGCUAAACAUCUUGAAUCAACAGCUGAGACUACCGUGGCUAUGUGCCGGGGAUUUUAACGAAGUACUAUAUACCCAUGAGAAAAGGGGUGGGCCUGAUAGACCACAAGCAGCAAUGGAGAGAUUUAGGUUAGCACUAGCUGAAUGUGGCCUCAGAGAUUUAGGAUACACAGAGAUAAAUUCACGUGGCGAAAUCACAGUCACAUAGCCAGCAAAUACAUCAAGGAAAGGUUGGAUAGAGCAGUCGACAAUCAAGACUGGUGCAACAAGUUCACUUCGUACAAAGUUGUAAAUGGGGAUCUGAGACAUUCAGACCAUCGCCCAAUCACCAUCUGGUUAGAGGGUAAAAAUAAUCAAGCUAUGGCAAGAAAUCAUGAGAAGAGUUUCAGAUUUGAAGCAAGGUGGAUACAAGAAGAGGGCUGUGAGGAAGUGAUAAAAAAUGCAUGGAUUGCAGCUGGCCGACAAGGAGAAAACAACACUUCAGGAAAAUUACAAGUAGUGGCUCGAGAACUAAAAGACUGGGACACCAAUGUUUUGGGUGAACUAGAUAAGAGGAUCAAAGAGCUUAAAACUGAACUGGAAGUGGUAAGAAGAGGGACAUAAAUCAAGAAAAGGUGUCUCGGGAGCAUUUUCUAAAAGAGAAACUAGAAAGACUAGAGAGCCAGAAGGAUAUAUAUUGGAGGCAGCGAGCGCAUGUCAAAUGGCUUGAAUACGGGGAUAAGAACACCGCCUUUUUUCACGCCUUUGCUUCAGAGAGAAAAAGGAGAAACAAUAUAAGCAAAUUAAAAAGAGAGGAUGGUAGUUGGGUGGAGGGCGAAGAACGACUAAAAGAUCAUAUCGCAGGUUAUUUUUACAACUUAUUUACCUCAACUACAGACCAAAACAAUGAUGCCAUCUUACAGACGAUCACUCCAAAAGUCCACCAAGGCAUGAAUGAAGCUCUGUGUGCGGAAUACACGGAGGAGGAAGUAAGAAGAGCUCUUUUCAGCAUUGGAGAUCUAAAAGCACCAGGGCCUGAUGGAAUGCCAGCAAAUUUUUUCAAGAGAUUUUGGGAUAUUGUGGGAAGCCAAGUAACAAGAGAGGUGUUGCAUGUUCUGAAUGGUGGAGAUAUGCCAGAAGGUUGGAACAACACGACAAUUGUGCUGAUCCCCAAGACAACAAGAACAGAAAGCGUGAAGGAUUUAAGACCCAUAAGUCUCUGCAACGUCUUAUAUAAAGUGGUAUCAAAGGUAAUUGCAAACAGACUCAAACUUGUCUUACCUGACAUCAUCUCUCCAAAUCAAAGCGCAUUUGUACCAGGCCGAAUGAUUUCCGAUAACAUUUUGCUUGCUUAUGAAUUAACACACUUUAUUAAAAGAAGAAGAUCUGGACCAAAAGGUGUUGCUGCAUUAAAACUGGACAUGAGCAAAGCAUAUGAUAGAGUAGAAUGGAAGUUUCUUGAAGACAUGAUGAUAAAACUAGGAUUUAGAAGGGUCUGGGUCCAGCUGAUAAUGAAGUGCAUAACUAGUGUAAAAUACCAAAUUAAGGUAAACCAGGGCAAAACUGAUGUGAUCGUACCUCAGAGGGGACUACGCCAAGGAGAUCCUUUAUCCCCAUACCUGUUUUUGUUUUGCGCUGAAGGUUUCUCUGCAAUGUUGAAUGAAGCUGAAGCAAAUGGAAGGCUCAGAGGCAUAAGAAUAUGCAGAAAUGCCCUUAGUGUUAGCCACCUCCUCUUUGGGGACGACUCAUUAUUGUUAAUGGAGGCAAGUGAGGGAGCAGCACAAGAGAUAAACAGGAUAUUAAGUACAUAUGAACAGUGCUCACGGCAAAUGAUAAACAAGGACAAAUCAUCAAUAUUCUUUAGCAAAAACACGGAUGAGGGACGGAAAAACAAUAUGAAGAGGAUCAUGGGCAUCAAUGUGGAGGGCUUAACCGGAAAAUACUUAGGCCUUCCUACAUAUAUUGGUAAAGGAAAAGCAAAGAAUUUUAGCUAUAUUCGAGAGAAGGUCUGGAAAAAGAUACAGGGAUGGAAGGAGAAAUUGUUGUCAAAAGCAGGGAAAGAAAUAUUGAUAAAAGCUGCAGCACAGACAAUUCCAGUGUAUGCAAUGGGGUGCUUGGACCCGACCAAGACCUUCUGUGACGACCUGAGUGCUCUCACAGGACGCUAUUGGUGGAGCCAAAUGGACAAGACCAAUAAAAUCCACUGGAUUAGUUGGGAAAAGCUAUCAAAGCCGAAAACAGAUGGAGGUUUGGGUUUUCGGAAUCUGCACUAUUUCAAUCUAGCUAUGUUGGCUAGACAAGCAUGAAGAAUCCUACAGAACCCCCAUUCCUUGUGCUCCCAAGUGCUGGCUGCCAGAUAUUUCCCAAAUGGAUCAUUGCUUGAGGCUAUCCCUUGUGCAGGUAUUUCCUAUACUUGGCGAAGCAUAAUAAAAGGCAUACAAUUGCUGAAGAAAGGGAUAAUAUGGAGAGUGGGAAACGGGGAAAGGAUCAAAAUAUGGACUGAUCAGUGGAUUCCUAGAGGAAGCACAAGGAGGCCCAAUACACCAAAAGGUAACCAUCUGGUGGACAAAGUAGCUGAUUUGAUCAACCCGAUAACAAACCAAUGGGAUAUGCAGCUCGUACAACAGACCUUCUCGGCUGAGGAUGCAAACCUCAUCAUGCGAAUACCCAUUCAAGAAGAUACAGGUGAUUUCAUCGCAUGACAUUAUGAUAAAAAAGGAUCAUUUUCUGUUAAAUCAACUUAUAAGGUGGCUGUAGAUAGUGCAGCUAGAGAUUCUGUAUCAGGGCUAACUUCUUCUUCCACUGCAGAAGAGGAAAUCUCAAACUUCAAAUGGAAGAAGUUAUGGGCGAUCCCUCUACCAAACAAAGUACUGCACUUCUUAUGGAGAGUUGCAACGUACAACCUUCCCUUGCGAAUGAAACUUCAUGGAAAAGGUAUUCUUGUUGAUACUAGGUGCCCUCUUUGUUAUAGAUUGGAUGAGGAUGGAGGCCACCUCUUUUUUAAAUGCAAAAAAGUUAAAAGUCUCUGGAGAGCGUCCCAACUUGAACACAUCAGACUAAAGCUAGUCGAAUGUCAUGACCCAAAGGAAGUUUUCGAAAACAUUUUCACUUUAACAAAAACCGAGUGCUUGAAAGUUUGCUUACUUUUAUGGUUAUGGUGGCAUGAAAGAAAUAAAGCUAAUAAGGAUGAACCCACUAGAAGUAUACAGGAAGUAUCAUCCUCAAUUGACUAUCAUCUGAACAUGUGCAUGAAGGACAAGACGAAGGCGGAAGAGAUGAGCAAGCAAGAGGAACAUAAGUGGAAGCCACCUCCGAUGGGAAUUCUCAAGAUAAACACAGAUGGAUCCUUUAUUGAAGAUACACAAUCAGGAGGCUGGGGUUUCACCAUCAGGAAUGACCAAGGAACGCUCCUGGCGGCAGGUGCAGGGAAACUGAGUCAUGUCUCCAGUCCAUUGCAUGCUGAAGCUUUGGCCCUUCAGCAAGCAACUAUUACUGCUACUCAUUUGGGCUGCCAACAAGUGAUAUUUGAAACAGAUUCCACAACACUGAAGGAAGCAAUAGCAAGUAGCAACUAUGAUCUUUCAGCUUUAGGCACUUUGUUUACAGAUGUGAAGUUUAAGAUGUAUGUAGGUCUGAAUGUUGUAAGUGUGGAUUAUUGUAGCCGUGAUUGUAAUAAAGCAGCACAUAUAUUAGCUGCGAGUGGAGUCUGUAUGGAGAGUGGCUGCUAUGCGACCUGGCUUGGCCACUUUCCGCAACCUGUACUAGACGCUGUUGCUGGUGAUAUGGCCAGCGAGUAAUCGUAAUAGAAUUCUGUCUUUAAAAAAAAAGAAUACGUUACAGGGCCCAGAAGCCGCAAGCAGGCAAAAAAUGAAAAAGCAGCCAGCCAGCAAAGGAGGUGGACGCCAACCGCGGCGGUGGUGAAGGUAAUCCUACAGCCGAAGCAGCCAGCCGGGAAAUGAAGUGGACGCCGGCGGUGGCGUCGACGAAGGUAACCCUGCAGCCGUCUCAUUCACAUCGUACACAUGCGUCGUCGUAGCAUGCAACCAGGCACGAGCGGUUCCAUGUUAUGUUAUACCUGAAAUCUUAAAAGUGCACGCUCACUUUUUCGUAGGAACGGGCGGCCGGGCUGGUUACUUACAUGUGUGUCUUUUUUUGUCAGCUAGUGAAUGUUUUUUGUUAGCAUUAAAUGCGUACAGACUAGUUCUGAAAACAGAUUCACGCACAUUUAUUUUGGCCACUUCAAUUUUUAAAAAGUCGUAUCUUUUAAACCACACGUCGGAAUUCAGAUCCGUCUUCACCGUUGGAUUCAUCGCGACGAGAUCUUCGAAACUAGAUCCCGCAUGGAUAUGUUUCGACGAAAUUUUUUUGAUGCCAACUUUGGCGCUGUAUUGUGCAACUUCAGUACUGCUUUGUGCAACUUUAGUACUGCAUGGUGCAAUUUUUUUCAAACCCAGUUUUUUGAAGCUGCAUCCUCAGUAGUUGUCGUUGCACACAUAGUAGUCCUAGUUGGCACAUACAUGGCCACAUAGUUGCAUAAUCUGGUCCGCAUAGUCGCAUAUGAAUUAUCAUAGCUUGUAAUGUAGUCUAGUUGCACACACAUUGAUGUUUAGUUGGCUUGUAACGUAGUCUAGUUACGCACACAUUGAUGUUUAGUUGGCAGGAAGACUAGUUGCACACACAUAUGCUUAGUUGGCUUGUAAUAUAGUCUAGUUGCACAUACAUUGAUGUUUAGUUGGCAGGACACUAGUUGCACAAGCAUUAAUAUUUAGUUGGCAGGACUAGUUACACACACACAUAUACUCAGUUGGCACGGCAAUGUAGUCUAGUUGCAUAAUGCAGUACUAUAGUUGCACCAUAUAGCACCAAAGUUGGCAUCAAAAAAAAUUCGUCGAAACAUACCCAUAUGGGAUCUAGUUUCGAAGAUCUCGUCGCGAUGAACCCAAAGGUGAAAACGGAUCUGAAUUCCAACGUGUGGUUUAAAAGAUAUGACUUUUUAAAGAUUUAAGAGACGAAAAUAAAUGUGUUUCACGGACCCGUCUAUACGCAUUUGCUAUACGCAUUUAAUGCUAAUAAAAACACCCAUUAACUAACAGAAAAAGACACACAAUAGAUAAUUGCUAUUUAUAAAUUAUUAGAGGACCAAAACUUGCAAUUUUGGACCGGCCGCUCGCAAAGUAUAGUGAGCAGCCGGCCGCUCGCUAGACCGGUCCUAUGUUAUAACCGUUAUGCUCAAGUCAGGAUAGAGUGCACACGUGUUGGGCUAUCUUAGUGGACGAUGCAUGCCUAAUGCUCUUUAUCUACAAAUUCUCGAAAAAAAAACAAAUUUUUUUGUUCAGGUACAUCGUUUAAUUGAUGAAAAAAUACAACCUAAUUUAUCUAUGAUCAAAGUUGAAGAUAUAAUAAAUAUGAACGCAUGUCAGUUCUCAGCCAUGGGAAUUUUUUUGGUAGAGAGGGGUGUCUGAACCAUGGAGUUCAAAUAUAAAAUUUAUCCAUAAAGGUGAACAUCAACUAAAAAUUCAAAAAAGAAACUACCCAAAUUCGAUACAAACAUCUGGUGACGUGCGUAUAUGUCUAUACAUGGAAAUAACAAAGACAAGAAACAAUCAUAUCCUGCUACGACACGUACAUCUGAUCACAUGUCAAGGGAAACAUCCAUAGCAAUUUUAAUCUCAAAGAAAUCAAAAUGCUUAAAUAUGCUAUUACAUAUUUUUUAUGUUCGGGGAUUUUUUUAAGAAUCAUUUCAUAUAUUCUAGAGUUUUAUGCUUUCUAUUCCUAUUUUGUUAUGUGAAAGAAUCUGUAUAUUCAUAUAAAUAGAAUGGCAUUACUUCAUUAUGUUGGAAUAAAAGUUAUAUAGUAUUUACUAUUUAUUUAUACCCAUCCCAAAAACUACAUUUUUGCAUUGUAAAAAAUUAUAGAAUUAUAUGACAACGUUAAAAAUAUAGAAUAUCUAUCCCAUGUACAAGCUGGCCCAGAUUGAUUUGGCAAGGCAACCUAAUCGAGCCCACAAGAUUGUUAUAUCUAAACAAUGAGCCACACAGAGACUCAUCCAUACUCCUGUACGGGCUCCGUGAGCUAGACUAAGUCAAAACCCAAGAAUCACUACACAAUUCACUUAUGCACACUUGGGAAUGAAAUAUUAUGCAUGGACGUCGUCUGGCAGACAAAAGCUCGGAUGGCAAUCUAUCCAACAAUGAUGAUCAUAUGGCCAAAAGAAAGGCAAGACAGAAUGAUUCAUCCAAUACACGCCCACAAUGCUCUAAGCAAAUUUAUUUAUAUUUUGUAUUUAGAAAAACAACAAAUGAGAAUUUAAGACAAAGAAAAAGUCAAGAUUUAUAAAUUCAUAAAACUUCUAUGCUGCAAGGUUUGUCCCAAGUAACGUUGAUCGGUUGAUGAGUUGUGGCGGGAUUACAGUAGGAAAUAUUCUCCAGAACUGUUGAUUACAACUAGGUACAUCUAUAAGAAAUGAAACUAUGUUCUGUAAAAACUGAUAACAAAAUAUUUAAAAACUAUAUAUACAUUAGUGUCCGAACAAUUAGUAAAGAAUUAUGCAUCAUAAACGAUGUCUCAACUUACCAACUUGCAUCAACCAUUAAUCAAAUAAGAGUGCGAGAAAAAACAUCACUUAGAGAAGAAUCUGUAUGCAUCAACUAACAAAUACAAGUAGGAACAGGGUCAAAAAGUUACGUAUGUGCAACAAAAUAUUCAUAAUUAUAAGUUUAAAUUUCAACAGGAUAAUGUUAUUAAAAAGAUAGACAUUGAUAUAUCACUAAAAAAGGAAAACUGAAAGAAUAGUACAUGAUUUCAAUGUUGAAAUUGAGACCUCAAUGUCUUCCUUCUUUUGUCUUCACUCAGAAAGGUCGUUCAACACAACCUUAUAAACCUUUAAAAAAAUCUUUUGAAUUUAGUAUAAUAUUUUCUUUACUAUGGAUGACAUACCAAUGGCCAUGUAGUUGGUAAAUCUAGCCGCGCAAAUGCGCGGGUCACACUUCUAGUUACGUUGAUGUCUUCAUUCCUCUGCUUCAGGUCAUCAUGAUGAAGUCGGCAUCCUUUCUUCGGGAACUCCAUCGUACUUACGAAAGAAUAAAGGGGUGGGUAUUCCGGGAGAACGGACCUCCUCAAGGUUGACUAUCUAGUCGAUAACAUCGGGGAAGGUGGCGGAAAGUAACUCUCGAAUUGGAACUUAAGAAAACACUGAGAGCAAGUAAGACGGUGCAAUAUGAAGUUUCGAGCGGAUAGGCAAUCGUUCAUUGCCUGAAACAGAGCAUGAAAGGGGUUCAGAGCAAUGGCAAUAAGUAUUGUGUCUGAUACCAGAAUAGAUCACCUCUAGGAAGGUGACCCAUGAAUACAUACGAGUCAAGNNNNNNNNNNNNNNNNNNNNNNNNNNNNNNNNNNNNNNNNNNNNNNNNNNNNNNNNNNNNNNNNNNNNNNNNNNNNNNNNNNNNNNNNNNNNNNNNNNNNNNNNNNNNNNNNNNNNNNNNNNNNNNNNNNNNNNNNNNNNNNNNNNNNNNNNNNNNNNNNNNNNNNNNNNNNNNNNNNNNNNNNNNNNNNNNNNNNNNNNNNNNNNNNNNNNNNNNNNNNNNNNNNNNNNNNNNNNNNNNNNNNNNNNNNNNNNNNNNNNNNNNNNNNNNNNNNNNNNNNNNNNNNNNNNNNNNNNNNNNNNNNNNNNNNNNNNNNNNNNNNNNNNNNNNNNNNNNNNNNNNNNNNNNNNNNNNNNNNNNNNNNNNNNNNNGGAACUGUGGGUUAUGGGCCCACCACGUGGGUUAAAAGUAGGAAGGGCACUAACAUCUUGCACGGUCCUGAUAGCAAGACAAGUCAGAGAAUAGCCCGUUAGUUAUGUCAGCAACAACAUCGGUACCAAGGGCAAGGGACGAAGAGAACCUUUUUCCUGCUCGUAGAACGAGGCGGACCAAUAGGCAAAGUUCUCGUCCAUUGGUGGUUACCGAAAUGUCAUCAGCAAUAGUAACAGGGUCUUACUGACAGAGUUGUACAACGAGGUGCUUGCCUAAGCAGGGAAUUAUCACUGCUCAGUUACAUAGAUUACAAGAAAGUUUAAACAAAGCAAUGGAAAGGAAAAUGUGUUUAAACACGUAUUUUAGGGGUAUAUCCUUCCCAAGGACAAGCAGAGCACGACAUCCACAACAUGAUAGAAAGUAGAAACCAUUUAGGUAAGGGGGGAAUAAUUUCAUGGCAUUACCCAUACAACAGUGUUUGGAUAAUUGAUAAAGAAAAUUUAGCAUUGCUUCAACUGUUCUUAUUGAAGAUCGGAGUACCACAGACAUGCUUCGAGAUAGCAUUGACAUGGUCUUCAAGCAAGGUCGGACUUUGGAUACACGAAGGAUCCAUCAGGAACAACUUAUGGAAUAAGUCUUACAAUUUCCUCAUGGAAGAACGACUAACCUUGCGAAAAAGGAAACUAUAACAAUAGGUCCCGCGGUCAGGUGUGCUAGGCAUGACAUCAUCUUACCGGGUUACAUAACGACCAAUGCUAUAAUUCUUGGUAAUAUGUUUCCAACCAUCGUAUCUAACUGAGAUGUUGAUCUGAGUGGUGUCAGGGUACCUCAGACUCGGGAUUCCUGAGAAGAAAAAGGUGUGACACAAAUUGACGAGAUGACAUUGUAAGAUUCUUGGGAAAUGAACUAUGGAAGCGAGUUCUGAACAAGAGUUCAUUAUUAAAUCAAGGAGAGAACAAGGAUGUGGCUGAUGGACUCAGCGACAACUCAUCGAGGUUUUCAAAAAGAUGGAUUUCCACAAUCAUGUGAAGGAGGUAACAUUUUUUAGCUCAAAUGACAUAAUGAUGUAUGCUCGAGGGAAACCCACACAAUUAAACAUUGGUUGAAAGGUGCGCCCGAAAUACGGGCAUAGGUAGCAUGAUCAAUGUUAGAAUGGUGAUUCAAUGACCAACAGUCUAAGAGCGAACUGUCGAUUGUUAACUUCAAAGCAAUAGGGUUGCUAGAAGUACAGAACUCAAGCAGCAUCGUUAGCAUAUUGGUAUCCUUGUUAAAAACAACACGAGGACCAAGGAAGAAUGGUGAUGGUGAGAAGUAUCAUAAUACCGAGAAUUUCUAAGAGGUGGAGCAAUCCCCACAACAUUCUUCAUAGAAAAGACAGUAAUACUUCAAGGCAGAAGACAACACUAGCUGGAGAGAAAGUUGUAUUUAUAAUGUGGACAAGUUCGUGAUGAAAGGAAGUCAAGGGUGUUGUCGAUGCUAAUAAAAAUCAUCGAGGGCAAGGAGGGUAUUUCUCAUCAUGAACACAGUUGGCAUCUUGGUAGAAGUCAAAGUGUUGAAGGUGAUCUGACACAUUUGCCGGGAGGUUUCAAGAGGAUGCAAUCAAACAACAAUGGCAACAAGCAAGGAAAUGACGAAGUGGCAAAUUACAGGAUCAAUAUAUAAGAGGCAAGCUCGGAACCAAAGUUGCCUUUCAAGACAAGCAACAUGAUGUUGAAAGCUCGACGUAAGUCGUGCUCACACACUGAAGAAUUCAUGCACCAAAGAAGGAUGAGUUAGCACAGUUAAAGAUAGCAAGACCAGGAUGCAGUCGAUAAUCUAGGAAUGACCAGAUUGGGUUCAGAAUUUCUGAGUAAAAAUACUAGGGGUAUUUGAUUUGUAGUGGGGAAUAAUUUCACUAGUCGGUGUCCUCGGUUGAAAACUAUCCAGAACCCGUAGAGUGAUUACGACAAGGAAAUCCAUUACUUCAACAAAGUUAGUAAGAUGUGGUGCAAUGGCCAGACAUCUUCGAGAUAAUAGGGGGUAAUACUCGAAGGUAGAACAAGAUAGAAGUAGAACCGGGUCAUUGACCUGUGACAGUAGAUACUUCAACCUUGCCAAAAAUAGACAAGGCACUAGAAUGAAUGCCCAUCAGAUAUAUCAGAUCAGGACCAUAACUGUAAGGAAUCAAUUCAAGAAUAGCGAAAGAAUCAUACAACUGGAUAAUCAUUUUGCAAGAAGCUUCCGAGACGGCCUACAUCAUUUUCAAGGGCAUGAACACAAAGUUCAAGGUCGACUCCCACUUCUUUAAUGCAUAACAUUUCAAUCACCUCUCGCUUUGAUAAAACUGUAGUGUUGGAAUUUUAUUUGGUAGAUCACCGGAAGAGUAUGACUUGUGAAAACUUUCGGGUUCUCACGGAUUAGGGGAAGGCAUAGGUUCAAACCAUCGGGCAUCUUAGUAACAUAUACCACAAGUUUCAAAAGUAAAUACACAAGCUCGAAAGCAGAGCAUGGUUGGCCAAGCAGAGGAUACAAUUUACCAAAGGAAUUAUGUAUUAGGGGGAGGACUCACAAGGUGAUUGAAUAUGAAGGACACUGUCGGAUAGCAAUCCAACAAUGGAUCGGGCGAUCCACAACGGAGCCGAUGUGAGUAUCGGUACUCACUCAGAGGAAGAAGAAUGCAGAUGCAUCAGAUUCAAGGAUCACCUGAUUAGUCUGAUGCUUAAAUAGAAGAAAUUAUGGUUUCCAAACGAAGGAUGAGAAGCAGACGCUCUGAUCAAGGAUGGAUAAGUUGAAAACACUUAGUUGGACAAUCAAUAAAAGUUUGAAUUGCCGAGAACCAACUCAUGUCCGGAAUGACGUCUGAGUCGGAAAGAUAAUUUUAAAAAUGAUAACUUGAUGAAUGCGUGCGUACGCACAUAUUGAAUCAAUAACCUCAAAAUGACUAAGACAAGGGAUGUUAUCGAGGACUACUAGUCAUAUGGAAUUAACCAUAACGCAAGCAGGCAAGAAUUUCAAGAAUAACAGGCUGCAGAGGAUUUUCGAAAGAUCGAAAAGUAUUCCGAAGAAUUUUGUGAGACACAUGAACAAUUGAGAAGAACGGAUCCUUGAUAAAUGUGAAAAAAAAUGUAAGGGUUUUCAUGCGAAAUAAAACUGCAAGACAAUAAACUCAAAGGAUUCUUGGGACAACGGAGAAUAGUUCAAGGCAUCUUGUAACAACAAGAGCGACGAGAAAUGAUCAUGAGAAUGACAAGUGCAUGCAGAUAACCAUAGGGAUAUAUCGGUGGCAGUGAAUUGCAAAGGCGAUGAGCACCAGGGUCUCGGGAAAAUAUCGAGGGAUACCCUCAGAAUCUUCUGACGAAGCAGGUGAUCUUUCGGAAUGAGGGCUCUUUGGGAGAAAUAGUUACGAGAACCUAGAGUUAGAGUUAGCAAAAUCAUUUAACCUGAAUAGAGGAGAGAUCGGAGUCCUAGAGUAAAGGACGAGGAGUAAAAGAUCCUAAUACCACCCAAAUGGCGACGUGGGCCCGUAAGACUCACAGCCAUGUUAGUAAAAGUUUUGUAGUGACUAGACUCGACUUCGGCCAAGGAGUGUGGAAGGGGGGUUCCUACAGGCAGUCGGCUCUGAUACCAACUUGUGACGUCCCCAAUUUAAUCAUACACUAAUCAUGCAUGCAAAUAUGUACGAUCAAGACCCGGGACUCAUGGGAAGAUAUCACAACACAACUCUAAAAGUAAAAUAAGCCAUACAAGCAUCAUAUUACAAGCCAGGGUCCUCGAGGGAUCGAAUACAAAUGCUCAAACAUAAAUGAGUCAGGGGAAGCAACAAUAUCUGAGUACAGACAUAAGUUAAACAAGUUGCCAUAAGAUGGCUAGCACAAACUGGGAUACAGAUCGAAAGAGGCGUAGGCCUCCUGCCUGGGAUCCUCUUAAACUACUCUUGGUCGUCGUCAGUGGCCUGCACAUAGUAGUAGGCACCUCCAUUGUAGUAGGAGUCAUUUUUUACGGUGGCGUCUGGUUCCUGGGCUCCAACAUCUGGUUGUGACGUCCGGGAAGAAGAAGAAAAGGGGAAAAAGAGGGAGCAAAGCAACCGUGAGUACUCAUCCAAAGUACUCGCAAGCAAGGAUCUACACUACAUAUGCAUGGGUAUAUGUGUAAAGAGGCAAUAUCGGUGGACUGAACUGCAAAAUGCCAGAAUAAGAGGGGGAUAGCUAGUCCUAUCGAAGACUACGCUUCUGGCAGCCUCCGUCUUGCAGCAUGUAGAAGAGAGUAGACUGAAGUUCUCCAAGUAGCAUCACAUAGCAUAAUCCUACCCGACGAUCCUCCCCUCGCUGCCAUGUGGGAAAGCGAUCACCGGGAUGUCUGGGUGUGUUUAUUAAGUAUCCUGUUCUAGUUGUCAUAAGGUCAAGGUACAACUCCAAGUCGUCCUGUUAUCGAAGAUCACGGCUAUUCGAAUAGAUAAACUUCCCUGCAGGCGUGCACCACAUUACCCGACACGCUCGAUCCCUCUGGUCGGGCACACUUUCCUGGGUCAUGUACGGCCUCGGGAGAUCAACACGUCGCAACCCUAGCUUGGCCUAACAGAGAGGUCAGCACGUCGAUCUAAAUCCUAUGCACGCAGGGGUCUAGGCCCAUCGCCCAUUGCACACAUGCACGUUGCGAACGCGGCCGGAGAGCAGACCUAGCCUCCCUUUUACAAGGGCAGGCGUUCCAGUCCAACCCGGUGCGCGCCGCUCAGUCGCUGACGUCUAGAAGGCUUCGGCUGAUACCAUGACGCCGGUUGCCCAUAUCUUGUCCCACGUGGUGGUUAGUGCGUAUAAGGUCAACGACCCAACUCAGAUCAAAUACCAAGAUCUCGUUAAUCGUGUUAAUUGAUAUAACCGCAGACGCCGACCAGGGCCAGGCCCACUUGUCUCCUAGGUGGUCUCAACCUGCCCUAUCGCUCCACCACAAAGUAAAAGUCGGGGGCCAUCGGGAACCCAGGCCCACCUCUACCAGGAUGGAGCCACCUAUCCUUCCAUCCCCCUCAUCGGAAUCAACCGCGGGUACUCAACGAGCCGACCCGACUUUAGUCACCAACUGUAUAGUAUGUAUAUAUAGUAUAUACCUGUGAUCACCUCCCGAUAGUAUAGCAAGGAAGACUAACAAGAAUGUAGGGCCACUAAUGAUAAACUAGCAUCCUAUACUAAGCAUUUAGGAUUGCGGGUAAGGCAUGAACAACUGUAGCAACAAUGACAGGCUAUGCAACAGAAUAGGAUUAACCGAACAGUAACAUGCUACACUACUCUAAUGCAAGCAGUAGAGAGAAGAAUAGGCGAUAUCUGGUGAUGGGGGGGGGCUUGCCUGCUUGCUCUGGCAAGAAGGAGGGGUCGUCAACUCCGUAGUCGAGUUGGGCAGCAGCAGCGUCGGUCUCAUAGUCUACUGGAGAGAAGAGGGGGAAGAAACAAUGAAUACAAUGCAAACAUAAGCAUGACGAUGCAUGACAUGACAAGUAACGGCACUCGGUGUGCCCUAACACGGUAGUAGGUGGUACCGGCGAAAGGGGGAAACAUCCGGGAAAGUAUCCUCGGGGUUUCGCGGUUUCGGGACCGGAGGUGAAAUGUUGCAGGUUCGCUAUGCUAGGGAAGUGUGGCGGUGGAACAGGCUAUUCGGAUUCAUCUUGUCGUUCUGAGCAACUUUCAUGUACAAAGUUUUUCCAUCUGAGUUACAGAUUAUUUUAUAUUAAUCUUCAAAGUUUUACUCAUUUUCUGAAUUUAAUUUAAAUCUAAAAUAAACGUGAAAUUACUAUAGGUACACAGAAGUGUGCCCACAUAUGUGCUACUAAGUCUGACAUGUGGGGCCAAGGGCUGAGUCAGCCCAGUCGACUGGUCAACAAAGUCAAAGGGGCCUAGGGGGUCCCACCUGUCACCAACUAGGAGUGCCCAGUCAGCAAAGUUGACUAGUCAACUGGGUCAAGCGGGACCCAGUAGUCAGUGAAUGUUUAUAAUAAUAGGUUUUAUAAAAUUUAUUUAAACAAAUUAGUAUGUGGGUCGGUGUCGUGGAAUUAUCACGUCAGAUGUCCUAGUGUGAGGACUUAGUCGUGGAGCCAGAGUGACUAGGUUAGCUUAGAGGGGUUAAACCGGACAAAGGAAACGGGGAGUUUAUACUGGUUCGGUCCCUUGCGGUGAAGAUAAAAGCCUACGAUCCAGUUGUGGUGUUUUUGAUGGGGUCUCGAUCACCAGGGAGCAAAUACGCUUUGCCUAGUUCUCGAGUUGUUGUUUCCUGUCCCUGAACCGCCGCCAGGUCGUCCCUUUAUAUACACAGGUUGACGCCCGGAUGGUCUACAGAAUCCCGAGGCUGACUUAUACAAGUGUCCGGCUCGGUUUCUUCCUUUCCCUAACUUACAACACAAAUUACACAUAUCAAGGCAGUUUAUAUACGUCGGCCCUAAUCCACCAUUGGGCUCUGGGCCUCUAAACUUCUGUAGUAAAGCGCCAUAGUCUUCGUCUUCAUGGCCUUCUGUACAGAUGACUCCUUGUGAGUAUAAUCCGGCCCCUCCUGGGCGGUUUAUACUCAGUAGUCAUAUCCCCAACAUUAGGCCCCAAAUUGGUUUGAACUUGUUCAUGUCAAUCUUCAUCUUAGAGAAAUUCUGAUUUGAACAUCUUCGUGUUGGCCUUGUGAACCGCAGUGACGUCAUCUUUUGGAAUCACCAUAAACCUCCAUGACGUCAUCUGUGUAAAAACCCAUAAAUACUUCCCUUUAUUAAUUAAUCUCCGAAGACCGAGGCGAUAGUUGUCCCCAUUCUCCGUUUUGGGCUCCUCGAUUCCCACGCCUGCCUACUUGUCCAUUUGCCUUAUAAAUAGAACCGGGCGGUCUUUUUCUUUUCCCCUUCUGUGCCUCUUCGCCUCUUCUUCCUCCUCGUGAUGCCCGAGCCCUAAAGCUCCGCCGCCGCCCUCGACCUUCAAGCUCUGCAUCACCACUGGUCGCUGCAUCGACCUGAACGUACCAGAGAAACGCGACACUUCUCCGCCGCUCCUGUGAAGCCGAUAAGCCUUCCUUCUUCAACCCUAGAUCUGCAUUAGGGUUUCACGCCUUCGUCGGUGUUCAUCAGUGUUCGUAGGUGUUCGUUGCUUUCCCUUACUGUCCCGUCGUAUCUUGAUGAACUUGACAUCUUCCCCACGCGGCCGAAGCUAUUGUUUUAUUUUUCCUCACCAUAGCAUCCCUUCGUCCAUGAACAGAUCCCAUCUAGACCUUUGCUUGCUGUGCUGCUGUCGCCAUUUUAGGGCUUUGAUAUUUUUCCUUUUCCUGAACUGCGCUAGAUCCAUAAUUAUAACUUUAGCCUGUGAAACCUGUUUCUGUAUCACUUAGCAAUUUUCAGAUCUGUUUCUUCCAUACCACUGUAGGCGGUUUAACCUCUAGAAAAUGAUAAUCCGCCAGGCACCAUUAUCCCUCACUUAAACCGCCAACUUUACCUGAACAUCAGUAUCCGGUUUAACGUGCACAUAUGCUCUGAUUGACUCUUUCCCCCGGCCUGACGCCAGUUUAUACAUAUCAAUCUUGAACUGUGAACCGGCGUUUGAACUUCUUUUACAGCUUGUCAUAAAAAAUGGCCAAACAGUUCUCCUCUUGCAAUUAGGUUCCCUCCCGGGUUACGGAAGAGCAACUGACUGGGUAUGUUCUGACUGGCGCUUUAGCAAACCAAGAAACCAUCCAUUGGAGAGUCCCGGGUACUGAAAAUCCUCCUGAACCUCAAGAUGGAGAAGUAGUUGUGUUUGUACAUCAUCUGGACCGAGGGUUUAGCCCUCCCGGAUCAAAAAAAUUCCGUGAUGUACUUGCCAGCUUCCAACUCCACCCUCAAGACAUUGGACCGAACUCUGUGUCCAACCUUUGCAAUUUCCAAGUAUUUUGUGAGGCUUACCUGCAAGAAGAACCGACCGUUGAAUAUUUCAGAGAUUUCUUUCACUUGAACCACCGUACUGAGUUUACCGCCAACCCCAAUACUGAACUUGGCGGUGUGUCGAUUCAAAAAAGGAAAGAAGUCAAUUUUCCUCAUGCCACACAUCACACCCACCCCAAGGAUUGGAAUCAGACUUGGUUUUACUGCCGGAAUACUAGUCCUGAUGAUGAAAAUCCUCUUUCGGGUUAUCAUGGUCACCGGCUCAGUAAUGAACAUCCACUGCCUUAACGGCUUACUGCCAGGGAGCGAUCGAAAUAUGCACCACAGAUUUCUAAGAUCUGGUCGUAUUAAGACCAAGGUCACAAAGAGGCCAGCAAAGAAGAGAACCGCCGUGUCCCCUGAUCCGGCCCAAGAUGUUGAUGACUCGGAAUCAGAGGUAGAACUUGAUUCCCUUGGCUCAUUUUUCAUGCACCUUAUGGACAAUGAUCAUUAUCAGGAUGAUGCGGAAGCCAGCCGUGCUGACCAUGUAGAGGUAAUUUCCCUUUCUUCCGAUUCAGAUCAUGUGCCGGUACAAAAACUCCGUCGCACAAUCCGGAAAGUAAAACGUUCACAUCCACUCGCUUAUUUGGAUCCACACUUUUCUUUAAAGACACAGCAACAUGAAGCUCAUCGCACAACCCGGCAUAGUGGCCAACAAGUUACCUCCUCCGGUUUACCAGAUACCCGGUUCGAAAACGCCGACCAGAGGUCUCUUGUACUUCUAAUAUUUGUUAUCCCAAGGAGGGUUACUUCCGACAACCGCUUAAUCUGUUUGAUUCAAAUUAUCAAGGAACUUCCAAUUCAUCCUCUGGCGAUUCAUCAACCACACAGAUGCCUCCACUCAAGACCGUUCCUGGGUAAGUAUGAUAAACUUUAUUUUUAUUCCUUGCUCUGGUUUAUUGUACUGAUCUAUGUAUCUUAUUCUUUUCAGUGCCAAAGCCAGACUUAGCAAGAAAGCCCAGCUGGCUAUACCAACUGAUGAUAAUUUGGCUACUGAACCGGAGAGGACCUCAGAAGCUCUUGUAAAAAAUGCUGACAUUACUCUGGAUGAUCCGGUACCGCAGGGUCAAGAUACUUUCGUUGAUCCGCCAGAAGCUAACCCAACUAGUCAUCAUGCUGAUCCUCCAAGCCCGACUGCCGAUCUACCAAGCCCAGCUGCCGGUCCACCAAGCCCAGCUACCGAUCCACUGAGCCAAGACAAGAUUGUUGAUGGCACGACAGAUGAUGUAGUAAUUACGGUGUUGGUCACACUACCCCUGGCAAUCCUGUCACUUUAUCAAAGCACAGUGCCAAGGAAGAAUUCUCUGUUGUGGACAAGGGCAAGUGGAAAACAGACUUAUCCAGCUGUGCUCACCUCAGUGCUCAGGAACUCCACUCUGGAUAUCUAAACCGCCUGUAUACAAGUCAUGAUUAUGAGGCCGGUUUAGUCAACUUGAUGAAGGAGCGCUAUGAGGUAAUUCAUGUUUGAAUGUUUUCAUAAAUUGUUCUUCCUUUUGCUUUAUAUCCACUCCAGUGUAGCCCCCAAGGGCCGGUUUAUCUCUUCAAGAUGAACCGGGACUUUGAUAAGAAAGACUUCAACUGUGUAGCCCCCAAGGGCCGGUUUAUCUCUUCAAGAUGAACUGGUACUUCCUGUUGUAAAGCUUAUCCUUGUUGAAUUUCUUCACAUCCUAUUUAUCUGAUCAAUUAAGCAUUAGCCCCCAAGUGCCAAGAUUAAUACUUGUAUUGAGCCUUGGGACUUAAAAUAGCAGUUAAGAAGAAGCAAUCCGCAUUAGCCCCCAACUGCCAAGUGUAUAACUUGUUAUGUGCUUGGGACUUCGAAAAAGUAUUACCAAUUGAACAUCUGUCUUUUGCAGGCUGACUUAACCAACAAGGAUUCUCAAAUCACCGAUCUCCAGGAAAACAUCAAGUCCCAGCAAGCCAAAACCUCCUAAGCCAAAGAUGAAUUGAAGGGCGCUUUAACAUACAUGGAACAAUUGAAGGAUGACUUCAAAAACGAGUGGGCAGGCUGGGAGACUGAAAAAGCCACUUUACUAAAACGGGCGGAGGAUGCUGAAGCGGCACUUAAACUGGUGGCGGAAGAACUGAGUGGCUUAAAGCGGCAAAUCAAUGCUAUGACUUCUACUGUCUUUGGUAAGUACUCUUGUUCGGCUUUUCUUAAACAUCUUUGACACUGCCGGUUUAACAGCAAUUUCUUAAACUGUUGCAGGUAGUCGUGUUGCUCAUCUUGGCUCGGAUAUGUGGAAAAAUUGAAGGCUGCCUAUACGUUGAUAAAGCAAUUAUAUACCGGUGCUCAAUGGGUCAUCUGCUCCGCCUCGUACAACAAACCGCCACAAUAUUGAUCAAGGACACAUUGGCCAAAUUAUCCAUGACACCUGCCAGCUAAAAGAGAUGAAGAGAUCUGUUGCUAGGGCUGGCGCUUUAUCUGCACUGACUCGGGCUAAGGCUUGGAUAGCUGAUCUUGAUCCGGAAGAUAUUGGAAGUGGCUAUCCUAGCCAAAAAGAAGACGGGUCGAAAUUUGACAAUGCUGCCCUUAAAGCUUUGACAAAAGAGAUGCGCCCACUUGCAAGUAGAUUGGCCGAAGAAACUGACUUGUCUUUCCACCGGUCCAUCUAUGAUGCAGACAAAAAAUGGAUCGAUGCAUCGGUUUAUGAAGCCCAAAAUCUAAUCCCACCAAUCCGUAAGCACACUUAUGCCCCGGACGUUAAACCGUCAGAUCUUAUAAGCAAUGAAGCUAUCUUCCGAGCUUUGUCUGGAAUUGACUGGGCAACCAUUGACUUCUAGCCGGUGGAUGGGGAGGAGGAGGGUGAACCGGCGCAAGAUGAUCCAUCAACUUCACGUCAACCUGGUGAUGAAUCAUAAUCCGGCCGCCGGCUUUAUUUCCGCAGAUUGCAUCCUGUGCUACAAACAGUUAUUCUUUUGGGCAUCAAAGCGCCUUGUAAUAGGCUAGUUGAAAUACUUUGAUCUGCUGCCAUCAUGCACUGCUACAUGACACUAUUUAAUCUGCCAUGAUUGUUGCUAUGCUUGCUUAUGUGCCUUAGUAAUUUCAUGCAAUCCUUGUUUUUGCACAUAAAAAAUUGUCCUGGCGGUUUACCGCCGGACGGGUCAUAAUGCCCAAUAUAAAGCAUGGUUUAUAACCAAGGCUGCAAGAAUAUCAAAAUAUGAAAUAGAUCAUACCUGUGAUAUUGAAUCAUGUCGUUGGUUUACCAACUUGAUUGUAGUAAGGGUGAUAACCCAAAUCUUGAGUGUUGAUAACUCCCACCAUGAUGUGCUGGUGUAUAAUAAGCCAUGUCGGGUUAUGAUAAACACCGGAUGAUCAUCCUAGCGACGCAUAGUCAAUGCCAGACCGGGUUAACAAUCACCGGUUUAUAAUUGAAUGUGGUAUAACAACUUGUAGCUGAAAGCCAAGCCGGGUUAACAAACACCGGGUUAAUUUGAUGAAUUUAUAGUCAUGCUGGGUCAAUAUACGCCAGUUCAACAUAAAACCUUAUUGAGGGAGUCCCGAAUUAGGGGGUGUCCGGAUGACCGGACUAUAACCUUUGGCCGGACUCCUGGACUAUGAAGAUACAAGAUUGAAGACUUCGUCCCAUGUCCGGAUGGGACUUUCCUUGGCGUGGAAGGCAAGCUGGGCGAUACGAUAUGUAGAUCUCCUCCCAUUGUAACCGACUCUGUGUAACCCUAGCCCUCUCCGGUGUCUAUAAACCGGAGAGUUUUAGUCCGUAGGACGAACAACAAUCAUACCAUAGGCUAGCUUCUAGGGUUUAGCCUCUCUGAUCUCGUGGUAGAUCUACUCUUGUACUACCCAUAUCAUCAAUAUUAAUCAAGUAGGAGUAGGGUUUUACCUCCAUCGAGAGGGCCCUAACCUGGGUAAAAACAUCGUGUCCCUUGUCUCCUGUUACCAUCCGCCUAGACGCAUAGUUCGGGACCCCCUACCCGAGAUCCGUCGAUUUUGACACCGACAUUGGUGCUUUCAUUGAGAGUUCCUCUGUGUCGUCACCUUUAGGCCCGAUGGCUCCUCCGAUCAUCAACAACGACACGGUCCAGGGUGAGAUUUUUCUCCCCGGACAGAUCUUCGUAUUCGGCGGCUUUGCACUGCGGGCCAAUUCACUUGGCCAUCUCGAGCAGAUCGAAAGCUACGCCCCUGGUCAUCAGGUCAGUCUGAACUACAUGGUUGACAUCCACGGAGACUUGAUCUUCGACGGAUUCGAGCCACGGCCGAGCGUGCCGCACUGUCACGAUGGGCAUGAUCUAGCUCUGUCGCCGGACAGUGCCCAAAGGGCCGCUCCGGUGUCCGCUCUGACCCUUAGCUCAGAGCCGACUGCGCCGAUCGAGGAUGGGUGGCUGGACACCGCCUCGGGGGCCGCAAUCUCCACGGUGAUCGAGCCGAACACCAGUCUUGUCCUUCGCGAAGCUCGCAACUCCAAGGUGCCGGACUCCUUUCCGGAUUCCGAGCCUUCCGCACCCCUGCCGAUCGAACCCGAUUGGGCGCCGAUCAUGGAGUUCACCGCCGCGGACAUCUUUCAGCACUCGCCCUUUGGCGACAUUCUAAAUUCACUACAGUCUCUCUCUUUAUCAGGAGAGCCCUGGCCGGAUUAUGGUCAGCAAGGUUGGGAUGCGGACGAUGAAGAAAUUCGAAGCCCACCCACCACCCACUUCAUAGCCACUGUCGAUGAUUUAACCAACAUGCUCGACUUCGACUCCGAAGACAUCGAUGGUAUGGACGACGAUGCAGGAGACAAACAGGAAUCAGCGCCUAUAGGGCACUGGACAACCACCUCAUCUCACAAUGUAUACAUGGUGGACACACCUAAAAGAAACGACGACAAGGAACAGAGGGACGCAACGAGGGAUCAUUCCCUCGAAAAGCAAUCAAAGCGGCGGCGUAAGCAACGCACCAAACCCCACCUCGACAGAGACCCAGCCAUAGAGCAGGGCGAACCGGCGGACAAUGAACAUGCCAUCGAGCAACUUGGGUAAACAAACCGAACAACCCGCCCCCGGUGAAGAUGAUAGUCCGGACGACCUCACGCCGGACAAGUUGCUGGAGCAGAAGAACCUCCACAAAAGGCUUGUCGCCACUGCGCGUAGCCUGAAAAAGCAGAAGCGGAGGCUCAAAACAGCGGAAGAUGCACUCAAAAUUAGAUGGGGCAAAGUACUCAACACCGCAGACAAAUACGACGACAGUCGCCACACAAAGAGCUACCCGAAGCAAAAAUUACUACCGGAAUUCCAUGAGGAGGCCUUAGAGCCCCCGCAAUCAAAAAAUAAAGAAGAUACCCGGUCGGAUAAACAACCCCAUGGCCAGCAUAGAGUGGCAAGGGGCGCCACACUAAAGCCGGCACGCGAUACGCACAAGGAUUCGCAUCAAAAAGACGGCCCAGCCAGAUCUAUCUACGGGCCAAGAAAGCAAGCUCUAGUAAGCAAUGUAAUGUAACAAGUAUCUGAACAUCACGGCACACCCAAAUAUAGGGGUGUCGCACACCCCCUAUGUUUCACCGAUGAGGUGCUGGAACAUGAAUUUCCAGCGGGAUUCAAGCCCGUAAACAUAGAGGCAUAUGACGGAACAACAGACCCUGGUGUCUGGAUUGAGGACUAUAUCCUCCACAUACACAUGGCUAGAGGAGAUGACCUCCACGCCAUAAAAUAUUUACCCCUCAAGCUCAAAGGGCCAGCCCGGCAUUGGCUUAAAAGCCUUCCCGAAAACACCAUAGGAAGUUUGGAAGAGCUCGAGGAUGCUUUUCGGGAAAAUUUUCAAGGGACCUAUGUCCGACCUCCGGAUGCAGACGAUCUAAGUCAUAUAACUCAACAACCUGGAGAGUCAGCCCGGAAACUCUGGAACAGAUUUCUUACUAAAAAGAACCAGAUAGUCGACUGUCUGGACGCCGAAGCCUUAGCAGCUUUCAAGCACAGCGUCCGAGACGAAUGGCUCGCCAGACACCUCGGCCAAGAAAAGUCAAUAACAAUGGCCGCAUUAACAAGCCUCAUGACCCGCUUUUGCACGGGAGAAGAUAGCUGGUUGGCAAGGAACAGCACCAGCGAUCCAAGUACAUCCCAAUCUAGGGAUGGAAACGGGAAACCGUGACGUAGCAAGGACCAGCGCUGGACCAAGGGAAGCAACCCGAAGAGCACGACAGUCAACGCCGGAUUCAAAAGCUCUCGGCAGAAUCAGAAAAAGCCGCCCACCAAGGAUAAUAGGGACGAGCUAUCCAACCUCAGCAAAAUCUUGGACAAAAUAUGCCAAAUCCACAAUACUCCCGGGAGGCCUACAAACCACACCCACGGAGAUUGUUGGGUCUUCAAGCAAUCCGGCAAACUUAACGCGAACACAAGGGGCUCGACAUACCAAGCGAGGACGACGACGAACCCCACAAGGAGAGCACCGGAGAACAAAAGAAGUUCCCGCAAGAAGUAAAAACAAUAAAUUCACUUCACGUGACAAAAGGGAAAAACAGAGUGGCGCCUAUGGAGUUACGUGCCAUACGGCCUGUCCCAGAGGAGUCCCACCACUGGUUGUUACAACCAGUCACCUUCUAUCAUCAGGAUUACUCUAGAAGUAUCCGGAACGUAGGCUGGACUGCCUUGGUAUUAGAUCCGAUAAUUGACGGACUCCACUUUACACAAGUCCUAAUGGACGGCGACAGCGAUCUAAACCUGCUAUACCAGGACACAAUCCGCAAAAUGGGGAUAAACCCAACAAUAAUUCGCCAUGGCAACACUUCCUUUCAAGGGGUAACGCCAGGCCCAGAUACCCAUUAUACGGGUUCCCUCUUGUUAGAAGUUAUGUUCGGCUCCCCCGACAACUUACAAAGCGAAAAGCUAACCUUCCACAUCGCCCCAUUCAUAAGUAGCUAUCAAGCACUGCUGGGACGUGAAGCUUUCGCUCGCUUUAACGCAAUACCGCAUUAUGCAUCCCUUAAACUUAAAAUGCCCAGUCCACGAGGCAUCAUCUCAUUAAUGGGGAAUAUCGAGUGUUCCUCGAGCGCGGAAGAUGGUGCGGCUGCCUUGAUAGCCGCACACUAAACUAGCUUUACUAGUUAAAGCAGCUAAAUAGGUCGUUCAAGACUCCGGACAUGGCUAGAUGAGUCCGGCGUAAACAUACAAAGGCUUACUAGCCGCAUACCCCUGUAGAAGGGGCUCCGAGCAUUUACACCAAGAGACAAUAAAACUCAAUUCUACCCAUCUUCUGAAUUAUACUUUGUUUAUUUAAUAUAACAUAGAUUUUUCGCACGAUUGUUUUCAAAUAAGUUCCUCUCUUUUACAGAUGAACACCGUGCUAUACCCGUCUAGGAUACGGCUCAACGGAGACACAGGCGCAGACAUGCAGUAGGGACCCAUUCCAAGGAUUCUUUUCAGAUUAAGACCCUGCGUAAACCUUUUUUACUGUCUCUUGUUGAUAACAUCCCCCAGUUUUUUGUUAUAACCAAGGAGGAGGCUGGCGUCUUGGCAUGUGGCCAUGCCAGAAUUCUGCGCGUACCUGGACACCAGGGGCUUCUUACCAAGGGCUUUUGUUCAGCCCGUUUUCAUAAAGACCGAAUACCUUAGGGAAUGUUCGGCGUCGCGAGUUUGGCCUUAUAUGCAUCAGCUCCGAAUCAUGUCUUUGGUAAAAUGUUGGGUUUGCCCGGCUCCUGUGUUUUGCUGCCUUACGUUCCGCUCUAUCGGUUAAGGUGGCACCAGGAGAACUACUGCGAUUGUGCCCCGGUUCGGCCAGGCGAGCACCUCAGUAGAGAAAGCCGAAAACUGACUGUCAUGAUAUAGCGUGAGACUGGUCAACCACUCGAUGACUUGCUGGAAUCUUUAGGAUUCCUCCGCAUUAACGAAGGGUCGUUUCCCAGUCAGGCACACACGCGCCCCGAAUUCGGGUGAGCGCGGUGCCCCUAGGGGCUAUAUAGUAGCCCCACUGUCAAACUCCUAUGGCUAAGUGAAAGUGAUAAAGCAUUAUAGUCUGGUUGCCUAGUUCGCUGCGCUAUCACCACCUUUAUAGGACCAAGACGUUGGAUCAAGUGUGAAAAUGCGUCUUCUGCGAACACCCCCGCAUUAUAUGCGUGGGGGCUGAAGCCAACGACUGCCAUCUUUCAGGUUAUAUACACAUAUACAUUAACGGUCGCACAGGAGGUAUUCUAAUUCUUGAAAGCACAAGUAUAAAAAGCUUUUAUAGUCCAUCGAAACAUUGUUUUACAAUAAUACACGUUAUUCAAACAUAACAUCCUUCGAGCACUGCGUCUCUAUUAGACGAGCGCCCUGUAGAACUUCCUCAAAAUAGUGCUCGAUGGGUACUCGGCUUCCAUCCGAAUCUUGGGAUGCAACAACACUGGCCCUCAUCUCCGCCCAGUAUGUCUUGACAUGGGCAAGAGCCAUCUGUGCACCCUCUAUGCACGCUGACCUCUUCAUUGCAUCAAUAUGCGGCACUGCACCAAGGAACUGCUGCACCAAGCUAAAAUAACUCUUCGGCUCGGGCCUUUUCGGCCACAGAUGACACACGACCUGCUUCAUGGCGAGUCCGGAUAACCUGUUCAGCUCCGCCCAUGCGGCCAAACGAUCGGCUACCGAAAGUGGGCGCUCUGGACUGUGGAACUGCGACCAAAAAAGUUCUUCCACUUCGUGGUCAUUUCGAUCCCGGAAGUGGGCACUCGCCGCCAAGUCCAGAUAAGUGUUCGCCGCACUCCACUUCCGGUCCAACGGAGCAUACUUAGGAUCCCCGAACUUCAUCCGCAGCAUAUAGGGCUUUCCAGCCGUGAUAUCUCCAGCCUGACGUAGCUCCUCCUUCAUCGCUCUCAUCGCAGAGCGAGUAUCCUUGGCCUCGGCAGUGACCUUUUCUAGGUCCUUCUGUGCCACCCUAUCUUCUUUUUCAAGAAGCUUGCAGCGGUCGGUAGCAUUCUUCAAUUUUAUAGCCAUCUCGGCCAUUUCCUUCUUGCUCUGGUAGUGAGCAGCCUGUUCCGCUUUUAGCUCUUCAGCCGCCUUUAAGGCAGCCGCAUCGCUUUUCCUGGCCCGCUCCUUGGCUCGGGAAAGUUCUGCCCGAAGGCUCUCCAUGGCAGCGGCACCAUCUGCAUUAAGCACACAUGUUAUAAGGUACAGGCAUCAAGCUCCUCUUACCAGAUGUCUUCGGAGACAUUACAUACCUUGUGCCUCGUCCAGCCGCUCGUUGACAAGCGCGAUGUCGGCAUCUGCCACGUCAAGUUGCCGCUUUAGCUCGGCAAAUUCAUCAGUCCGGCUAGCCACCGAACACUUCGCCACCUACAUAGGAAAGGCGACAUAUUAUACCUGGGAUUAUGAUCCUCUGCGCGCCAUCAUUGUUGACAACGCAUAGAGUCUCAGGGGCUACUAUCUAUACAGGGCGCAUUUUAUAUAUGCGGAUCUGUCAAAAGGUACAUCAUUUCGCGUACCUCAAAACCUGUCAGUAAACUCCUGACGGCCUCGUACAAUCCGCUUUCCGCGGAUGAAAUCCUUCUAACCACCGUAUUCAUCAACACACGGUGUUCUUCUGAGAUAGACGCUCGCCCGAGCAGAUCCUUCAGCUCCUCCGACUGUGCACCGGACGGUGCCGGACUCGUCCGAAGACCUUUUUCAAAGGCCGGAUUCGAAGAAACCCUCCGAGACGACACCUCGGGGUCACCCACCUCGCAAGACGGUACAACUGGGGGAGGCGUUCCGCUCUCCAUCAUCUCCGGACGAAGAUCCCCUGAAGAUGAGCUCUGCUGAGAAGGGUUGAGAUCGGAACUACAAGGUAAAAUUUUGGUUUUCUUCCUCAGAAAUAAAACAGGGAUGUCUCUCAUUUUAAACCCCUCUCUUUACUUACGGCUCGGUGGAGAGUUGAUCCCCUUGGGGGCGCAAUGCGGCCGAGGCACCCUCCGGCGCCGGACCCUCUGACGAAGAUUUCUUCCCCAGCUUUGAGGCCAUCGCCUCCGGGUGUUCAGAGGCGGUCCUCUUCUUUCCCUGGUUAGAGGAAUUCUCGAUUCCUCCUUUCCUGACAGCCUCCUUCGCGGAGGUGGUAGCUUCUUUGUUCCCCUCUUCGCCUUCUUCCAAAGGCGCAACCUCCAGCAUCCUGGUUAACACGGGAUCCGGUGUGGUCUCAGGGAGGGAGGCCGGACACCUGAUAAGCUUUGCUUUCGCUAUCCACUCCUGUUUAAAGGAUAGCUCUUUUAAGGGCAAUUUUAUGAUAAAUAUACGGAUAACGUCUCUGGGUACGGGGCUACUUACUUGAGUGUCCGGGCGAUUGUAGCUCAGACCUGCAUCCUCGGACGAGUACGGACACGUUGCUUGUGAUCCGAAGAACAAUUUAUACAUCUCCAUGGGCGUCGCGCCCAUAAAAUGUUGGAGGGCUUGCGGUCCUUCCGGAUUAAAUUCCCACAGGCGGAGGGGGCGACGUUUGCAGGGCAGGAUGCGGCGAAUCAACAUAACCUGCAUCACUAUGGCCAGAUUGAUAUCUCUUUCUAGGAGAUCUCAAAUGUGGCCAUGCAACAAGGGCACGUCCUUGGACGGCCCCCAGUUAAGCCCUUUAUUGACCCAUGAUGCUAGCUGUGGUGGGGGACCCGAGCGAAAGGCAGGUGGCGCCACCCAUUUGGUGCCCCUAGGAGCUGUGAUAUAAAAUCACUCUUGUUGCCAGGAGCCGAACUCCUCUUGAAAAGAGCCCUCUGGCCAUGGAGCGUCGGCAAUCUUGCUUAUAACAGCACCUCUGCACUCCGCGUGCUACCCCUCGAUCAUCUUCGGCUCUACUUUGAAGGUUUUGAGCCAUAAUCCGAAGUGAGGAGUAAUAUGGAGGAAGGCCUCGCACACGACAAUGAACGAUGAGAUAUGGAGGAUGGACUCCAGAGCUAAGUUGUGAAAUUCCAGCCCGUAGAAAACAUGAGCCCCCUCACGAAGGGGUCAAUCGGGAAGCCUAGCCCCCGAAGGAAGUGAGACGCGAACACCACGCUCUCACCGGGCUUGGGAGUGGGAAUGAACUGCCCUUGAGUAGGUAGCCUAUGAAAGAUUUCGCCGGUUAGAUACCUGGCGUCUCUUAACUUUAACACGUCUUCUUCCAUAACAGAGGAAGGCAUCCACCGGCCUUGAAGGUCGGAGCCGGACAUCGUCAAAGGUCCGAAGCGCUUGAAUCUGGAUCUUUGGGUGUUGGAACUCAAGGCGAGAGGCAGAUUGGAUUGGGAUUGAAAGAAAGGAGUCGAGCCUUGGUCUCUUUAUAAAGAGGUUGAAUACCAAGAGCCCUCCCCGUGACUGUUUGGGACUCGCUUUCGAUUAAAGAGAUAUACCAAUGGCACGGUUGGGUUACCCACGCCCGUAUUGAUGAGAAUCCCGGAAUAAGGGGACAUGAUCUCUGCUUUGACAAGACGUGCCAAGGAAACCGCCUCGCUAAACGCGCUGAGGUGGGACAGUCAAACGAAUAAAGGCUUGGCCGUGGCAUGAUGUCACGCUGCGGAAUACGUCAGCAUAUUAGAUUUGUACAAAUAUUAUUCUCUCUAUGGUGGUAUGUGGAACUUAUUUUGCAGAGCCGGACACUAUCCUUAUGUUCAACAUCUUCUAUGAAGUAUUCGUAGGAGGAACCCGCCUUGCAAUGCCGAAGACAAUUUGCGCGCCGGACUCGUCAUCAUUGAAGCCUGGUUCAGGGGCUACUGAGGGAGUCCCGGAUUAGGGGGUGUCCGGAUGACCGGACUAUAACCUUUGGCCGGACUCCUGGACUAUGAAGAUACAAGAUUGAAGACUUCGUCCCGUGUCCGGAUGGGACUUUCCUUGGCGUGGAAGGCAAGCUUGGCGAUACGAUAUGUAGAUCCCCUCCCAUUGUAACCGACUCUGUGUAACCCUAGCCCUCUCCGCUGUCUAUAUAAACCGGAGAGUUUUAGUCCGUGGGACGAACAACAAUCAUACCAUAGUCUAGCUUCUAGGGUUUAGCCUCUCUGAUCUCGUGGUAGAUCUACUCUUCUACUACCCAUAUCAUCAAUAUUAAUCAAGCAGGAGUAGGGUUUUACCUCCAUCGAGAGGGCCCGAACCUGGGUAAAAACAUCGUGUCCCUUGUCUCCUGUUACCAUCCGCCUAGACGCAUAGUUCGGGACCCCCUACCCGAGAUCCGCCGGUUUUGAUACCGACACUUAUCAAAAGAGAAAAAAAUCUUGACAAAGGCAAAUAAAAUCUUGUAGUCGAGGCUUUUCAAGGGCUGCCAGGCCCAAAUACGAGGCUUUUCAUGGGCUGCCAGGCCGCUGAGUUAAACCAUUUCGCAAAGCCUUUUAAGAUGGGCCUCCAAUUAACCAAUCGUCAUUUUAACUUUGACAAGUUCAGGGUCUGUGUAAGAUUGACUUGUCAAACGUUCGGCGGGUCAUACCAGGAUUACCUGGAAGGAGUGGCUUACUUGAUGAAGGCAGGUUAACCCGGGGUUUUAUGUGAAUACACCUAACUUCCAAGCCUGGCUCGAUAGCCUAUUACAAGGGUCCUUUCAAACUCUUUGUUGCUUUGCACAAAGAGCCCCCAAGUAACUUUGUGAGCUGUGCUCAAUGGGUGCCUAUGUUUGAGCUGUCUGAGCAACAAGAAUCUCUUUGGCCCCUUGGGUGUGAAGCUCCCAAGCUUUGUUGCGGCGUGAUAGCCGGAUUAAUAGGUAGAACUCCGCUUUGUCAGGUGAAGCCCCCAUGUAAUCAAGAAAUAUGGGGAAAAACAGCAGAGGCCUUGCUUAUAGCAAGGAUGCCAAUUUAUUAUAUUGAUCAUAAUAUAUAAAUUGUCAAAAUAUGUACAUAAGAGGAGCCUAUGGCUCAGGUGUAGUAAGGCCGAAGAUGAGCGAUGUUCCACGGCCGACGGGUCUCCUCCUCCGAUUUGCGUGAGUCUUUGUGCUCUCAAACAUCGAUGAGGUAGGAUGAUCCAUUGUGCAGAUUCUUGCUGACCACAUAGGGCCCUUCCCAAGGUGGGGAUAACUUGUGCAUAUCAGUCUGAUCCUGGAUAAGCCGGAGCACUAAGUUGCCUUCUUGAAAGGUUCUUGUUUUAACCCGGCGGCUGUGAUAACGCUGCAAGUCUUGCUAAUAAACCGCCGAACGAGCUAACGCCAUGUCCCGUUUUUCAUCUAACAGGUCCAGUGCUUCUUGACACGCUUGCUCGUUGUCCGCUUCAACGUAAUUGGCAACCCGGGGCGAGUCAUGAUGAAUAUCAUUUGGGAGUACCGCCUCUGCCCCGUAAACCAUGAAGAAAGGUGUAUAACCCGUAGAUCGAUUGGGGUGGUGUUUAUGCUCCAUAACAUAGAAGGUAAUUCCUCCACCCAACAAACCGGUGUCCUCUUCAAAGGAACCAUAAGCCGUGGCUUGAUACCCUUCAAGAUUUCCUGAUUAGCUCUCUCAGCUUGUCCAUUAGACUCGGGGUGGGCCACUGAUGAAACAUCAAGCCGGAUGUGCUCUCUUUGACAAAAAUCCUCCAUCUCACCUUUGGAAAGAUUUGUGCCAUUAUCUGUGAUGAUGCUGUGUGGAAAACCAAAACAGAAGAUCACCUUCUUUAGGAAUUGAACCACCGUGGCUGCAUCACACUUGCUCCGCUUCAACCCAUUUAGUGAACUUAUCAACCGCCACCAAUAGGUGGGUCUUCUUAUCUUUGGACCGUUUAAAAGGUCCUACCAUAUCAAGCCCCCAAGUAGCAAACGGCCAAGUGAUUGGAAUCAUUCUUAGCUCUUGAGCCGGAACAUGAGCUCGGCGUGAAAACUUCUGACAAGCGUCGCACCGUUUCACCAAGUCCUCAGCAUCAGCAUGAGCCAUCGGCCAAUAGAAGCCAUGACGAAAAGCUUUAGCAACCAAGGACUUUGAACCGGUGUGGUGACCACAGUCUCCUUCGUGGAUUUCAUGCAGAAUCUCACGGCCUUCUUCAGGGGAAACAUAGCGAUGUAACACACCCGAGACACUGCAGUGGUGUAACUCGCCAUUGUGAAUAACCAUGGACUUGGACCGCCGGAUUAUCUGUCUGGCCAAAACAUCAUCUUCUGGUAACUCUCCCCAGUUCAUAUACGCCAAAUAUGGAACCGUCCAACCGGAAUAAUACGCAGAGCGGCCACCAAUUGAGACUCCGGAUCAGGAAUAGCCAGGUCCUCCUCUGUAGCCAACUUAACUGACGGGUUAUGCAAGACAUCCAGAAAGGUAUUGGGCGGCACCGGUUUACAUUGAGAUCCCAGCCGGCUCAAAGCAUCCGCUGCUUCAUUUUUGCGCCAAUUAAUGUGCUCAACUUGGUAACCCUUGAAGUGACCAGCAACAAUAUCCACCUCUCGUCAGUAAGCCACCAUGAGUGGAUCCUUAGAAUCCCAAGUACCUGAAACUUGCUGAGCCACCAGAUCAGAGUCCCCGAAGCAUCGUACCCGGCUUACGUUCAUUUCCUUAGCCACUCGAAGACCAUGGAGCAAGGCCUUGUACUCAGCUGCAUUGUUAGUACAAGGAAACAUUAAGCGGAGAUCAUAACGAAUUUUAUCACCUCAAGGGGAAGUAAGGACAACUCCAGCCCCCGAGCCCUCCAAUUGCCCAGACCCAUCGAAGUGGAUAGUCCAGUAUGUGUUAUCCGGUUUGUCCUCCGGUGCCUGCAACUCUGUCCAGUCAUUGAUGAAGUCCACAAGGGCCUGGGAUUUGAUAGCUAUCUGAGGCAUGUAUUUCAACCCGUGUGGUCCAAGCUCAGUAGCCCACUUAGCAAUCCGGCCAAUUGCCUCCCUGUUCUGAAUUAUAUCUCCCAAAGGAGUGAAAUUGACCACCGUGAUGGGAUGGCCCUGAAAGUAUUGCUUAAGCUUUCGACUUGCCAUGAAAACCCCAUACACAAGCUUCUGCCAAUGCGGAUAUCUUUGCUUUGACUCGAUGAGCACCUCGCUGAUAUAGUAAACUGGCCUUUGAACCAGAUAUUCCUUCCCAGCCUCUUUGGGCUCAACCACAAUAGCCACGCUGACGGCCCGGGCAUUAGCAGCUACAUAUAGCAACAGUGGCUCCUUAUCGACUGGAGCAGCAAGAACUGGCGGUUCAGCUAACUGCUUCUUCAAGUCCUCAAACGCUGCAUCAACAGCGUUACUCCAGACAAAAGUGCAUGUAUUCUUCAACAUCUGAUACAGAGGGAUUGCCUUCUCUCCCAAACGGCUAAUAAACCGGCUCAGGGCCGCAAUACGACCUGCCACACGUUGAACAUCAUUGAUACAUGCCGGUUUAGCCAGAGACAUAAUAGCCUUGAUCUUUUCUGGAUUAGCUUCAAUGCCCCUGUUAGACACCAGAAAACCUAAGAGCUUGCCUGCAGGAACACCAAAGACGCACUUGGCCGGAUUGAGCAUCAUCUUAUAAACCCGAAGAUUGUCAAAGGUCUCCUUCAAGUCAUCUAUCAGUGUCUCCUUCUUUCUGGACUUGACCACAAUAUCAUCCACAUAAGCAUGAACAUUGCGCCCAAUUUGAGUAUGAAGACAAUUCUGCACACAUCGCUGAUAAGUCACCUGGGCACUCUUGAGCCCAAAGGGCAUAGACACAUAGCAGAAGGCUCCAAAGGGAGUUAUAAAAGCUUUUUUCUCCUGGUCCUUAACUGCCAUCUUGAUCUGAUGAUAACCAGAAUAAGCAUCUAAGAAACUCAAACGCUCACAACCCGCCGUAGCAUCAAUGAUCUGAUCAAUACGAGGGAGAGCAAAAGGAUCAGCCAGACAAGCUUUGUUCAAGUCCGUGUAAUCCACAGACAUGCGCCAAGUGCCAUUCUUCCGAAGCACCAGUACCGGAUUAGCCAGCCACUCCGGAUGAAAAACCUCAAUGAUAAACCCUGCUGCCAAAAGCCGGGCUACCUCCUCACCAAUAGCCUUGCGCCUUUCUUCAUUGAAGCGGCAAAGAAAUUGCUUUAUCGGUUUAAACUUGGCCAGAACACCAAAGAUGCACUUGGCCGGAUUGAGCAUCAUCUUAUAAACCCGAAAAUUGUCAAAGGUCUCCUUCAAGUCAUCUAUCAGUGUCUCCUUCUUUUCGGACUUGACCACAAUAUCAUCCACAUAAGCAUGAACAUUGCGCCCAAUUUGAGUAUGAAGACAAUUCUGCACACAUCGCUGAUAAGUCGCCUGGGCACUCUUGAGCCCAAAGGGCAUAGACACAUAGCAAAAGGCUCCAAAGGGAGUUAUAAAAGCUUUUUUCUCCUGGUCCUUAACUGCCAUCUUGAUCUGAUGAUAACCAGAAUAAGCAUCUAAGAAACUCAAACGCUCACAACCCGCCAUAGCAUCAAUGAUCUGAUCAAUACGAGGAAGAGCAAAAGGAUCAGCUAGACAAGCUUUGUUCAAGUCCGUGUAAUCCACAGACAUGCGCCAAGUGCCAUUCUUCUGAAGCACCAGUACCGGAUUAGCCAGCCACUCCGGAUGAAAAACGUCAAUGAUAAACCCUGCUGCCAAAAGCCGAGCUACCUCCUCACCAAUAGCCUUGCGCCUUUCUUCAUUGAAGAGGCGAAGACAUUGCUUUAUCGGUUUAAACUUGGGAUCAAUAUUGAGAUUGUGCUCAGCGAGUUCCCUCGAUACACCUGGCAUGUCAGAAGGCUUCCAUGCAAAGAUGUCCCGGUUCUCAUGGAUGAACUCGAUGAGCGCGCUUUCCUGUUUCGGAUCCAGAUUAGUGAUGAUACUAAACUGCUUGGAUGAAUCGCCAGGAACAAAAUCAACCAGCUUAGUCUCAUCAGCCGGUUUAAACUUCAGGGUCGGGUCAUGCUCUGUGGUGGGCUUCUUCAGAGGAGUCAUAUCUGUCGGAUCAACAUUGUCCUUGUAGAAAUUCAACUCUUCUGCCGCACAAACCGAUUCAGCAUAAGCCGCAUCACCCUCUUCGCAGUCCAAAGCGAUCUUACGACUCCCAUGUACCGUAAUGGUCCCCUUAUGACCCGGCAUUUUGAGCUGUAGAUAAACAUAACAGGGCCUCGCCAUGAACCUUGCAUAAGCCAGCCGUCCAAAUAGGGCAUGAUAUGGGCUCUGGAUUUUCACCACUUCAAAAGUUAAGGUUUCUGACCUAGAAUCACAGUCAUCUCCAAACACAACCUCCAGAGCUAUCUUACCAACUGGGUACACCAAUUUACUUGGUACCACCCCGUGAAAAAUAGUGUUUGAUGGUUUAAGAUUCUUAUCCGUCAAUCCCAUGCGACGGAAGGUCUCGUAAUACAGAAUGUUGAUACUGCUCCCUCCAUCCAUGAGUACCUUGGUGAACUUAUAACCCCCAACCUGAGGUGCCACCACCAAAGCCAGAUGACCCGGAUUAUCAACCCGGGGCAGAUGAUCCUCUCUGCUCCACACAAUGGGGUGCUCAAACCAACGCAAGUAACGAGGUACUGCCGGUUCAACAGCGUUAACUGCCCUUUUGUGAAGCUUCUGAUCGCGUUUGCACAAACUAGUGGUGAAAACAUGAUACUGCCCACUACUCAACUGCUUCGGAUGACUCUGAUAACCCGACUGUUGCUGAUUCCCUUGAUUAUUCUGCUGAUAAUAACCACCCUGGUUGUUCUGAUUCCCCUGAUUAUUUUGAAAACCUGAGCUUGAACCGCCUUCGCCAUAACCUGGCCCAUGAGAUCCAGGACCUGAACCGCCGGAUGGACCCUGAUCAUACCGGAAAAGAUCAGAGUUUUUGAACUAUCGCAUAAUGAAACAAUCCUUCCAGAGGUGCAUGGCUGGAACCUCCUUCGUCCCGUGCUUUGGGCAAGGCUGGUUCAACAGGCGCUCCAGAUUCAUACCUCCACCCCAUUGGGGUGGUUUAACCUUGCGAUGCUGAGCAUUACCCUGCAAAUUGGUGUUAGCCACAAAAUCUGAACCGUCCGCUUUACGCUUACCAUUGUUUCUGUGGCCUGUCGGAUUAGGCUACUGCCCCUUGGCGUUGCGGCCCUUCUUUCCCUUCCCCGGCUUUUCCUCGUCAGACUCGGGAUCCUUGGUACUAUUAGAGUCAGCAUACUUAACCAGAGCCCCCGUGAGGGUUCCCAUGUCAUUGCAGUGACGCUUGAGUCGUCCCAACUUUAACUUCAAAGGCUUAAACUUGCAAUUUCCCUCCAAUGUUAUAAUUGCUGAAUCUGCAUUGAUGCGGUCUGAUGAAUGUAAGAUCUCAGAAACCCGGCGCACCCAAUGGGUGGUCGAUUCGUUUUCUCCUUGAACACAAGCGGCCAGAUCCACAAUUGACAUCAGUUGCUUGCAUGUAUCCUUGAUGUUGCUGAUAAACCGACUCUUAGACUCUUCCCAUGACCUAAUAGAAUUAGGUGGUAACCUCUUUAGCCAAGUGCGAGUUGUUCCUUCUAGCAUCAUAGUGAAGUACUUAGCACACGCCACUCCAUCCACAUCCAACAUCUCCAUUGCCAUCUCAUAACUUUCAACCCAUGACUCGGGGUGCAAGUCAGCAAUGUAAUUGGGCACUUUCCAAGGGCCCUUGAAGUCCUUGGGAAACCGCACAUUGCGCAGGUCCAGUGUAAGACACGACACCCCCAAAGUAGUAAAACCGACUCCCGGCUCCAUUUUAGUAGUUGCAUGAACCGGCGUAAGUUGUCGCUCCAUAUCCUGCACAGUUAACCCGGCUCCUCGGCGCGCUCGUCCUUGGUCCACUAAAUCCUGUGCUUCAUUCCUUCCCCCUGCCGGGUUAGGCCUCAGUGGUGGAUUAUGGUUCCGUCCAAUGCUUGACACAGCCGGCUCCUCAACAUGCCUGUUGUAACUCCGGCUUGGGCGAGGGGUAGAGUGAAUCCUAUCCCGACUGUAUGAAUAAGCUUGUUGCCGAACCAUUGCUGUCUGGAGAAAAUCUCUAGCCCGUCGUGUCUCAACCGCCGCGGGGGAAUCACCUUCCAUUGGGAUAGCGGCCAAUCUCGUGGUCGCAUCAAUCAUAUUAUCCAAAGGGGUAGGAAAGUGCCCUAGUGGUGUUGGCAUGUACUGCGGCGGAUCAUGGUUCUGCUGAGGCGGGUCCAUCGUGCGCGGCUGAUCUGGCGCUCCUGUCCUGGGUGCUUCAACCCAGUUCACCACGGGCAGGUUACUGGUGCCCGCUCCUAGCGUAUUAAAUAGAUUCCUUGCUUCAUAAACCGGUGGCAGAUGAGACUGGUGCCUCCUCCUCAUCACCUCGUUUGAAGCGUUCUGAUCCAACAUAAGUCGAUAAGACUCUGCAUGAGCUUGCUGAGCUUGAGCAUUCAAAGCGGCCCGCUCCUCGGCCAUCCUGGUCUCCUCAGCAGCCAUGUCCUCCUUAGCUUGAGCUAUCUGAUCCCGCAACUUUCUGACCUCCGCAUUAUGCUCAUCCCGAUUAUCCGGAUUAACCUGUAUGGUCAACAAUGUUGCUAAAGUGUCCAACAAACCGGACAAGACUUGAGCUGGCAGGCGCGCGGGGCCUCCUGCCCUGGCUGCCGAUAUGGAAAUCAUCGCCGCCGCUGUUGAAGAUUGAGGCGCGAGCUGUGUGCCAGCCAUGAAGAUUGCAACCCGGUUUGUGUCACACCCUAGCUAGUUCAUGCAUUAGAGUGUUGCAUCAUGUCUAUUUUUCUCAACAGAAACUUGAAAUGGGGAUGACAGAACCCCCAGUCCCCUCUGAAACCAACUAGGGUUUACUAAAAAUAUUUUCAAUGAACCUGAAAUGCCCUUCUAAAAUGUCCAUCAUUUUUGUCUUGGUUCAGAACCUCUGCCAAAAGUGGUGCUCAAUUUUCUAGGUCAUUCUAAGGUUUUUGAAUUAAAUCAUAAGUAUUUGAGUUUGGGCAUUUAAAUUAUAUAAAUUAUUUUAAAUGCUCAAAUAACCCCAAACUAAAACGUUCCAUGUUGUAUAUAUUCCAGAUAGUGGCCAUGAGCAGUUUGGGGAAUUUUGGAGUUGUUUAGGUAUUUUUAGUAAGUCCACAAAGUUACAGAAUAAUUGAAAAAGAUAAAUAAGAGAGAGAGAGAGAGUGAACUAACCUGGCAGCCCGCCUAGCCAGCCCACCAGCCGGCCCAGCCCAGCAGCCGCUCCAGCGAGCUACUUGCCUUCGCCAGGCAGGCAGGCAGGUGCUCGACGGCGACGCCAGCGCGCGCCACGCAGCUGCCCGCCGCCCUGCUUCCUCCUCUCACCUCGCUGCUGGCCUGGACGACCUCCACGUCAUGCCCCGAACCCCGUGGACACACCCAUUCGCCCCCAGCUCCUCUCCCUCGCUCUCCCGCACCAUGGCCGACGCCACCGCAGCCGCACCGUCGUCGUAGUCGCGCUCUCCGUUGUCCUCGCGCCGCGCCACCGUGUCCAGGAGCUCCGCCGCCCUCCUCUCCUUCGAGCUAGUCGAGCCCCGAGCGCUCGCGUGCCCCGAAGCCACUGCACCGACCUUGCCAACUCUGCCGUCACCAGAGAUCCCCUUCGCCGUCGCCGCUGCACCAGCUCGUCCCCGACCGCGCCGUCUUGUUCCUCGAGAUCGUCGUGAGCCCAGCUACGUCUCCCCCCUUUCCUCUCUCGUUCUCGUGCACCACAGCGAGCGCACGGAGCUUCACCGCACGCACCACCGCCGAGCUCGUCGCCGACGUGUCUCCGGCCAACCACCGGCCACACCACCGUGUCCAACGCACUCACCGCACCUGCAGGAACCCGUAGCAUCACUCCAUGCGCCUCGCCGUGCCCCCUAGCAUCGAGUUCGACUUCACCCGAACUCCGGUGACCACCAACAUCGUCGCCGGCGCCGUUUCCGGCCACCCCGAGCUCAACCACCACCACCAAGAGCUGCGGCUUGCUCCCAGCUACCCGUAGAUGCCCUCCGCCGCUCAUUUAGUCGCCGGAAUGCACAAAGCCACUCUCGCCGCCGCGUUCGGCCUCGACGGCGGCUAAACACCGGUGAGUUGACCCCGCUGACCCCUCGUUUGACCACGGGUGGGCCCAGUUUGACCCCCCUGGGUCAAUGACAGGUGGGGCCCAGCCCUGUUAACUAUCAGGAUUAAUUUUAAUUAAUAUUUAGCUAAACUAAUUACACUGACACACGGGACCCACUAGUCAGGGUUGACCUGGACUGUUCCGUUGACCGCUGACGUCAUCCUGACAUAAUGCCGACGCAGUAAUUUAUUUACUAGAAUUAUUAUUACACAGGAAAUUCCAGUAAAUACCCUAAACUUUAAAAAAUCAUAGAAAUUAAUCUGUAACUCCAAAUGCAAAGUUUUAUAUAUGAAAAAUGAUCAGAAAAAUCCAAUCUAUCCAUCUAUACUAGUUUGAUGCAUGUUUAAGCAAGCUAACCUGAUGUUUAGAGCAGAACUAGAUAAAGCACUUAUAAGGGCCAUGUAUGAGUUUGAAACUUGAAUCUUUGAUUCAAAAUGGUUCAAACCCAUCUGAUCUUAGUUGCAUCAGCCCAACACACUCAUAUUGCCAUGUUUCAUGCAUGCAUCAUAUUGUUGCAUAUUGUUUGGUGAUGUUGUGUAUUGGUGCUCAUUGCGGCAGGUUCUGCCUCCGAGGAGUACCACGAUUACCCUAGCGAAGAUCAAUAUCAGUGCAUCGACCCAUCAGGCAAGCAACCAACCAUUUGAUCAUAUCGAUACAAUCCCAUGUUCUCGCUUCUGCUCUCUUUUAUUGCAUUAAGACAACGCGUUUCAAACUGCUGUGUGCUACGGUAGUUGAACCCAUUUCCUCUGCAUGACCUGUCAUUGCCACAGUAACUAGAUGAAAACCACUAGCAUGUGUAGGAGUUGAUUGAGCCAUAUGUAUGUGUUGUUCCUACCUUGCUAUGCCUGCUAUGCUUAGAGUCGUGUUAGGUCUGGUUCAUCUGGGUGAUGAGCUGGAGUGAAAUGAUCAUGCCGGUAAUAAGAGUGAUGCGGUGAACACAAUUUGGUAAAGGUAUCGAUGAGAGGCCAUGUAGGAGUACAUGGUGGGUUGUUUCAUUGAAGCCGACCUUAAGCACUGAGAUCUGUAUGUGUGAUUUAAGAUUCAGCUACUACCAUGCAUUGGGCCCUGAAAUAUGACCCCGCUCGACUUCUUAUUCACCCUAGCCCUCUGUCCAGGAGUUGCAAGUAGUUUCUGGUGUUUGUAGCUUACUGGAGGCCAUGGACAGCGCUGACCCGCGGGGUGGGCUGUGAUGCGGUAGGUACGUGGCAUGGUGUACCGGAUACCCGUUAGGUAUCUCGAGAACCCUGUACACAUCGUUCGGGGCCGUAUGGGAAACCUCGGCCGGACUCCCUGCGGAUGGAACCUGGAUAGGCGAUAAACCUAGACUAGAGACUUAGGUGUUUAGGUAGGUCGUGGUCUACACCCACGUCGGCUUUCGCUUGAAGUCUGCCGAGCACAUGUCGUGUGCAGACGCUAAGUGGUGGAAACAUGUAUGAAGAAGUACACCCCUGCAGGGUAACAUUAUCUAUUCGAAUAGCCGCGUCCGCGGUAAAGGACUACUUGGUUGCCUAUAUAGUUCAUAGACAAGUAAAUGGAUACUACUAAAAAUCUCAAGAUAAGCGUGAGUGCCGAGGAUGGCUCUUCCGUAGGAUGACGGAGGUGGAUCCUCGGUGGUGUAUUGAAGUGGUGAGUAGUGGACUCGUGUGCGCAAAACCAUUUCAAGUUGGUGUAUCGUAGGAUAGCUUAGCCAAGAGUCAAAGCUGGCUUGCUGCAAUAACCCCACCAACCCUUCUUGAUAAUGUGCAUGUAUGUAGGAUCUGAUGUAAGUCUUGCUGAGUACCUUUGUACUCAUGUUGCUUUAAUUUACAUUUUUCAGAAGACGCUGCAACCCCUUCUGAUGGGUUCUUCGUAGAAGUUGACAUCGAUGAGUAGACUGAGGCCCAGGUGGUGACCCUGAGCUUGUGAAGGACCACGUAGUAUAGCCAGGCUUUCCAAGCCUCUUUUAUUUUACUAGUUGUCUGUACUCAGACAAGUUACUUCCGAUGUUGUCUUGUAUGUCUGUAUGACUUGGAUGUGGGUCGUGUGACCCGUACUUGUGUGUAUGCUAUGUAUGGCUCUCUGAGCCCUUAAAUAAAGUACUUGUGCUGUAGAGUCAUGUUGUGAUGCCUUGUUGUAUUUGCACAUAUCGAGCAUAUUGUGUGUAUGAUUGAAAUGCUUGGUAUGUGUGGGAUCUGACUAUCUAGUUGUUUAUUCUUAGUAGCCUCUCUUACCGGGAAAUGUCUCCUAGUGUUUCCACUGAGCCUUGGUAGCUUGCUACUGCUCCGGAACACUUAGGCUGGCCGGCAUGUGUCCUUCUUCGUUCCUGUGUCUGUCCCUUCGGGGAAAUGUCACGCGAUGGAUACCGGAGUCCUGUUAGCCCGCUACAGCCCGGUUUACCGGAGUCCUGCUAGCCCAGUGCUACAGCCCGGAUUCACUUGCUGAUGACCGACACGUUCGAUGCUGGGUCAUGGAUGCCUGUCCCUGUAAGUCUGUGCCACUUUGGGUUUACGACUAGCCAUGUCAGCCCGGGCUCCUUACCAUAUGGAUGCUAGCGACACUAUCAUAUACGUGUGCUAAAAGGCGCAAACGGUCCCGGGCAAAGGUAAGACGACACCCGUGGGAAUAUCGUGCGUGAGGCCGCAAAGUGAUAUGAGGUGUUACAUGCUAGAUCGAUGUGGCAUCGAGUCGGGGUCCUGACAGCGUUGGCAUCAGAGCCGGACUGCCUGUAGGUUCUCCAAGCCAAACUGGUCGAUGUUGAGUCUAGAAAUGCUUUAGUUAUAUGUAGGGGAAUUGAUUGUGGGAUGGUACGUAAGGCUCUUUUUACUCCUUUACCUCAUGGCAUUCUGAUCUGAGUCAGUCCAUUCUUCCACUGGGGGUUAGGAAUUAGGAUCUCUUCUCUCUAUCAGGUUCACGUGUUAUUAAUCAGUAGUACCUUAUAGGUUUGAUGGAUACAAGCCUAGUUCAGUUCUACCACCCCAUUAUGUUGUUAAGAUGGACCAGAACCUUGAUAUGAUGUUGUUGAGUGUCUAUGCUAUUCUUUGCAAAAUGUCUCAAAAUCCUUUUUGAGCAUUUACAGUCGUUAUGCUGUCCAAUUUCUGCUAGAAAUUCUAAUGUCUUGUGCUUAUCAUGCUCCAGAUGGCUUCCCGUCCUCAGAAUCAAGUGGUUCGUUUGACUCGAUGCCUAGAUGUACCCGGCCAUACUGCCAUGUUGGUCAGGGUAAUGACUGAGGCUGGAUACCGUUGGUAUCCUGAGUACACGGUCGAAGAGCAAUUCCGAGACUUUAAUCAAAGUCAAUAUUUUUGCACGGUGAGGAUAUUUCCAUCUUAUCCUGGAUCUACCGAGCCCCUCCACUACUCCUAUGGACUCGGGGUUACUAUUGAGAUGGCUGUGCAGGAUGCCGCCUACUCUAUGAUGACCAUCAUGCGAGUCAGGACUGGCCUAUUUCGGGACUCCGACUUCCGGUAUAUGCCAGCUUCACUUCCGGGAGCACAAGGGUAUCUCCAGGCUAUCUAUGCUGACUCCACUCAGGAGGACUCACUGACCCGCACCACUGCACAGUUGCUUGAAGACAAGGACCGUGAAAAUCGGGCCUUGAGACUAGAGCUUUUCAAUACCCGUGCUGAUCAUUGGGCCACUCUGACUUGGUUUGCACCAGCUGUGCAAGCUGGAUAUAUGGAUAUGCGAGAUCUCUAUCCUGUGAGAUCUGCUCUGCCAGACAUGAUGGAUUGGCGUGAUGUAGGAGGCAUCACCCCACCUCGUGGUCCCCGCAGGCCACCAUUUGUUGGUCCAAGACCUCAUCCUAGCCCCUAUGGUCCACAAGCUCCACGGGACCGACUGUUUCCGGAUGAUCACGUUGAGCUUCCAGGCUAUGGUGGUGACUUCUAUGAAGACUACUACGGAGCUGUCUGAGUUAGUAGUAGUAUCACUAGUAUCGUACUAGUUGUGUUGCGCACCAUCCUGCGUGACUCGUGGGAUAUGACUUAGCUUGUACCGCCUUCCGGAGGUGUAGAAAAAUAAUGUAUAGGAGCUUGGAAUGCGUCCGAUGAGAUGUAAUCCUCUUUUCACCGUAGUAGUACUUUGUUUGGUUCUGUACUAAACCUUGUAUGGUGUGUAUGAUGAUGGAAUAAAAGAAGCAGUUUCUGUAUCUACCAUGUCAUACGGAUGAUCAUCUUACAUUCCAAGUUAUCCAUUACAUUCUACAUUUCUAUGUCAAAAUCCUAUCAUCCUGGACUAAACCAUUGUUUUGUUUCCCUAGGAUGGUUAAUACCCGCACCAACCCUGCUCCCCCAGAGCAGGCCGAAGGCAGUAGAGUUGGGGGAACAAACCUGCCUCACCCUCCCUCUCUGGCCGAAGUUAUGCUGGAAGCUGAGAGAAACAAGCGGGAGACCAACCGUUUGUUGGAGCGCAUCGAGCAAAACACAGCACACCAUCAGAGGAAUAACUUGGUGUCACUCAGUGAUUUCAUCAAGUUACAUCCACCCACUUUCCACCACUCCGUCGAGCCCCUCGACGCUGAUGACUGGCUUCGCAGUAUUACUCACAAACUGCAUUCUGCGCUAGUAGCUGAGGCUGAUAAGGUCACCUUUGCUGCAUAUCAUCUCGAAGGCCCCGCCAGUCUCUGGUGGGAGAACUAUGAAGCUAUGCGCCCAGCGGGCCAUGUCACUACUUGGGCUGAAUUCAGCGAGGCUUUCCAUGAACAUCACAUUCCGGAGGGUCUCAUGGACCGUAAACGUGAGGAGUUCUGCAGUUUCACUCAAGGUCGACUCUCUGACGCUUACAGCAGGGAGUUCGGUAACCUAGCACGGUAUGCAACUGAGGAAGUUUCCACUGAUGCCAAGAAGCAAGCAAGGUUCCGCAAGGGACUUAGCCCUAAGCUUCGCCGCGACCUCCGUCUGCAUGAGUGCACAUCUUUUCAGAAGCUUGUUAACAAAGCCAUCAGUGCUGAGUCUGGUCAGACUGAUUAUGAAGCAACACGCAAGCAUGGCCGUGACAUGGGUUCCUCAUCCGGUGCUGGUCCUCAGAAGCGCCGCGUGUGGGUGCCUAACACUGCCCUGCCACCCAGGUUCACACCGAGGCCAUCCUUUCAGGCGCCUCGCCCCGGUCAACCGUUUGCACCAGCCAAGCCCUAUGGUGGUCCAACCAACAAUGCUCCUCCGCGUACCAGCUCUGUGACUUGCUUUAAGUGUGGGGAAUCGGGCCACUAUUUGCGCGAGUGCCCCCAGACCAACCCCAACCAGUCUGGAAAAGCUGUUGGCCGUGGCAAGCCAACAGGAAAAGUGUUCUACGCCAAGCCGGCCACCGCUGCACAUGGCCAUGUCAACUGUAUCUCCGCUGAAGAAGCUCAAGAGGAUCCCAGCGUCGUUCUCGGUACGCUCCUUGUUAACUGCCACCCGGCAUCUGUUCUUUUUGAUACUGGAGCAUCUCAUUCAUUUAUAUCCGAGAGCUAUGCUCGUCUGCAUAACGCCACAUUCUGUGAGAUGCCCACCUCUAUGGUAAUUCAAACCCCGAGAUCCAAAUGGCAAACUUCUAGAGUAAGCUAUGGGAAUGAAAUUCAAGUCGACAGACUUGUUUUUCUCGCAUCUUUGAUAGCUCUCAAAUCUUCGGAUAUUAAUAUCAUCUUGGGUAUGGACUGGAUGUCAUCCCAUCAUGCCAAGAUUGAUUGUUUCUCUAGGACUGUUCAACUCACACAUCCCUCGGGAAAGAUAGUCAAUAUCUUGACCCGAGUAGCCAAGCGACAGCUAUAUUCUCUUAACGCCAGUCCUUUGCCAGACCUCGAAGACGUUCCGGUAGUCCGUGACUUUCCGGAUGUCUUUCUAGAAGAAUUGCCAGGUGUUCCACCUGACAGAGAUGUCGAGUUCGUAAUAGAUCUCAUUCCAGGAACUGUCCCAAUUUCUAGAAGACCCUAUAAGAUGGCACCUUUUGAACUAGCCGAACUUAAGAAACAACUCGAUGAGUCCUUGAAAAAGGGUUUCAUCCGACCUAGUUCAUCUCCAUGGGCUUGCCCCGUCCUCUUCGUCAAGAAGAAGGAUGGUACGGACCGGAUGGUUGUAGAUUAUCGACCCGUCAACUUUGUCACAAUCAAGAACAAGUAUCCGCUCCCCAGGAUCAACGACUUGUAUGAUCAGCUCGCUGGAUCCUCAAUCUUCUCUAAAAUGGAUUUGAGGUUGGGCUACCAUCAAAUCAAAAUGAGGAACGGGGACAUUCCUAAAACGGCCUUUGUUACUCAUUAUGGCCAAUACGAGUAUACCGUCAUGUCCUUCGGAUUAACCAACGCCCCAGCCACCUUUUCUCGGUUAAUGAACUCAAUCUUCAUGGAAUAUUUGGAUAAAUUCGUCGUGGUUUACCUCGAUGAUAUACUCAUCUACUCCAAGAACGAGGAAGAACAUGCCGAACAUCUAAGGCUAGUGUUGAUGAAACUUCGAGAGCAUCGCCUUUAUGCCAAAUUUUCUAAGUGCGAAUUUUGGUUGCCAGAAGUGACCUAUCUAGGACAUGUAAUUUCUUGUAAGGGUAUUGCUGUUAACCCCAAGCGAGUUCAAGCCGUCCUUAAUUGGACUCCACCUGAAUCGGUCAAGCAAGUUCGGAGUUUCCUUGGCUUAGCGAGCUAUUGUCGCCGCUUUGUCGAGAACUUCUCCAAGGUUGCUAAACCUCUAACUGAACUCUUCAAGAAAGAUAAAAAGUUUGAGUGGACUCCACAAUGUGAGCACAGCUUCCAGGAACUGAAAAGACGCCUGACAUCUGCUCCCGUAUUGGUACCACCAGAUUUCUCUAAGGACUUUGUUAUCUAUUGCGACGCCUCGCGACAAGGACUAGGUUGCAUUCUUAUGCAAGAUCGUCACGUAAUUGCUUAUGCUUCACGGCAAUUGCACCCACAUGAGGAGAAUUAUCCUACUCAUGAUCUAGAGCUUGCAGCUGUAGUCUAUGCACUUAAAACCUGGCGACAUUACCUCCUCGGUAAUCGUUGCGAAAUCUUCACUGAUCACCAAAGUCUGAAGUACAUAUUCACCCAACCGGAUUUGAAUCUCAGGCAAAGACGUUGGGUCGAGUUGAUCAUAGAUUUCGACUUAGGGAUAACUUACACCCCAGGAAAGGCCAAUGUCAUGGCUGAUGCACUAAGUCGUAAAUCUUAUUGUAACAAUCUAAUGUUACAACAAAGUCAACCGCUUCUCCAUGAGGAAUUUCGGAAGCUUAAUCUUCACAUCGUUCCUCAAGGAUUUCUUUCCACCUUGGUGGCGAAACCUACUCUUACGGAUCAAAUCAUCGCUGCCCAAAAGCGAGAUAAAGGAAUAUCUAGGAUCAAGGAGAACAUUGCUAGCGGAGGUGCUAGAUGUUUCUCCACAAAUGAUCAUGGUGUUGUGUACUUUGAGAACCGUUUAGUGGUUCCCAAGAACCAGCAUCUACGGCAGUUGAUCCUUAAGGAGGCUCAUGAAUCUCCUCUCACCAUUCAUCCUGGUAGUACCAAGAUGUAUCAGGACCUACGCCAGAGGUUCUGGUGGACUAGGAUGAAGAGAGACAUUGCUCAGUUUGUUGCUAGUUGCGACGUCUGUCGUCGUGUAAAAGCAGAGCAUCAACGGCCUGCUGGCACCCUUCAAUCUUUAGCUAUUCCUGAAUGGAAAUGGGACAAAAUUGGUAUGGAUUUCAUUACCGGUUUUCCCACGACCAAGAGAGGGAAUAAUGCUAUCUUCGUCGUUAUCGAUCGUCUUUCCAAAGUGGCUCAUUUCUUACCUUUUCGCGAGAGUAUAACCGCUAGUCAACUAGCAGAUUUGUACAUCUCCUGGAUAGUAUCCCUCCAUGGUGUUCCACUGGAAAUUAACUCGGAUCGAGGAAGUCUCUUCACCUCUCGAUUUUGGGAAAGUUUCCAAAAUGCUAUGGGAACCCGCCUUUCCUUUAGCACUGCUUUUCACCCUCAAUCAAGUGGUCAAGUAGAACGUGUUAACCAGAUUCUAGAAGACAUGCUUCGAGCUUCUAUUAUCUCAUUCGGAAUGGAUUGGGAGAAAUGCCUUCCAUUUGCUGAAUUUGCUUAUAACAACAGCUACCAAUCUAGCUUGGGUAAAGCCCCUUUUGAAGUUCUCUAUGGACGAAGGUGUCGAACGCCUCUUAACUGGUCAGAAACCGGGGAAAGACAAUUCUUUGGCCCGGACAUGAUCCAGGAAGCAGAAGAGCAAGUUCGCAUUGUUCGUGAAAAGUUGAAAGCAGCCCAAUCUCGUCAAAAGAGUCAAUACGACCGAAAACAUAAGGCUAUGACUUUUGAGGUUGACGAGAAGGCUUACCUUCGGGUUACUCCUCUGAAGGGAACCCAUCGCUUCGGUAUCAAAGGCAAAUUGGCUCCUCGCUACAUUGGACCCUUUCGCAUUCUCGCUAAACGGGGAGAAGUUGCCUACCAAUUGGAACUACCUCCGCAUCUCUCCAGAGUCCACUAUGUCUUCCACGUUUCCCAACUCAGGCGUUGCUUCUCGGAUCCUAUCCGUGGAGUUGACCACGAAAUGCUUGAUCUUCAAGAUAACCUCACGUAUCGAGAGUACCCCGUUCGUAUCCUCGAUCAAGCCGAGCGUACCACUCGACAUCAUAAUAUCAAGUUUCUCAAGGUUCAAUGGUCGCACCAUUCUGAGAAGGAAGCAACUUGGGAAAGGGAGGAUCGUCUUCGACUUGAGUACCCUGCCUUCUUUCCGGAGGAACCUAAAUCUCGGGACGAGAUUCUUUUAAGUGGGGGUGAGUUGUCACACCCUAGCUAGUUCAUGCAUUAGAGUGUUGCAUCAUGUCUAUUUUUUUCAACAGAAACUUGAAAUGGGGAUGACAGAACCCCCAGCCCCCUCUGAAACCAACUAGGGUUUACUAAAAAUAUUUUCAAUGAACCUGAAAUGCCCUUCUAAAAUGUCCAUCAUUUUUGUCUUGGUUCAGAACCUCUGCCAAAAGUGGUGCUCAAUUUUCUAGGUCAUCCUAAGAUUUUUGAAUUAAAUCAUAAGUAUUUGAGUUUGGGCAUUUAAAUUAUAUAAAUUAUUUUAAAUGCUCAAAUAACCCCAAACUAAAACGUUCCAUGUUGUAUAUAUUCCAGAUAGUGGUCAUGAGCAGUUUGGGGAAUUUUGGAGUUGUUUAGGUAUUUUUAGUAAGUCCACAAAGUUACAGAAUAAUUAAAAAAGAUAAAUAAGAGAGAGAGAGAGAGUGAACUAACCUAGCAGCCCGCCUAGCCAGCCCGCCUAGCCGGCCCAGCCCAGCAGCCGCUCCAGCGAGCUGCUUGCCUUCGCCACGCAGGCAGGCAGGUGCUCGACGGCGACGCCAGCGCGCGCCACGCAGCUGCCCGCCGCCCUGCUUCCUCCUCUCACCUCGCUGCUGGCCUGGAUGACCUCCACGUCGUGCCCCGAACCCCGUGGACACACCCAUUCGCCCCCAGCUCCUCUCCCUUGCUCUCCCGCACCAUGGCCGACGCCACCGCAGCCGCACCAUCGUCGUUGUCGCGCUCUCCGUCGUCCUCGCGCCGCGCCACCGUGUCCAGGAGCUCCGCCGCCCUCCUCUACUUCGAGCUAGUCGAGCCCCGAAGCCACUGCACUGACCUCGCCGACUCCGCCGUCACCGGAGAUCCCCUUCGCCUUCACCGCCGCACCAGCUCAUCCCCGACCGCGCCGUCUGGUUCCUCGAGAUCGCCGUGAGCCCAGCUACCUCUCCCCCCUUUCCUCUCUCGUUCUCGUGCACCACAGCGAGCACACGGAGCUUCACCGCACGCACCGCCGCCGAGCUCGUCGCCGACGUGUCUCCGGCCAACCACCGGCCACACCACCAUGUCCAACGCACUCACCGCACCCGCAGGAACCCGUAGCAUCACUCCACGCGCCUCGCCGUGCCCCCUAGCAUCGAGUUCGACUUCACCCGAACUCCGGCAACCGCCAACGUCGUCGCCGGCGCCAUUUCCGGCCACCCCGAGCUCAACCACCACCACCAAGAGCUGUGGCUUGCUCCCAGCUACCCGUAGAUGCCCUCCGCCGCUCAUUUAGUCGUCGGAAUGCACAAAACCACUCUCGCCGCCGCGUUCGGCCUCGCUGGCGGCUAAACGCCAGUGAGUUGACCCUGCUGACCCCUCGUUUGACCAUGGGUGGGCCCAGUUUGACCCCCCUGGGUCAAUGACAGGUGGGGCCCAGCCCUGUUAACUAUCAGGAUUAGUUUUAAUUAAUAUUUAGCUAAACUAAAUACACUGACACACGGGACCCACUAGUCAGGGUUGACCUGGACUGUUCCGUCGCUGACGUCAUCCUGACGUAAUGCUGACGCAGUAAUUUAUUUACUGGAAUUAUUAUUACACAGGAAAUUCCAGUAAAUACCCUAAACUUUAAAAAAUCAUAGAAAUUAAUCUGUAACUCCAAAUGCAAAGUUUUAUAUAUGAAAAAUGAUCAGAAAAAUCCAAUCUAUCCAUCUGUACUGGUUUCAUGCAUGUUUAAGCAAGCUAACCUGAUGUUUAGAGCAGAACUAGAUAAAGCACUUAUAAGGGCCAUGUAUGAGUUUGAAACUUGAAUCUUGGAUUCAAAAUGGUUCAAACCCAUCUGAUCUUAGUUGCAUCAGCCCAACACACUCAUAUUGCCAUGUUUCAUGCAUGCAUCAUAUUGUUGCAUAUUGUUUGGUGAUGUUGUGUAUUGGUGCUCGUUGCGGCAGGUUCUGCCUCCGAGGAGUACCACGAUUACCCUAGCGAAGAUCAAUAUCAGUGCAUCGACCCAUCAGGCAAGCAACCAACCAUUUGAUCAUAUCGAUACAAUCCCAUGUUCUCGCUUCUGCUCUCUUUUAUUGCAUUAAGACAACGUGUUUCAAACUGUUGUGUGCUACGGUAGUUGAACCCAUUUCCUCUGCAUGACCUGUCAUUGCCACAGUAACUAGAUGAAACCCACUAGCAUGUGUAGGAGUUGAUUGAGCCAUAUGUAUGUGUUGUUCCUACCUUGCUAUGCCUGCUAUGCUUAGAGUCGUGUCAGGUCUGGUUCAUCUGGGCGAUGAGCUGGAGUGAAAUGAUCAUGCCGGUAAUAAGAGUGAUGCGGUGAACACGAUUUGGUAAAGGUAUCGAUGAGAGGCCAUGUAGGAGUACAUGGUGGGUUGUUUCAUUGAAGCCGACCUUAAGCACUGAGAUCUGUAUGUGUGAUUUAAGAUUCAGCUACUACCAUGCAUUGGGCCCUGAAAUAUGACCCCGCUCGACUUCUUAUUCACCCUAGCCCUCUGUCCAGGAGUUGCAAGUAGUUUCUGGUGUUUGUAGCUUACUGGAGGCCGUGGACAGCGCUGACCCGCGGGGUGGGCUAUGAUGCGGUAGGUAUGUGGCAUGGUGUACCGGAUACCCGUUAGGUAUCUCGGGAACCCUGUACACAUCGUUCGGGGCCGUAUGGGAAACCUCGGCCGGACUCCCUGCGGAUGGAACCUGGAUAGGCGAUAAACCUGGACUAGAGACUUACGUGUUUAGAUAGGUCGUGGUCUACACCCACGUCGGCUUUCGCUUGAAGUCUGCCGAGCACAUGUCGUGUGCAGACGCUAAGUGGUGGAAACAUGUAUGAAGAAGUACACCCCUGCAGGGUUAACAUUAUCUAUUCGAAUAGCCGCGUCCGCGGUAAAGGACUACUUGGUUGCCUAUACAGUUCAUAGACAAGUAAAUGGAUACUACUAAAAAUCUCAAGAUAAGCGUGAGUGCCGAGGAUGGCUCUUCCGUAGGAUGACGGAGGUGGAUCCUCGGUGGUGUAUUGAAGUGGUGAGUAGUGGACUCGUGUGCACAAAACCAUUUCAAGUUGGUGUAUCGUAGGAUAGCUUAGCCAAGAGUCAAAGCUGGCUUGCUGCAAUAACCCCACCAACCCUUCUUGAUAAUGUGCAUGUAUGUAGGAUCUGAUGUAAGUCUUGUUGAGUACCUUUGUACUCAUGUUGCUUUAAUUUACAUUUUUCAGAAGACGCUGCAACCCCUUCUGAUGGGUUCUUCGUAGAAGUUGACAUCGAUGAGUGGACUGAGGCCCAGGUGGUGACCCUGAGCUUGUGAAGGACCACGUAGUAUAGCCAGGCUUUCCAAGCCUCUUUUAUUUUACUAGUCGUCUGUACUCAGACAAGUUACUUCCGCUGUUGUCUUGUAUGUCUGUAUGACUUGGAUGUGGGUCGUGUGACCCGUACUUGUGUGUAUGCUAUGUAUGGCUCUCUGAGCCCUUAAAUAAAGUACUUGUAUUGUAGAGUCAUGUUGUGAUGCCUUGUUGUAUUUGCACAUAUCGAGCAUAUUGUGUGUAUGAUUGAAAUGCUUGGUAUGUGUGGGAUCUGACUAUCUAGUUGUUUAUUCUUAGUAGCCUCUCUUACCGGGAAAUGUCUCCUAGUGUUUCCACUGAGCCUUGGUAGCUUGCUACUGCUCCGGGACACUUAGGCUGGCCGGCAUGUGUCCUUCUUCGUUCCUGUGCCUGUCCCUUCGGGGAAAUGUCACACGAUGGAUACUGGAGUCCUGUUAGUUUGCUACAGCCCGGUUUACCGGAGUCCUGCUAGCCCAGUGCUACAGCCCGGAUUCACUUGCUGAUGACCGACACGUUCGAUGCUGGGUCAUGGAUGCCUGUCCCUGUAAGUCUGUGCCACUUUGGGUUUACGACUUGCCAUGUCAGCACGGGCUCCUUACCAUAUGGAUGGUAGCUCAGAUUCAGUACCAUGGAUGAAUCCUACGAACGCACGCUUCAUGGCGGGCUGAACCGGGCAGGCCUCACACGUUGAGCCGUCUCGACGAGGUCGGUGCAGAUGUCUGGCUCAGGGCCCGGUUCACCGAUCUUGCCGACGAAGACGUGAAUUCCUCCGAAGGGGACCCGGUACCCGUACUCGAUUGAGCAGGCGUCAGGGCCCCAGCCUGCAUUGUCGAUGUAGAGCUUGCCACGACGACUCUUGGUCAUCCGGCCCACUGCAAUCCCUUGAGCCCUUCGAACUUGCCCUCCAAGAACUUGAAACCGUCAUGCGAUAGCCCCAUGGUGGGCGCCAACUUCGUGGAAUUAUCACGUCAGAUGUCCUAGUGUGAGGACUUAGUCGUGGAGCCAUCGCGACUAGGUUAGCUUAGAGGGGUUAAACCGAAAAAAGGACACUGGGAGUUUAUACUGGUUUGGCCCCUUGCGGUGAAGGUAAAAUCCUACGAUCCAGUUGUGGUGUUUUUGAUGGGGUCUCGGUCACCAGGGAGCAAAUACGCUUUGCCUAGUUCUCGAGUUGUUGUUUCCUGUCCCUGAACCGCCCUUGGGUCGUCCCUUUAUAUACACAGCUUGACGCCCGGCCGGUCUACAGAAUCCCGAGGCCGACUUAUACAAGUGUCCGGCUCGGUUUCUUCCUUUCCCUAACUUACAACACAAGUUACACAUAUCAAGGCGGUUUAUAUACGUGGGCCCUAAUCCGCCAUUGGGCUCUGGGCCUCUAAACUUCUGUAGUAAAGUGCCAUCGUCUUCGUCUUCAUGGGCUUCUGUACAGAUGACUCCUUGUGAGUAUAAUCCGGCCCCUCCUGGGCGGUUUAUACUCAGUAGUCAUAUCUCCAACAGUCGGGUUGUCAGUGAGUACUCUAAUAACAAUGUUUAUUAUUUAUCUAACUAGCCUAAUUAGAGGCAGGGGCCACACGUUAGUGGGGGUUUAGUGGGUAAUCCACGCGGGGUCCACUUAUCGGUGGCCCACGGGGUGUUUCGAACGGUCGGCGUGCGAUGGUUACCAAACCAACAGCGGCGACACGCCAGAGUGCAUCAGAAAAACGCGCAUCGGGCACCAUUUUGGAUGCAGCCAGAUGCGUUCGAACGCACGCAGUAGAGCGUCUCGAACGGGGGCUCUGCCUCGACCGGAUAUGGUCGGGAACGGCGACGGCGAUGAACUGAGGCAGCAAAAUCGGGCACGGGGGGAGAGGGGUUUCAUGGCAGAGCUCAUAGUGGAGUCGUAGGGCGUGGCAGCAAGCUCGAGGGAGGCUCGGGGUGGCCGGAGUCGGUGGCGGUGUGCGGUGGCACGAGGAAUCCGAGUGCGGGGCGGCGUCGCAGGGGCGUCUUGACUCGUACGCGUCGUCGGGGCGAGGAAGUGGUCGAUGACAAGGCGUGUGAUGGGGCGGUCCGACGCGGCGAGGGCGGCGAAGGGGGUUGGCGAGGUCGCCGACGGGAGGUAGGAGGCAGACGGGGCGAUGUGCUGUCCUGCUUGAGCGUGGGUUUGUCGUGUGUGUGCGGGAGGGAGGCAGCGUGGUUGGGGGCGGCAAGGCACCAGCGGGGAAGAGCUCCGGCGCAUAGUGGUGGCGAAGACGGGUGGAGCGGGAGCGAACGAAGGGAGGAGAGGCGUGCGAAGGGGUGUCGGGCACGAGGCGUUUCGCCUCUGGGCGUGCGGCGGCACGAGGGAUGGCGAGGGGAGUGAGGGGGUCGAGUAGGAGGAGUGGGGAGGUCGCUAGGGUUAGGUCUCAGGGGUGUGGGGGGCAUAUAGGCCAAGGCUGGGCUGGCACGUGUAUUGGCCUGCUAGGCCAAACGGCCCGGGGAGAGGGGGGGACUUUUUCUAUUUUUUCAUUCCUUUUUCUAUUUUUCUACUUAUGUUUCAAUUCUAGUUUCUUUUAUGUUUAGUAUUAUAAACUAUAAAAAUAAUCUCUAAGUUAGCAUUACUAAAUAUAAUACUGCCACUACAAUUUGGGUACCCCAACUGAAAAAUAGUUUAACAUUUUAUAAAUUAUAAGAGGUUUUUAAUAAAAAAAUUUGCUGUUGUUUUAUUUAUUUUAAAGCAUUUAAGCAUUUUAUAACAAUGUGGUUUCUUCACCAUAUUUACUUAUGAAUUAUUUGGCUCGCACCGAACUUUUUAGUUUUAACAUUCGAAAACUUUUAUUGUUUGUUUCAUUUAGAAUUUGAAUCCGAACCGGUCUCGAACUAACACGAGAUUAGCAAUAGAAAUCGGGGUGACAUGGCAUCAUUAGCAGAGGUUCGAUGUAGCUUAAAUAUCCGGGCGGCCCAUUGCUCAAGAGGUAGCAAGAAGGAUUUUUGGCACCGUUGCCGGGGAGGUCUUCGCUCAAGUCAAUAUAUACCAAGUACCCAUCACAAACUCUUCUCCCUCGCAUUACAUUAUUUGCCAUUUGCCUCUCGUUUUCCUCUCCCCCACUUCUAAAACGAUUUUCAAAAACCUUUGCCUUUUCUUCGCCCCUCUUUCAUUCGAUCUUAUGUUUGCUUGUGUCUCCAUGUGCCUUCUAUGUGCUUGCACAUUUGCUUGCUAAAAAUCUAUUGAUAUGGAUCCACUUAAAGUGUUCUACUUGGAUCAUCUUUGAUCCUUAUGUGCUCGUGCUGAAACCCCGACUAGCCUAGUUGAUGGGAAAUCUUUAGAUGAGCAUGCUCAUUUUGUGCGUCACCGUUUGUCUGAAAAAGGGAGACUCUUAUGGGAUCAAAUAAACAGAUUGUUGUGCUAUGCUUGGAAUCUUUGUGAAAUUUAUGAUUUUACUUGUUGCUCUAAGAACCCUAAAAAACACCUUCCCUACCUAUGUGAGUUUAAUGAAAAUGAAAUCUUAUCUUCUUAUGCAAAGGGUGUUUAUAAUUACUAUAAUAUCAAACAAAUUUAAUAAUUUGUUGCUUUUAAGGGUUCUUAUGAAGUUGCUUCUUUGAUUGAAAAGUAUGAUAUUACACUCUACAAAUCUGAAAAUUUUGACAUACUUAAAUAUUGCUAUGAAAACUAUGCUCAUAAUGUCUAUGUCAAAGAAUUUAUUGAGAGAAUGACUAUUGCUUUGGAAGAAAAUAAUGAUAUGCAUGAAUCUAUAGAUAAUGAUUCCGAUUAUUUGAUUGAAAUAUCCCUUGAUGAACAUGAUGCUUGCUAUUCUUGUGGCCAUGAUGCCAAUAUUUAUGAAGAUGAAUUUGAUAUAGUUCCUUAUGUUAAACAUGAGAUCGUUGUUAUUGCACCCAUGCUUGGUAGUUCCUUCAAUAAAAAGCAUGAUUGCAAUGAUGUUACUAUAAAUUAUCUUAAUGUCAAUUGUGUUAAUGAUAUGCAAAACCUCAAGCUUGGGGAUGCAAGUUUUGCUAUGUCUACUAUUUGUUGCAAUGAUCAUGAUUGGGGUGAUUCUUCUUAUGAUCUUGAAAAUUUAUUUAAGCCCCAUGAUGAAUAUGAGAUUGAUAAUAAUGUUUGCAAUAAUAUUGAAAGUGGGUUUGGAAGGGUGUCAACUUUAGAUCCCACAUAUUUGGAGAAUGUUCAAUCUUAUGGUGUUUUUGAUAAAAGUGGGUUUGAAGAGGUCAUGACUUUAACUAUGCAUGCAUGUGGAUCAUGUUGAAAAUAUUUUAUCUGAUACCUAUUUUGUUGAAUUUUAUUAUGAUCCCACAUGUAAUUAUUACGAGAGAGGAAAAUAUGGUCAUAGAAAUUUUUAUCUUACUAAAUUACCUCCCAUCGUGUUGAGAUUGCUAUCGUCCAUUUCUUCUUCCUUGCAUAUACUAGUUUUUGCUUGCAUUGAAAAUUUGUUUGCUUAUAAUAUGCCUACGCAUAGGAAGUAUGUUGGACUUAGGUGUGUUUGUCACGUGUUUCAUGAUGCUCUCUUUGCGCUUCAAUUCUUGUCUUUCAUGUGAGCAUCAUUAAAAUUAUCAAUGCCUAGCUAAAAGGCUUUAACAAAAUGCGCUCGUUGGGAAACAACCCAAUAUUUUUAUUUGCUGUUAUUCAAUAAAUAAUUCAUCUAGCCUAUUUUUAGAUGUGGUUUUAUGUUUUAAUUAGUGUUUGUGCCAGGUAGAACCUUUGGAAAGACUUGGGUGAAGUCUUUAUGAUCUUGCUGUAAAAAACAGAAACUUUAGCGCUCACGAGAUUAGCUGCCAUUAUUUACUGGAGAGUGAUUUUAGGUUGAUUAUUUUUUCAGAUGAUUAAUAGACAAAUUCAUCACGUCCACCAAUUUAAUUCAGAAUUUUUGGAGUUGCAUAAGUAUUCUAAAGUUACAGAUUGCUACAGGCUGUUCUGUUUUUGACAAUUUCUGUUUUUCGUGUGUUGUUUGCUUAUUUUGAUGAACCUAUGGCUAGUAUCGGGGGGUAUGAACCAUAGAGAAGUUGGAAUACAGUAGGUUGAACACCAAUAUAAAUAAAUAAUGAGUUCAUUAAAUUAACUUAAGUAGUGGUUUUUCUUUCUUGCUCUGAUGGAGCUUAUGAGAUUUUCUGUUGAGUUUUGUGUUGUGAAGUUUUCAAGUUUUGGGUAAAUAUUUGAUGGAUUACGGAAUAAGGAGUGGCAAGAGCCUAAGCUUGGGGAUGCACAAGGCACCCCAAGAUAAAUUCAAGUACAACCAAAAGCCUAAGCUUGGGGAUGCCCCGGAAGGCAUCCCCUCUUUCGUCUUCGUCUAUCGGUAACUUUACUUGGGGCUAUAUUUUUAUUCACCACAUGAUAUGUGUUUUGCUUGGAGCAUCUUGUAUGACAUGAGUAUUUGCUUUUUAGUUUACCACAAUCAUCCUUGCUGUACACACCUUUUGGGAGAGACACACAUAAUUCAGAAUUUAUUAGAAUACUCUAUGUGCUUCACUUAUAUCUUUUGAGCUAGAUAAUUUUGCUCUAGUGCUUCACUUAUAUCUUUUUAGAGCACGACGGUGGUUUUAUUUUGUAGAAAUUAUUGAUCUCUCAUGCUUCACUUAUAUUAUUUUGAGAGUCUUUCAGAACAGCAUGGUAUUUGCUUUGGUCAUUAAAUUAGUCCUAAUAUGAUGGGCAUCCAAGUUGGGUAUAAUAAAAACUAUCAUAUAGAGUGCAUUAAACACUAUGAUCAAUUUGAUACUUGAUAAUUGUUUUGACAUAUAGAGGUGGUAAUAUUAGAGUCAUGCUAGUUGGGUAAUUAUGAAAUUGAGAAAUACUUGUGUUGAAGUUGGCAAGUCCCGUAGCAUGCAUGUAUGGUAAAAGUUGUCAAAUUUGUAGCAUGGGGUGCUCUUUGAUUGCCUUCCUUAUGUGUGGAGGUCGGGAUAGCGCGAUGGUUAACUCCUACCAACCCUUCCCCUAGGAGCAUGCGUAGUAGUACUUUGCUUCGAGGGCUAAUAAAUUUUGCAAUAAGUAUAUGAGUUCUUUAUGACUAAUGUGAGUCCAUGGAUUAUACGCACUCUCACCCUUCCACCAUUGCUAGCCUCUCUUGUGCCGCGCAACUUUCGCUGGUAUCAUAAACCUCCUUAUAUCUUACUCAAAACAGCCACCAUACCUACCUAUUAUGGCAUUUCCAUAGUGAAAGCACAAGUGCUCCCUAGGUGGUUUUGGUAAUUAAUGUUAAAGUAUCUCUUGUUGGACUAACACUUUUACCUAGCAUGUUUCAGACAAGUUCAACAGUGGAGUGGCCUGGACUAAAGGAUGUGGAACCCCUUCAAGAUGCUAAGGACAAAGGAUUGGCUCAAGCUUCAAGCUCAAGACUCUUAAUUUUAUAUUUUAGUGAUCAAAGAUCACAUUGAGUCUAUAGGAAAAGCCAAUACUAUCAAGGAGGGAUGAGGUGUUGCUUAAUGGCUUGCUUGCUCAAAGUGCUUAGUGAUAUGCUCCAAAACCCACAACUAGUUUCCCACAUCCACAUUUGUCCUAAACCUAAAAGUCUAACUUAUCCCCACCGAUUCUUUCUAUCCGGUGCCACCAAGUUCAGAUAUCAUAGCUACUGCCACAAACCCUAGGAAAAUCGGUCUCACCGACAGGGAUCUCGGUCUCACCGAGAUGGGAUUGUAAUCUCUCUGUGUAUGUCCAUUACCAAAAUCGGUCUCACCGAGUUUGAGCAAUUGGUCCUACCGAGAUUACAAUGCAAACUCUCUGGUUAACUUAUUACCAAAAUCGGUCCCACUGAGUUUGAGUAAUCCGUCCCACCGAGUUUGCGUGACCAACUCUCUAGUUAGCUUAUUACCAAAGUCGGUCUCACCGAGUUUGUGUAAUCGGUCUCACCAAGAUUACGUUAUGCCCUAACCCUAACCAUAUCGGUCCUACCGAGUUGCAUAUCAGUCCCACCGAAAAUCCUAACAGUCACAUUGUUUACUAAAUCGGUCUGACCGAGUUUGUUGAUUCGGUCCCACCGAGAUUGGUAAAUUGUGUGUAACGAUUAGAUUUUGUGUGGAGGCUAUAUAUACCCCUCCACCUCCUCUUCAUUCGUGGAGAGAGCCAUCAGAACGAACCUACACUUCCAACUUACCAUUUCUGAGAGAGAACCACCUACUCAUGUGUUGAGGCCAAGAUAUUCCAUUCCUACCAUAUGAAUCUUGAUCUCUAGCCUUCCCCAAGUUGCUUUCCACUCAAAUAUUCUUUCCACCAGAUCCAAAUCCUGUGAGAGAGAGUUGAGUGUUGGGGAGACUAUCGUUUGAAGCACAAGAGCAAGGAGUUCAUCAUCAACACACCAUUUGUUACUUCUUGGAGAGUGGUGUCUCCUAGAUUGGCUAGCUGUCACUUGGAAGCCUCCGACAGUAUUAUGGAGUUGAACCAAGGAGUUUGUAAGUGCAAGGAGAUCGCCUACUUCGUGAAGAUCUACCGCUAGUGAGGCAAGUCCUUCGUGGGCGACGGCCAUGGUGGGAUAGACAGGGUUGCCUCUUCGUGGACCCUUCGUGGGUGGAGCCCUCCGUGGACUCGUGCAACCGUUACCCUUCGUGGGUUGAAAUCUCCAUCAACGUGGAUGUACGAUAGCACCACCUAUCGGAACCACGGCUCAAAAAUCAACGUGUCUCCAAAUUGCGUUUGAAAUCUCCAAACCCUUCCCCUUUACAUUCUUGCAAGUUGCAUGCUUUACUUUCCGCUGCUCAUAUACUCUUUGCAUGCUUGCUUGAAUUGUGAAGAUUGCUUGACUUGUGCUAAGUUUGCCAAAAUCUGCCAAAGACUAAAAUUGGGAAAAGGCAUAGUCUUUAAUUGGUCUAGUAGUCUAAUCACCCCCCCCCCCUCUAGAAUUACUUCUUAGAGAUCCUACAAGUGGUAUCAGAGCUUUGGUCUCCAUUGCCUUGGUUUAAUCACCAUUGGAGGAAGAUGGAUGAGUCUACUUUGGGGGGUCUUAGACGUAGAGUGCCUAUACUUGAUGGAGAGUUUUUCAUGAGCGGAAAAAUGAGAUGCUUGUAAUUUUCAAUCAAUAUCAUUUGAACAAGUACAUUAGUCCUUGUGCACCUUAUGUUGAUCCUAUGCAUCCUACCCUUGAUGAGUCGAUUGACAUGAUUAGGAAUGUUAGAACUGUUGAUCUUAUCACUAGAGGCUUGCCUAGAAACUUGAUUGGAAAACUGCCUACUCUUGAGUGUGCCUACACUAUAUGGAAAUUUCUUGAGGAACGAUUUCCUAAUUACUCUUUGAAAAAUCUGGAUGAAAUUCUUCAUAAGUCUAUUGCCUUGAGUAAGAUGAAUUCCAAUGGUCCUAUGUUUAGUAAUCGUCUAUUUGAACUUACAAAUCUUAUGCGUGCCAAAGGAAAUGUCGGAAUUAUUAGCGAUAUUACUUCCGAAGCAACUAGACUUCAUAAAGGAGAUCAUUGUGAAACUCAUACUAAUGAAUCACCCUUACUAGGAAUUGAUCCACCACAUGACGAUCUUGAACAUGGAUACUAUGAUGAGGAUUAUGAUGAUGACUUUGAUCUUGAUGAUGCAAUGAGACACUUUGGUCUUAUGGCAAAUCUUCGGGGAUAUAUGGCAGGAGGAAAGGAAUGGGUUCUUGACAGUGGAUGUACCAAUCACAUGACCGGAGAUAAAGACAUGUUUCAUGAGCUUGCUGAAAAUGAUGGUCCUCGAAAGUAUGUCACCUUCGGUGACAACUCAAAGGGUAAGGUGGUUGGCCUCGGUAAGGUGGCCAUCUCACAUGACAGCUCCAUUCAGAAUGUUAUGCUCGUUGAAUCUCUUGGCUACAACUUACUCUCAGUAUCUAGACUUGCUGAUUUCGGUUUCAGUGUCCUAUUUAUUGAAGUAUAUUGCCAAGUGUUUUGUAGAGACAAUCAUAAAAUGGUCUUUACCGGUAUACGUAGAGGUGAUCUUUACAUUGUUGAAUUCACUAAAAAGGCUCAACCUAGAACUUGCUUCAUUGCUAAAUCCUCUAAAGGUUGGUUAUGGCAUAGACGACUAGGUCACGUUGGCAUGAGAAACCUUGACAAGCUUAUUAAAGGGAAUCAUAUCCUUGGUGUUAACGAUGUCAUAUUUGAGAAGGAUAGACUUUGCAGUGCUUGUCAAGCAGGUAAACAGGUUGGAGGAAGGCAUCCCGUGAAGAACAUCAUGACCACAAGGAGGCCACUUGAGCUACUUCACAUGGAUCUCUUUGGUCCCAACACUUACAAAAGUCUCGGUGGAAAUUCUUUUGGUCUAGUUAUAGUUGAUGAUUUUUUAAGAUUUACGUGGGUGUUCUUUCUCGAUGAUAAAUUGCAGGUCCAAAAGAUCUUCAAAAACUUCGCCAGGAAGGCUCAAAAUCAAUUUGAAGUGAAGAUCAAGAAGGUUCGCAGCGACAACGGAAUGGAGUUCAAGACGCAAUGUGGACACCUUUCUUGACGAAGAAGGGGUCUCACAUGAGUUCUCGGCUACGUACACACCUCAACAAAAUGGAGUUGUUGAGAGGAAGAACCGGACGCUCAUCGAAAUGGCAAGAACGAUGCUUGAUGAGUACAAGACGCCGAAGCACGUUUGGGCAGAAGCGGUUGAGACAGCUUUUCAUGCAACAAAUCGCUUGUAUCUUCACAAGCUACUCCGCAAGAUGGCAUACGAUCUUCUCACCGGUAACAAACCCCAAGUUGCAUACUUUCGAGUAUUCGGCUCAAAGUGCUACAUUCUUGAUAAGCAUCGUCGUUCUAAAUUUGCUCCCAAGUCUCAUGAAGGUUUCCUACUUGGUUAUGGCUCAAACUCUCGCACAUACUGUGUCUACAACAAUUUCACCCGAAAGGUUGAAGAGACGGUAGAUGUGAAGUUUGAUGAAUCUAACGGCUCGCAAGUAGAGCAAUUGCCAAUUGAUGUAGGAGACAAAGAUCCCUCGGAAGCGAUCAGGGACUUGUCUAUUGGCAAGAUUCGUCCAACGGAAGUGAAGGAGAGUACCUCGUCCGUCCAAGUGGAAGCUUCUACAUCACGACAAGGUGAACCAAGAGUUGAUACGGAAGCAUCCAUAAGUGGGACACACCAAGAUGAAGAAAACGAGGAAGUACACCAAGAACGUCAACAACCUCCUUCUCCACCAGGACAAGAGAACGACAACGCCAAUAAUGAAGAAGGGCAAGAAGAAGAAGAAGAUGAAGAAGAUGUUCAACCAAGACCCUAGAAAAAGCUUUCAUGAGUUCGAGCAAGAAUUGCUAAAGACCAUCCCGUCGAGCAAAUCUUCAAUGAUAUCCAAACCGGGAGAAUCACUCGCUCUAAAACUCGUUUAGCUAACUUUUGUGAACACUAUUCAUUCAUCUCUAGCAUUGAACCUAUGAAGGUCGAAGAAGCAUUGGAAGAUCCGGAUUGGAUAAAUGCUAUGCAUGAAGAGCUACACAACUUUGAGAGAAAUCAAGUUUGGACAUUGGUUGAGAAGCCCGACAACAACCACAACAUCAUCGGUACUAAAUGGGUGUUUCGCAACAAGCAAGAUGAAGAUGGACAAGUAGUUCACAACAAAGCACGUCUCAUUGCCCAAGGUUACACACAAGUCGAAGGUAUGGACUAUGGUGAGACUUAUGCUCCCGUUACUAGACUUGAGUCCAUUUCCAUCUUACUUGCCUAUGCUAAUCACCAUGAUAUCACAUUGUACCAAAUGGACAUUAAAAGUGCUUUUCUAAAUGGUGAAAUAGAGGAGGAAGUUUAUGUUAAACAACCUCCCAGCUUUAUUAAUCCUAAGAAACCCAAUCAUGUCUACAAACUUCGCAAAGAUCUUUAUGGUCUUAAACAAGCCCCUAGAGCUUGGUAUAAAUGCUUAACCAAGUUCCUUACUAAAAAAGGCUUUGAAAUUGGAAAAAUUGAUUCUACACUUUUUACUAAAAGGGUUAAUGGAGAAUUAUUUGUAUGCCAAAUUUAUGUUGAUGAUAUUAUAUUUGGAUCAACUAACCCUCAUUUUAGUGAGAAGUUUGGAAAGCUAAUGUCGGAGAAGUUUGAGAUGUAAUGAUGAGUGAACUCAAAUUCUUUCUUGGGUUGCAAAUCAAGCAAACUAAGGAAGGUACUUUUGUCUCUCAAACGAAGUACACUAAGGACUUAUUCAAGAAGUUCAAUAUGCAAGAAUGCAAAGGUAUGACUACACCCAUGCCUACUAGUGGACAUCUUGAUUUGACCAAAGAUGGUGAACCGGUUGAUCAAAAGGUUUAUCGCUCUAUGAUUGGUUCAUUGUUAUACCUAUGUGCUUCACGUCCCGAUAUUAUGCUAAGUGUGUGCAUGUGUGCAAGAUAUCAAGCCGCACCUAAAGAAUGUCAUCUUAAGGCCGUGAAAAGGAUAGUGAGAUAUUUAAUUCAUACGUCAAAUUUUGGCAUUUGGUAUCCUAAGAGGGCCUCUUUCAAUCUUGUUGGCUACUCUGACUCGGACUAUGCCGGAGACAAGGUUGAUAGAAAGUCCACUUCGGGUACUUGUCAAUUCCUUGGUAGAUCUCUUGUGUCUUGGUCUUCCAAGAAACAAAACUCGGUAUCCUUAUCCACCGCCGAAGCGGAAUACAUUGGCGCUGGUUCAUGUUGUGCUCAAUUACUUUGGAUGACCCAAACUCUUAAAGAUUAUGGGAUAUAUGUGAAACAUGUUCCAUUACUUUGUGACAAUGAAAGUGCUAUCAAAAUUGCUCAUAAUCCUGUGCAACAUUCUUGAACAAAGCAUAUUGAAGUUCGUCAUCAUUUCAUUCGAGAUCAUGUUGCUAAGGGUGACAUUAAUCUCAAGCAUGUUCGCACCGACAAGCAAUUAGCAGAUAUUUUCACUAAACCACUUGAUGAGAAAGUGUUUUGCGGGUUAAGAGGUGAAUUGAACAUCAUUGAUGCUUCAAAAUUGGAGUAGAAACUCCAUUGGAUACAUGCAAGACAUGAGCUCAUGACUAAUCCUUGAUAUUUCUCGUAUGAUGAUAAUCUUAUGUCAUGGAUAUAUUUGCAUCUUGCAUGUCAUCUAACUUUUGUAGGAAUUUGGAGGAAUCUAAAUCUAUGAUAUUGCAACACACUCACAUAUUGAGCAAUCUCAACAUCUCCAAAGGUUCUACAUAAUGGUGGUUGAAGACAAGGAAGCAAAAUUCAUACACACAUAUCCUUUGACAAAUUCUAUGUUGAAAUUUGUUAUUUUGGAUACACAAGUGCUCUUCCUUGCAAGAACUAACUCAUGUAGGUAGAUGAACUCAAAUUCCAAGUGGUGCUCCCAACUCUUGAUGAGCUACAUCAACCUUGAGCAACCCACACAAGUUCAACUGCAUGAUCAACAUCACCACCCAAGGUAUGUCAUUCCAUCUUAGAGAAGCUUUACUCCAAGACAUGAGUUAAAGCAACUCGACAAUAUGUGAAUACAUCAAGAUGCUUAAACGAUAAAUGGUAACCCCAUUAUGAGCUUAAACGAUGAGUAUGACCCAUGGUCAAGUGAUCUCACUUGACUCCUAAGUCAAUAUACUCUAACAUAGGUGACUUUGUCGCCGACCAUCUCUAGAUGAAGUUCUCUUGUGUUCUUUUCUGUGCUCUUGCAUUUGUCUCAUGCAUAUUUGUUUCUCCUUCUUUCAAAAAAAACUUCAUCUAGAUUUCUUUUACAGUUUCUUCUUGUUUACUGUUUGUUCUGCAUUUCCUGCAUCCAAUUCAUUGCAAAUCCUUGUGAGAUCUUACUAGUCUAGUGAGCUGAGGUGACAAGUGUUUUCUCUGCGGUGAACUCGGUCACACCGAUUUGUUGUUUUCGGUCCAACCGAAUCCUUUCGGUGCAACCGAAGCAUACCACUCGGUGCCAUCGACUUCACAACAGGAAAAAUAUUUUGCCACUUAUUCUUAUUUCUUUAGAUCCAGCUCCACUCAAUGAAUCUUGUCCUCUACAAGCAUCACAUUUUUAUCAGUGCUUUGCACUGUGACUCAAGGACCAAACCCAUUCACGACAAAUUCCAGAAGGCCCUUCUUGGAAAUUGAUGUCAAAGGGGGAGAGAGAGAUCACAUCAAAGCUUAUCACUUCCAAAGGGAGAGAAAGUAUCACUUCCACAGGGGGGAGAAAGAUCUCCAGGGGAGAGAAUACUCAAGAAGAGAGUAAUCCUUAAGGAUCCCAGAUGCUUUGUGUUCAAGAGGAGAGAUGUCACAUGUCUUCUUGAGGGGAAAGACAUGUUCUUAUGUGCCUAUUUGCAUGUUUUCCUGUUCCCUAUCUUCUCCCAGUAUCCCAUGCUAGAUUCAGGGGGAGCAAGACAUCUAAGGGAAAGAAAUUCCUUACAUUCAUUGCACAUAUUUACCUUUGGGGGCAUGUCUAUGUGGUACUUAGUACUCACUCUCUACAUGUCAUCCCAGUCUUGGUAUUCUUGUGGUUUCUUCUAUUUGCUUUGGCUAGUAGGUAUAUCUGUGUUAUCUAACCUUGUUUACGCAGGUUCAUUCCAUCCUAAGCCAACUCAAGACCACAAGGUAAGUAUAUGCAUCACAGUCAUGUGUAUGAGGAAUUCUUGCUGAUGUACAUAUUGUUUGCAAGGACUCAUGAACAUGAAGGUACAUUUCCCACAUACACAUCUGUUGCUAUCUUUUGCCCUGAUGCAUAUGGCCAAGAUACAUGUAACACAUUGCUUACUCUGUCAUGUUCAUGCAUUCACAUGCUUCUAUAUUCCAUAUUCACAUGAGUGCAUACAUGUAGGGGGAGCCUAUGCUUGUUACAUGUCUUUCCAAAGCUUUACUUGCUAUUCUCUAUAUUCUUAUCUAAAGCUUUGAUGUAUGUUGUCAUCAAUUACCAAAAAGGGGGAGAUUGAAAGCACAAGUGGUCCCUAGGUGGUUUUGGUAAUUAAUGUUAACAUAUCUCUUGUUGGACUAAGACUUUUACCUAGCAUGUUUCAGACAAGUUCAACAGUGGAGUGGCAUGGACUAAAGGAUGUGGAACCCCUUCAAGAUGCUAAGGACAAAGGAUUGGCUCAAGCUUCAAGCUCAAGACUCUUCAUUUUAUAUUUUAGUGAUCCAAGAUCACAUUGAGUCUAUAGGAAAAGCCAAUAUCAAGGAGGGAUGAGGUGUUGCUUAAUGGCUUGCUUGCUCAAAGUGCUUAGUGAUAUGCUCCAAAACCCACAACUACUUUCCCACAUCCACAUUUGUCCUAAAGCUAAAAGUCUAACUCGGCCCCACCAAUUAUUUCUAUCCGGCGCCAUCGAGUUCAGAUGUCAUAGCCACUGCCACAAACCCUAGGAAAAUCGGUCUCACCGACAGGGAUCUCGAUCUCACCGAGAUGGGAUUGUAAUCUCUCUGUGUAUGUCCAUUACCAAAAUCGGUCUCACCGAGUUUGAGCAAUCAGUCCUACCGAGAUUACAAUGCAAACUCUCUAGUUAACUUAUUACCAAAAUCGGUCCCAUCGAGUUUGAGUAAUCGGUCCCACCGAGUUUGCCUGACCAACUCUCUGGUUAGCUUAUUACCAAAGUCGGUCUCACCGAGUUUGUGUAAUCGGUCUCACCGAGACUACGUUAUGCCCUAACCCUAACCACAUCGGUCCUACCGAGUUGCAUAUCAGUCCCACCGAAAAUCCUAACGGUCACAAUGUUUACUAAAUCGGUCUGACCGAGUUUGUUGAUUCGGUCCCACCGAGAUUGCUAAAUUGUGUGUAACGGUUAGAUUUGUGUGGAGGCUAUAUAUACCCCUCCACCUCCUCUUCAUUCGUGGAGAGAGCCAUCAGAACGAACCUACACUUCCAACUUACCAUUUCUGAGAGAGAACCACCUACUCAUGUGUUGAGGCCAAUAUAUUCCAUUCCUACCAUAUGAAUCUUGAUCUCUAGCCUUCCCCAAGUUGCUUUCCACUCAAAUCUUCUUUCCACCAGAUCCAAAUCCUGUGAGAGAGAGUUGAGUGUUGGGGAGACUAUCAUUUGAAGCACAAGAGCAAGGAGUUCAUCAUCAACACACCAUUUGUUACUUCUUGGAGAGUGGUGUCUCCUAGAUUGGCUAGGUGUCACUUGGGAGCCUCCGACAAGAUUGUGGAGUUGGACCAAGGAGUUUGUAAGGGCAAGCAGAUCGCCUACUUCGUGAAGAUCUACCGCUAGUGAGGCAAGUCCUUCGUGGGCGACGGCCAUGGUGGGAUAGACAAGGUUGCUUCUUCGUGGACCCUUCAUGGGUGGAGCCCUCCGUGGACUCGUGCAACCGUUACCCUUCGUGGGUUGAAGUCUCCAUCAACGUGGAUGUACGAUAGCACCACCUAUCGGAACCACGGCUCAAAAAUCACCGUGUCUCCAAAUUGUGUUUGAAAUCUCCAAACCCUUCCCCUUUACAUUCUUGCAAGUUGCAUGCUUUACUUUCCGCUGAUCAUAUACUCUUUGCAUGCUUGCUUGAAUUGUGAAGAUUGCUUGACUUGUGCUAAGUUUGCUAAAAUCUGCCAAAGACUAAAAUUGGGAAAAGGCAUAGUCUUUAAUUGGUCAAGUAGUCUAAUCACCCCCCCCCCUCUAGACUUACUUCUUCGAGAUCCUACACAUAGCCAUUCGGUGAUAUAUUUCCAUGCAACUUUCCACCGUUCUGUUUAUUAUGACACUUUCCACCAUUGUCAUGUUGCUUUCUCAUGAUCAUGUAGUUGACAUCGUAUUUGUGGCAAAGCCACCUUCAUAAUUCUUUCAUACAUGUCACUCUUGAUUCAUUGCAUAUCCCGGUACACCACCGGAGGCAUUCACAUAGAGUCAUAUUUUGUUCUAAGUGUUGAGUUGUAAUUCUUGAGUUGUAAUCCAAUAAAAGUGUGAUGAUCUUCAUUAUUAGAGCAUUGUCCCAAGUGAGGAAAGGAUGAUGGAGACUAUGAUUCCCCCACAAGUCGGGAUGAGACUUUGGACUUUACAAAAAAAAUAGAAGAGGCCAAAGAAGCCCAAAUAAAAAAAGAGGCCAAAGAAGCCCACCAAAAUUAAAAAAAUGAGAGAAAAGAGAGAAGGGACAAUGUUACUAUCCUUUUUCCACACUUGUGCUUCAAAGUAGCACCAUGAUCUUCAUGAUAGAGAGUCUUAUAUGUUGUCACUUUCAUAUACUAGUGGGAAUUUUUCAUUAUAGAACUUGGCUUGUAUAUUCCAAUUAUGGGCUUCCUCAAAAUGCCCUAGGUCUUCCUGAGCAAGCGAGUUGGAUGCACACCCACUUAGUUUCUUUUGUUGAGCUUCCAUACAUUUAUAUCUCUAGUGCAUCCAUUGCAUGGAAAUCUCUACUCACUUAGAUUGAUAUCUAUUAAUGGGCAUCUCCAUAGCCCGUUGAUGUGCCUAGUCAAUGUGAGACUUUCUCCUUUUUUGUCUUCUCCACACAACCUCCAUCAUCAUAUUCUAUUCCACCCAUAGUGCUAUAUCCAUGGCUUACGCUCAUGUAUUGCGUGAGAGUUAAAAAAAGCUGAAGCACGUUAAAAAGUAUGAACCAAUUGCUUGGCUCAAACUGGGGUUGUGCAUGAUGUGACUAUUUUGUGUGACAAAAAUGAAGCAUAGCCUAACUAUAUGAUUUUGUAGGGAUAAGCAUUCUUUGGCUAUGUUAUUUUGAUAAGACAUGAUUACCUGUUAGUAUGCUUGAAGUAUUACUAUGUUUAUGUCAAUAUGAACUUUUAUUUUGAAUCAUUUGGAUCUGAACAUUCAUGCCACAAUAAAUAAAAUUACAUUGAGAAAUAUGCUAGGUAGAAUUCCACAUCAAAAGUUCUGUUUUUAUCAUUUACCUACUCGAGGACGAGCAGGAAUUAAGCUUGGGGAUGCUUGAUACGUCACCAAUGUAUCUAUAAUUUUUGGUUGUUCCAUGCUAUCAUAUUACCUGUUUUGGAGGUUUCAUGGGCUUUACUAAACACUUUUAUAUAAUUUUUGGGACCAACCUACUAACCGGAGGCCCAGCCCGAAUUGCUGGUUUUUUUGCCUAUUUCAGUGUUUCGAAGAAAAGGAAUAUCAAACGAAAUGAAACCUUCGGGAGCAAAAUUUUUGGAACAAACGCAAUCCAGGAGACUUGGAGUGGACAUCAAGAAGCCGCCAAGGCGGCCACAAGGGUGCAAGGUGCGCCCUAGGGGGGUGGGCGCGCCCCCCACCCUCGUGGGCCCCUCGUGGCUCCCCUGACCGACUUCCUUCGCCUAUAUAUAUCUACGUACCCUGAAAACAUCCAGGAGCACCAUAAAACCCUAUUUCCACCACUGUAACCUUCUGUUCCCAGGAGAUCCCAUCUUGGAGCCUUUUCCGGCGCUCUGGUGGAGGGGGAAUCGAUCACGGAGGGCUUCUACAUCAGCGCCAAAGCCUCUCCGAUGAGUUGUGAGUAGUUUACCACAGACCUUCGGGUCCAUAGUUAUUAGCUAGAUGGCUUCUUCUCUCUCUUUGAAUCUCAAUACAAUGUUCUCCUCGAUCUUCUUGGAGAUCUAUUUGACGUAACUCUUUUUGUGGUGUGUUUGUCGAGAUCCGAUGAAUUGUGGGUUUAUGAUCAAGUUUAUCUAUGAGAAAUAUUUGAAUCUCCUCUGAGUCCUUUUAUGUAUGAUUGGUUAUCUUUUCAAGUCUCUUCGAAUUGUCAGUUUGGUUUGGCCUACUAGAUUGAUCUUUCUUGCAAUGGGACAAGUGCUUAGCUUUGGGUUCAAUCUUGCGGUGUCCUUUCCAAGUGACAGCAGGGGCAGUAAGGCACGUAUUGUAUUGUUGCCAUCGAGGAUAAAAAGAUGGGGUUUAUAUCAUAUUGCUUGAGUUUAUCCCUCUACAUCAUGUCAUCUUGCCUAAUGCAUUACUCUGUUCUUAUGAACUUAAUACUCUAGAUGCAUGCUGGAUAGCAGUCGAUGUGUGGAGUAAUAGUACUAGAUGCAGGCAGGAGUCGAUCUACUUGUUGCGGACAUGAUGCCUACAUACAUGAUCAUGCCAAGAUAUUCUCAUAACUAUGCACUUUUGUAUCAAUUGCUCGACAGUAAUUUGUUCACCCACCGUAAUACUUAUGCUAUCUUGAGAGAAGCCACUAGUGAAACCUAUGGCCCCCGGGUCUAUUUUCCAUCAUAUAAGUCUCCGAUCUACUUUAUUUUGCAAUCUUUACUUUUCAAUCUACAUCAUAAAAAUACCAAAAAUAUUUAUCUUAUCUUAUUAUCUCUAUCAGAUCUCACUUUCGCAAGUGGCCAUGAAGGGAUUGACAGCCCCUUUAUCGCGUUGGUUGCGAGGCUCUUGUUUGUUUGUGUAGGUACGAGGGACUUAAAGUGUAGCCUCCUACUGGACUGAUACCUUGGUUCUCAAAACUGAGGGAAAUACUUACGCUACUUUGCUGCAUCACCCUUUCCUCUUCAAGGGAAAAACCAACCCAUGCUCAAGAGGUAGCAGGUCAUUCUGUCAUAGACCUAACUAAUUAACAAAUAUAAUUAACUAAGUUUGGUUGAUUAGGUUAAUUAACCUGAUUAAUUAAGUUAAUUAAUUAAUUAAUGUUUUUAAUUAUUAUUAUAUUUACAUUUUCAUUUCUUUUAGAAAAAACAGGGGGCUGGGCCCCGUGUGGCAGUGGCCCAGUCGGACCACACACGCACGCACACAUACACAGCCGUGGUCAUGGCCAUGGCUGGCGGCAGCAGCAGGCAACGGCAAGGGACAGCACCGGCGCCUGCGCGGCUGCUGGGUGGUGGCCGGCGCGGCGGGAGCUCCGCUGGGCGCACGCGGGAGGAGGUGCUACAGGGGGCGGCAACGACGAGCGAGGCGAGCGACGGCUUGGGCGGAGCAGAUCCGCGGCAGGGAUCGGGCGGCAGCGGCCACGCGUGGCCAUGGGCGCGUGCGGGGGCGAGGGUGCGGGGCCGCGACGCGGUCAGGCCCCGGCGAGCACGUGCUCGCCGCGGGAGCGGGCGCAUGUCGAAGAGAAGAGGGAGGAGGCCGGGGCCUCCCUGGCGAUGGAGGGAAGCUAGGGCGGCGAGGUCUGUUGGCGGCCGUUGAGGAGGAUGACGUGGACGGCCCAGCGAGGGGUCGGGGAGGCGUGGGGCGUCGGGGGCAGGUGAACCAAGGCAGCACCGGGCGGCAGCGUCGAGGCGGCUCCGGCGAGCGUCGACGGGGUACAGGAGGGCGCGGUCNNNNNNNNNNNNNNNNNNNNNNNNNNNNNNNNNNNNNNNNNNNNNNNNNNNNNNNNNNNNNNNNNNNNNNNNNNNNNNNNNNNNNNNNNNNNNNNNNNNNNNNNNNNNNNNNNNNNNNNNNNNNNNNNNNNNNNNNNNNNNNNNNNNNNNNNNNNNNNNNNNNNNNNNNNNNNNNNNNNNNNNNNNNNNNNNNNNNNNNNNNNNNNNNNNNNNNNNNNNNNNNNNNNNNNNNNNNNNNNNNNNNNNNNNNNNNNNNNNNNNNNNNNNNNNNNNNNNNNNNNNNNNGUCGAGCCCCGAUCUGGAUUGAGGGGGAAGGGAGAGCGAGCAACAUGGGGACAGUGGGGGAGAUCGAGGGGAGUGGGGGAAAAGUGGAUCGGGGGAGGGCUAGGGUUUUGGGCGAUGGCCUAAUAGGCCAGGGGCAUGCGGGUGGGCCGGAUGGUGGCCAGCUCGGCCGAGAGGCCCAUGGGAGGGGGGUUCUUGCCUUUUUCUUAUUUUGUUUUGUUUUUCUUUUAAAAACAUUUCUGUUUUCUUUUAUUUUAAGGCACUUAAACAAUUUGCAAAAAGAAGAUUUCUGCACCGGUAUUUUCUAUAAAUUAUUUUUUGUAGUCUGAACACUUUAGUUUUACAUUUUGAAAACUUUAAAUUUUGACUUUGUUUUAAAACUGAAUUUGAACCGGUUUCAAACCAACGCGAGUUGAACAACAGUAAUCGUGGUGACGUUUCAUCAUGAACAGGAGAUCACUGUAGCUUAAUUAUCCGGGCAUCACAAUUCUCCCCCACUACAAGAAAUCUCGUCCCAAGAUUUAGGAGGUAGAAGGAAACAAAGCGGGGUAUUCUUCACGAAGACAAUCCUCGCGUUCCCGAGUGGCUUCGUCCUCAGAGUGAUGCGACCACUGGACCUUGUGGAACUUGAUCGCCUUCUGACGUGUGCGGCGUUCAGCUUGGUCGAGUAUGCAGACCGGAUGCUCUUUAUAGGCGAGGUCCUAUUGCAACUCGAUCACUUCAUGAUCCAUUGCUCGGAUUGGGUCCUUGAAGCCGCGCAUGGAGUUGUGACACGUUCAACACAUCGUGAACCUGAGAAAGGUUCGACGAAAGCUCCAGCUGGUAUGCCACUUUUCCACGCCUUUCAAGAAUAUUGAAUGGACCAAUAUAGCGAGGAGCUAGCUUGCCCUUGAUCUCGAAGCGGUGAGCACCCUUCAUUGGUGUGACUCGAAGAUAAGCCUUUUCGCCAGGUUGAUAGACCAUGUCCUUAUGUUGACGGUCAUACUGACUCUUUUGACGUGACUGAGCAGUCUUGAGAUUCUCGCUAAUGACGCGGACUUGUUCUUCGGCGUGUUGGAUAAUAUCUGGACCGAAGAGUGGACGUUCCCCAGUUUCUGACCAGUUCAGAGGGGUUCGACACUUUCGUCCAUAUAACACUUCAAAGGAGGCCAUCUUCAGACUAGCUUGACAGCUACUAUUAUAGGAGAACUCAGCAUACGGGAGAGAUUCCUCCCAUUUCUUGCCGAAGGAAAUAACACAAGCUCGAAGCAUGUCUUUGAGAACUUGGUUGACACGUUCAACUUGUCCCUGAGACUGAGGAUGAAAAGCAGUGUUGAAUGACAGAUGAGUUCCCAUAGCUUCUUGGUAACUUGCCCAGAAUCUUGAAGUGAAUAAGCUGCCAGGUCUGAGCUGAUUACCAGCGGAAUACCGUGAAGUGAAACAAUUCUGGACAUAUAGAGAGUUGCCAGCUGACUAGCAGUGAUUGUUUCUUUGAUGGCUAGAAAGUGUGCAACUUUAGAAAGCCGGUCAAUGACGACAAGAACAACAUCAUUACCUUUCUGUGAUUUGGGAAAUCUAGUGACGAAGUCCAUUUCAACAUGGUCCCAUUUCCAUUAAGGAAUAGAGAUAGGUUGCAGAGUUCCAGCAGGCCUUUGAUGUUCUGCUUUGAUACGACGGCAAAUGUCACAUUCAGCAACAUAGCAAGCAAUGGCUUGCUUCAUGUUUGACCACCAGAAUCUUUGACGAAUGUAUUGGUACAUCUUAGUGCUACUGGGAUGAAUAGACAACAAAGUGUCAUGAGCUUCUUCCAUAAACUCCUUAGUCAUAUCCAGGUUUUUCUCCUUACACGGCACCACUAGGCGUCCUUUGAAGUACAAAGUGCCAUCAUCAGCAACAGCGAAGAAUGAGGGCUUUCCUUCUGUGAGGUAGCGCUUAAUCUUGUGGGCUUGAGAGUCAUAUUUCUGCAGCUCCUUGAUGUUGUCCAUGAGAUCUGGUUUUGCAACCAGGGUAUUGAGAUAACCCUGGGGAACAACAUGGAGGUUCAUUUUGCGGCACUCUGGAGGAGGGGGAGCGAGUGCACCAGGAGGAACAAUAUGGAGGUUCAACUUUCUGAAUUCUUCAAUAAGCGAGGGCUGAACUUGGUGAACCUGGAGGUGGUUGCAAUAUGACUUGCGGCUCAAAGCAUCAGCCAUUACAUUAGCCUUGCCUGGGGUAUAGGAAAUACCGAAAUCAAAGUCUGCUACGAUCUCCAUCAUCUCUGCUGACGGAGGUUCAAAUCUGGCUGAGUAAACAGGUACUUCAGACUUUGGUGGUCGGUGAAGAUCUCACAACGAUUACCUAGAAGGUAAUGUCGCCACUGUUUCCGUGCAUGUAUGACAGCAGCAAGCUCGGGGUCAUGAACUGGGUAGUUCUCUUCGUGAGGGCGCAGUUGAUGAGAGGCAUAAGCAAUCGCUCUGCGCUCUUGCAUUAGAACACCGCCUAAUCCUUGACGUGAAGCGUUGCAGUAAAUGACGAAGUCCUUCUUAGUAUCAGGUGGAGCAAGCAUCGGGGCAGAAGUCAGUUUGUCUUUGAGUGCCUAGAAACUUUCCUGACACUUUUCUGUCCAAUCAAACUUGACGCCCUUGUGAAGCAGACCAGCCAGGGGCUUGGCAAUCUUGGAGAAGUUCUCGACAAAUCAACGACAAUAGCUGGCGAGCCCGAGAAAACUUCUGACUUGCUUGACAUUCUUCAGGGGAGUCCAAUCGAGAAUAGCCUGAACUCGCUCGGGGUUGACGGCAACACCAUCCUUGGAGAUGACAUGCCCAAGAUAGGUCACUUCAGGAAGCCAAAAUUCACAUUUAGAAUACUUUGCAUAGAGUUGAUGUUCUCGAAGCUUUUCCAGAACAAGUCGAAGGUGUUCAACAUGUUCUUCUUUAUUCUUGGAAUAUACAAGGAUAUCAUCCAGAUAAACCACGACAAACUUGCCGAGGUAUUCCAUGAAUAUAUAGUUCAUUAGGCGAGAGAAUGUCGCAGGAGCAUUGGUUAAACCGAAGGACAUGACAGUGUACUUGUAUGAACCAUAGCGAGUAACGAAUGCGGUCUUGGGUAUAUCCUCUUCACGAACCCGAAUCUGGUGGUAACCCAACCUCAAAUCAAGUUUAGAGAAUACUGAGGAACCAGCAAGUUGAUCAUAUAGAUCGUUGAUUCUGGGAAGCGGAUACUUGUUCUAAAUUGUUGCCUAGUUGAUAGGUCGGUAAUCUUGGACCAAACGAUUCGUACCAUCUUUCUUCUUGACAAAGAGAGAAGGUGCUCCCCAAGCAGAUGAACUAGGACGAAUGAAACCCUUGCUAAGAGAUUUGUCGAUUUCCUCCUUAAGCUCAAGGAGCUCAUGAGGCGGCAUCUUGUAGGGUCGCUUGGCAAUAGGAGUAGUACCCGGUUUCAAGUCUAUGAUGAAUUCGACCGCUCUAGCAGGGGGUAUUCCUGGAAGUUCUUCUGGGAAGACAUCUUUGAAAUCACGAACAACUAGAAGGUUCUCUAUUCCCUCAAGAGAUGAAGCAUUCAAUGCAUUCAAAACAUAUAUCUGGUUCUCGGCAUCCUGAGCUACUCGAGCUAAGUAUUCGACUGUCUGGCCAGAAUGGUGAGUGAGCUGGUAUGUCUUGGUAGCACAGUCGAUCUUAGCACUAUGGGCUGUCAGCCAGUGCAUACCAAGAAUGAUAUCUAUAUUUGAAGGUCCGAGCAUAAUGAGAGAAGCCGGAAAAAGUAGACCUCCAAUCUCGAUGUGGUUGUGAGGGCUUACCAUUGUGGUUUGCCACUUGGACCGUGGGGAUUGAACCAUUAGAGGAGUGGGUAAAUCUUCCAUGUAUAACUCAUGUGACUGUGCAAAUUGUUGGGACACAAAAGCAUGUGAUGCUCCUGAAUCAAAGAGAACAGAAGCUGGCACUGAAUUAACGCAAAGGGUACCCAACCGGAUUUUUGGGGACUCACGAGCUUCUUCAAUCUUGACAUGGUUGACUUGACCACCAGUCACCAUAGGCGACCUGGCACUGCAACUACUGGUAUGAUGGUUUCAAUGACCCUUCUUACGGUCAACAGGAUGACGUGAUGAAUUCUAUGGCUGACCCUGACGACAGUUGAAAGCACGGUGCCCUGGAUGUCCGCACUUGCGGCAUAAACCAUCAUUAUGUGGAGGAGCUACAACAUUGGACUGUCCACCCUGAAUUGUUAGCUGUCUCGGCGGGGGAGGCAAACGAGGUGCAACAUAAGACGGCCUUGGUAUUGGAGCAGGUCGGUGAUGAACAUUGUGUGGGGUCCAGACUUGACAUUUCUGAUUAGGCUGACUCGAGGAUGAGCCAACAUCUCGAGUACGCUUGAGCGACUCCUGGUACUCAGUAAGACCAGUUUCAGUUCAGAAAGCUUGGCUGACAAGCGUCGCAAAGUCUGCACAGUCAUGGGCAACAAGUGCGAGCUUUAUAUCGGGACGCAAUCCUUCACGGAAUUUCUCCUGCUUGCGAGCGUUAGUGUAGACGUCAUCCUCAGCAUAGCGUGAUAAUUCAAGGAAUUUCCUCUGAUAUUCAUCCACAGUCAUAGUGCCCUGUGAGAGUUUGCGGAACUCCUUCUUCUUCUGGUCCAUCAAACCUUGAGGAAUGUGUCAUGCACGGAAGGCUAACUGAAAUUCCUGCCAAGUUGUUAUAGUCUCUACAGGCAGCAUACCCCUGUGGCUUUCCCACCAUUGAGCAGCUGGACCUUUCAAGUGGAAAGUCGCAAAGGUGAUGUAACUGGCAGGGGGAACAUUAGCUGACUCCAUCUCAAACAGGAUGUCAUGAAGCCAAUCAUCAGCAUCCAUAGGAUUGGUGGAGUUGCGGAAAAUGGAUGGGUUGAGGCACACGAAUUCUUGCAGUGUUAUUGGGGCAGGCUGUUGAUGAGCAAUCUCGUUUGGAAACUGAGCCAUUACCCCAGUCAUGAACAGACGAUUCAGCUCUAACUGUUGCAUCAUUGCGGCAACAUAGGGUGGAGGUGGAGGAUCGCCAGCCAUCCUGCUAAAACAUCAGGAAGCAAUUUAACAGGGGGUGGAGCAGGUGUAAGGAGUCAUUCAUGAUGUAACUUGAACAAUGAGCAAAGGCACGGUAUGUACAAAGCAGUAGUCAUUAAAGACAUAUAGAUACAUAUAUAGAGCCAAAUACACGUUGUUAGUAGGAAUUCGAACAAGUGGAUCAUCCUAGACAUACUAGGCGGUACGCAUGCUCGCGAUGGAGGGAUACAACAACGAGACAUAGCAAAGGCUACAUCAUCACCGGAGAAAACCACUAGAGCAAGGAAUCUACAGGGGACGAUGUAGGGUGCCCUCGAUAAAAGGAUCCUGGGGCCCGUGAACAAUGUGAAGCAGAUCCUGUCUCCCAAUUCAAGAAAGGCGUACUACAAAUCUCGGGAUGGAUGUGAUCACAAGAUCCUAAGGUUGGAGUUAGCAAAAUCAUUUAACCCGAAUAGAAUAGAGAUUAGAGUCCCAGAGUAAAGACCGAGGAGUAAAAGAUCCUAAUACCACCCAAUGGCAACUUGGGCCCAUAAGCCACACAGCCAUGUUAGUAAAAUAGUUUUUCAAAGUCUAGACUCAACUUCGGCCAAGGAGUUGGGAAGGGGGUUCCUAUAGGCAGUCGGCUCUGAUACCAACUUGUGACGCCCCCGAUUCAAUCGUACACUAAUCAUACACGCAAAUAUGUACGAUCAAGAUCAGGGAGUCACGGGAAGAAAUCACAACACAACUCUAGACACAAAAUGGAAUAAUACAAGCUUCGUAUUACAAGCCAUGGGCCUCGAGGGCUCGAAUACAAAAGCUCGAUACACAAGCAAGUCAGCGGAAGCAACAAUAUCUGAGUACAGACCUAAGUUAAACAAGUUUUGCCUUAAGAAGUCUAGCACAAAAGCAACACGAUCGAAGAGGCAAGGCCUCCUGCCUGGGACCUCCUAACCACUCCUUGUCUUUGGCGGCCUCCAUGUAGUAGUAGUCGACGGGGGUGGCAUCUGGCUCCAAGGAUCCACCAUCCGAUUGCAUCAACCGAAAAGAAGAAAUAAGGGGUAAAAGGGGUAGCAGAGCAACCGUGGGUACUCAUCCAAAGUACUCGCAAGCAUCAGAUCUAUACUAAGUAUGCAUUGGUAUCAAAUGGAAGGUUUGUAUUUGUGGAUUGAACUGCAGAAUGCCAGAAUAGAGGGGGAAGGCCUAGCCUAUCAAAGACUAGCAUCUUCAAGCAGCUCCAAGCAUCUUGCAGCAUGUAGAAGAGUAAAGAAUAGCAUGUUUAUAUUUAACAAGCAUGUUGUAGAAACAACGCCUAGAGAUCCUUCCUUGACUCCCUGCAAGAAAGCAAUCCCGGAGCCACAUAUCCAAGUAUCCAUUUAUAGUUGUAUACGAUCAGGAUAUAAGUCUGAACGUCUGUUAUCGUGGACACGACUAUUAAUAGAUAAACUUCCCUGCAUGGGUGCACCAGGUUUUCCAACACGCUUGAUUACUUUGGUCGGACACACUUUUCUGGGUCAAUGCCCGACCUCGGAAGAUCAACACGUCGUAGCCCUACCUAGGCUCAGCAGAGAGGUCCCCGUUGGUCUACAUCCUAAGCACUCCGGGGUCUGGGCCCAUCGCCCGUUGCACUCCGGAUCGUUGCGUAUAGGGCAGGUCCAGGCUCCACCACUACAGGAUGGUGUCGGCACAACCAUGCUGCACUGCUGAACUGGACGUCUGACAAAGCUUCGGUUGAUACCACGACGCCGAGGCCCAUAACUGUUCUCAUGUGGUGGUUGGUGCGUAAAGGCCAGAGGCCAACUUAGAAAAAAUACCCAAACCAUAGUGUAUUAUUAGCUUGUGGAGACGAGUAGAGACUUGCGAUCAAAAGUGACCCCGUUGCCCCGUCUCGUGGACUUACGACAAGGGCCUAGAAUGCCCGACCGUGCCACGUAAUUAUCUUGCGGGUGCUCUUUGGGCCCGCCCAACUUUCACCAAGGUCUCAAGUAAAGUUAAUGUAACCGUGUGUCCAAACAUCAAGGGGAAACCCCGAGUAAUCACCCUCGGUGGAUUCCACUCGAUGUAAUCAUCAAGGUGAACGUAAGAGGAACCACCCUCGAGGUUCACACUUGAGGGGUUGCACGACAAAGUCAUAUCGGAAGUGGUUAAGGAGGAAUCACCCUCGAUGACCAUGACCAAAUAGCUACACUACAAAGAUCUCAUCAGGAGUGAUGUAUGAGGUACCACCCUCGGCACUUGAUGGUAACUCUGCAGAGUCGAGCAACAAAAAGGGUGUGAUGUGAUGUGAGGUGCCGGGCUCUGGUCGUCGAUCACGUUGAUCGAGUAGUCGAUGAUGAAGCAGGGCGACAAGGACAAGGUGGGGCUCACUGAUGGAUCACUAACCAACCUAUACUAAGCAGUUUAGGAUAAGUAGGUAAGGUACAAUAACAGGUUACUGUAGGAUCGAAAGUAUGUCUAGAGGGGGGGUGAUUAGACUACUUGACCAAAUAAAAAUCUAGCCUUUUCCCAAUUUUAGUUCUUGGCAGAUUUUAACAACUUAGCACAAGUCAAGCAAUCUUAACACAAUUCAAGCAAGCAUGCAAUGAGUAUAUAAGCAGCGGAAAGUAAAGCAUGCAACUUGCAAGAAUGUAAAGGGAGGGGUUUGCACAGUGCAAACGCAAUAGGAGACACGGAUGUUUUUGUCGUGGUUCCGAUAGGUGGUGCUAUCGUACAUCCACGUUGAUGGAGACUUCAACCCACGAAGGGUAACGGCUGCGCGAGUCCACGGAGGGCUCCACCCACGAAGGGUCCAUGAAGAAGCAACCUUGUCUAUCCCACCAUGGCCGUCGCCCACAAAGGACUUGCCUCACUAGGGUAGAUCUUCACAAAGUAGGCGGUCUCCUUGCCCUUACAAACUCCUUGGUUCAACUCCACAAUCCUGACGGAGGCUCCCAAGUGACACCUAACCAAUCUAGGAGACACCACUCUCCAAAAGGUAAUAGAUGGUGUGUUGAUGAUGAACUCCUUGCUCUUGUGCUUCAAAUGAUAGUCUCCCCAACACUCAACUCUCUCUCACACACAGGAUAUGGAUUUGGUGGAAAGAAUAUUUGAGUGGAAAGCAACUUGGGGAAGGCUAGAGAUCAAGAUUUAUGUGGUGGGAAUGGAAUAUCUUGAUCUCAACACAAGUGUAGGUGGUUCUCUCUCAGAAAAUGUAUGUUUGAAGUGUAGGCAUGUUCUGAUGGCCCUCUCCAUGAAUGAAGAGUGGGUGGAGGGGUAUAUAUAGCCUCCACACAAAAUCUAACCAUUACACACAACUUACCAAACUCGGUGGGACCGACUCGUGAAACUCGGUCCGACCGAUUUAGUUCAUAAUGUGACCAUUAGGUAUUUCGGUGGGACCGACAUGUCAACUCGGUGGGACCGAUAUCAUUAGGGUUAGGGCAUAACAUAAUCUCGGUGAGACCGAUUACACAAACUCGGUGAGACCGGUUUUGGUAAUAAGCUAACCAGAGAGUUGGUCAGGCAAACUCGGUGGGACCGAUUCGCUCAUCUCGGUUGGACCGAAAUGUUACUAAAGGGAAAUAGAGAGUUUGCAUUGCAAUCUCGGUGAGACUGAUCGCUCAUCUCGGUUUGACCGAAAUGUUACGAAGGAAAAUAGAGAGAUUACAAUCCCAUCUCGGUGAGACCGAGAUCCCUAUCGGUGAGACCGAAAAGACUAGGGUUUUUGGUAGUGGCUAUGUCAACUGAACUCGGUGGCGCCAGAUAGAAAGUUUCGGUGGGGCCGAGUUUGACUUUUGGUUUGGGACAUAUGUGGAUGUGAGAAAGUAGUUGAGGGCUUUGGAGCAUAUCACUAAGCACUCUGAGCAAGUAAGCCAUUAAGCAACACCUCAUCCCCUUAUAACAGUAUUGGCUUUCCUAUGGACUCAAUGUGAUCUUGGAUCACUAAAAGUAAAAUGUAGAGUCUUGUGCUUUGAGCUUGAGCCAAUCCUUUUGUCCUUAGCAUUUUGAGGGGUCCAUGUUUCUCAUCCAUGCCAUACCAAACAUUGAGCUUUCCUGAAAUAUUUAUCUUGAAAUAGCAUUAGCUCAAUGAGCUAUAUGUUGUUAGGAAUUACCAAAACCACCCAGGGAUAGUUGCACUUUCAAUCUCCCCCUUUUUGGUAAUUGAUGACAACAUAUAGAUCAAAGCUUCGACAAGUGAUAAUAAGAUUGAAAAACAUCGUCGCUUUGAGAAGUGUGUGAUAAGCAAGAGCUCCCCUAAAUUUGUGCAUUAUUUAAAAUUUUCUUUGGACUGCAAAUGCAAAGUGUGUUAGGAUCAUGGGUUACUCUUUCAUGUCACAUACAUCUUGGUGGAGCGCUCAAAAUGAUAGAAGGUAAAAGCAUGCACUCUUCACCAAGAAAGUGAAUGAUCAUAUAGGGAUAUAAGAGAUAAUAUCAUCCAACAAGCAUUAAGUGUAGCAUAUGAUUAAACACAUGAUCAAACAAGUAAACAAGUAGCUCACAAGCACACAAACAAGAAGUUCAACCAAAAUCAAGAGAGAUAAAAAGCAACACUCUCUCUUGAAGCCUAUGAUCUAUACAUUUUCUCCCCCUUUGGCAACAAGUGACCAAAAAGUUCAUAAAAAUGCAUAGUGCUAAAUGACUCUCAGGCUUGGUCUUCAUGUGGUGACGUAGAGAUGACUCCAAGGAUGAAAGCUUCUGUAGAUGUAACUGGAGCUGGUGGAGUGGCUGCUGGAGCUGGAGGUACUGAAGUCGUGGCUGCUGGUGCAGAUGUUGUAGCUCUUGUGUUUGUAAUAGGCUUCUUGUCAAGCAGGAUUGUCUCAUAAAAGUCUUGUUGUUCCUUAGUGUGAAACCUGUAGUCCACAGCAGUUCUCCUCCUGGCAGCAUAGGGGUCAACCUUUCUCCACUGCCUCAGUCCAGCAUCCUUCCUGAGUUUCAUGUUCUCAGCAACAGGAUGUGCAUCAUUGUGGUCAGGGAUCUUGGGCUUCAACUUUCUCAAAACAAGUGUAUCAUCUUCUUCAUCAUCAGCAGCUUCAGGGACUGGGGCCUUGUUCUUCUCCUCGGCAGGUAUACUUCUGGUGUUCCUCUUGGGUGCAGGCUUUUGAGCUGGAGCAGCAGCCUUUGGAGCAGCUUUAGGCUUAGAUGGGGCAGCCCCUGAUUUGAUAGCAUCUCCCAUAAGCUUCUGAGCUUUAGAUGCUGGUGCAGCAUCCUCUUCCUCUUCAUCUUCCUCAUCAGGAGAAUGCUUCUCAAAUUCUGCCAUUGGAUCAACUCUCUUGCACCAUCUCCCUCUCUUUCUUUCCUUCUUUUUCCCUUCUGCAGCAGCCUUUUUGGGUUCAGAUCCCAAAGUUUCUUGAGUGGAUGCUCUGACCUUUAACAAAGGAACUCUCUUUGCUAGAGCUUUUCUGUUCAUCCCUGGCUUUGUUGAAGCAGCAGUGCCGAAUUCUUUCUUCACCACUUUCUUCUUGGAAGUGGCCUCAUCCUCAGCUGCAAUGUAGUCCUCAUCCUCUGAAUCAAAUGUUCUCUUCUUCCUUGUUCUAGUAGCUGCCUUGGGCAAGUUACUAGGUGUGCUCUGGCUACCCUCAUCAUAGAUGCUGGAGGGACUAGUGCCCUCACUCAACUGAACCUGUUCCUCUGACUUGUUUUGACUAUCACUUCGAUCAGACAUCUUCAGACAAACAACUGUCAGCAGACCCUGUGAAUAGGUUGUAGAUGAGGUAGAGUAGAUGAGCAUCACAAAGUACAGAGGUUUUUGCAAAACAAUUGACUCAAAACUUAGUUUUAGUUUUCCACAGAAAGCAUUUCGGAGCUACCGAUUUGUAAACUCGGUGAUACCGAAGCAGCUUUUGGAACCUAAACUAGUGAACUCGGUCAGACCGAGUCACAGUUCGGUGGCACCGAGACUGCUAGGGUUUCACAAAGAAUCGAACUCGGUCACACCGAUUUGCAAUUAUCGGUCAGACCGAAAAUCACAUGUGUAAUGGCCUAAGCCAAAUCGGUGAGACUGAUUUCAACAACUCGGUCGGUCCGAGAUGAGUUCGGCGGAAACCUAAACCUAAAUUUUCAAAUCAAAUCUAACCUACUGGAUGUUUUAGCUGGACGGGAUGAUUUCAUACUUGGCAAGAAUCAUGGCAAUGCAAUGUGCUACGAAUUAGAGUUAAAGAAUAGCACAAAGUGUCAAGUUGAUACCCUAACUCGGGGGUGAACUUGCUACGACGGCAAUGGCAGGGCAGAUUGCCAUUGACAGCGGUGGAGACUAGCAACGGGAGGUCGCUGGCAGCGAGAAGACAAUCCGGGGACCCGGAGAGGCAGAGCAGGUUACACGUGGGUGAGAGGUUUCGGAAUUUUUUCCAAAAUUUGACCCGUCGGUAUAUAUAACCUGACCCUGUCGGUGUGACCGAGUGGAACAACUCGGUGGCACUGAGAUGCAAAACUGCGAGCAAUUACUGCAAUUCGGUGUGACCGAAAGGUUCUAAUCGGUUGCACCGAGAUGAAAACCUAGAUCAACUUAGUGAACUUGGUGUGACCGAAAUGGAUUUCUCGGUCAGAUCGAAAUGCACAAAGAGGUUUUGGAAGUUUAAGUCUAUGACAAAUCGGGGACUCUGAGUGCUCCUCACAUAGAGUGGUUUGAAUCUGACUUGAUCAAACUUUGUGAUGUAGCAUGAAUAGAUUUUGAGAUGAGAAAAGCAUAAAUAGCUAGAGAAGGUUCUUAGGCAUUCUUGUUCAUCCACUUGGUCAAAAGAAAAGGAAGCCAAUCAUACAAAACAACAAGUGGAUGUCCUCGAAUGAGUAAAAUAUGCAAACGACAUGCUCACACAAUAAAAUGGCAAAUGAAAUAUGUGACAAAACAUGCACAACCAAUUCUAGCAUCUAUCAGACAAUUGGCGAUGACUAGGUCAUCUAUAUAUGAGUAUAUUGACUUAGGAGUCAAAUGAGAACAUUUGAUCAUAGGUCAUACUCAUCGUUUAAGCACAAGUGGGGUUACCACUUUUACAUAAAGCAUUGUUGUGUUCACACCAUUAGAGUUGCUCUAGCUCAAUUCUUUAGAGUAACGCUCCCCUAGAUGUGAUAUCCCCCCUAAGAGGGAUGAACUAACCUUGGGUUUUGUCGAUGGUGACUUCAUGUAGGUGUUGAACAUGUGGAUGCUCAAUAUUGAUGUAGAUCAUUCGGAGCAAUCCAUUGGAGUGAGUUGCACUUUCAAUACCUACACGGGUUAGUCCCGCAAGGAACAAGCAAGGGUAUCCAUACACAUAGAGUGAUGCACACACAAGAUGAUGUCCAUGAAAGCAUUAUGUUACCUUGUUCCUCGUCUUACCAACAAGAGGGUUUGUGCUCCUUGGAUUAGUGCAAGAUAUGGAAGUUGUUUGCACUUGUCCUUGCCUUUUUGCUUGUGGUCUUGUGGUGGAAGAUCAUCUUGAGCUUGUGUUCCUUUGAAAGAAGUAGGAUCGUACUUCUCUUGUUGAGGAACAAACUUCGUCUUGGGGUAUUGAUAUUCUUCCCACUCAAAUCCAUUGGCAUUGAACUUUCGUUCAAAACCAACAACUUGAUUCUUCCGGUGCCUUCCUUGCUUGCGUACAAUCUCCUCAAAUUGCUUACUUCCGGCAAGUCUCUUGUAAACACCUUUCUCUAUAAUUCCCUUCAAUAAGCUAUUUUCUUGCUCAAGUGUAACUUGGCUAAGAGAAUCAUUAGUGGAAUCAAGAGAACUACUAGAAGCAACAAUAUUGGAUUUAGCAUGAUUAUUGUUACUACUAGAAGAAGAAUCUUUCUUGUUCUUGUUACUAGACUUGACUUGUGGCAUGUAAGUAGAUAAGAGUAAACGCUUGGCAAUGUAAGAAGAACUUUUCUUGCGAAGAUCAUCAUUGAUUGCCUUUAAAAACUCAUGCUCUUGCUCAAGGUUGAGCUUUUCAAAGCGUAACUUCUCAUGAGUCUUUAAAAGUUCUCGAUGAUCUUCCAAGAUAGUUUCAUGAGCUAACUUAAGAGUGUUUAGUUCUUUAGUUAGGCGCUCAAUCUUCUCCUUAUCAUUGACAUUCGUUUUAUCUUGAUUAGCAUGAUUAAUUGACGUUUCAUCAUAGUAUUCAUCACUAGAGUUGUCAACAAGUAAAUCAUCAUCACCUAACAAGUCAUCUUCAUCACUAUUGAAAUCAACAUACUCGGGUUGUGAUACCUUUGGGCCUUUAGCCAUGAAGCAUCUUCCAAUUCCUUCGUUUGGCGAGUCAAACAUGUUGUAGGAGUUGGUUGACACAAGUGCUAGACCGGCAACACCUUCAUCUUGAGUAUAUUUGGAGUCGGAGUGAUAGCUUAUCUCGGAGUGAUGGUCGGAGUCGGAGCCGGAUACCCAUUCACCAACAUGAGCUUGAUGUCUUCGUUUUGUGUAGCUCUUUGAUGAUUUGCCCUUCCUUUCCGAAUCCUUGCUUCUCUGGGAUGUUCUUCGUUCAUAACGAUCAUCUCUACUCUUCCUCUCUCUUGGUGGUGAUUCUUCUCUUCUACUUCUUCUUUUUGGAGAAUCUUCUCUUCUUUUGUAGGGAGUCGUACACUCAUUGGAAUAGUGUCCAGGUCUUCCGCAAUUGUAGCCAUUACGCUCACAACUAGAAGAUCUCUUGUCAUUGUAGGACCUUGACUUGGAACUUCUUUCCUUGCUUCUACUCUUGUAGAACUUGUUGAAGUUCUUCACCAUUAGGCUCAAUUCUUCAUUGAAGGUUUGUUUCUCACUUGAUGAUGCGGGAGCUUCACAUGAGGCUUUGUAAGCACCACUUGACUUGUUGUGGAGCUCUUCCUUAUCCUUGAGUGACAUCUCAUGAGCAACAAUUCUUCCAAUGACUUUCGUUGGCUUGAGAUCUUUGUAAUUGGGCAUCAUUUGGAUCAAUGUGCACAUGAUAUCAUAUUUUCCAUCCAAGGCUCUUAGGAUCUUCUUGAUGAUGAACUUAUCGGUCAUCUCUUCACUUCCUAAGCCGGCAAUCUCAUUUGUGAUGAGAGCAAGCCUAGAGUACAUUUCAGCGACACCUUCACCAUCCUUCCUUUUGAACUUGUCAAGUUGACUUUGAAGCACAUCCAAUUUGGAUUCCUUGACGGAGUCGGUACCUUCGUGCAUGUCAAUCAAAGUAUCCUAGAUUUCCUUUGCAUUCUCAAGACGGCUUAUUUUGUUGAAUUCUUCAGGGCAUAAUCCGUUAAAGAGAAUAUCAUAAGCUUGAGCAUUGUAUUGCAGCAUCUUCAACUCUUCCGCGGUAGCUUCACGGUUCGGUUCUCUCCCAUCAAAGAAUUCACCUUGCAAGCCAAUAUACGCAAUAUCCCAAACGGCGGGGAUAUGUCCAAGACUAUACAUUUUCAUCUUAUGCUUCCAACUAGGAAAAUUUGUACCAUCAAAGUAAGGACCUCUACGGUGAUAAUUUCCCUUGCUAGACGCCAUACUCUCCUAGAUUGUGAGACCAAGGCUAUGACCCCCAAAAGCUAUGGAAAUCAAAGCAAAUGGAGACCACAGCUCUGAUACCAAUUGUAGGAUUGAAAGUAUGUCUAGAGGGGGGUGAUUAGACUACUUGACCAAAUAAAAAUCUAGCCUUUCCCCAAUUUUAGUUCUUGGCAGAUUUUAACAACUUAGCACAAGUCAAGCAAUCUUAACACAAUUCAAGCAAGCAUGCAAUGAGUAUAUAAGCAGUGGAAAGUAAAGCAUGCAACUUGCAAGAAUGUAAAGGGAGGGGUUUGGAGAGUGCAAACGCAAUAGGAGACACGGAUGUUUUUGUCGUGGUUCCGAUAGGUGGUGCAAUCGUACAUCCACGUUGAUGGAGACUUCAACCAACGAAGGGUAACGGCUGCGCGAGUCCACGGAGGGAUCCACCCACGAAGGGUCCACAAAGAAGCAACCUUGUCUAUCCCACCAUGGCUGUCGCCCACGAAGGACUUGCCUCACUAGGGUAGAUCUUCACGAAGUAGGCGAUCUCCUUGCCCUUACAAAAUCCUUGGUUCAACUCCACAAUCUUGACGGAGGCUCCCAAGUGACACCUAACCAAUCUAGGAGACACCACUCUCCAAAAGGUACUUGAUGGUGUGUUGAUGAUGAACUCCUUGCUCUUGUGCUUCAAAUGAUAGUCUCCCCAACACUCAACUCUCUCUCACAGGAUAUGGAUUUGGUGGAAAGAAGAUUUGGGUGGAAAGCAACUUGGGGAAGGCUAGAGAUCAAGAUUUAUGUGGUAGGAAUGGAAUAUCUUGAUCUCAACACAAGUGUAGGUGGUUCUCUCUCAAAAAAUGUAUGUUGGAAGUGUAGGCAUAUUCUGAUGGCUCUCUCCACGAAUGAAGAGUGGGUGGAGGGGUAUAUAUAGCCUCCACACAAAAUCUAACCGUUACACACAACUUACCAAACUCGGUGGGACUGAAUCAUGAAACUCGGUCAGACCGAUUUAGUUCAUAAUGUGACCGUUAGGUAUUUCGGUGGGACCGACAUGUAAACUCGGUGGGACCGAUAUCAUUAGGGUUAGGGCAUAACAUAAUCUCGGUGAGACCGAUUACACAAACUCGGUGAGACCAAUUUUGGUAAUAAGCUAACCAGAGAGUUGGUCAGGUAAACCCGGUGGGACCGAUUCGCUCAUCUCAGUUGGACCGAAAUGUUACGAAAGCGAAACAGAGAGUUUGCAUUGCAAUAUCGGUGGGACUGAUCACUCAUCUCAGUUUGACCGAAAUGUUAUGAAGGGAAACAGAGAGAUUACAAUCCCAUCUCGGUGAGACCGAGAUCCCUAUCGGUGAGACCGAAAGGAUUAGGGUUUCUGGCAAUGGCUUUGUCAACUGAACUCGGUGGCGCCGGAUAGAAAGUUUCUGUGGGGCCGAGUUUGACUUUUGGUUUGGGACAUAUGUGGAUGUGAGAAAGUAGUUGAGGGCUUUGGAGCAUAUCACUAAGCACUUUGAGCAAGUAAGCCAUUAAGCAACACCUCAUCCCCUCUUAAUAGUAUUGGCUUUCCUAUGGACUCAAUGUGAUCUUGGAUCACUAAAAGUAAAAUGUAGAGUCUUGUGCUUGAGCUUGAGCCAAUCCUUUUGUCCUUAUCAUUUUGAUGGUUCCACGUUUCUCAUCCAUGCCAUGCCAAACAUUGAGCUUUCCUGAAAUAUUUAUCUUGAAAUAGCAUUAGCUCAAUGAGCUAUAUGUUGUUAGGAAUUACCAAAACCACCCAGGGAUAGUUGCACUUUCAGUUACAAAAGCAGGCUAUGCAUCAGAAUAGGAGCAAUCAAAUACAGUAGAAAAAUCUAAUGCAAGCAUGAGAGAAUAGAAUGGGCGAUAUCGGAAUGAUCAAAGGGGGGGCUUACCUGGAAGCUCUGCUGAAAGGGAAGAGGGUCGUCGGUGACGUAGUCGAUCACAGGGGCAUCAGUAGCGGUCUCGAGGUCUACCGGAGAGAAGAGGGGGAAGAAACAGUAAAUACACGCAAACAUAUACAUAACAUGAUUAUAAGCGGGGCUAGAGGUGUUCGAACGCGAUGCUAGGCAAUACUGGCGAAGGGGGAAAACAUUCAGGAAAGUCUUCCCGGUUCCGGACGUCUGUCAAACAGAUGAACCGGAGGGGAAAAGUUCAACGUUUGCUAUGCUAGGGACGUGUGGCGGACGAACGGACCGCGUGUUCAGAUUCGUCUCGCCGUUCUGAGCAACUUUCAUGUACAAAGCAUAAUCAUCCAAGUUACGGAUUAAUUUAACUUAUUUAUCAAAGUUAUAAAUGAUUUUCUAAUAUUAUUAUUACAAUAGCAUGAUGUGAGCAUGACAUCAGCAGCCAAUAGGGCGUUGACUGGGUCAAACUGACAUGUGGGGUCAUUCUGUCAUAGACCUAACUAAUUAACAGAUUUAAUUAACUAAGUUUGGUUGAUUAGGUUAACUAACCUGAUUAAUUAAGUUAAUUAAUUAAUGUUUUUAACUAUUAUUAUAUUUAUAUUUUCAUUUCUUUUAGAAAAAACAGGGGGCUGGGCCCCGUGUGGCAGUGGCCCAGUCGGACCACACACGCACGCACACAUACACAGUCGUGGUCGUGGCCAUGGUUGGCGGCAGCGGCAGGCCAUGGCAAGGGAUGGCGUCGGCGCCUGCGUGGCUGCUGGGUGGUGGCCGGCGCGGCAGGAGCUCCGACGGGCGCGCACACGGGAGGAGGUGCUGCAGGGGGCGGCAAUGGCGAGCGAGGCAAGCGGCGGCUUGGGCGGAGCAGAUCCACAGUAGGGGCCGGGCGGCAGCGGCCACGCACGGCCAUGGGCGCGUGCGGGGGCGAGGGUGCGGGGUCGCGGUGCGGUCAUGGCGCGGCUAGCAUGCGCUCGCCGCGGGAGCGGGUGCAGGUCGAAGAGAAGAGGGAGGAGGCCGGGGGCCUCACCGGCGAUGGAAGGAAGCGAGGGCGGCGAGGUCCGUUGGCGGCCGUUGAGGAGGAUGACAGGGACGGCCCGGCGACAGGGUCAGGGAGGCGUGGGGCGUCGGGGCAGGCAAACCGAGGCGGCACCGGGCAGCGGCGUCGAGGCGGCUCUGGCGAGCGUCGAUGGGGUACAGGAGGGCACGGUCGGAGCAACCCAGCGCCGGGAUUGUCCUCUGUCGGGCGGCGGGUGGCGGCGGGAGCUCGGCGGGUCGAGCCCCGAUCUGGAUCGAGGGGGAGGGAGAGCGAGCGACGUGGGGAGAGUGGGGGAGAUUGAGGGGAGUGGGGGAAAAGUGGAUUGGGGGCUAGGGUUUCGGGCGGUGGCCUAAUAGGCCAGGGGCAUGCAGGUGGGCCGGAUGGUGGCCAGCUGGGCCGAGAGGCCCAUGGGAGGGGUUUGUCUCGCCUUUUUCUUAUUUUGUUUUGUUUUUCUUUUAAAAACAUUUCUGUUUUCUUUUAUUUUAAGGCACUUAAACAAUUUGCAAAAAGAUGAUUUCUCCACCAGUAUUUUCUAUGAACUAUUUUUCAUAGUCUGAACACUUUAGUUUUACAUUUUGAAAACUUUAAAUUUUGACUUUGUUUUAAAACUGAAUUUGAACCGGUUUCAAACCAACGCGAGUUGAACAACAGUAAUCAUGGUUAUGUUUCAUCUGAACAGGAGAUCACUGUAGCUUAAUUAUCUGGGCGUCACAAAAAGUAUCAUCAUUAACCCAUCAUCAUAAUUAAUUAAAGUAACGUGAUGAGAUCAAACCAAUAAUUCAAGUACCAGAUACUCAAGAUGUCCAUAACCAGGGACACGGCUAACCAUGGUUAGUUUGUACACUCUGCAGAGGUUUGCGCACUUUUCCCCGCAAGACUCGACCACAUCCAUGAUCAGAUGAUCGAGACAUAGCCUUUCUGUAGCAUUAACUCUCUAAUCCGGGUAGACAGUACCACCUACAUCCCUCUACAUCUGCUAGUCUACCUCUGCAAGAGUUCACGCAACUUACUCAACUAUGCCAGAGCCCAUAAUGGCUUGUGGUUGCACACGGAAGUUUCUAGCAUGAAUAAUCUUAUGAUCCCUUUGAGCCUGGGUGGCAUUCCAUAGGAUAAUCACACGGUAACCUCGGGAUUUCCAAAAACAGGCAAAACUGGGUUCCCCAGGUGCCUCAACCAAUCCACUCAGAUGUGUAUUAAAGUUGCCGCCUUAAUAUUAUCCAUGAUUAAAAUAACUCUCAAACUUCCAUGUGUGAAUCACGAUCCAAUCCCCGUGUACGAGCAUGGCUAAGCAAUAAAAGCAAUACGUAUAUUCCUGGGGUGAUCAAAAGGUAUUAGGUUCCUACCUCAAACACUACAACCAAAACCACAAGUUCCCAAUCCUAAUCAUGCAAAUAUUUGAGGAGCAAAACUAAUGCAUAGUAAAAACUGGGUAUGAAAGAGUAUGAUCAAAGUAUAACUUGCCUUGCUAAUGAUCUGCAAACUCUAGAGAUUUGUAGUAACAAGCUUCGCACUUCGGGUAUUUUAGCACAAACAAACAAUAGCAUACAUAAGCAAUCACUCAAUCGAAACACGAGAAAAACCGAGAAAAGAUCCAAAUCGAACAUGAAAUAAGCAAAUGGCUUAAACUAACAAGAUUCAAAACCUAACAGCAAUAUUAACACGUGAAAUAGAUCUUAAUAGUAGGUACAUGUGAUUAGCUAUGAUUUGCAAAAAGAUUUAACUCAAACGGAGCAACGAAACUCAAAAUAUGAACGGAACAAGUUCGUUUACUAAUUUGUACUAAAGUCAAAUUUUACAGUAGCAAAAUCAUGUUCAAGUUGGUUAACUGGAAAUAGGGGUUCGAGAUGAAUAUUUUGGCGCUAGUUUCAUCUAAAUUGGAUAAAUGAGUAAAAAGUUAUACUAGUUUAAAGAUCAGGGGCUAAAUUGCGAUAAAAGUAAUCACAGAUAAGUCCCUGGCCGAAAAUAAACUAAAAAGAAAAAGACUAACGAACGAACGGUCGCUGUCUGAACUAAUCUGAUGAAUAACGUUUGUUAAAACGAACGAACAGAUGAACGUCCGCUAAUAAAAUAAACCGAUGAAAAACCGAUCUAAAACAGAACUGCAAAAACCUAAAAAAAUGGGCGGGGCAUCGGCUUUUACCGGUUAACCGGGCGAACCAGUCGGCGGCGGCGGGGCUCCGAUCUACGGCGGCGUCAAGCGGUGGCGGCGGUGCGGGGCUAGGGUAGUGGUGCAAGGCGGCAGCGGGGUUCGGUGGUUGCGGCGAGACGAGGAGAAGGCGACGGCCUCGGGCGGCUAUAAAAAGGGGCCGGGGGGCUUCCUUGGGCGAGGGGCCGGAGGAGUCCGGCGUCAGCACACACGUCGGGGUCGGUGCGACGGUGACGCGUGCGGGCGAUGGAGACCGACACCCGGUCGGGGGCGGUGCGGCGCUGGGCUGGGCUUGGCCCGCUCGGCUGGGCCGUUGGCCUAGUCCGGCGACGGGGAAUUUUUUUUAAAAUAAUUUUUGCCCGAAGAAACAAAUUUCCUAAUAAAAUAUAAAAAAUUCUAAAAAUGACAAAAACAAUUUUCACCGUCUAAAUAGAAUAUUUAGAACAAAGUGAACAUUUUUUCUGGCCUAAAAAUGCAUUUUUCAAAAAUGCAUAUUUUUCUAAUUCAAAUAAAAUACGAGAAAAUUUAUAAUUUGAUUUUAAAAUUCUUUCUCCAAUAUUUCUCUUAAUUUGAAGAUGUCAUAUUAUCUUCUCUCAUUUAUUUUAAUAUUUGAAAUAAUUAGAGAGAAAACUAUUUAAAAUUAAAUUGAUCCUAUCUUCAAAUUUGAAAUAAAUUCAAAUAUGAUGAUUUUGUGAAACCUCCAACUCUCUCCUUGGGUCCUUGAGUUGCUUAAGAUUUCUAGGAUCCCAAUCAAAUGCAAGAAUAAAUAUGAUAUGCAUAUGAUGAUCUAAGUAUAACAUCCAAAUUGAAAAUUGGGAUGUUACAGUUCUCUCUAACCGAGAUGGGGAAUAAUGGAUCACGAAGACUUCCUUUCUACAGUAUCCCUAUGCCUCUACGCUCACUUCACUCAUUUUGCUCCGUACGUAGUCACUUGUUGAAAUCUCUAGAAAGACAAAUACUCCGUAUUUGGAAACAGAGGGAGGCUUUUACUCCGUAUUUGGGAACAAAGGGAGUAUCACCAUAUGGAGGGAAGCUUGAAAUAUGAACAUGUCAAUGGGAGGGAGUAAGCCCCAUGCAUGCAUGCAUGCAUGCAACAUGCAACACCCACAUGUACACAUGGACGCACGCAACACUCACGCACCCAUGCGACAUACAGCACACGAUGCAACACACACGCUCACGCUCAAGUGCUCAACCUACUCCCUACGUCCGUGAAAGACUGUACAUUUAGAGAUUUACACAUUGACUAGGGCAUAAUUAACGCCCAAAAGUAGCAGACUUAUGUGUGCAUGCGACAAUUGAGAGAAGAAGAUUAAAUGAAGGUCAUUGCAUGCUGUAAUUAAGGAUGCACAUGUAACCUAUACCUAGAGCACAAGUUGGUGCAUUAGUCAAUUAAUAUCGAUUUAGAUUAAAGGCUAAAUGCAUUGGAAGUGUAGAUGUACUACACUCUUUGUCUUUUAGCCGAUGUACACUCUUUGUUGGAAGACCGAGAGAGCACACGUGCAUGCAAUCACAUACACAGCCAGGGUGGUUCGCGCUCAAGGGUUGGACUCUUGUCAUGCCUGCGUAAAGUUCUGUUUAACUGAUUUCUUUGCUCUGCCAACUGACAGGUGGGACCCAAAAACCAGGUGACAAAUUAACCAGUCAACAAAGUGCCACGUCGACUAUGUGGCGAGUCAAUAGGGUGCAAUACGGUGCUCUAUGAUGAGCUAGUGAUUGUAUAAUCACCGCAAAACUAUAUAUAGUGACCGUAAAGAGCGUAUUGUUACAUAUGUUGACCGCCAGUGUAUUUUUCUCAUUUCAAAUUGAGCCAUAUUAACCAGAAAGGACGCAGUAUGGACUAGUACUAGUACUGCUUUGAUGUGUCCCGUCAACUCGCCGAACAGGGAGAAGCUUGCUUGCUACGCCUCUUCCUCGCCCACACGCACGGUGGCUCACAGGACGAGGAGAGGGUUUUAACUACGAAGCCCUCUCCCUCUCCCUCUCCCUCGCCCUCGCCCUCACGGUGGACGUGCAAAAGUUCAAUCGGUGUCAGAUUGCCAGAAGCAUAUUGUACUGUAGUAUCAUCAUUGUUGGACCUUCCGAAGAGGCGAAGAGCCAAGUGCAAGGUUCACACGAGUAUGAACUGUUGAACCUCCCGAAGAGGCAAAGGGCAAAGUGCAAGGUUUUAUAGGAGUUGUCGUCCUAGUAGGAGUGUACUACAAUUAUAGUGAACGAUGCUACUGUAUGAUGCCACCAUGUCACCUAUAUCCGAAGCUAUGCCACCUUUUUUCUCAAAGAGCAUGUUGGAGCCCGUGCAACAACCACACAAGUUGCACAUACACAUAACACAUUUACUAGUGAUAAAUUCUAAAGGACAAAUGCCAGUAUGCCACACAAGUUGAUCUCCAAUUCAUGUGAUAAAUUUGUGCACGAGUAGUCUACAUAUAUUCACAGUGCUACCAUUCACAAUUUAACGUACUCCACUUACACGUUAUAGAUGGGCUACAUGUCCUCCUCCAAGUUCCAGUCCCAGGUGUUCUUCAUGGAUGGCACGAUCCAUAGCGGUGGGCAACGGGAAUCAUUGUCGCAGCUUUCUAGUCCGGUUCCACACAAUGGAGACUCAUCCAAGCUGAAGUGGCAUAAAUCAGAGAUAGCGUGUCCCAGCAUGUCGUUCAUUCGGCGGUGUGCACUAAAGACACAAGCAUGCUUCAUGAACGGUAGGCCUUUCGUGUCAUGCAUGGCAGGUGGCAUCCGCUUCACAAUGGGGUAGUUGUCCCCAAUGAAAAGCGAGUACUCUCCAAGAGUGUUCCUCGGCACCCAUGUAGCAUCACGGGGGGUCAAACUCGGCGCCGUUCAUCUGGUACACGCGGCAUCUAAGAUCUGGACAAAUGUUGACGUACAUAGUCAAGGUCCAUGCAUAAUAAUGUUGUGCUCAAAUAUGGCGGUCAGUAAUACUAGGCAGCAAAUAGUACUACUCCGGUAUAGAGGAAGUAAAAUAACCGACUUAUUAUAUAUAGCCACUCUUGGCUACAUGGAUGAGAUAGUAAGACAUGGAAAAACAAAAAUGGUGGUAGCUGGUGGGUUCAAGUCUUCAAGGGCCUAGCUAGCUAUAUGCGAAGCCCUCAAAAAAAGCUAGCUAUACGCGUCCUCCGAGGUAAAAAGUACUCCUACUAGUACUAGUAAGUAGUACAACAAUGAAAGAGAAGGCAAGAGGGUUAAAAAAAUGGAAUACCUGGGUAGAUGUUAACGGUCCGAUCGUGGUAGAUUGUGUGACCAUGUUGCACAUGAGUGGUACCAUGGGUAACGACUGCUAAGAUAGUUGAUCCCAAUAUGCCAAAGUCAGCUACAAGGUUCCAGGUUAGACCGAAUCACAGAUGCAAAUGCACAUCUAGGAUCGGCGAUCUUAUUUUGAUCAGGGGAUGACUGGUCCCUGCAAAAUAAUGGAGUACCGUUAGGGAUGCAAAUGAUGGUUUGUGCAUUCCGUUUGUAAUCUCCCGUACCGUAGGAUGGCAACCAGAUGAAACAAGUCCCCUGGCUUGUCACCGCGAAGAUGCGGCCUAGAUGGCGCAUGAUGUCUUCGAACGUGUAGGGGUACAAAUCUGUCGCCGCCAACAUGCGCCAGCCUCUGCCGUUACUGCCUCUUGCAUUGAUGGCAAUCCUUAUGUCGAACACCACAAUGAGAUAGUAAUCGCCAUAGCCUCGUCAUUUUGUCGAUGGGUCUGCAAUUGCUAUCUUCUUUAAUCUCAUGUAGGCAUCAUCAUACGUAUUCAAGCCCAGCCAGUCCGGAAGGCCGAUCCCAAUGGUGGAGAAGGGGUCUACGGGAACGGCCGCACUGAUGUGGAUGUUGUGCAAAAUGAUGGUGGUAUCCAGCCGGAGGUAUGAAAUCCAAUCUUCGCUGGCACCGACCCAGACCUAUAUAUAAGAUAGUGGGCAGCAGAGAAAUUACAAGAUGGAAACUAAGUACUACAUGAUCAAACUCCAUUACUGACCUGCUCAUCGGACAAAAUCCGACUACCUCUCAACGUCGGCAACUCUAGCGGAGUCAAUGUGCAACCAUGGCCAGGGAGCGGUGGACUGUUCAAAGGAUUGUCCCAUAGAAGAACCUUCUCCUCGAGGACACAUGGAAGACCAACAAGCAUGGCCUUUUCCAAAGCAUGUUUGAGCACCAUCUUGAAAAAGUUAGUGCAGGAAGCACCAAGUCUUGCGACGGUGAGGACGUCGGAGCGGCGUGCGACUUCUCCCAGAGGAUCAUCAUCCAAGGUCUCCCAGCCCCGACGAGGAGGAGAACCGCCUGUCGAAUCCAUGGGAGCAGCGAUGAACUGCCUCCUCUUCGGGGCGAGGGGAACUGGCAAGGAGGAGAUAAGAGCGUAGUAACCGUAGGGUCUCGUCCCUUCCAACUAUAGAUCGUUCCUUAGCGAAGGGGUGAGCCUAUUAUUUACUACUAGUACUAGCAUUAUGGGACGUUAUGGGAUUGCAUUAUACUAUAAAUAAUAGCACUAGUAAGAAAUUUUUGGCACUAGGUAGUAGUUUUUGGCAUGGAUUAAGAAUUUUUGGGUAUGUUUUUGAUAUUUUUUGUACACGCCAACUAGUGUCAAAAAACGUCUUACAUUAUGUGACAGAGGAGUACGUACUCGUACUAUAGCAGUACUAGUACUACUUUCUUAACUAGUAGUGCGAUGUACUGUACUUCUAGUAUAGUGCACCAGUUUUGAACUCUUGAAUCUCAGGGCCAAGGAGCUACAGUUGGAAGUGGAGGGUACUACUGUUCUCUAGAACCAUCAGUGUACUAUCAAUGCAGGGAAAGUACACCUGCGUAGUGGCCUAGUGGGUACUCUCGAUGCUCUAUUCAGCCGCUCCUCUCACAUAGUUGGCCUACUCAGCCGCUCCUCUCACGCACACACUAGCAUCCUGUUUAUCAGCGAUGGUUACUGCGGGGGUAGAACAUUUGAGUUAUUUGAUACAGCGAGACUAGGCUUUUCGCUUCCAUUUGUGGAGGUGUAAUGGAUCUCGUCGAACUUUGUUAGUAGUUCCAUCUUUAUGAAUGAGAUGAGGCAAAGCUUUUGCCUCCGUUUCGAAAGUAACACGUCAAGAGGAAUUUCUUUUAUAGAGCCGAUAAUGGAGUGAAGUCCAUGCAUGCAAUGCCACAAGCUAUAGAGUAGUAGUAGAGCACUUUACGUACAGAGCCAUAUUGCACAGUUCCCAAUGCCCCGCCAGGCUUUUCUGGCUCCUUGGGCUUAAUUGGGAGGCGCUAAUUUAAAUAUCCUACUAGCUGAUGAGGAAGCUGCAAGCGAGGUGCGGCUAGGGCGAGCACGCGAGUCACGAGAUGCUGGGAAGGAAAACCCGUUCACGUGGCUAGGCUAUCCAGUGCACCCAGAUUAUGGUGCCGCACAUCCGUUUGACUUCAAAACUCAAACUACAUGUGUAAAAUAUUGGCUCGUAGCGAAGUUACUAUUUUAAAAAAAGGUCGCCGUGCGUUUGGUCGGGAUCGAACCCACAAAACGAGGUAUACACUCCCACGACCACUACUAGUACUCGUUGGAGUACAAUGCAACCUAGAAUUGCCUUUUGUCGCUUGUAGUACAUUGUUCCUUACAAGAAACCCCUAAUAAUACAAGAAACCACUAAUAAUGCCAAGAAACUACUACCACCUGCAUACGUGGCAGACUUAAGAUAAGACUACCUUAUCAACCAUUGUACAUGCCCUUACCAACCAGCCCUACCAAGAAACGAUUACUCUACAAAGUGUCGUUAUAUGCACGUUUCAACCCAUGUUGCCCAUUAAGUCAACGCCUUCUAUUCGACCGGGCGUUAUGACUUAUGGGACCUACAUGUCAGUCUGCACAAAAAUCCCCGAGUGACCUCCUACCUCCGGCCCGUCCACCUAGUCAUCCUCGGCCAUGGGAUGCAGCUACCGCCGCCAGCAGAAAGCGAGGUCAAAACCACCGGCGGUGCGGAGCCCAUCUUGCGGCAGCUCGGAUGCCAGCUCCGCCCGGCGCUCGCGGUCGCUAGCUAGCCAAGAUAGCUCCGUCCAGCUGUUUGUCUGUAAGGUUUGCUAGCUAGAUUGGCAUGGCGGCGCGGCGGCUUGCUCAUGCGCACCGUGCUAAGGCCAGCCAUCUGGCUCGAGCGAAGGCCAGCACGGCGGCUUGCUCGCUCGUGUGUCACGCUCGGGCUAGCCUGCCAACCCGUGCGGAGGCCAGCAUGGCGUCCGGCCCGUCCGGCGGAGCGGCGGCCAACUCGCUCAUCACUGGCACCACCGACGAACACGCAUCAGUAUUGUUUGAAGUAAUGUUCAGGAAAAAUAAUGAUUUGAGGGGGAAUAACAGGAUAGAAGGUCAGAUGUGGGUCCCUCGUGUAAACGGUCAAACAAAAUGUGUUGGUUUAAGCCGCCUCGUCAGCACAGGCGUGUGGGCCAACCCUGUCAUAAAUGGGUUUAAACGAGCCUAAUCGGUACUAGGUAGUAGUUUUUGGCGUGGAUUAAGAAAUUUUGGGUAUGUUUUUGCUAUUUUUUGUAUAAUAGAUUCUUCCUAGGGUUGGUUGAAAGUGGUAGUUUUUUGUUAAAUACUCUACAUACUGUAAGUAGGAGUGAAAGUUAAGCUUUGGAAGCCAAUAAGCAAGGCUAGUUACAUAGUGCAUAUGUGUACAUGAUUGAAAGUAAAUAUCAACCAUGAGUGACUAAUAUCUUGAUGGAAAACUCGAAACUAUGGAAAUACUAGGAUUUUUUUUGCAUGGUUGGAAAUACUAGCAAUGUUCAUGUGUGUUGCAAUGGAUCAUAAUUAGAAUAAUACUUAUUCACAAACUUGAUACAAAACACUCUAAUUUUUAUAUACAUAUAUCACUAGAGAUAUAUUAUGUUUCAAUUAGAAUAUAUUCCUUGGGCUGUUUUAGUGAGGUCAGCGAGGGAUGUGGUUGGUUUUAAGAUACUAAUUAUGGGUUUUUCUGCAAAUUGGUAGACAAGUGGGAUGUUGGUGAGAAAAGGCAACAACUUACCUCACAGUCGUUAGAUGUAGAUCAAAUGGUCAGAAACGACGGAUGGCAGACACACCAUCAUCACCAACUUAGUCUUAUAUAGGAGUACUAGCAAGAUCCGUGCAUUGCACGGAACAUCAAGAUGCAUUUUUUAUAAAACACUUGUUGUGAUUGACCCAUGCGGGAGUAAUCCCAUGUGUAAAAACUAAUGAUAUCUCGAGAAAUAGGAGAUAAGGUGAAGAGGAGUGGGGCGUGGUGGUGAUUGGUGGUCAGACUAAGUGGAGGCAUGGGGAUUAACGACGCCAGCAGCGGCCACUAGGCCAGUUUGUUCCAGAGGCUUCCUUUCUUAAUUGCACAACAAUGAGGUUGUUGGAGAUAAGGAUGAACAAGGGAAGGCCUUGUCUGCAAAUGUGGAGAGGGGUGCGGGUAUCUUUUAGUUUAAUUUCCAUCUGUCAGAUAUAGAUCAGACGGUCUAUAUUGCAAGAUGGACGCGUACCAUCAUCACCAACUCGGUUUUUUAUAAGAGAAGAAAUAUAAGUAUGGAGAUACAAACGUAUUAUUGAUACUUGUUUCCGUAAACUAGCAUCUACAUUCUAUUCAACGCCUCAGCAUGUGGGGCCUUAGCACAAUGACUUCUCGACUGUGUAAAACAAAGGUUUUCCCAUCGCUAAUAAGGAGGGGGUGACGGCGGCGCGCUUUUUGGCUUGCUCUAGUCCUAGUAGUCAUACUAGGUGGUCUAAGCACGUGUAGAUUUAUUCUUUUUCACGUCUCGUGUUCGCCGUACUGCCACGACUGUUGAUGAAUAGACGGUAAGUUAUUCACGGGGAAACCCUUGUUGAGCGUGUUUGUGAGAGAGAGAGAGAGAGAAUGAUAUGUCUAGAGACUGAGGCAAUGAUAACAGAUUCUUUGUGUCUAUGUGUGUGGAGGAUGGAGAGAGACAUGUACAUGGGGCUUUGUGUUGUGUAACGUGGAGACACAUAUACAUAAUUAGAGAGUGAGUGUGUGAGAUACACAUGCGGACAUGGGGAGAGAUGAGGAUCCAGAUAAAUGGGUGUUUGUGCGUGUCUGUGUGUGUUUGUGCGCGUGUUUGUGUGUCGGAGGGAGUGUGUGUAUGUGGAGUAGAGAGACCACUAAUGAUGUAAACCUAGUAUAAGGGAAGGGGGAAUGGUAUGACAUGUGUAGUAGCGGGGUGGCAUGGGUGCGGGCGGGGGGAGUAGACUAUUUGGAAGAGACAUCGAGUGUGUGUGGGAGAGGGGUGUGAGAGCGAGCGAGAGAGAGAGAGAGAGAGAGAGAGAGAGAGAGAGAGAGGAAGAGAGGGGGCGAGACAGGGGUCGUUUGUGUCCAUAAAUGGUGUAUAGAUAGGGAGACAAUGUUGAUGUUGUUUGAAAUUGGCCUAUGUACGGAGAUGCAAGGGAAGCGAGUCAUCGUGUGUGUGAUAGGGACUUCAUGAGAGAUCUAGAAUAGAUGGUGUAGAGAACAAUGUGCGAGAUUGAGAACGAUGAUACAUUAGGGAGCUAUGGAAAGAGUCACGACAUAUAUGUAUACAGGGAAGGAGCUGGGGUGGGUCCUCAUGUGGGAGAGAUAGAAAGAGGAGAGUGGUGCACAAGGAGACAAAGUGUGCUUGUUUGUAGUGGGGGUGGUGUGUGAGGUGAGUGUGCGAGAACCACAUAACUAGGGAGAUAGAUGUUUGGUGGCGACGUUUUGUGUGUAUGGGAAAGAUACACUCUACAUAGUGCGUGUGCUUGGGAAAGAGAGGUGCCGGGAGACCUAGAGAGUGGGGGAAGAGAUGUGUGCAUGCACAAGAGACAAAGUGAUAGAGACCUAUAUUGGGGUCCGGACUUUAGAAGAGAGAAGGGUGUUAAUGUGCUCGUGUGUUGGUGUUUGGGGGAGAGAACGACUUCUUUGUGGGGGGGCGACGAGGGGGGAGGGGGUUGGCUUCAGAUAAAGAGUGAGGUGUCUAUAUUUGAGGGACUUUGGCGUAAUUGAGAUAUACAUGGUCAAUAGUGUGCGCACUCAUGGUUGAUCAAUUUGUUUCACAGUUUGGACUAUGUGAUAACGAUACUUUUGAACAUGCGUGAUAUACCUUGAUGUACCAGAAUUGCAAACCUAAGAUUGGAAUUUUGGAAUUCGACUCCGUCAUUAGCUUUUGUAAUUCAUUUAAAUGGAGGUACAUUUUUUAAGCCGGGAUUUCCUGAUUCAAAUUCAUAUAUCAAACCUAGAGAUAUACGCAUACAGGCAUGUUCAAACUUUAUAAUCAUCCACUUUAUUCAUACACAUACACAUUUUUGCUUUUGUCAUCAUAUUUAGGAUAAACACAUUUGGAAUUUUAUUUGAAUUGGACUGUAUGAUGGUAUUUGCUUGUACUAGCUCAAUGAUCCAUAUUUGAAUUGAAUGGACAAUCUAAGUUUCGAGUUGGAGACAUUGUGUGGCACCCCGGCUUAGAGCAACCAGUUUACCCUGCAUUGCCAGCCCAGAGAUCAAGUCUUCUGGCAAUACACAACAACAUGGUACACAAACAACCACUUUAUUGAUUCUAGCGGAUUACAUAGGUCUGAUAUUACAUCGAGAUUCGAGGCCAAGCGGCACACACGAUACUGUUGGAUAGUAUGUACAUUAUUUAAUGAACAUGAUGGGGCCUCGAUCACACGAGCUACGCGGCAGCGGAAGAACAACGAAGUGGAACUCCAUAGCACAGGGACACCAACAUGAACACGGCCUAGACAUGAGAUGCACUCUGAUGCGAACUGACUUAACUGAAAACCGGCAUAACACACCAGGUUAGUACAUUGAAUGUACUUGCAAGCUCACAACAAACAUAAGCACGAUGACAAACAAUAUCAUGAUAUUUAAUCAGAUUAAAACAAUGCAAAACUACUACCGAAGGUAAACAAACGUUUCAUGCAAUGAGUCCCACGGACUCGCUUAACAGAUGGUUACCUCGUAACCAAACGGUGACCAUACCUGGGUCACACCUGAAACCAAUCACUCAUGAACACCUCAAGUGUUCAUGCUUCGCCACGAACCGAUGCAUCACAACACUCACUUAGUUUACAAGAUUUAUUAGAAAGGUUGAUCCAUGGUGUGACUUACUCCCGAGUUAUGACCAUAACCGAGGACGCGGCUAUCGAUAGAUUAAUUAUACUCUGCAGAGGUAGCGCACUUUACCCACACUAUGGAACACUUGGCCUCGCAUUCCCAUUCGGGUGGACCAAAGCAUUCCGACGAAACCCUCCCUUUGUCAUGCACUCUCCCUGGCCACUCCGACCAACUCCCCAUCAGGCUAGGUCUUGGGUGGCCCCGUGUCUACCAAAGACACCAACGGCCACCAUCGUGGCAAAACGGUCCCAAACGGGGACAAGGUACCAUAAAAACAAAAAUGAGCACACAAGGUUAUGUCUGCCUACCGGGCCAGGGUAUGCACGCCCAUAACCUUCCCUCGCGGGAGGCACCGGUGAGAGCCACAACAAAGGACCGAAUCAAGACCUUCCCAUAAGGUAAAUGUGGUCGCACUGAAUUAAAACCCGAUUCAUUGGCACCAUCAUAUGAUCAACAUCGUAUUCAAGUUGAACUUAAUCAAGUUUAGCUUUGAUAAAAACUUUUUAUCAUCAACAUGAUAUAACCCAAAAAGAAUCAUGCAAGUACUCGUCAUACAAAGAAAAUAACUCAUAUUCAUGGAUCAAACUUAACAAUAUAUGCAUCUUGCAAUUCUUAGAACCAAAACUUUUCUAGUUGUAACUCAUUUUUAUUUAUCAAGCAAUAUUGUUGUUAGUUCUUUAUUUAAAUGAAACUAUCAUUUAAUAAAAUACUAACAUUAAUUUCCAUAGCAAUAUGUAUAGUGCAAAAUCUUACUCUACUUAACCAAACAAGUUCAUGCAUUCAACCAAAAAAUGAAACAAGCAUAUCAAGCAUAAUAAAGUAACUAGCAAUUAACCAAAGUUAUUUAUCAAAUUUUAAUUUCAAAUAACAACUCAUAUUCAAGUAGAAAAGCAUAGAUAUUGAAAUAACACCAUCCAAAUGCUGGUGUGGCUUGCCUUAGUGUAGAGGAGGAUCACACCCCUCUUGGUUUGCUUCAAGACAAGCUUCUCCUUCUGAAAAAGAAUUUAAACAACAAAAAUAUUUGUCAAAACACAUUCUGAAAAUCACCAGAAAUUCUAGGCAGCAAGGAAAAAAUCCACCUUCCGGUGUGCUGCUAGAGCUUUCUGAAACAAAGACAAUGCAAAAAGAAUCAAAUCAUUUAGACUUAUGGUUUAGAAAUGGUGGCUAGUCAAAGUUCAGUCAAAUUUCUGAAUAAUAUUUAAAUUAAAUAGAAAUCUUAGGGGGUGACGUCGAAGGCGUCAAACAGAAAUACGCCUCCACUCGUACUGCUUCAGGCGCGAGUGGUGAGAUCGACAGGUGGGUCACGUGCGUCAGGAGAGAGAGGGGUGCGAUAGAUCAGAGAGAGGCGGGCCUUCGCCGGAGCUCACGCCGGUGACGAGGGGGUUUGGGGCUUGGCUAGAGGGAUAGGAUUGAAGCGGGGCUCAAGGCACACCUUCCCGUACCCGUAGCUUGGCUUGGGGUGGACGGAGCUGCUCGUAGUUGAUCUCGCAAGCUACGGUGGCAGACGGGUUUCGCCGGAGUGGUUGAAUACGAUGGCUAGAGGCGGCUCCGAGGGCUCAGUGGUGUCCAUGCAGCACCAGCAGAUCCCCAAUGCCCCACCCAAGCAGUUGCUUGAGCUCGAGAGGCACCGGAGAGCGGCGACUGGACUGCGGGGAUCGCCGGAGACCUCUGGUCGGGGAAACGGCCAGAGGCCUGCCCGACCGAGCUUCUGCUCGUCUCCGUGUUUGUGGAGGUGGUGUGGAGUGGUGCUUGGCUAGAAAUUGAGGAGGAGAGCACUAUAUUUAGCCAGAGCAAGGGGGGAACGUGUCACCGCCGGAGCUCUCUGGACACGUGGCGAAAAGCAAUGAGAAGCUCCAAGGCGAGGGGGCAAAGGCUCAACGUCAAUGCAGGAGCUUGCCCACACUCGUGGAUGAGCACAGGAGGCGGUUGGGGAAGAGGACAAGCGCACGCGCGCACUAUUGCGUUUUGGCCGCGACGCGCCCGUGCUUGCUGCGGUGGCUCCGGCGUCGGCGAGCGCCAGGGAGCAGUCAAGGGUGAUGGGUCGAGCCUUGUGGCAUGGUGCGGCAGUCGGCGGCAAGCGCUGGAACGAGCACGCGCGAAACAGAGAGCAAGGCGCCAGCCAGAGCGCGUCGAGACGCUGCCAGGUGUCGUGUCCACGCGCGGUCACCAAGAUGGCAUGGUCAAAACGACGCCCAGGAGCGGCCAAACCUUGUCUACGCGCUCGACCGUGAAGCGUUUAGUCUAGGAGAGGUGAUGGUUCAUGCCCAGGCCAAUCAGACUUGACUCCACUAAGCUGACAAGUUUCUGUCCAGAAACUUGGUCGCCAAGUUUGGCCACCUUCUAGAAGGACAUUAGGGCUGAUCUCCUGGGGUUUAGGGCUUCUUAGGAGGGUGUUUAAGCUCAAGAAUGAUCAAGGUAAAUCUCAAGAAAAAUUGUACUUGUUGUACAAACUGGAGUUUUGGGUCAGAAUAGAAAUGAUUUUCUACAGCAAAAUAUUCCAAAAAGUGGUGCAAUAUUUUUGCAUGGGAAGGUGUGCUAAGGUGCUAAGAAUAUUUAGGAAUUACUCCCUCCGUAAACUAAUAUAAGAGCGUUUAGAAUACUAAAGUAGUGAUCUAAACGCUCUUAUAUUAGUUUACAGAGGGAGUAUCUCAUAUUUUCCCGAGCAAGAAAAAAUUGAGGUUGCUUUGGAGCACAAGUUUCUGAAGUGAGUUUCAGAGAGAGAAAUGAAUAUUUUUCUUUGAUGAAAAAUAUUCAUUUGAUUAUUUUGAGGAUUGAUCAGAGGAAUAAAGUAGAUAGGCCACUUGGGUGAAAGUCAAGGAUAUGCCCAAGUGACAAGUCCAUUUGAAAUGAUUUAAUCUCCAAUUCAACUCAGGGCAAAACCACGAUAAAAACCAAGUCCGGAAAAGAGAGAGAAGGCAAGUCCAAAAAAAGAGAGAAGGAAAAAUACAGGCUGUCACAAACCUCCCCCACUUAAGAUGAAUCUCGUCCUAGAGAUUCAGUUGCUUGGGAAAACCAUUUUGAGUAUGCAGUCCUUAAAAAUACCUCUCUUUCCCAGGUCGCUUCCUCCUGGGUGUGGUGCUCCCACUGAACCUUGUAAAACCUUAUUUCUUUGUUGCAGGUGACCCUUUCUGUCUGAUCCAAUAUUUUGAUUGGCUUUUCCUCAUAAGUAAAAUCCUUAGCCAAUUCUAUCUCUACCAUAUCAGUCCUUUUCUCCGGUGGCAAGAUACAUCUUGUUAGCUGUGAUACGUGAAACACGUUGUGUACUUCUGACAGUUCUAGUGGCAAUUCCAACUGAUAUGCAACCGUACCAACUCUGGCCACGAUGGGGAAUGGACUGAUAUAUCUGGGUGCCAAUUUUCCGCGAGUCUGGAACCUCUUGACUCCUUUCAUAGGGGUGACUUAGAGAUAUACGUGUUCUCCGGGUUCGAAGCUGAUCUGAUGAUGUUUGGCAUCAUAGUAGCUCUUUUGUCGAGAUUUGGCCAAUUGCAGUCUGUCACGGAUUUCCUUGACUUGCUUCUCCGCUUCAAGCAUUAAAUCAGUCCCGAAAAUGUGGUUGUCUCCGGUUUGAGACCAGUUCAAUGGAGUGCGACACCUUUGGCCAUACAAGGCUUCAUAGGGUGACAUCUUUAAGCUAGCCUGGAAACUGUUGUUGUAGGAAAACUCGGUGUAGGGCAGACAGUCUUCCCACUUGGUCCCUUGGGCCAAUGUACAUGCCCGGAGCAUAUCUUCAAGUAUUUGAUUUACUCGCUCAGUCUGUCCAUCUGUCUGAGGAUGAUAAGCCGUGCUAUAUUUCAAAGCGCUCCCCAAGGCUUGAUGUAGUCGGGACCAAAAUGCGGAGGUGAAGAGGGAUCCCCUGUCGGAGGUGAUCGUCUUGGGUACUCCAUGUAGACUGAUGAUUCUUGACACACACAGCUGUGCGAGUUGAUUUGCACAGUAUGUGAUCCGGAUAGGAAGAAAGUGUGCAAUCUUUGUUAAGGUGUCCACUAUGACCCAUAUUGCGUCGUUUCCUCGAUGAAACCUUGGUAGUCCGGUGAUGAAGUCCAUGCAGAUAUCAUCCCAUUUCCAUUGGGAUACUGGCAGAGGUUGGAGGAGUUCGGCGGGUUUUUGGUGUUCCACCUUUACCUUAUUGCAUACGUUGCAACACGCCACAAAGUAUGCGAUGUCUUUCUUCAUUCCAUCCCACCAAAAUACCUGACGAAGGUCCUCAUACAUUUUGGUACCACCGGGAUGAAUUGAGUGUGGUGCUUCAUGCACUUCUGCCAAUAUCUUCUUCUUCAGACUUUCUUGGUUAGGUACGCAGAGUCUUCCUCGGAACCUUAGCAAACCUUGCUGAUCCAUAGAGAAGUCUGGUGCACGCCCUUGGUGCAUCUUCUGAAUUGACAUCUUAUCAUUCGCUUGAGCACUACAGAUUUCUUCUUCGAGAGCAGGGCGACUUCCAAUAUAUUGGCAAGACGGGCGUCGGUGAUUACCAAAUUGAGCUGCAUGAUUUCUUCAUAAAGCUCAGGAGGCAAGGAAUCCAUUAGAGCAUUAAGGUUGGCUGGUUUGCGGCUGAGGGCGUCAGCCACCACAUUAGCUUUGUCUGGGUGAUAAUUUAUCCCGAGGUCAUAAUCCUUAACCAAUUCGAGCCAUCUUUGUCGUCGAAGGUUCAAAUCAGGCUGAGUGAAUAUAUACUUGAGACUCUUAUGAUCGGUGAAUAUCUGGCACUUCUUUCCAAUCAGGUAGUGUCUCCAGAUCUUCAAAGCGUGCACCACCGCGGCCAAUUCCAAAUCAUGAGUAGGGUAGUUUCCUUCGUGUUGCCGUAGUUGUCGAGACGCAUAUGCCACCACUUUGCCAUCUUGCAUGAGUACGCACCCCAGUCCUUUUUUGGAUGCGUCGCAGUAGACAUCAAAACUGCGGUAGAUGUCUGGAAGAGUCAAUACUGGUGCUGAUGUCAGCCUAAUUUUUAACUCGUUGAAACUCCGCUCGCAUUCCUUAGUCCAUAGGAACUUCUUAUCCUUCUUCAGAAGCUCAGUCAUAGGCUUGGCAAUCUUCGAGAAGCCUUCGAUAAAACGACGAUAAUAUCCGGCUACUCCAAGGAAACUCCGGAUUUCUGAGACUGUGGUGGGUGCGGACCAAUCAAGUACAUCCUUCACCUUGCUUGGGUCCACUGAGAUUCCUUCUGCCAAGAGGACAUGCCCGAGGAAUCCCACUUGUUGGAGCCAGAACUCACAUUUGCUAAAUUUGGCACAAAGCUGAUGGUCGUGAAGCCUUUGCAGAACUACUCACAGAUGCUCCUUGUGUUCGUCCUUGCUCUUGGAGUAAAUGAGGAUGUCAUCAAUGAAUACCACCACAAAUUUAUCCAAGAAGUCCAUAAACACCUUGUUCAUCAUAUGCAUAAAGAAUGCAGGAGCGUUGGUGAGGCCGAAGGACAUAAUGGUGUACUCAUAAAGACCGUAUCGAGUGGUAAACAUGGUCUUAGGAAUAUCUUCCUUCUUUAUCUUGAGUUGAUGAUAUCUAGUCCUCAAAUAAAUUUUUGAGAAUACUUUGGCCCCACUAAGUUGAUCAAAUAGAUCAUCGAUCCUCGGUAGUGGAUACUUGUUUUUGAUGGUGACAUCAUUCAGUUGUCGGUAGUCUACACACAUUCAUAGACUGCCAUCCUUUUUGUCCAUGAAGAUUGAUGGUGAUCCCCAUGGUGAAGAUCUUGGAUGAAUGUACCCUUUCUACAGCAUAUCAUCUAGUUGUUUCUUCAAUUCCACCAAUUCUGAGGAAGGCAUCCGAUAAUAUUUCUUAUGUAUCGGAGUGGUUGCAGGCACCAAAUCAAUUGCAAACUCCAAUCCUCGGUCUGGUGGCAUGCCUGGUAAUUCUUCAGGAAAGACGUCUGGAUACUCAUUGACCAUAGGAAUUAAUUCCACUUCUUCUGCCACUGCUGCGAAAACCAUAUCUUUUGUGGGUAUGCGCUUGCGGGCAUAAAAACUUGUGGUGCGACCUUCCAUAUUUUUCAGGGUAACUUCUCUGGUCGCACAGCUGAUGCAGACUUGAUAUUGAGUUAACCAAUUCAUGCCCAGAACGACGUCCAAUUUGUUGGAAUCGAUGAUUAUCAACGAGGUUGGAAACUUGACGCCCUUGAUGUCAAUUUCCAAAUUUCGGUAGACGAGAUUACUUCUGAGUAGGGAUCCCGGGGAUUGUACCAGCAUGUGCUUUCCCAAAAUCGAGCAAGUAAAGUUUUUUUGGGAAGCAAAACUCCACGAUAUGAAAGAGUGGGAAGCCCCAGAGUCAAAUAAAAUCACGGCGGGUAUGUCAUUAACAAGAAACAUACCAAUGACGACUUUCGGGUCCUCUUGAGCUUCGUCUACAGAGAUGUGAUGAAUUUGCCCUUGAAUCAUAUCUGGGGCAGAAUACGGCUCCAUGUAGUUGACUUGCGGCUGGAAGGGAGCUACAUGCUUGUUAUUCUUGGGACACUGUCUGGCGUAGUGUCCGGUUUGACCAUAGGUGAAACAUGAAUUGUUGCAUUGACAGUCUUCGUGCACCGAGCUGGUCACGACAUUCUUGACUUCUGUAGUAGUCUUGUUGACAUUCUACUGCCAAUUUUGUUUGUACUCCACCUGAGUCUGUUGCCAAGUACGAGCCUUUUGCACUGGUUGCAUAUCCUUCUUUAGCUUGAAUUUGCGCUUGUGGUCGUUAACAGCUGGCUUGUGGUCGUGUAGGAGCUUGUGUUCUCUUUUGGCGAUGAGGGCCUUGUUCACCAGCAUCAGGAAGUCUGGGAAAUCAAACAUGCUGAGAGUGCACCUGAGAUGCUGAUUCAGGCCUCCAAGGAACCGGUCGAUCUUUCGCUCUUCUGUGGCAACAUCGUGGAGGGAAUAGCGGGCCAAAUGGUUGAACUUGUUUAGGUACUCAUUGACGGUCAUGCUGCCUUGAGUGAGAGCGAGGAAUUCACGCUGCUUGAUUUUCAUAACUCCGGUGGGAAUAUGGUACUUGCGGAAUUGUUCCUUGAAUUUUGCCCAAGUAAUUUCUUCGUCUGCGGGCCAUAUUGCCUUGGCAUUAUCCCACCAAAUCGUGGCAGCUCCUUUGAGAUAAUGUGUUGCAAAGGGAACCUUGUCUCCUUCUUUAGUGCGAGCAAUCUCCAGUUUCCUCUCCAUAGUCCUUAGCCAGUCGUCGGCGUCCAAAGGAUCAGUAGCGUGGCUGAAACUGGGAGGCUUGGUUCGCUGAAAAUCUGACAGUUUGGAUUGAUGGCCAUUCUGGUUUCCAUUCUGCCCAACCAUAACUUGCACACUCUUCGGGAUUUCCAAUAGGUCAUUGCUCCUUCUUUCUUCAAACAUUCGUAGGAUCUGAUCGGUGGAAGGAGGAUGUGGUGGUGGCGGCAGAGGUGGCUGGCACGGCUCGGGGGAAUGUCCCGCCUGUCUUCCGGAACGACGAACAGGGACAUCCUCACAAGCUUGGUUGCUGCUGCCUCCACGCGUCAUCCUAUUUUUUUCGUUUUCCCAAUACAUAGCAACCAUGAUGAGAAAAUUCCAAAAUGGGGGCAAAAGCCAAUGACAAAUCCCGGAAGAAAACAACGAAUGGAAACCAAGGCGAAUAAAAAGUUCCAACAUAAUUAUACAUAGUCCCAAUCAUGAAAGUAAACAUCACAGCGAGUCUACUACCCUCGUACAUGAAAGUACGCAUCAUGACAAGUGCGAUUACAGCCAUACAUCAUGCUCAUGACUACAGCGAUACUCUAACGGUCUACUGCUCGGUCGGUGCUGCUGCAGGCUCGUCUCCUGAGCCGGACCCUGAUCCUGAACUGAUAACAGAGACCUCCAGGUCAAGAGGGACGCGACGAUGCUGCCUUGAGGGAUCUCCCUCAGGGGCAGGCGGUGGAUGGGAUCUGAGCAUAGGAGCAGCAGGAGUAGCGACAAGGGAAGACCAUGCAGCAUGAGCGCUGCAAGGGUUCACCGUCAGAGGGUUAACGGUACCCUGCGAGGUCGUCGGGGGAACGGAGGUGGAAGAAACUGGAGCAUAAGUAUAGAUGACAGCAGUAAGAGGGUCCCUCAUACGAGCAGCUGCGAGAGCGGUGCGAGCACGUGAAAGCUCCCAAGCUAACUCAUAGUUCAUGAGAUAACUAGCGGUGAUGUAGCGAGAAAGGUGGCUAGUGGGACGGUCGCACGCCGGAUUAAUCAAAGGAAAACGGAUACACCCAUUCUCGUGCAGAGAUGGGUAGAAGAACAGACCAGGGUGGGUAUGCAUGCGGACCUCGUUGUAGUGCAAGUCUACAAGAGCCUCGAGAGCAGCAAACUAAACCGCCUGGGAUGGCGUAGAAGCAAGACCACCCUUAGUCGAAUGAGUGUAAGCGCCGAAAGGUGAACUAUGGUGUAGAGUGACCUCAGCAUAAUACUCUACAAUGCACUGGCCAGAUGCUCGUGAUACACCCGAUACUCUGGAUCAGCACCCUCUGGGUAGAGUCGUCGCCACAUGUUUUGAAGCAGAUGCGGCGAUGUGUACGGAGCUGGCUCAGGAUGGUACAAGAUCGAUACUGGUGCCAUCUACACUCACAAACCAUUCUGUUAGUAAUAACCAAUAAACAUGCAUGCAAUGCAACAAUCGGCACUCAAACGAAGCUAUCUACCGUUUCACUAACGCACUAACGGUCUAGCGUGUCCUGCAAUCAGCGCGGCUCUGAUACCAAGUGUUGUGGCACCCCGGCUCAGAGCAACCUGUUUACCCUGCAUUGCCAGCCCAGAGAUCAAGUCUUCUGGCAAUACACAACAACAUGGUAUAGAAACAACCGCUUUAUUGAUGCUAGCGGAUUACAUAGGUCUGAUAUUACAUCAAGAUUCGAGGCCAAUCGGCACACAUGGUACUGCUGGACAUUAUGUACAUUAUUUAAUGAACAUGAUGGGGCCUCGAUCACACGAGCUACAUGGCAGCGGAAGAACGACGAAGUGGAACUCCAUAGCACAGGGACACCGACAUGAACACGGCCUAGACAUGAGAUGCGCUCCGGUGCGAACUGACUUGCCUGAAAACUGGCAUAACACGCCAGGUCAGUACAUUGAAUGUACUUGCAAGCUCACAACAUACAUAAGCACGAUGACAAACAAUAUCAUGGUAUUUAAUCAGAUUAAAACAAUGCAAAACUACUACCGAAGGAAAAUAAAUGUUUCAUGCAUUGAGUCCCACGGACUCGCUUACCAGACGGUUACCUCGUAACCAAACGGUGACCAUACCUGGGUCACACCUGAAACCAAUCACUCAUGAACACCUCAAGUGUUCAUGCUUCGCCACAAACUGAUGCAUCACAGCACUCACUUAGUUUGCAAGAUUUAUUAGAAAGGUUGAUCCAUGGUGUGACUUACUCCCGAGUUAUGCCCAUAACCGAGGACACGGCUAUCGAUAGAUUAAUUACACUUUGCAGAGGUAGCGCACUUUACCCACACUACAGAAUACCUGUCCUCGCAUUCCCAUUCGGGUGGACCAAAGCAUUCCGAUGAAACCCUCCCUUUGUCAUGCACUCUCCCCGGCCACUCCGACCAACUCCCCCUCAGGGCUAGGUCUUGGGUGGCCCCGUCUCUACCAAAGACACCAACGGCCACCGUCGUGGCAAAACGGUCCCAAACGGGGACAAGGUACCAUAAAAACAAAAAUGAGCACACAAGGUUAUGUCUGCCUACCGGGCCAGGGUAUGCACGCCCAUAACCUUCCCUCGCGGGAGGCACCGGUGAGAGCCACAACAAAGGACCGAAUCAAGACCUUCCCACAAGGUAAAUGAGGCCGCACUGAAUUAAAACCUGAUUCGGUGGCACCAUGAUGUGAUCAACAUCGUAUUCAAGUUGAACUUAAUCAAGUUUAGCUUUGAUAAAAACUUUUUAUCAUCAACAUGAUAUAACCCAAAAAGAAUCAUACAACUACUCGUCAUAGAAAGCAAACAACUAAUAUUCAUGGAUCAAACUUAACAAUAUAUGCAUCUUGCAAUUCUUAAAACCAAAACUUUUCUGGUUAUAACUCAUUUUUAUUUAUCAAGCGAUAUCGUUGUUAGUUCUUUAUUUAAAUGAAACUAUCAUUUAAUAAAAUACUAACAUUAAUUUCCAUAGCAAUACGUAUAGUGCAAAAUCUUACUCUACUUAACCAAACAAGUUCAUGCAUUCAACCAGUAAAUGAAACAAGCAUAUCAAGCAUAAUAAAGCAACUAGCAAUUAACCAAAGUUAUUUAUCAAAUUUUAAUUUCAAAUAAGAACUCAUAUUCAAGUAGAAAAUCAUAGAUAUUGGAAUAACACCAUCCAAAUGCUGGUGUGGCUUGCCUUAGUGUAGAGGAGGAUCACACCCAUCUUGGUUUGCUUCAAGACAAGCUUCUCCUUCUAAAAAAGAAUUUAAACCACAAAAAUAUUUGUCAAAACACAUUCUGAAAAUCACCAGAAAUUCUAGGCAACAAGGAAAAAUCCACCUUCUGGUGUGCUGCUAGAGCUUUCUGAAACAAAUACAAUGCAAAAAGAAUCAAAUCAUUUGGACUUAUGGUUUAGAAAUGGUGGCUAGUCAAUGUUUAGUCAAAUUUCUGAAUAAUAUUUGAAUUAAACAGAAAUCCUGGGGGAGACGUCGAAGGUGUAAAAUAGAAAUACGCCUCCACUCGUACUGCUUCGGGCGCGAGUGGUGAGACCGACAGGUGGGUCACGCGCGUCAAGAGAGAGAGAGGGGGUGCGCAAGAUCAGAGAUAGGCGGGCCUUCGCCGGAGCUCACGCCGGCGACGAGGGGGUUUGGGGCUAGGCUAGAGGGAUAGGAUUGAAGCGGGGCUCGAGGCGCACCUGCCCAUACCCGUAGCUUUCCUUGGGGUGGACGGAGCUGCUCGCAGUUGAGCUCGCAAGCUAUGGUGGCGAACGGGUUUCACUGGAGUGGUUGAAGACGACGGCUAGAGGCGGCUCCGAGGGCUCAGUGGUGUCCAAGCAGCACCAACAGAUCCCCAAUGCCCCACCCAAGCAGCUACUUGAGCUUGAGAGGCACCGGAGAGCGGUAGCUGGACUGCAGGGAUUGCCGGAGUCCUCUGGUCGGGGCGACGGCUAGAGGCCUGCCCGACCGAGCUUCUACUCAUCUACGUGUUCAUGGAGGUGGUGUGGAGUGGUGCUUGGCGAGAAAUCGAGGAGGGGAGCGCUAUAUAUAGCCGGAGCAAGGGGGGAAACAUGUUGCUGCCGAAGCUCUCUGGACACGCGGCGAACGGCGACGAGAAGCUUCAAGGCGAGGGGGCAAAGUCUCAGUGUCAAUGCAGGAGCUUGCCCACGCUCGUGGACGAGCACAUGAGGCGGUUGGGGAAGAGGACAAGAGCACACGCGCACUAUGGCGUUUUGGCCGCGACGCGCCCGUGCUUGCUGCGGCGGCUCCGACGUAGGCGAGCGCCAGGGAGCGCUCAAGGGUGAUGGGUCGGGGCUAGUGGCGUGGUGUGGCAGUCGGCGGCGAGUGCUGGAACGAGCACACAUGAAACAGAGAGCAAGGCGCCAGCCAGAGCGCGUUGAGACGCUGCCAGCAUCGUGUCCACGCGUGGUCACCAAGCUGGCAUGGUCAAAACGACGCCCAGGAGCGGCCAAACCUUGUCUACGCGCUCAAGCGUGCAGUGUUUAGUCUAGGAGAGGUGAUGGUUCAUGCCCAGGCCGACCAAACUUGACUCCACUAAGAUGACAAGUUUCUGUAUAGAAACUUGGUCACCAAGUUUGGCCACCUUCUAGAAGGCCAUUAGGGCUGAUCUCCUAGGGUUUAGGUUUCUUAGGAGGGUGUUAAAGAUCAAGAAAGAUCAAGGCUAAAAGGUCAAGAAAAAUUGUACUUGUUGUACAAACUGAAGUUUUGGGUUAGAAUAGAAAUGAUUUUCUACAACAAAAUAUUCCAAAAAGUGGUGCAAUAUUUUUGCAUGGGAAGGUGUGCCAAGGUGCUAAGAAUAUUUAGAAAUUAUCUCAGUUUUUCCAUAGCAAGAAAAUUUGAGGUUGCUUUGGAGCACAAGUUUCUGAAGUGAGUUUCAGAGAGAGAAAUGAAUAUUUACUUUGAUGAAAAAUAUUCAUUUGAUUAUUUUGAGGAUUGAUCAGAGGAAUAAAGUAGAUAGGCCACUUGGGUGAAAGUCAAGGAUAUGCCCAAGUGACAAGUCCAUUUGAAAUGAUUCAAACUCCAAUUCAACUCAGGGCAAAGCCACGAUAAAAAUCAAGUCCGGAAAAGAGAGAGAAGGCAAGUCCGGAAAAAGAGAGAAGUCAAAAUCCAGGCUGUCACACAUUGAUUUUCAAAACUUGCACUUUCUUUGCGUGCAAAACAAACAAAUUCUCGGCCAUGAUAUCAUAGUCGGCCGUACAAGAGCAGAAUAUAAUUCCAGGCACCAAAAGCUUUCAAACUUCCCGCUCACAUCGAAAUAUCUUGCGCCUGAAAGUUUAGCCCUGCGAUAUUUCUGUUUUACCCCUGCCACUUGAACGAAAAAGGGCUGCUUUGGUAACUGAUACGUCUCCAACAUAUCUAUAAUUUAUGAAGUAUUCAUGCUAUUAUAUAAUCCAUCUAGGAUGUUUUAUAAGCAUUUAUAUGCUAUUUUAUAUGAUUUUGGGACUAACCUAUUAACCUAGAGCCCAGUGCCAGUUUCUGUUUUUUCCUUAUUUUUGACUUUCAUAGAAAAGGAAUACCAAACGGAGUCCAAUUGGCGUGCCAAUUUUUGACAAAUUUUUAUGGACCAAAAGAAGCCCCUGGAGUGCAAGAGUUGGGCCAGAAGAGUCCCGGGCUGCCCACGAGGGUGCCCCCCUAGGGAGCACCCCCCUGUCUCGUGGACAGCCCGGAGACCCCCCUGACGUGAGACCUACGCCAAAAAUUCCUAUAAAUACUAAAACCUAUAGAAAAUAACCUAGAUCGGGAGUUCCGCCGCUGCAAGCCUCUGUAGCCACCAAAAACCUCUCGGGACCCUAUUCCGGCACCCUGCCGAAGGGGUAUCCCUCACUGGUGGCCAUCUUCAUCAUCCUGAUGCUCUCCAUGACGAGGAGGGAGUAGUUCACCCUCGGGGCUGAGGGUAUGUACCAGUAGCUAUGUGUUUGAUCUCUCUCUCUCUCUCUCUCUCGUGUUCUUGAGAUGGUAUGAUCUUGAUGUACCGCGAGCUUUUCUAUUAUAGUUGGAUCUUAUGAUGUUUCUCCCCCUCUACUCUCUUGUAAUGGAUUGAGUUUUCCCUUUGAAGUUAUCUUAUCGGAUUGAGUCUUUAAGGAUUUGAGAACACUUGAUGUAUGUCUUGCCGUGCUUAUCUGUGGUGACAAUGGGAUAUACACGUGAUCUAUUUGAUGUAUGUUUUGGUGAUCAACUUGCGGGUACAAUGAACUUAUGCAUAGGGGUUAGCACACGUUUUCGUCUUGACUCUUCGGUAGAAACUUUGGGGCACUCUUUGAAGUACUUUGUGUUGGUUGAAUAGAUGAAUCUGAGAUUGUGUGAUGCAUAUCGUAUAAUCAUGCCCAUGGAUACUUGAGGUGACAUUGGAGUAUGUAGGUGACAUUAGGGUUUUGGUUGAUUUGUGUCUUAAGGUGUUAUUCUAGUACGAACUCUAUGAUAGAUCGAACGAAAAGAAUAGCUUCGUGUUAUUUUACUACAGACUCUUGAAUAGAUCGAUCAGAAAGGAUAACUUUGAGGUGGUUUCGUACCCUACAAUAAUCUCUUCUUUGUUCUCCGCUAUUACUGACUUUGGAGUGACUCUUUUUUACAUGUUGAGGGAUAGUUAUAUGAUCCAGUUAUGUUAUUAUUGUUGAGAGAACUUGCACUAGUGAAAGUAUGAACCCUAGGCCUUGUUUCCUAGCAUUGCAAUACCGUUUACACUCACUUUUAUCAUUAGUUACCUUGCUGUUUUUAUAAUUUCAGAUUACAAAACCUAUAUCUACCUUCCAUAUUGCACUUGUAUCACCAUCUCUUCGCCGAACUAGUGCACCUAUACAAUUCACCAUUGUAUUGGGUGUGUUGGGGACACAAGAGACUCUUUAUUAUUUGGUUGCAGGGUUGCUUGAGAGAGACCAUCUUUAUCCUACGCCUCCCACGGAUUGAUAAACCUUAGGUCAUCUACUUGAGGGAAAUUUGCUACUGUCCUACAAACCUCUGCACUUGGAGGCCCAACAACGUCUACAAGAAGAAGGUUGUGUAGUAGACAUCAAGCUCUUUUCUGGCGCCGUUGCCGGGGAGGUGAGUGCUUGAAGGUAUAUCUUUAGAUCUUGCAAUCGAAUCUUUUUGUUUCUUGUUUUAUCACUAGUUUAAUCUAUAAAAGAAAACUACAAAAAAUGGAAUUGAGUUUAUCUCAUACGCUUCAUCUUUUUAAUAUCUUUAGUGAGAAUGAUGGUAAGGAAAAUUGUGCUCAAGUGCUAUAAGAAGAAGUCUAUAAAAUGUUUGGCAUGAAAUCUUUUAAUGAUGAGCAUGAUUGCAAUGUUAUUAGUAUGAAUUCCUUGAAUAUCCAUGAUGAUAAUGAUAUGCAAAGCCACAAGCUUGGGGCUGCUAUGUUUGAUGAAUAUGAUAUUUUUGUCCCCCAAGUUUUGAUGAGCAAAUUUAUUAUGAUGAAAGCAUGCCUCCUAUUUAUGAUGAUUAUAUUGAUGAAAGUGGAUUUGGAUAGGUCAUGACUUUAUUUAUUGAUGAAUCCACUAUUUCGGAAUAGGUUCCAAUUGAUUAUGAGAACUAAGUUGCUAUCUAUGAUGAUUAUUGUGAUGACUUGUAUGCUAUUAAGAAUAAUGGUAACCAUGAAACUUGUAUCAUUAUUUUAGUUUUCAAUUGGAUUAUGCUUCACAUGAUAAUUAUUUUGUUGAGUUUGCUCCCACUACUAUUCCUGAGAAGAAGUUUGCUUAUGUGGAGAGUAGUAAAAUUUAUAUGCUUGUGCAUCAUGAAAAUAAUGCUUUAGGUGCUGGUUAUAUGGUUGAAUUCAUUCAUGAUGCUACUGAAAAUUAUUAUGAGAGAUGAUCAUAUGCUUCUACAUAUUGCAAUAAUAUCAAGUUUCCUCUCUAUGUGUUGAAAAUCUUGAAGAUUUGCUUGUUUUACCAUCCUAUGUUAGUUGAUUAUUGUUCCCAUAAGUUGUUUGAUCACAAAAUCCCUAUGUAUAGGAAGUGGGUUAGACUUAAAUAUGCUAGUCAUAUUCUUCAUGAUGCUCUCUUUAUGUUUCAAUUCUUAUCUUUUAUGUGAGCAUCAUUGAAAUCAUCAUGCCUAGCUAGGGGCAUUAAAUGAUAGCGCUUGUUGCGAGGCAACCCAAUUUUAUUUUUGUUCCUUGCUUUUUGUUCCUGUUUAGUAAUAAACAAUUCAUCUAGCCUCUGGUUAGAUGUGGUUUUAUGUUUUAAUUAGUGUUUGUGCCAAGUAGAACCUUUGGAAAGACUUGGGUGAAAUCUUUGUGAUCUUGCUAUAAAAACAGAAACUUUAGCACUCACGAGAUUAGCUGCCAUUUUUUACUGCAGAGUGAUUUUAGGUUGAUUAUUUUUGAAGAUGAUUAAUAGACAAAUUCCUCAGGUCCUCCAAUUUAUUUCAGAAUUGUUGGAGUUACAGAAGUAUUCGAAUGAUACAGAUUACUACAGACUGUUCUGUUUUUGACAGAUUCUGUUUUCUAUGUGUUGUUUGCUUAUUUUGAUGAAUCUAUGAGUAGUAUCGGAGGGUAUGAACCAUAGAUAAGUUGGAAUACAGUAUAUAUUACACAAAUAUGAAUUCAUAAUGAGUUCAUAACAGUAAAUAAGUGGUGAUUUAUUUUCUUAUACUAACGGAGUUCAUGAGAUUUUCUGUUGAGUCUUGUGUUGUGAAGUUUUCAAGUUUUCAGUAAAGAUUCGAUGGACUAUGGAAUAAGGAGUGGAAAAAGCCUAAGAUUGGGGAUUCCCAAGGCACCCCAAGUUAAUAUUCAAGGAUAAACAAGAGCCUAAGCUUAGGGAUGCCCCGGAAGGCAUCCCCUCUUUCGUCUUCGUUCAUCGAUAACUUUACUUGGAGCUAUAUUUUUAUUCACCACAUGAUAUGUGUUUUGCUUGAAGCAUCAUUUUAUUUUGUUAGUGUUUGCUUGCUGUUAUUUAGAAUAAUGUUUUGCAUCUUUAUUUUUAAUAAAAAUGUCAAGGAUAGCCUUUACCAUGCUUAUUUUGCAAGUAUACAUGUUACUGUUUCAAAACAGAAAGUUUACCACUGUUGCAAAAAUUCCCUAGAAAAUUCAGAGAAUGAUAUAAUAUUGAAACUUUUUUCGUAUUGAGCUCUGAUAAAUCUUCUACAGUGUAGUAUUUUUCUCAUAAUUUUUGGAGUUAUGGAAGUAUGAUGGAUCUUGCAUUCUUUACAGACUAUACUGUUUUAGCAGAUUGCUGUUAUGUUUGCAUUGUUUGCAUAUGUUUGCUUGUUUAAUGAUUCUAUUUGAGGAUAGGAGUAUUAAAUAUGCAGAGACAUUUAGUAUGCAAUGUUGAAUAAUAAUUUUAGUGAUUUGUUACAGUAAAAAAUGAUAAGGUUUUUGCAUUGGUUUAUACUAACUUAUCUCACGAGUUCUUGUUGAGUUAUAUUAUUAUUGUUGAGAGAAAUUGCACUAGUGAAAGUAUGAACCCUAUGCCUUGUUUUUUAGCAUUGCAAUAUCGUUUACGCUCACUUUUAUCAUUAUUUACCUUGCUGUUUUUAUAAUUUCAGAUUACAAAAACCUAUAUCUACCUUCCAUGCUGCACUUGUAUCACCAUCUCUUUGCCGAACUAGUGCACCUAUACAAUUCACCAUUGUAUUGGGUGUGUUGGGGACACAAGAGACUCUUUGUUAUUUGGUUGCAGGGUUGCUUGAGAGAGACCAUCUUCAUCCUACGCCUCCCAUGGAUUGAUAAACCUUAGGUCAUCCACUUGAGGGAAAUUUGCUACUGUCCUACAAACCUCUACACUUGGAGUCCCAACAACGUCUACAAGAAGAAGGUUGUGUAGUAGACAUCAGUAACUCCAUUGUUUUCCCCUCUUUGCCCCCAACAUUCUUCCCCAGAGCCCAUCCCCUUCCCCUCACCGACCCCCCCCCCACCAUGGCAAGCCGUCGAAUCUACUCCUCCGUCGUAGCGGUGGACCCACACCCUGCCGGAUCUACCUUCCGUACCUUGGAACCCCCAACUGCCAACUCACCACUUCACCGGAGCCGCUUCAGCGGAUGGCUUGUCGACCGCUCCAGAUCUCCUUGACGCCAUCAUGGUCCACCGCACUGGAUCUGCUUAACCGGCGCCUUCGUCCACCACAGUGUAGGCCCUUCACUGAGUCCCUCGUCCGCCCCAUCGCUGUCCCUUCAUACAAGCCCUCGUCCGCCGCAACAGAUCCGUCUCACCGAAAGCACUGUACAAUGCGCCCGCUGAAGCCUUCGUCCACUGCACCGGACCUGCUCCAUGGACGCCAUAUUCAACUCCACCGACCCUGCUUUACCGACGCCGCAGCCUCAUCAGGUUAUGUCGAUUUGUACUCCUUCGGUUUUUUUCUUUAUCGUGCAACUAUUCACUUACCACAGAUGAGCUUUCUUGUAUGUCGACAGGCGCCGCAACCGUAGCACUGGAGCCGCUUUAGCGACAGCGACAGCCGGCCCAAACUCUACCGCAAUACGAGCACCAUCGAUGAUUCUUAGCUAUCAAGUAUGACAACGAUACCCAUACGCUGCCAAGAAUUAGGUACUAUUAUCCAACGGCCGGUGCCUACGUUCACUUUCUUAGCAUAAGCACCACAACUUUGAAUUUCUUCAAGGCAUCAUUCAAUUUUUCAUGAGACGCGUUAUUCUGCUUGCAUAUGUAGGGCCAUACUUCUGGCAGUGAACAUGUUACAUGUGCUAAAUUACAUACCAAUGCACAUAUAGUUAAUAUGCUUUAGUUUUGUCCUAAGUAUUAUUGUACUUCCUAGAUAUCACUGCCUACUAUUUUACUUCUUGCAUGCUAUAUCUACCAUUCUUAAGAAGUUGCUCCCCACUUCUUCCUAUUCUCUUAACAUGCACGCCGUCCACAUCAGAUUUAUGCCACCUCAGCGUUAACUUUGCAAAGAGCAGCCAAUCAGUCUAAUUGAUUAGCCAGUGCAGCCACGCAGUCCUGAUUUGCACAAAUGAGAAGUGCAUGCAUGCGCGCCUGCGACCAGAGAGUUACUAUGUGCGAACGACACAAAUCAAUGCAAGCACGCAACUUCUCAUGGACUAAACCCAUGCAUGGCAUCCAAGAUAACUCGGUGCAGUUAAUUCCAAAAAUAGACCACCGAAGCAAUCCAAGCGCAUGCAUGUUGUCACUUAAUUCAGUGUAGUUAAUUACCAUUGCCUAAAGCCCAUGGAUGCAGUUAAUCAUGGCUGAAUUUACAGAGGAUUUUAUUCCAUUCCAAUUCCCUGUCGUAGCAUUUAGUUCUGGGCCUGGGCGCGUUAUCAUCUUCACCAUACUCCUUUUCUUUCAUCUGUCUCCUGCGGUUCCCUUUCUCUUCGUCUUCUACAUCCGGUUCCACUCGCACAAAUAAAUCAACUUCUUGGUCUUAUGUUUGGAUUAAGAUUACGUAACAAUCUUCCUUCAAGAGCGAUGUUGGCGUUGACAGCGAGGUGCUGCUUCUUCCAAUCCUUCGUGAGUUGACGCUGCCGGAGACAGCCGCGCGCUGCUGCCAACCCAGACCCAUGUAAUCUUCGCAGUUGAACCGAGCCCUGCACCCGUUGCCGAUGAAUCGAGCCCUGUAGGCUACGCUGCCUGAAGGCAUGCACCCCGGUGUCGACCAGAGCUCCCGGUGGGCAACACGUGCCUGUGCCACCGUCGGCAUCCUCAUCCAACAUCAACUGAAUCAAAGGUGGGGGAUCUCCUUCUUCUCUAUAUCCUUAGAUUUGAGCGAAUUUUUCAAGUUAGCUUGAGUUGAAAGCUCUGUUUGUGUGUGGUACUAGGAAUCCUAUUUUUAGAAAAUGAAGCUUUGUUCCAUCACCAGACACCUUAUCCACGUCAGCAACUCCGGUCUGUCAAUCGCACCUACAUUCUCGAGAUACGAUGGGUCAUGUUCAACUAUCUGAUCUGAUUGGAUUUGAUUAGAAGCACUAGAUGGUGAAAAAACUUUUUAGUUUUUGUAUUCUUAUUGAAGGAAUAAACAAAUGAAACUUACCGUGUACUACCUGCAACUACAAUCUUGCAUCUCCCACACAGACGAAUUAAUAUGAAUCAUAUUGGUAUUUUUGUUGCUUUCCUAUGAUUUGUAGAAUCAGUGUGUAUGACAUACUGCACUUCAUCUUCAAUGUUUUCUUUCAUGGAAGUAUUAUUCCACAGUGAUCUCAGAUCGAUCUAAUACCUUAGAGGUACGAUUGUCAUUCUUCUAUGCAGGUAUUCAAAACAGAAGGUUUUGUUUAAUCGUUGCUUGGUAUCCGGAGGCACAUGCAGUUCAUCCAAAAGGAGGCAAGGAGCUCUAAUUUUAUUUUAUUUGAUGAUGUGUUUUUCGUUCAGAGAUAGAUGCUGGAAUAGUAAUUGAUGUUCAGUUUCAAGCAUGCAUGUAUAAUUACAAUUAAUUAUAUUCUAUAACGCUAAUCACUUGGUAUAUUAUGUGUUCAAACCUAUAGCAUCUCUUGAUAAAUGUAAGAAUAAUUCUUUUAUGUGGUUACAAUAUCAUUAUAUGAUUGUUUUGGUUUGAUGACACUCAUAGCCUAAAAGGUACAUCCUUGCUGAGAGGAUCAAGCAUGGUCUGUUCCAACCAUCAUUUGGUUUAAUUGUUCUAUGCUGGCUGAAAGCCUAUUAAACCAAAUGAUUAUUGUACUUGCAUGUUGUGUCAUGUCUCUGAAUGGAUUAUGUUGUAAGAGCCCCUAUGUUGUCCAUGUGUUGUAAAUAUCCAAAAUUUUUAGGCGAGGUAAUCCUCAGUACUUGUAUGAUUGACAUAAGGUGAACUGCUUUUAGUGUGAGCAUAUUGUAUUGGAUGAAAUAACUGUUUGACUCAAAGUGUAUCCAACCUACUGAAUUCGAAGAUCACGACAUUUCUAAAUCAUAAUCAUAUAUAAAGGUGGAAUAAAUCUUUGUUGUGGUUUUGAAGAAAUAAAUAACAAAACGUAGAAUUAUCUGUGGAUAUUCGUAAUCGAAUACAAAUUGGAUUUGAAUUUAGUUUGUCAGGGCCCAGGGCAAACGUGAAUGCUAAUUCUCCCAAGUUUUGAACGAAGCGGCUAAACACCCACUAUAAUUUGUGGGCUGCCCGAAGCAAGUGUUUAUGAGAUGGAAAUUACUGUCUACCCCUGACACUUGACAUCCUUAUUGACUGGAUUUACACUGCUGUCAAUAGGGGUAGACUAGUAAUUUCAAUUAGACGUGACACGAUGACCUCUGAGCCCAUUCAGACACGGUGGGCGCCAAACGUGGGCGGCAAAACACAUUUAAUUCAAGCUCGUCCGAAAGACAUGUGUCUCUCUCUCCAUUUCCCCAUUCAUAAACGAUGGGCGGAUAAACAAACUCUCAUCGUCCGAAAUUGAUGUAGGCCAAUAUUUUAAAUAGGAGCAGAUGUGUAACUUCCCUCAGACGUGACACAACCGCCCUACCUGUCAGGCCCGUUCAUACACCGUGGGCGCCAACCGUGGGCGGCAAAACACCCUCUCCUCGCCCGAAAUAGUUACCGGCAAAUAUUCGGGAGAUGCGAGAUUACCGUCCUAUCCCCAACCGACGUGAUGUCUGAAAUUUUAAACGGGGGAUAAGUUCGUAACUUUCCCACAUUUCAGAGAAGCGCAUUCCAAAGUUUGAGAUCCCCCCUCCCCUCCAUUUACCCAUUCAUACACCAUCGGUGCCACGACAACCUCCCCACUGCGGCCAGCCUCCUCCGUCCGCCACCCCAUCCUCCACCUUGCUGGAGCCGCUACCCCUACCCCGUCGUCCAGUGCAAGAGAUGGACGUCUCUCAUCCACGGCGCUGGACCAGGAUCCUUUCAUCGCGUCCUCUCGCUUCACCAGUGUUGUUGUUCACCUUGCCGUUGCCGCUCCUACAACCGCCUCGUCCAUGGCAACAUGAUUUAUCCCCUGACCCGGCCGUCUGCCAUCUAAAGUCUUCUUCCCCGCCACUGACAUCCAUCACACCCGCAACACCCUCAAUGUAUCAGUAGAGGCCUACACGGCGUCGCAAGAGAGGUGGUACUCUUCCAUAUGUGCUUAAGUUAUUGAUCUCACCCGGAAAAUAGAUCGUAAUUUGUUUAUUGUACUUUUCUUGUCCGUACCAAAUCGUAGUGGCUAGUUGAAAGCAAACAUUGGUUGCGAAGUAGCUUUGUCCGGUUUGCACCUUCAGAUCCGCCAUGGCACGGGCACUAUACUCAUAAAGCUUAUGGUUUCCCCCCUUUAUAUUCACUACCAUCAUCGUAGGUGCUUCGUGUCGUGCUAGCACUGCUCCUCAAGACCUCAACCCAAAGCUUACGUGUUGAAAUACGAAUUUGAUAUGAUGCUUAUAUCACUAAAACAGAGAACGUUUAAUUGUUCACCUAAUGUUCCUAUAUUCGUUUCGAAAAGCAUGUGUGCCACCCACUGGUCCAGCUAGUUCCACUUUCCUGAUUUUACUCUUGAUGCUUAGGGUUUUCCCCUUUUAUCUACUCUACUAUGAUCUGCGUAGGUGCUUUAUGUAGUACUAGCAUUACUCCACCCUUCAAGCUAAACAACACAACACUCAAAAUUCCAAAGCUUAGUUGUUCAAAUAUGAUUGUGAUAUGAUACUGAUAUUAGUUAACUGACACAUUUAAUUGGUUAGCUAAAGGUCCCACUUGAGUUUCCACUUCAAUCCACUUGUUGAUUGUACUUUCCUGUCCAUACCAAAUCUUAGUUGUUAUUUCAAAGCGAACAUCGGUUGGUAACUACCCUUUGCGCGGUUUGCAGCUUCAGAUCUGCCAUCCCACUGCCACGGUCAACACUAUACGCAUCAUGCUUACGAUCUCCCCAUUUUAUGAUGACCACGAUCAGCCUACGUGGUUCGUGUCAUAAUAGCACUGCUCCACCCAUCGAGCUAAACAAGCUUAGUUGUACAAAUUCAUAUAUGAUAUUAUGCUGAUAUUAGUAAAACUGAGAGAUGUUUGAUUAGUCAGCUAAAUAUUCCUACUUUAGUUUCAAAAUGCAUGUGAGCCACAUAUGGAGAGACCGAAAAGAAUAGUAUUUCUCUGUGCGCUCUGGUUCAUUAUGGGUGGCCAACCGACAUUGUAUUGAAAGACUUGUAAUAUCUCCAAUCUGCUUGCUCUUCUGCUCUUCUUUAAGAUGACCCUCUUCUCUUGCGGUCGAUUGGUCAGGUUGAGUUGUUCUCCCUUAGUAUAUUUUGAAUCUGUCAGGUCAGGUCGACUCGUUCUUCUUUACUAUAUGUUGAAGCUAUCAUCUACGAUGUGUCAUCACUUCUGGAGCUCUCAUAUUUUGAGUAGUAGGCCACAUUAUAUUAAUGCACACACCAAAUUACAGCAUGCAGAACAUCUCUUAAAAGAAUUGCAGAGAUAGCACAAAGGGGUUUACAGGGAGGCGGUAUUGGAUUAGAAUCACUUCUGCAUUACAAAGAUAAUCUCACUUGUUUUUAUGUUUUCAUGCAUGUCAGAUAUUGAACAUUAUCAAAAUGAACAUGAGAAUGGGCGCACGAGAGGAAUAUUGUGGAACAAUCCACUGGCUAACAAACUUGGCAUGGUGGAGGAUGGUCUAUCUUAUUCACCCAUCAAGGUGCUUGCUCUAACUUGGCAAGGUUGUAUUGGUCGCACAUAUUUUGCAUCUGACCUCUUGCAUUACUUCUACUUUGUUACACCAUCGGCUUAGUUUAAGCAUCAUAUAUGAGUAUAUGCCAUACCUAUCCAUUUUCUGUACCUAUUCCAUGUGUCGUCAUACUAUGUUUUUCCAGUCAAAUGUUGUUCUUUCGUAAUAGAUGUCCAAAAGGAAGAGGGUGAGUGCAGAUCCUCAAGGAGUACAAACUAGGUAUUUGGAAAAGGUAGUGAUACUUGUUAAAUCAGAUAGAUCAGCAGCCACAGAAAACACAGGCCCAACUGUACCACACUUUACCCCUACUCCAGUGGCCAAACCCCUAUUAGAACUGCUGAGAGCCCAGCGUCAGGUAUUGUCUAUGAUAUCAAUUCAAAAUUUGAACUCCUAAAUUUUUGCAUGUGCCUUACCUUCUCUCUUGUAUGAAAACUAAUUUCAGAUGAAUCUCCUUGCUCAAAGGAUCAUACGAUCUCACAACAAUACUGGGCUCUGCAUUGCUCUUGUUAGUACCUCUCUCCCUUUUGCCUUGUAACACUAUACUUAAUUAAUUGCUAUUUGAUUAUGUAUCAUUAGUCUGCACCUAAGCUUCAUUAUCCUCUGAUUCUUCCAAUAUUAUUUGAUCUAUAUUUACUCUUUACAAGAUGUAGAAUAAUGACAACACUUAUAAAGAAUUUUCUUUGGGGAAUUUAUUGAAUUAUCCUUCCAUCAACAUGGAGAAGGGCUUUGUCCAACCCGUCUUAACAUGUAAUGUAAGUUCAUCCUUCUCAAGCCUUCAAACUUUGUUCUAGUAUAGAUUUGGAUAGGCAUCAUUUCCUCCACUGUUGUUUACUUUGUUGUUUACAUCUGAUUGGAUGUUUGCAACAACUACCAGUUUCAAAUUGUAGUUGUAAAAACAUGUUCCUUAUGCAGAACAAAUCCAUUUAUUUGCUUAUAUAAUUGUGAAACUUGUUACGUGUCUCCUUGCUUCUCUUUCAAAGUCGUAUCUCUUAUGCCAGGCAGAACUUUAGAGUAGAUAAUGAGCCAAACCAUCCUGAGGACAUCGAGAUGACCCAAAUGUCUUGUCUUGAUGAAGACAGUGAGUUGAAGCUACUCACCAGCAUGUGUGAGACAACCUCUGUGCAGUCGCUGCCUCAAUUAGUUCGACUUCUUCAGUCUCAACUUAAAGCGGAAAGACUUGCUUCAGCUCAGCUCUGACUUGAAGUCAAAGAUGUAAUGAAGAUGUCAGACGACUGCCUUGCGCACUAUCGUGCCAUACAGGUAGGGGUGAAGCAUCUAUUGUUGACACAACUGAGGUUAAUCAGCUUCUUCGGCUGUUUGGGGGGGCCGACCUGGCCAGGCCUAGUGCCUUCUGAUGUGCUCUCAGUUUUGUAUUUUCUUUUGUCAGCGCGUUUAUUUGCACUGGUGGCGAACUUUGAUUCUCAGUGGAUGUAAUAUGUGUAAUAGCCGUGAUAGCCUAGCGUGAAUUGCUUGCUUAUUUAUUUCCUUGUUGCCUUGUUUAUUUGUUUGCUUGUAGUCAGUGCAGUCUUUUUUCGCAGUUUGCUAGUGGCCGCAAUAACCUAUUUUUUAAAACUAGGCCACAGUAACCAUGGGCUACAUAUUUACUAUAGUGACACUGGGCCUCCUACGGGCAGUAGAAACAAUGGGCCUUCUACGCGCCGUAGAAACAAUGGGCCUUCUACGCGCCGUAGAAACAAUGGACCUUCUACGGGUCGUAUCAUCGAUGGGCCUUAUACGGUCUGUAUGAUCGAUUGGCCAAACAUGGGCCAAUAACAGACUGCAUUAUGGUCGUAAACGGGCUAGAGUUGGAAUCGUCCGUUCAUGAACCGACCAUAAUAGGCCAUCGUUAAUAGGCCGUAUUUGAUGACGCUAUGAAAACGGCCCAACGUAUUAACGGGCCACAAAUGGGCCGACUGUAACCACGGGCUAAAUUUGGCCCACAAGCAGAAAAUGACAAUAACGUGCUGUAAGUAACCGAAUGCUGGAAAUGAGCCCAAGAAUAAAUGGGCCCUGAGAAGGCCGAAAGAUAACAUGGGCUGCAAACGACCCAAUAGAUUAAUGGGCCAUUAAUGGGUAUAAAGUGAUACACUGUUCAUUAUGGUCCAAUUUCUGCCCAUUUUUUCCACCACCAUGCAUCCUGAGUUGAAAGCUUACCUUGACGAGUUCGAGGCGAAGGCUCAGGAACGCCACGAUGCCAGUGCCAGGCUGUUCGACACGUUGUUCUCCAAGCUCAUCACGGGAGCUUCGCCCCCUCAGCCGGCGCGCUCCGCGGUCAUGGCCUCAGAUGGCGGCCUCAUCCACAAUACCCUUGUUCUCGCGGUCGUCCCCGGUGUCUUCUCCGCCCCCCUUCCACCAGCAAAGCCCAUGAGGUCCUCGAGCUCAUCACCGAUGCGUCCCCCGCGUGCAUCGCGAGGGCGCCCGUCACAUGUUCGACAGAUUGCUUGAACCAAGUCCUCGCGGGCGUCCCGACUCCACAGCCAGUGCAUCCCAUGGGCACGGUAGCCGAUGGCGGCCUUACCGACAACGCAAGAUCCCCCACGGUCAUCCCCGGCGCCUUCUCCUCCACCACCAAUUCCCAGGGGGUCAUGGCGUCCCCCCAUGGUGCAUUUUAGGACUCCAUCAACCCGAUGCCCAUGACCUGUUCGACGAUUGGCUCGACCCAGGUCGAUGUCGUCGCCAACAUCGAUGAGACCCAAGACGCCGCAACCACUGUCCACCCCGAGCACGCGGACAUCGUCAACUACACGGAGGUCACGCAGCUCAUACCGGUGCAGGCAACGCUCUCCCUCAACAUCACCACCUGCUCUGCCGAGGCCAUUUCCUCAACGGCAACCACCACCGACACCAUCCCCAUGGAAACCAAGCCAGAUCCGACCAAGUGGGCCACAAUCACGACCAUAGCAGCCCAUGGGCUGGGCCUGGCUGAGUGCCACACUAAGGGAGGCCUGACUACAAGUAUCAACGUAGAGCGCAAUGAAGAUUCAUCCGGGCUUGGAUCAGAACGGCAACGACGACUUCCUCUUCCCCUACCUCCUGUACUUCCUCCUUCCCCAAUCUCUCUAUCUGAGCUUAAUCUUCCUGUAAUGGAGUAAUUUGAGUGAUUCAUGAGUGGGUUCUUAGAGCAACUCCAAUGGGCCGACCCAAACGGACGUCACAUUUGUCCGCUUAUUGUCUGUUUGGGUCGGCCGCCCGCCCGGUGUCCGCCCAGUUUUGCAUUUGGGUCGGCAGUGCGCCCAACGCGCCGACCCAUUUCAUGUCCGCAUUCAAAUUUAAAAAAAGGCCCGCGGGCGAUCAUGCCAACGGCCAUGUCUCAUGCCGGCACCAUGCCAGCGCCGACAUACAAUGUUGGCUUCAGAAAAUAUCACCAUAGUUCAUGCUGGCGCACUCGCCAGCCGGCCGGCACACAUGCCAGCACACAAUAAAAGGGUGGGACUUGAGUUCGACCACGCCAUCGCGGCUCCCGUGGUCAUGCCGGCACACCUGCCAACAUACAAAAAAGAUGGUGCUCGCCGCCAUAGAUCACUCAUCGUCGAACUUGAGCAUGUCGGCCUGCAUCUUCUCAAACCACAACCUCUUCCUUGGCGACACGGUGUUGAUAUCCACCUUCAUGAUCUCCACCCCGGUCAUCAUGCUCGCAGGAGCCACUUCUUUCGCCUUGGUCUUGGUGUUGGCGGCCUCGAUCUCUAGCAUCUUGGCUUGCUUCUUCGCCUCUAACUCGAACAUCUUGGCUUGCUUCUCGGCGUCCAGCUCAAGCCUUCUCCUUUGGAUCUCCAUGAAAGCAUCCAUUUUCUCUGCCUUGAAACGUCGGCGCUCCUCCUCCCUUAAGUCCUUAUUAUUCAUCAUGUCGUCCACGCUUGCGAUCAAAGUGUUGGUGGCCGCAUCUCGCUUGUCCUCCUUCUUGGAGUUGGUCUUCCCCCGCGGCCGUGCCGUCUCGCCCUCCCCAACAUCCUUCACGGCUUUCUUCCCCCCACGCGACUUGAGUGUGGCAUAUUGCGCCUUGAACUUCUCCUCGUCCUUGAUGACCCGAUAGCAAUGGGAGAGGUUGAAGCACUUGCCAUUGUGUUGAACCUUGAAUGCCUCCAAAGCUUGAAAUGCCUAAAAAAUGUUUCCAUGCAAGCAUAUGGGCAAGUGAUAUGCAAAUGAACAUGCAAAGGAUGAACUUGAUGACACAAAAGAGGGCGGCGAGCUAGCAUACCAUGUCUUUCAUGCAGAUGCCGCUCACGGGGCGGGCCUUGACGCUCUCAAGAGUGGCGCAAAACUUGUUGCACUCUUGUUGGAUCACCCUCCACCGCUUGGAAAUGGAGACCCAUCCGCGUGUGCUCACAAAUUGGUAAGGUGGAAACUUCUUGCGCUCAUGAAACUCUCGGUGGAAACGAAUCCAAAAGGUUGAAUGCUUUUGCUCGGCACCCGUCUUGGGGUCUUGCCCAAUGUCUCGCCAACACUCGCAAAGAAGCUUGUCCUUGGCCGCCGUGUACGCCUUCGUGCGCUUGCUCUUGCGCUUCGGCUUAUGACCGGCGGCUUGGUUGGCGAGCUCGUCCUCGAACAAAGGCUCCACUUCCAUGUCGCACUCGUCCUCUUCCUCUAGCCCGUAGUCGUCCGGGAACUCGUGGUCGAGGGGGAAGCCGUCCAGGUCGAUGCCGACCUGAUCACACAUGAAGGCCUCCUCGUCGGAAUCAUAGCCAGCGGCCGGCGUGAACGCCCCGCGGCCGUCCUGGCUUUGCGUCUCGUCGGGAUCGUAGCCAGCGGCCGGCGCACCGCCCUCGAAGAUGAGGUUCUGCAUGUAGUCCUCGUCGACGGCGGACGACAUUUCCUCGAACAGGUUGCGGGCGUCCGGGAGCACGCCGGCCAGCGUCUGCCACACGCAUUUCCUCGCGCCGCCGGAUGAUGAGCCACCGGCCACCGGGAUGGCGUUGAGGUCGAUGGCGAGCGCUCCCCGGAGAGGCGGGAGGCCUGCGGGUAGACAUGGAAGUCGGAGAUCGGGUUGCAAGCCGACGCGCGGGGCGAGUCAGGCAGCACCAUCCGAGGAAACGCCGACGAGCCGGUGCUGGCCGCGGCGACGACGGCUUGGACGAGGCUGUGUUGGCUAGUGUUUAACCCUAGCAUGUAGAGCGCCUCCCUCGUUGCCGCCGCGACGCGGGCGCUGGUGACCUCCUACUGCGCGGCGGAGACGACUGCGGCCUGCGCGGCGGCCUCAUCCCUCGCGUCCGCGGCAUGCCUCCAGCCCUUCCUCUUGGCCGACUCGCAUGCCCGUUGUUCGGGCGUCAGCGCCUUAUUUGGCUUCCUCGGGGCUGCGGCGGCUGUCUUGCGCGGGGCACGAGGCUUGCUUUUCCCGGCGGGGGCGGCGGCGCCGGACGAGGCGGACGAGGCGAGGCCGGCGGUGGCGUCCAUGGCUGGUUGUGGCGGGAGCGAGCACGCGCGGGGCGGGAGUAUUUUUGGAGAAAAUGGGGGAAAUGCUGGUGACUGCCACCGACCAGCGGGCCCGGGGAGAGGAGUAGGCGCGCACGCGUCUGUGUCGUGUCCGCGCCGACGCAAAUCCGGCUCAAAAAUGGAUCGGAAAUGGGUCGCCAUGCGGACGCCAAAAGGACACGCGUUCGUUUGGGUCGACACGUUGGGCCGCUUUUUCUGUCCGCGCCGACCUAAACGGACGACCGCAGACAAAAUGGGUCAUCCCGUUGAAGUUGAUCUUAACACAUGGUUGGCUCUUCCUCAGCUGAGAUGCAGAUGGAUGGAAAACAAUCUGACCGAAAAUCCCGGUCACGAAGAGAGUUUGAUCUAUCCGCCCAACUUUCGCCAGGUCAUCGAUCCGCGCCGAAGCCACCAGGGCCGUCCAUCAUAAACAGCAACGAGCGGCUGAUAUCCGUCGAUCCACCACCCGACGUCACCGAUCCGCGGCACCAACCCGUCCUCCAAUCAGAGCGCACCUCCUCCUCUCCAUAAAUAAAGCCGCCGCACCCUCCCCUUAUCGUCACCAAAAAGCAAUCCAAUUCCCCACCAGCCCCCUCGCACCUUCCGGCGAAUCACCGCACCUCUCCCCGGCGAAGCAGCAGCGUCCGAUGGCCCCCAAGGCGGAGAAGAAGCCGGCUGCCGCGGAGAAGACUCCGGCGGCCGAGAAGACCACCGCGGGCA